rnacentral:lncRNA from 1 species
AUUUUUUUGAGGGGCCGCUUCCGCCAAAUUUAUUCAAGCUCUCCAAACUAAAGAUUCUUUUCCUUUAUGAGAAUAACUUUUCAGGUUUUAUUUCUAAGGAUAUAGGUUUGCUUUUUGAACUUGAAACCCUCUAUCUUGACUCUAAUUUUUUUGAGGGGCCGCUUCCCCCACAUGUAUUUAGGCUCUCCAAAUUAAGAGAUCUGGGUCUCUCAGACAAUAGAAAUUUAUUUGAAGGAAGUAUUCCUAUUGGACUGGGACUCUUGACUAACCUCAGAUACUUGCGUCUAUCUUCCAAUAAUCUCGGUGGCUAUAUUCCAUCUGACAUUGGAAACCUGAAGCAACUAGAACUUCUUGAUCUCGGUUCUAAUCAAUUGACUGGACCGCUUUCAAAGAUCGUUUCUAAUCUCACAAAUCUUAUAUAUCUUGAUGUGAGUUAUAAUAGUCUUAGUGGAAAUAUUCAGAGUGACUGGUGGAAAAACUCUGUAUCCUUACGUUACAUUGAUUUUGAAAAUAAUUAUUUGUCUGGGAACAUUCCUAAGGAAUAUAACGAUCAUCCAACUUUGGAAUACAUCAAUUUAGGUGGGAACCAUUUUACAGGUAUAUUUUCUCUAUAUAUCUUUUCCUUUUGUCAUAUGUAAAUAAGCUAGUAAUCUGGUUAUUGUAGUUUUACCAAAGUUUCAACAAUCUUGACAGGUGAGCUUCCAACAACAAUUUGCAAUGCCACUUCCCUUUCGGUUCUUGUUUUGUCAAAUAAUGGAUUAAGUGGUGCACUUCCAAAAUGUUUCGGGAAUCUUGCUGAUGGAUUGCUUUACAUUAAUCUUGCUAAUAAUCAGUUUCGAGGAACAAUACCAACUACUUUCUCCAGGAGUUGUCGGUUGACAUAUCUAAACAUGGAUAAUAAUGAGUUUGAAGGAUUGUUGCCCCCAUCUUUGGCGAACUGUAAGCACUUGAAAAUUCUUGAUAUAGGCAAUAAUAAAAUAGGUGGUACAUUUCCGUCAUGGCUUUAUGCACUUGGAGAGCUAGAAGUUCUUGUCUUGCGAUCAAAUAAACUCUAUGGUACGAUAAGUGGAAGGAGCAUAGAAGAUCCCUUCCCAAAGUUGCGGAUUGUGGAUCUGUCCCACAAUCAAUUGACAGGCUAUUUGCCAAUUCAAUACUUUAAGAAUAUGAAAUCAACUGAUGAUUUGUAUAGUUUCCGGAAUUCCACAGGAACCGCAUCUAUCUCUUAUGAAGCAUCGGUCUCAUUAACCGUGAAGGGAACAGAGUAUGAAGUAGCAAAUAACCUUCAUAUUUACACAGCCAUUGAUCUAUCGUGCAACAAAUUUCAGGGACAAAUUCCAAAGGUUACUGGAGAGCUUAAAUGGCUGGCAUUGCUCAACUUAUCUCAUAAUAGUCUAACAGGACCUAUCCCGUCAUUGCUGAGAAAUAUGAAAGAACUCCAGUCUUUAGAUUUGUCUUCAAAUCAACUAACAGGGGCUAUUCCACCUCAGUUAACUGCACUGACAUUUCUAGAGGUCUUGAACUUCUCGGGAAACCAUCUUAGUGGAGAGAUUCCUCAGAAAGGACAGUUCAGCACAUUCAACAAUGAUUCCUAUCUAGGAAACUCUGCGUUAUGUGGAUCACCUUUGACGAAGAAAUGUGUAAACACUGUAUCACCUCCUCAGGAAGUCGAAAAUGGUGAUGAAGAUGAUGCUGGUGAUGAAUUGACAUGGGAAGCAAUCGUGAUGGGAUAUGGAUGUGGACUGAUAUGUGGAUUGUCAUCUGCGUACAUUGUUCUCAAACUAGGAAAGCCUUGGUGGUUUGUGAGAUAUAUCGAAGUACUGCAACUGAAGUUGAUGAAAAGAUAUGCAUGAAGAAAGGUACUGGUAGAUCAAGAUGAACUUGAAAGUUGUUGUCCUGGUAGACAUUUCUGAACCAGUAGUAUACUAGCUGUGUAAGUAUUUGGUAUUAUGUAAUAAUCCGUUUGGUCGGGACUCAAAAUGAUUUCUCUUGCUUCAGGGGUAUUAAUAUUAACCUUGCUAUCUUGAUCAAUGUUAAUGCAAAUUAAAAAGAAUAUAAAAGCAAAAAAUUUGCAUCAAACACCUGUUGUACCACAGGCUUCCGACUCAAUAUUUGUUAGCCUCCCGUGCCCUGUGUGAAACCAUAAGCUUCUCUGGUGAAUAUCCAAAUCAUUCAGCUGGUUCUACUUUCAGCUCACCGCAGGAACAUCAUUCUGCAGGUACUCUCUUAUCUGUACUUUCUUAUAUUGUAUGCCAGAAAAUUUAAUAUCGACAAACUGCACAAUACACCUCGAUCUCAUAUUAUUGACAGGUGAGCUCCUCUCAUAAUGCUCACAGGCGAACUCCUGCAUAUACUUUGUGAUGUCAUUGAUGAUCGAUAGACUUGAAAAAAAAUUAUGACAAAGAUUCAUAAAAUAUCUACUUCCAUCCUAAUUCAGUAUUCAAUAUUAUGCAUUCCGUAUCAUCAUCCAAUCAAUUCUAAUAGUUCUUCUUUAAAUCAGGACAAAUAUUGUUAAAUACAUGGAUGAUGGUUGUCUUUCCGCGAACCAAUCAUGAAAUUACCUCUGUUUAAAUCCGUCGAAAAUAAGAAAAUUAAUAUCCCAAUCGAAUACACCCCGUGAGUUGUCAAACUCCUCGAAACAUAUUAAUCACUUUAGAAAAUUUCAACAAUCUUGACAGGUGAGCUUCCAACAACAAUUUGCAAUGUCACCUCCCUUUCGGUUCUUGUUUUGUCAAAUAAUAAAUUAAGUGGUGCACUUCCAAACUGUUUCGGGAAUCUUGCUGAUGGAUUGCUUUACAUUAAUCUUGCUAAUAAUCAGUUUCAAGGAACAAUACCAACUACUUUCUCCAGGAGUUGUCCGUUGACAUAUCUAAACAUGGAUAAUAAUGAGUUUGAAGGAUUGAUGCCCCCAUCUUUGGCGAACUGUAAGCACUUGAAAAUUCUUGAUAUAGGCAAUAAUAAAAUAGGUGGUACAUUUCCGUCAUGGAUUUAUGCACUUGGAGAGCUAGAAGUUCUUGUCUUGCGAUCAAAUAAACUCUAUGGUACAAUAAGUGGAAGGAGCAUAGAAGAUCCCUUCCCCAAGUUGCGGAUUGUGGAUCUGUCCAACAAUCAAUUCACAGGCCAUUUGCCAAUUCAAUACUUUAAGAAUAUGAAAUCAAAUGAUAAUUUGUAUCGUUAUCUGAAUUCCACAGGAGAAAUAUAUAUCUCUUAUGAAGCAGCAGUCUCAUUAACUGCGAAGGGAACAGAGUAUGAAGUAGCAAAUAACCUUCAUAUUUACACAGCCAUUGAUCUGUCGUGCAACAAAUUUCAGGGAGAAAUUCCAAAGGUUACCGGAGAGCUUAGAUAGCUUGCAUUGCUCAAUUUAUCGCAUAAUAGUCUAACGGGACCUAUCCCAUCAUUGCUGAGAAAUAUGAAAGAACUCCAAUCUUUAGAUUUGUCCUCAAAUCAACUGACAGGGGCCAUUCCACCUCAGUUAACUGCAUUGACAUUUCUAAAGGUCUUAAAUCUCUCGAAAAACCAUCUCAGUGGAGAGAUUCCUCAGGAAGGACAGUUCAGCACAUUCAACAAUGAUUCUUAUCUAGGAAACUCCGCGUUAUGUGGAUUACGUCUGACAAAGAAAUGUGCAAACACAGCAUCACCACCACAAGAAGUCGGAAAUGGUGAUGAAGAUGAUGCUGGUGAUGAAUUGACAUGGGAAGCAAUUGUGAUGGGAUAUGGAUGUGGACUGAUAUGUGGAUUAUCAUCUGCGUACCUUGUUUUCAAACUAGGAAAGCCUUGGUGGUUUGUGAGAUAUAUCGAAGUACUGCAACUGAAGUUGAUGAAAAGAUAUGCAUGAAGAAUGGUACUGGCCGAUCAAGACGAACUUGAAAGUUGGUCCUUGUGGACAUUUCAGCUGAACCAGUAGGUACUAUUCUCUUUGUGACUGCAUAAGUAUUUUGUAUUGUGUAAUGUUCUGUUUGGUCUUAAAUCAUAAUGAUUUUUCUUGCUUCAGGGGUAUUAAUAUAAAACUUGGUAUUGUGUACUAGCUGUAAUAUUCCGUUUAAUCAAUGUUAAUACCUGUAAUUUUAUGCUCCUGACUGCAUCAUGCAGCUCUCAUAUUAUCUUCAUAUGUGUAUUUAUUUGGAUAUUGAAGUUGCAUGGACAUAUGGAUAUGUGUUAACGGGGAUUGCUCCCAAGUCUUGGACGGACUCUUUCCAAGUCUUCCGAGAUCCUAUUGGUUCAAAUUAGUCCAAUUUGAACUGCCAUCAAAUGCAACUCUGUAGAUUCUGUCUCUGAGAUUAACCUUUCAGGACAUCAGCUCAAUGGUACACUUGCUGAAUUCAGUUUCGUUUAAUUUCCGAAUCUACAAAUUAAGCUACAAUAACUUCACUUGUCCAAUACCCCCAGACAUUGGAAAUUUAACAGAGCUGCAACACCUUGAUUUUAGCUCUAAUAAACUCACUGCUGCAAUUCCGGACCAGGUAAGCCAUCUUCAAACAUUGCGGACCUUAAACCUGUAGGAUAAUCAACUUGGAAGCUCCAAACUGGUCCGCUUUUUCCCCUAUGCCUUCUCUGACAAACCUCUGUCUCAAUAAUAAUAAUCUUUCGUCGAAAUUCCAAGACUUCAUAUUAAAUUGUGGUAACCUGACUUACUUUGAUCUUUCAUUAAAUAUGUUAACAGGUAAUUUGGUUCCUUCAUCAAUUUUUAGAAAUUUGUAUAAUCUUGAAUUCCUUUAUCUUUCUAGCAAUUAUUUUGAGGGGCCUUUCCCGCCANNNNNNNNNNNNNNNNNNNNNNNNNNNNNNNNNNNNNNNNNNNNNNNNNNNNNNNNNNNNNNNNNNNNNNNNNNNNNNNNNNNNNNNNNNNNNNNNNNNNNNNNNNNNNNNNNNNNNNNNNNNNNNNNNNNNNNNNNNNNNNNNNNNNNNNNNNNNNNNNNNNNNNNNNUUUCCCUAUCAUAUAAUAGAUUUUCAGGUUCUAUUUCCAUAUGAUAUAGGAAUGCUUCGUGUUUUGGAAUCCCUUUUUUUAGUAGUAGUUCUUUUAAUGGCCCACCUCCACCAAAUUUAUUUAAAUUUUCUAAAUUAAAAGUUUUUUCCCUAUCAUUAAUAACUUUUCGGGUUCUAUUCGAAAUGAAACAGGGAUGCUUCAUGAUUUAGAGUCCCUCUAUCUUAAUGAACAUUCUUUUAAGGGGCCGUUUCCACCAAAUAUAUUCAACCUUUCCAAAUUAAAAGUUCUUAAUUACCUCUCAAAUAAUUCCUUUUCAGGUUCAGUUCCUAGUGAUAUAAGUGUGCUUCGUGAUCUUGAGAUACUUAAUUUGUCCUCUAAUUCUUUUGAAGGAAUUAUCCCAUUGGAGCUUGGGUUCUUGAAUAACGUGAGCUAUUAUUAUAUCUUGAUUCCACUCAAUUGACUGGACCGCUUUUGAAGAACAUUUAUAAUCUCAGUAAUUUUUUGUGUUGGCUUGAAUGGAUCAUUCCAUUCCCUCCAAAACUCAUUCCGUUCAUGUCAACCAAACAGAGCAUCAAUUACUAGUUACUGGGAAAUGCAUUAGCCUAAAUGUUCCUGGUUCAUUGUUACCGGUAUUUCUUAACUGCUGUGAUUGCAAAUUCAGUUGCAGAUUGUUCAUAUAUAUCUAGAGAGACCUGACAUAACUUUAGCCUCUGAUAUACAGCUUCCUUUCACAGUUGUGCCUAUUCACCUAGACGCGUUUUUAACUGCAUAAUGUUGGGUCAACUUCCGACCAUUUAUUUUCUCAUUUGAAAUUAGUGUAUUAAAGUUCGACUUUAAGAAAAUAUAUAGUUUUGUUAAACAAAAAUUCCAAAAGGUUUGGUACGUUUUGAGCUGGGACUUUGAAAUUGUUUGUCGUUAAAGAUGAAGAUUCACUUUUUAAGUUAUAUUAAUCUGUAGUGGUAGACUGGUAGUUUUUCUUUAUUGCUACUUUCCUUGUGCGUUCUUUAUAUUGAUUUAUUAUUUAAUUCGUAAAGUGUUGCGAACUACAUUCCUGCAAAAGUAAAAUCAGUGGAAUUUGUUUGAUAGCAUGAUGAAUAUUUAAAGGGGUUAAUUAUCAAAUUGGUCACUGAAGUGACUUUAAUGUAUCAAGUUGGUCACUGAACUCAAAACGGUAUUAAGAUAGUCACUGAAGUGGACAUAAAUAUCAAACAGGUACCUUGAAAUAUAAGUUCAAGCAGUAAAGAUAUUAUUUAUAAAAUUUUACACAUUAUUUUUAAAUGUUACCACAACCAACUAAAAGGUUAUGACUUCUAGUAUUUAAAUUAAUAUAUUUAUUUUAUCAAGUUUAUUUAUUAUUUAUAUUUUAUUAUAUAGUUAUUUUCUUUGUUUUAAUUAAAAAUAAAUAAUAAAUAAACUUGAUAAUAUCUAAAUAUAUUAUCAUAAAUAUUAGAAUUCAUAACCUUUUACUUGGUCUAGGUAACAUUCAAAAAUAAUGUGUAAAACUUUAUAAAUAAUAUUAUCUUUAUAUUCUUUCCUUUUCUAUGUACCUAUGCUAAUUAUCUGAUUAUUAAAAUUAUAACAAAGCUUCAAGAUUUUUAACAGGUGAGCUUCCACUAAAAAUUUGCAAAGUCACUUCCCUUUCGCGUCUCAUUAUGUCAGAUAUUGGAAACAACAAAUAGGUGGUACAUUUCCGUCAUGGCUAUUUACUGUUGGAGAGCUAGAUGUCCUAGUUAGGGCGGUAAUUCGACUAAAGCAAACCGAGUUUUGAGCGGAGUCAAAUUCGAGCCAAGUUUAAUCGAGUCGAGCCGAGUCGGCUCAUUUAGCUAAUCGAGCCUAAAACUCUGGUCGAACUCGACUCGUUUAAUUUCGCGAGUCAAGUCGACCCAGCUCGUUUAGUUAAAUGAGCUGGUUUUAACGAGUCAAGCGAGUGAGCUCGUAUAAUUUUAACUUAAUCGAGUCUAAAUCUCUACCCGAACUAUUGGCUCGUGUAAUUUCACGAGUAGAAUCGAGCUGGCUCGUUUUAUUAAAGAAGCCGAAAUUUUUGCCCGAAUUUGGCUUGUUUAACAAGCCGAUCUUUCAUCAAAAUUUUCAAACAUUUCUGAAUAUGUAUUUUCAGAGAAUUUCUCCGGCACUCUUAAGGCCUAUAAUUAUUGCAACUCUCACGUUAUGGACCACUAUGUAUUUUACGAGCACGACGAAUCAUGUGGUCAUUAUGGACUCCCCAAGCCUUCGAGGACUCAUUCCAGGUCUUAGGAGGACCACUGCCUAGCUCACCCUCUCGGAGUGAUGUAAAUUAUUUUCCAGACACUAAAAAUAAGUAUUCAGAUUAAUCAUUACAAAAUUAAGGAUAUAAAAUCAGAAUAAAUCCUAAACUUUGAUGAUACAAAAAAAUUAUAAUUGUAAAUUAUACAAUCAAAUUAAAAUCGAAUUAACUUCUCUCACACUUAAAAUUUAUAGCGAUCAAAUCAAAAUCGAAUUAACUUUCCUAUUACUAAAAUUUAAUUACAAUAUUAUUAGAUAAAGAGAAUAUAUAAUAAUCAAGGGAAAAUAGAUUUUUUUUUGCCACUCAACUUAUUGUGUUUUAAGAAAUUUACCACCCAACUAAAUUUUUUUUCCUUUUGCUCACUAAUAUUAGGUUUGGAUUUGUUUUUAGCCACCAACUAAGGUUCGGAUUUGAUUACUAGCAUUAUGAUAAUUUUUUGUCACUAAACUUAUUGCGUCUUUAGAAACUAACCACUCAACUAAUUUUUUUUUUAUUUUACUCACUAAUGUUAGGUUCAGUUUUUUUUUUGUCACUGAAGUUAGGUUCGGAUUUGAUUAUUAGCAUUACAUUAAUUCUGUGUAGCAUUUUUAAAAUAUGGUAGUAGUCUGUGAUAUUUAGAUGAUUUGAUAUAUGUCUGUAUUUAUAUAUAUAGUAUUUUUUAUGUCCCCAAGGUCGUUUACCUUGGGUCAUAAGAAUUUUACACACAUUUUAUGACUUUUAAAAGAUGUAGUUUCAUAAAUAAUUUUAUUUUUUUCUUCCGAAUUAAAAUUCAGCGUUUGAAUUUUACACACAAAAAAAUCGCAAAAAUAAGUUAUGAAACUAUGUUUUAUAAGAGUCUUAAAAUACGUGUUAAACGGUAGAAAAAACUGUAAACUAAUGAAAGGUACAUAGGGAGUAAUAAUAACAUAAAAUGAUGCACAAUCAUCGAAUUAAGUUUUCCUCUCUCUCUAUAUAUUUAUUUUGAAAAUUAUAAUAAGAUAAAGUUAUUAAAAUUUAUGAUAUAAAUUUAAAAGAGAUCUUAGACUGAGUGGCAAAAAUUUAGUUGGAUGGUAAGUUUCUAAAAAUACAAUAAAUUGAGCGGGAACAAAAUCUAUUUUCCCAAUAAUCAAAGUGAUGAAAAAUUAAAGUCAUCUAAUAAGUCCAGAAAAAAUAUGACCAUUAGUAUUUUGGAAUAAUAUUCACGCAUUUAUAUACGAGAAUAUAUGGUCCACAAGUUAGUGCACAAUGUCCAAGAAUCUUUAUCAAAGUAACACGGCAAGCAUGCAGCAUAUAAAUAAGAGUGGGCAGUAUGGUAUUGCAUUCAUAACCCACUUGAGGAGAAAUAUGGCACACUUCCUAAAGCCUUCUCACCUUCUUCUCUUUGUUUUCUCUCUCUCGUUACUUCAAUCCAUUCUACCAACAAGACCAGAGGGAGAAGCUCUUGUGAAAUGGAAGAAUAGCCUAGCCCCUUCUUCUUUUCUCGAUUCUUGGUCACUCACCAAUCUCGAUGAUCUUUGUAACUGGACUGGCAUUACUUGUAACUCUGCAGGUUCAGUCUCUGAGAUUAACCUUUAUGAGAAACAACUUGAUGGAAUGCUGUCCGAGUUUGGCUUCACUUCAUUUCCGAAUCUCAACAAUCUCACCCUCGCAUACAACUUCUUCUCGGGUCCAAUUCCACCAGCCAUUGAGAAUUUAACACAGCUUCAAUAUCUUGAUUUAAGCAUCAAUAGUCUCGAUGGUCCCAUUCCGUUCCAGGUUAGCCAUCUUCAGAGGUUGCUCGUCUUAAACCUGUCACAGAAUGCAUUGCAAGCUCCAAAUUGGUCCAAAUUCUCCCCCAUGCCCUUUUUGUGCAUCCUCAACCUCAGUAGCAAUCCUCUUGCGUCGACAUUCCCAAAUUUCAUAUCCAAUUCUCAUGGCCUGACUCACCUCAGCCUUGAUCAAAACGAGUUUACAGGUGAUUUAGCGCGUGAAUCAAUAUUUGCCAAUCUGCAUAAUCUUGAAGUCCUCAGUCUUGUUGGCAAUUCUUUUGAGGGGGCCAUUUCCGCCAAAUAUAUUCAAGCUUUCCAAAUUAAAACGUCUUACCCUGUCAAGUAACAAAUUUUUAGGAUCAAUUCCCAAUGACAUAAGGUUGCUUUGUGAUCUUGAAUUCCUAUAUUUAGGAAACAAUUCUUUUGAAGGACCGCCUCCACCAAAUAUAUUCAAGCUUUCAAAAUUAAAACAUCUUGUUCUCUGGAGUAAUAAGUUUUCAGGUUCUGUUUCCAAUGAUAUAGGUUUGCUUUCUGCGCUUGAACUUCUGAAUCUUCACUCUAAUUUUUUUGAGGGGCCGCUUCCGCCAAAUGUAUUCAAGCUCUCUAAACUAAGGUUUCUUAACCUCUGGGGUAACAACUUUUCAGGUUCUGUUUCCAAUGAUAUAGGUUUGCUUCCUGAGCUAGAAAUCCUCAAUCUUCACUCUAAUUUUUUUGAGGGGCCGCUUCCGCCAAAUAUAUUCAAGCUCUCUAAACUAAGGUUUCUUAACCUCUGGGGUAACAACUUUUCAGGUUCUGUUUCCAAUGAUAUAGGUUUGCUUCCUGAGCUAGAAAUCCUCAAUCUUCACUCUAAUUUUUUUGAGGGGCCGCUUCCGCCAAAUGUAUUCAAGCUCUCUAAACUAAGGUUUCUUAACCUUUGGGGUAAUAACUUUUCAGGUUCUGUUUCCAAUGAUAUAGGUUUGCUUCCUGAGCUAGAAUUCCUCAAUCUUCACUCUAAUUUUUUUGAGGGGCCGCUUCCGCCAAAUGUAUUCAAGCUCUCUAAACUAAAGUUUCUUCAUCUUCGAGGUAAUAAGUUUUCAGGUUCUGUUUCCAAUGAUAUAGGUUUGCUUCCUGAGCUUGAAAUCCUCAAUCUUCGCUCUAAUUUUUUUGAGGGGCCGCUUCCGCCAAAUGUAUUCAAGCUCUCCAAACUAAGGUUUCUUUCCCUUAAGGAAAAUAAAUUUUCAGGUUCUGUUUCCAAUGAUAUAGGUUUCCUUUCUGAGCUUGAAUACCUAUAUCUUGACUAUAAUUUAUUUGAAGGAAGUAUUCCUAUUGGACUGGGACUCUUGACUAACCUCAGCUACUUAGAUCUAAGUUCCAAUAAUCUCAGUGGCUAUAUUCCAUCUGACAUUGGAAACCUGAAGCUACUAGUAUUUCUUGAUCUCAGUUCUAACCAAUUGACUGGACCGCUUUUAAAGAUCGUUUCUAAUCUCACAAAUCUUAUGAAUCUUGAUGUAAGUGAUAAUAGUCUUAGUGGAAAUAUUCAGAGUGACUUGUGGAAGAACUCUAUAUCCUUACGUUACAUUAAUUUUGCAAAUAAUUAUUUGUCUGGGAACAUUCCUAAGGAAUACAACGAUCAUCCAACUUUGGAAUACAUCAAUUUAAGUGGGAACCAUUUUACAGGUAUAUUUUUCUCUAUAUAUCUUUUCCUUUUCUCAUAUGUAACUAAGCUGGUAAUCUGAUUAUUGCAGUUUUACCAAAGUUUCAACAAUCUUGACAGGUGAGCUUCCAACAACAAUUUGCAAUGUCACUUCCCUUGCGGUUCUUGUUUUGUCAAAUAAUGGAUUAAGUGGAGCACUUCCAAAUUGUUUCGGGAAACUUGCUGAUAGAUUGCUUUCCAUUAAUCUUGCUAAUAAUCAGUUUCGAGGAACAAUACCAACUACUUUCUCCAGGAGUUGUCAGGUGAAAUAUCUAAACAUGGAUAAUAAUGAGUUUGAAAGAUUCUUGCCCCCGUCUUUGGCGAACUGUAAGCACUUGAAAAUUCUUGAUAUUGGCAAUAAUAAAAUAGGUGGUACAUUUCCGUCAUGGCUUUAUGUACUUGGAGAGAUAGAAGUCCUUGUCUUGCGAUCAAAUAAACUCUAUGGUACAAUAAGUGGAAGGAGCGUAAAAGAUCCCUUCCCCAAGUUGCGGAUUGUGGAUCUGUCCAACAAUCAAUUCACUGGUCAUUUGCCAAUUCAAUACUUUAAGAAUAUGAAAUCAACUGAUAAUUUGUAUCGUUAUCAGAAUUCCAAAGGAUAUCUAUCUUUCCAUCAUGAUGCAGCAGUCUCCUUAACUGUGAAGGGAACGGAGUAUGAGGUAGCAAAGAACCUUCAUAUUUACACAGCCAUUGAUCUGUCGUGCAACAAAUUUCAGGGACAAAUUCCAAACGUCACUGGAGAGCUUAGAUGGCUUGCAUUGCUCAAUUUAUCGCAUAAUAGUCUAACAGGACCUAUCCCAUCAUUGCUGAGAAAUAUGAAAGAACUCCAAUCUUUAGAUUUGUCUUCAAAUCAACUGACAGGGGCUAUUCCACCUCAGCUAACUGCAUUGACAUUUCUAGAGGUCUUGAACCUCUCGAAAAACCAUCUUAGUGGAGAGAUUCCUCAGAAAGGACAGUUCAGCACAUUUAACAAUGAUUCUUAUCUAGGAAACUCCGCGUUAUGUGGAUCACCUUUGACGAAGAAAUGUGCAAACACAGCAUCACCUCCACAAGAAGUUGUAAAUGGUGAUGAAGAUGAUGCUGGUGAUGAAAUGACAUGGGAAGCAAUCGUGAUGGGAUAUGGAUGUGGACUGAUAUGUGGAUUGUCAUCUGCGUACAUUGUUCUCAAACUAGGAAAGCCUUGGUGGUUUGUGAGAUAUAUCGAAGUACUGCAACUGAAGUUGAUGAAAAGAUAUGCAUGAAGAAUGGUACUGGCCGAUCAAGACGAACUUGAAAGUUGUUGUCCUUGUGGACAUUUCUGAACCAGUAGUGUACUAGCUACAUAAGUAUUUAGUAUUAUGUAAUAAUCCGUUUGGUCGGGACUCAUAAUGAUUUCUCUUGCUUCAGGGGUAUUAAUAUUAAACUUGCUAUCUUGAUGAAUGUUAAUGUAAAUUAAAAAGAAUAUAAAAUCAAAAAAUUUAAAUCAAACACCUGUUGUACCAAGAUCCAUUAAUUUGCUUUAGUCUCUUACAUAACAAUUUAAUAGCACACUUCCACACUGUUCACACGUGUAAUGUAUAAAAAUUCCAGUCUUCUUCGGAGGCCUACAGCUUCAACAACCUCUCAAAGAUGUAGCAGUUGCUUGACAGUGAUAGAUAUAUAUUAGAUAAACACUAUGCAAUAACCAAAGUGACAGAAAAAUCAAAGUCCGCUAAUAAAUUCAUAAAAAAUAUAAUAAUCAACAACAAGAAUCAUAGUCUUACAAGUUCAUAUAAAAUAUAGGAUCAUUAGUAUUCCACAUGUAUAUUUUCUUCUCUUUCUUUUCGAGUUUUCCUCUCCAGCACCAAAUCCAAAUUAAUAUACAAUGCCACACAUUCCAGUCUCAGCUUCAGCUCCCAGGCUAGCAUUGAUUUAGCCAAGCACGACAGUGGCCGCUCUUGGUCCUGCCUUCAAAUGUCUAACAAUAACAGUUGGAUACGUCGACAAAAAUAUUGUUCCUCAUCAUACUGAGGAGUUAUUGAAUUCGACAGUUUUACACAAAGAAGACAAUUCCAUGGACUAAUCUAUUAGUAACACGUAAGCUAUAAACACGUAGUCCACAUCUAUGCUACGAACAAUUCAUAUUGGUCUUCUAUCUGUGCAACAGUCUCCCGAAGAUAGGCCAAAAAUGUCAUCUGUGGUUCUUAUCUUUGUUAGCAAAGGAGAAUCUCCGAUGCCUAUACAACCUGAUUUUCUUACAGAAAGAAAUGCAAGUGAAACUAGGGUCGGAUACCAUGUUAAAUGAUCAAUUCUCCUAAAACUAGGUUCAGGAUGAUCAUGAUAUAUUCUAACAUCAAGAUUAGCAGGACUAAAAUGAAGAUUUAAAUGGAUUUUAAAAACAAGCUCCUACUGAAUAAAAAGAAUCAUUAAUUUUUCUGACUCAACAUAUGUUAGCCUCCCCUGGCCCUGGGUGAAACCAUAAGCUUCUCUGGUGCACAUCCAAAUCAUUCAGCUGGUUCUACUUUCAGCUCAGCACAGGAACAUCAUUCUGCAGGUACUCUUGUAUCUGUAGUUUCUUAUUAAUUUAUUAACAAAAUUUAGCUAUUAAAUAUUUUGAUAAAAUAUCUAUUUAUUAAAAUAUUUUUUUAUUUAAUUGGUCUGAUAAAAAUAUUAUUGAUAUAUAAAUUUUACCUUUUUUCUGAAACAAAUUAUAAUUUUUGCUUCAAGCUUUUGUAUGAUAAGUUGAGAAAUAUUAGUUUUCUUUAUCACCGUGAGAGUAGAUCCUCGUUCCACAAAAAUUUGUAACUGAAAAAUAAAAUAGAGCCCUAAAACUUUUCGAUAAAUAUGGACUAAACAAUUUUGAUGCUCAAGUCUCAAUAGGAUUUAUAAACGGUCAUGAUGAGUUUGAUUAUCAAUGACACCAAAAAAAUAUUAGAAUUAUAUUUAAGUUAUAAAUUUGUCAAUAAAUUGUGUGAUAAUCAUACUUUCCAAGUCUUCUUCAGAGGCCUCCUGCCUCAACAACCUUUCAAAGAUGUAGUAGUUGUUGCUCGAGAGGGACAAAUAUAUUAGGUAAAGACUAUGCAAUAAUCAACGUGACAGAAAAACCAAAGUCCUCUAAUAAAUUAAUAAAAAAUAUUAUAAUCAAUAUCAAGAAUCAUAUUAUCAUAGUCUUCUAAGUUCAUAUAAAAUAUAGAAUCAUUAGUAUAUAAAUAGAAGAGUGCAGAGUAAAGCCUUUCAUAAUCCAGUUGAGGAGAAAUAUGGCAUACUUUGUAAAGCCUUAUCACCUUCUUCUCUUUGUUUUCUUUCUCUCAUCACUUGAAUCCAUUCUUGCAACAACACGAGAAGGAGAAGCUCUUGUGAAAUGGAAGAAUAGCCUAGCCCCUUCUUCUUUUCUUGAUUCUUGGUCACUCACUCAUCUCGAUAAUCUUUGUAACUGGACUGGCAUUACUUGUAACUCUGCAGGUUCAGUCUCUGACAUUAACCUUUUCAACAAACAACUCACUGGAAAGCUUUUUGAGUUUGGUUUCACUUCAUUUCCAAAUCUCAACAAUCUCACCCUUGCAGAUAACUUCUUCUCUGGUCCAAUACCAUCAGCCAUUGGGAAUUUAACACAACUUCGGUAUCUUGAUUUGAGCAAUAAUUAUCUCAAUGGUUCCAUUCCGUACCAGGUUAGCCAUCUUUCAAGAUUACACAUCUUAAACCUGUCAGAGAAUGAACUGCAAGCUCCAAAUUGGUCCGAUUUCUCCCCCAUGCCUUGUUUGACCAUCCUCGACCUUUAUCAAAAUAAUCUUAUGUCGGAAUUUCCAGAAUUUAUAUCUAACUCGCGUAACCUGACAUACCUUGACCUUUCAUAUAACAAGUUCACAGGCGAUCUUGUGCGCGAAUCAGUAUUAACCAAUCUAGGUGAUCUUGAAACCCUCUAUCUUAAUGAAAAUUCUUUUAGGGGGCCAUUUCCACCAGACAUAUUCAAACUUUCCAAGUUGAGAGUUCUUGCCCUGUUCAAUAAUUUUUUUGAGGGGCCGCUUCCGUCAAAUAUAUUCAAGCUCUCUAAACUAAGAUUCCUUUUACUUUGGAGUAAUAAUUUUUCAGGUACUCUUUCGAAUGAAAUAGGUUUGCUUUCUGAGCUUGAAGACCUAGAUCUUCACUCCAAUUUUUUUGUGGGGCCGCUUCCGCCAAAUAUAUUCAAGCUGUCUAAACUAAGAACCCUUUUCCUCUGGGGUAAUAACUUCUCAGGUUCUAUUUCCAACGACAUAGGUUUGCUUUCUGAGCUUGAACACCUAUAUCUCGACUCCAAUUCUUUUGAGGGACCUUUUCCAACAAAUAUUUUCAAGCUUUCCAAAUUAAUACAACUUGGUCUCGCAAACAAUACAAAUUUAUUUGAAGGAAGUAUUCCUCCAGGACUGGGGCUCUUGACUAACCUAGAGGACUUGUCUCUUGCUUACAAUAAUCUUGGUGGCUAUAUUCCGUCUUCCUUUGGAAACCUAACACUACUAGUAUAUCUUAAUCUCGCUCGUAAUCAAUUGGUUGGAACACUAUCAAAGACCAUUUCUAAUCUCACAAAUCUGUGGUUUCUUGAUGUACAUCAUAAUAGUCUCUCUGGGAAUAUUCAGAGUGACUUCUGGAAAAACUCUACAUCACUGCUUUACAUUAAUUUGGCAGACAAUAAUUUUUCUGGGAACAUUCCUAAGGAAUAUAAUGUUCUUCCAAUCCUGGAUCACAUCAAUUUUAGGGGGAACAACUUUACAGGUAUUUUUAAUUCCAUAUUUUUUCCUUCUGUUGUAUUUAAUUAUGCUAACAACUACUGCCUCUGUUUUCAAAUACAUAUCGUUUGACUUUUUGGCACAAAACUCUAUAAUAAUUCUAACUAUAAGGUCAAUGAACUUAGAAAUAUAUGUCAAAAAGUCAAACGUCAUAUAUUUGAAAUUAGAGGGAGUAUGGCUUAAUGACCUUUUAGCCCUUAAAGUUUGGGUAGAAGUUCCGAUGCGGCGUCGAAGUUUAAAAACGUACCUUUCGACCCUCAAAGUAUCUUUGUCGUACCUUUUAACCCUUAUGGCGUAUACCGGUAUAUAACGGGUGGGCAAAGUUGACAUUUCACACGUGAGGGUUAAAUGGGGCAUUAAACAUUAAGGGUUAAAAGGAACAUUUAAUAUAUUUUAAUGUAUUAUUUAGGGAUUAAAAGGAACGAGAUGUAUACUUUAAGGGUUAAAAGGUACGCCCAAACUUCACCCCGAAUAUGAAUUGUCAAGUUUAUCCCCCGAUUUGUAUCGGUAUUUUUAAAAAGGGCUAAAAAGUACGACAAAGAUACUUUGAGGGUCGAAAUGUACGUUUUUAAACUUUGAGGCCGCAUCGGAACUUCCACCCAUUCUUCGAGGGCUAAAAGGUCAUUAAGCCGAGUAUAUAUUACAGUUUUACCAAAGUUUCAACAAUCAUGACAGGUGAGCUUCCACCAACAAUUUGCGAUGCAACUUCCCUUUCGAUUCUUGAUCUGUCAAAUAAUGGAUUAAGUGGUGCACUUCCACAUUGUUUGGGGAAUCUUGCUGAUAAAUUGAUUUCGAUUAAUCUUGCUAAUAAUCAGUUUCGAGGACCAAUACCAACAAAUUUCUCCAAGAGUUGUCGUCUGACGUAUCUUAACAUCUAUAACAAUCACUUUAAAGGAUUGGUUCCCCAGUCUUUGGCAAACUGUAAGCACUUGCAAAUUCUUGAUUUUGGAAAAAAUGAAAUAGGUGGAACAUUUCCGUCAUGGCUUUUUACUCUUGGAGAGCUAGAAGUCCUGGUCCUGCGAUCAAACAGAUUUUUCGGGAGAAUAACUAGAAGGAGCAUACCACACCCCUUUCCCAAGUUGCGGAUUUUGGAUCUAUCCAACAAUCAGUUCACCGGCUAUCUGCCAAUUUCAUACUUCAAGAAUAUGAAACCAAAUGAUAAUAAUUAUGAUUAUUUCAACAACACAAACGAAGCCUAUUACGUUUAUCAAGUUUCUAUCACAUUAAAUGUGAAAGGAAGCGAGCAUGAAGUGACAAAUAUUCUUUAUAUUUACACGGCCAUUGAUCUGUCGUGCAACAAAUUUGAAGGAAAAGUUCCAGACAUUACCGGAGAGCUUAGAUGGCUUGCAUUGCUAAAUUUAUCUCAUAAUAGUCUUUCGGGGCCUAUUCCAUCACAACUGGGAAAUAUGAAAGAGCUCCAGUCUCUAGAUUUGUCGUCAAAUCAAUUGACAGGUGUUAUUCCGGAUCAACUUACUAGUAUGACAUUUCUUGCUAGUUUGAACCUGUCAGAAAACCAUCUUUCUGGGAAAAUCCCUCGGAAAGGACAGUUCAGCACUUUUGGCGAAGAAUCUUACUUAGGUAACUCGGCCUUGUGUGGAGUUCCUUUGACAAAGAAAUGUAUAGACGAAGUGCCCCCUUCACAAGUUGGAAAUGGCGAUGAUGAAAAUGUUGAUGAAGAUGAUACCGUUGAUGAAUUCAAUUGGAAAGUGAUCCUGAUGGGAUAUGCAUGUGGAUCAAUAGGCGGAUUGUCUGCAGGAUACAUUGUCUUCACAGUUGGAAAGCCUUGGUGGUUUUUGAGGUACAUUGAGACACUGCAGCAGAAGUUGAUGUGAUGCGCAACUAGAAACAACCUUAUCUUAGAAUGAAUCUGAUCAAUGUUAGCAUAUACUGAACUUUUUUUUUUGUAAAUAUGAUUUCAAGUUCUCAUACUAAUACAAGAACCACUUGUUAAAUCUUGACCAUGCUAAGAGGAUGCUGAAUGCUGAUUUAACACUUUGCGAUGCAAAGCAGGGGCGCAUUAGUAUUUUAUAUGUGUUGAUAAUUUGCGCAAUGUUAACAGGGAUAGGUCUUCUUCUCUGCCAGAUCUUCGACAGACUCUUUCAAGGUCUUCUGAGGACCCAUCGGCUCGAAUUAGUCCAUCGUGAAUUAUGAUCUGAGAGCUAUCUGCACACUAUUUCCAGGUCUUCUGUCUCGUUAACUAUGAAAGGAAGAAAUCAUGAAGUGAAUAAAAUUCUUCAUAUUUACACAAUUGAUCUAUCAUGCAACAAAUUUUGAGGAGAAAUUUCAGAGGUUUCCGAAGAGCUUAAAUGGCUUGCAUUGCUCAAUCUAUCUCAUAAUGAUCUUACUAGACAUCUCCCCGUUGCUCGCCAUUAGAAAACAGGGAUUAUUCACUCGUCCGCCGCACCGCGAACUCAUUCUUAGGUGCUCGGAGGUUUUUGAGGAUUCUUGUUGAUUAUUAAUUUUGUGAUUUUGUUGAAUACUCUAUCACUUAAUAAUGUAAUAAUUGUGUUAUUAAAUAAUUAUAUUUUAAAUUGUUAAGGAUAUUGAACUAUUUGUUUGAUUAUUUGGUUUAAAUAUAAAUGUAACUCUUGAAAUACAUUUAUUAUAUAUAUAUUUAACAUGUUAAUAUUUACUGAAUCCCUCGCAUCCGAAUCCCGAUAUUUUUAAAUUUACGGAUUCUCGUAUUCAUGUACCGUGCACUACCAUACCUUCAACCACACUCAUACUUUCUAGCUGCUCGGAAAUAUGAAUCAAUCUUUAGAUUUGUCUUCAAAUCGAUUGACGGAGGCUAUUCCACACCAGUUAGGCAGUUAACUAGAUUGACAUUUCUAGAGGUCUUGAACUUCUCAGAGAAUAAUCUUACCGGGAAAAUACCGCAAAAAGGAAAAAUCAGCACUUUCGAGAAUAUAUGAGUCAGUGUGGUUCACCUGUCUAGACCAAAAAUGUCAUCUGAGAUUCUUAUGUUUUUUAGCUAUAUAUGAGUGGAAGAAAAUUGUCGAGUCGAGGUUAAUCGAAUAAGGCGAGCCGGCUCAUUUUAAUUUAAUUGAGACAAAACUUCUACGGAGUUCGACUCCUUUAAUUAAACGGCUAUGAAAUCUCAUUAAAGUCAGCCUUGUAUAUAAACUCAAGCCAGGUCGAGUUUUAUUGAACAAAUUUCAGCUCAAACCAGUCGCGAGCAGCCCAGCUCAAGUUCGAGGCCUGCUCAUCUGUCUUCGAGUCUUGGACGAGAUUUGAAUCAUCAACUCCUUCCAAAAAGAGUAUUACACUGACAAAAAUGCAGUAACAUGUUUAAUUUAAAAGUAUAUCAUCUGUUCCCGCAGUUUAAUUUUACCCAUAUUUUUGAGAUUCAUAUAAAUUAUAAUUCCAUAAUAUUUUUUCAAUCAUAUUGGUUUUGAAUAAAAAUAUAAAUAUCAAACUUUUAUUUUUAAAAAAAUUAUAAAAUUAUAUUUUAUAAGAGUCUCAAAUACGUGGGAAAGUGGGAGUAUUAAUUUCGCCCACUAAGUCACUGACAGGUUUGUUAAUUUGUUUCCAUUUGAAGGUGUACACUGCAUAUUUUCACCAGGGAUGGCAACAAGUCGAAUCAGUUCAGAUAUAUCAGAUAUCUCAAUCCAAAUCCAAAUUAUUUUUAAAAUCCAAAUCCAAUCGAGUUUCACAUAUCAAAUUCAAAUCCAAAUUCACGGGUUUCAGAUCGGGUUCAGGUUUGUUUGGGUUUAUCCAAAACCCGAAUCCAGAAAUGUAAGUAGUAUUGUAAAAAUAUUAUUUUUUAUUUUUUCACCCUUGAAUUUCAUUAUAUUUAAAACUAAACUACACACAUUCACACUUUAUCUAUCCAUAUUAUAAACACAAUUUAGUAUAUUUAAAAUUGAAAAAAAGUAUAUUAGUAUACUACAUACAUAUAUUUGGAUAUUUGGAAAUUUUUUCGGGUUUUGUGUUUGGAUCGAAUUUAGAUUUCGGGUCCGGUUUUGAUACGGAAUACUUAAUAUCUAAAUCCAAAUUCAAACUGGUUCGGGUCUAAAAAUUAAAUUCAAAUCCAAAUCCAAAAUAUCAUGUUCGUUAAAAUUCAUUCGGGUCGAGGUUGAGUAUCCAUUCGGAUCAGAUUUUUCUCUAACCAAUAAAUUUUGUAAAUGGUCUGCACAAACGCAGUUACCGGCCCAUUUCCGUAUGAAGCCCAUGAACAAUUAUUUGUUCUGUAUAUUUUUCAAUCAAACCAAACCCAAACGCUAACAGCAGAAUUAAUUAAAUUCCUUUCACAUGUGAUUUUGUAAUGGGCCUACAUUACAAAAAUACUGUAGGACUAUCCCACUAUCCCUGACCCUACAUGUUUUCUCAAUAAUUUUGAUAAAUAUAUUAAACAGAUAUUGAACUGUUACAAAAAUAUAACGUCUGUUUUUCAAAUAAGUAACGUACGGUUUCCGAGAGAUAAAGUUUGACUUAUAUUGACAAGAUAACGCUUGAAUUUAAUAUCUUUUUAAAAAAAACUAAUAUAAAAUCUAAAUUAAAUCUUCUUCUUAAAUGAGAAUCCAGAAAAAUCUCAAAAAUUCACAACUACAUCAAUAAAAUAUAAUAUCCAACAUUAAAUAAAAAUCUUUCAAUAUCCAUUUUUUGUGUAAUUUUCAACCAAUCUGCUCUAAUUAUUUCGUCACCUUUUAAAAUUUAAAAUUUUUAAAUACUCAAAACAAUUACCCUAACCGCCAACCACCUUAGAAUUAUAAAAUCUUAAAAUUAAAUGCUAAUAAGAUUAUCAGUGUUACUCACCUAAACCAAAACGGUUACAAAAUCUAACGGCAAUAUUAUAAACUUUUAAAAAUUAAAUUUUUAAUUAAUUUGGCAAGUGGUAUUCAUAUAGAACAAAACAGUUACAAAAUCAAACUGCAAAUUAUAAAAUCUUGAAAUUAUAUUUAAUACUGUAAGAUUUAGCAUGUGGGUCCCACACAAUCAGAAAAUAAUAUGAACACGAAAUCUUGCUCUAUUAAAUACACACACCUGUACAUACAUAUAUAAACACCCACCGCCUCUUCAACUUUCCAACAUCAAAACCCUCGUAAUUCAAUUGGGUUUCUGCUGUUAUUCUCCCCUCUCUCCUCUCUCUCGCCGAGAUUUUUAUAUGCAUACAUGCGUGGGUAUAUGUAUAUGUACACCCCCUUGGCAAAAACACAGACUAAACACUAAAAGAACCCACAGAAUCAUACCCAUGUUAUGGAUAUUAUCUGGGGUUUGUUGAAAUUGUUGUAGAAGGCCUAAAGAUUUGAUUUUGGAGUAGCCCAUUUGGUUCUUGAUUGAAUUUGGUUGUGUUUUGAGUGUGAAAAGGCAAGAUUUUAUGAUUCUUGAUGGAUGAAAGUGCUAUGUUUGGCUUGAAUGGAGAUAAUGANACAAAAUCUUGAAACGCUGUUUCUUGAUGGUAAUUCUUUUGAGGGGACGUUUCCACCGAAUAUAUUCAGGCUUUCUAAAUUAAAACACCUUUCCCUAUCUGCUAAUAAGUUUUCAGGUUCUGUGCCGGAUGACAAGUUGGUGUCGAAAGUGAGAAUGUUGCGGUAGGGGGUGAUUCGGAUGAGCUUGUUGUUGUUGGGGAGACAGGGCAGGUAUAAUGCUGCAUUUGUUGUUUUUGUCGAUAUUAUGUGUUGCUUUUGUGUUUUUUGUUAUGUUUUCAUAUGUUUAGUCCGUUAUUUUUUGGAGAAUUAAGUAGUCUGAUGAAUGUUGAUUAAUCCAAUAUAUAAGCUGGGCGUUUUUGUUUAAUGUGCUUAUUAUGAUUAUAUUAUUUUGUUUGAUAAUUGAAUUGUGUUUAGAUUGUUAAUCCAAAGCCAAGGUCAAAAGACGUAAGGUAACAUUGAUGUUAAUUGAUAAAACUAACCUCAGAAAGUAGAUUGUUUGAGGCAAUAGAGAGUGUGAGCCUCUAUCAUGACAAUUUAAGAAGUUUAUAGUUGAGUCGUUGACUGCAUUACUAUCAAAUGCAUAGGGGUAUGGAAAUGAAAACGGUUAAUAACAUAUGGGCAUUUAACCUAAUAAUUUGACAACUCGACACUCGGACUUGUAUAUGUAAGUUGUAGUAGAUGCAUACGGUGUUUUAGUAGUUUAUUUGUGUACAAAUUAUUUCAUUGGGUAUUAUUUGAAGUGAAUAGUAUAUUGGAUUCAUGCAUGUUCAGACUUUAAUAUCAACAUCUUUCAGAUUUUUCUGGAUAAUGGUUAAUAAAUUCUUUGUUUAAUAAUGACCGCUUCACUUAAUGUCAUUUCUCUUCUUUCUUUUUUUAAUUAUCGGAGUGGAUAUUUAUUUAAUUUUUUCUGAUUUAUGUUGCAACUUCCAAUAUAAUUUGUUUGGGUGCUAUACUUUGAUGGAUUAUAGGUCGCAUGUCGAGACUAUCCUCACCCACGAGAUCUUUGUGCUAAACUUCCCUUUACAUCUACUCCUCAUGAANUGCUAAACCAGGUAAUAAUAUUUUUUCUCAGAAUUAAUUAUUACACCUCUUUUCAGUGCCGAACGUUCUGCGUAUCUUAUUUGACCAUUGUCUGUUGCAGUGUCACUGUUAUGUUUGUGAUGCACCGGCUCCAUGUCUCAAAUGGGGAACUGGCAUAUCUGUCAGUGACCAUUGUCAUGCCACUGGGAAGGUGGAAUUCUGGAAUCAACAAAGCCUAAAUUUUUUGAAAAGGCUUUAAAAAAUUUGGAAUUUUUUAAAAAAAUGAAAAAUGUAAAAAUUAAAAAAAUCUAAAAAUAUCUGGAAAUUCAAAAAAUAUACCUAAAUUUUUGAAAUUAAAAAAUUUUAGAAUUUUUCCAAAUUUUCAGAUUUUUUCAAAGUUUUAAAUUUAUUUUCAAAAUUUUUAGAUUUUUUCGAUGUUUUUUCAUAUUUUUUAAAGUAUUUUAAAAAAAUUCAACUUUAUUAAAAAAUCGAUAUUUAUAUUUUUCUCAAAGUUUUUUUUAUUUUUUUUAAAGGAUUCUGUUAAAGGCAGCUGAUAUUUAACGUCGCAGUGACCUAUUUGCAAACUUUUAUUAGUUCAGUGAGUUGACUGCAACUUAAAUCGAGUUCUGUGAUCCGUUUGCAAACUUUUUAAGUUCAGUGACUUAACUGCAAGUUGGCCAUGAGUUCAAUGAUCUUUUCGCCUAUUAACCCGGACUAAAUCUACUAAAAUGAUAAUUAUGGACUCACAAUGUAUAUUUUUAAUUUAUAUGUUUAGUUAAAAAUUGGUUAAUUUGACUUUCGAAAAUCAAAAUGAACAUGUAAAAGGAGAUCGUGGUAAUAAGCCCCUCAACGUGUGUAAAUGUUAAGUAAAAGGGAUAUGUUUAUUUUUAUUUUAAAAAAGAAUUAAAAAUAUUAUUUUACAAAUUAAAUUAUAAAAUACUCUCUAUAUUCCAAAUUAGUGAGUUCGUUAAUUUUAGGCACACUAAUUUAGAUGAUUUAACUGCAUAGCUAUAUAAUUUAUUUUUAAUAUUUUUAAAAAACAAUUAAAAAUAAUUUCACGAAUAACAGAUGAUCAUUAUCUUUUAAAUCACAUGCUGAAAAUCGGAUGUUGCCCUUAUCAUUAUCACAUUUUUAAGUAGUAAUGUCUCGAAAAUUAAAUAUUAGAUCCAAUAUGAUUUCAAAUAUCACUUUAUAAUAUUCUUUUUUGUCAUAAUAUCACUUAAUAAUGUUAAAUGAGUGACGUUUAUAUUUUUUUUAAAGUGUUACACAAUGAGAAACUCUAAAAAAUAUAACGGUAGAUAAUGUAGUAUCAUAUCAAAACAUUACUUUAUCUAACCAGAACAUAAUAUUCCAAGGACAAUUUAACUUUUUUUAUAAUAUUCAGAACCUUCUUUUUUUUUUUUGAAUAAAAGACAAAUUUCAUUAAUACGAAAUGUCAUACAGAAAAAUCUCCAACAAUACAUCUCGAGGAGACAUAAACACUUUUUGACAAUUUAAAGAACAGGAUAAUUUAGCUACUAGAUGAGCUACUCCAUUCGCUUGUCGUUUAACAAAUGAAACUGAAUAACAUGGCUUCGAAUUUAAAAUAAGCUUGCAGGCAUUCAAGAUGUGACCAACUUCUAAAAGAUUUUCCUGAGAGUCAUGCAAGGCUUUAAUGGCCAGGAGAGAGUCUGAUUCAAUUUCCACCACCUCAUGAUUUAAUGAGCACAACCACGGGAGACCUUCAAAAGAGAAAAGGCCCCCAGUAACCUUUUUUUAGUGUCAAAUGCCCUAGUUGUCAUUAUAAUAAAAAAUGGCCCUCAUUAUCACUCUAUAACACUACUUAAACUCACGUUCUGUUUUUCCAUCAUAAACGGCACACGCAACAGUGUUUCCAGGUUUAAUACUUUUUAAAAAAAGUCUAACGUAACAUGAAGUUACGUUCACUGAUCUGAGUUUUUUUUUCAUAUUACUCACAUCUUGCUUAUUUCCAUAUAGAAAGAAAUUCACUCACUAGUCAACGUUAUAACAAAUUAUAAUAAUAUUUAACCAGUGCACCCCAAAGGGUAGCGGCUGCGGUUUCCUACGUUAAAAAGAAUAUUUAAGCGUUCAUACAUGGGGUUUAGAAAAAUUUGUUUAUAAUUGUAAAUUAAUUUUCUGAACGUUAGGGUUUAGGAUUGAGGGUGUAGGGCCGGUAGGCCCUACUCCCUCGAGCCUAAAACCUAAUUAAUGCGAGGCUGAAGGGCCGAAGGCCCUGAAGCCGAGAAAUCGGCAGAAUAAAUAAAUUUACAAUCGUUAACAUUUAGGGUUUAGAUUUGGGUUGCAGAAUGAUUAAUUCAUACUGUAAAUUAAUUGGCCGAACGUUAGGGUUUAGGAUUGAGGGUGUAGGGCCGGUAGGCCCUACUCCCUCGAGCCUAAACCCUAAUUAAUGCGAGGCUGAAGGGCCGAAGGCGAGAAACCGGCGGAAUAAAAAAAUUUACAAUCGUUAACAUUUAGGGUUUAGGUUUGGGUUGCCAUAAUGAUUAAUUCGUACUGUAAAUUAAUUGGCUAAACGCUAGGUUUUAGGAUUGAGGGUGUAGGGCCGGUAGACCCUCCUCCCUCGAGCCUAAACCCUAAUUAAUGCGAGGCUGAAGGGCCGAAGGCGAGAAACCGGCGGAAUAAAUAAAUUUACAAUCGUUAACAUUUAGGUUUAGGUUUGGGUUGCCAUAAUGAUUAAUUCGUACUGUAAAUUAAUUGGCCAAACGCUAGGUUUUAGGAUUGAGGGUGUAGGGCCGGUAGACCCUACUCCCUCGAGCCUAAACCAUAAUUAAUGCGAGGCUGAAGGACCUUCAAGCCCUAAACGCUCGAGCCUAAACCCUAAUUAACUCGAGGCUCUAGGGCCGUGAGACCCUAAAGCCGAGGAACCGGAAUUAAAAUAUAAAACAAAAUUUUAAAUGGCGUUUAAAGUGGCGACAGAAUUGUAAGUUGGGUGUUAAGCUAGCAAACGACAUUAAGUUACGUUUUAGAUUUUUAGGUUAUUAAAAAAUAAAAAAAAAAAUCAAGAACGUCACAUGAAGGCACGUUUUACUUCUGAUAUCAAGAACGUCACAUGAAGGCACGUUUUACUUCUGAUAAACACACCAGCACGUGACUAAAGUCUCGUUUUCAUAUAUAACAGCAAUUGAAGUGACGUUUUGCUUUUUUUAGUUUAAAAUAAUAACCCCAUAACGUGACCAGGAGUCACGUUUUAGUAUAAAUCCUAAACGCUGCUUCAGAACAUGUUUUGGAGUGACACCCGGGGCCAUUUUACGGGAUUGUGACUUUAAGGUCCAUAUUGUUACUGAUGGUGACUCACAGGGCCAACACCCCCUUCAAAAAUAGCGCUUGCUUCGGCUUCAAGGACAGUAGCCACCAUGGCUUUACAUAUUGUUUUACCCAUCACAAAAACUCCCUCGCUGUCACGCAGAACCAAACCCAACGAGACCGAGGCCUCACCGAAACGCACACCUGCAUCAACAUUUAGUUUGAGAACUCCAUCCGUCAGCUUUUUCCACUUCACUCGAGAAGAAGAUGCGGAACUAGAAGUACUACCAACCUGAACAACACGCUUAGCUUUAGCCUCCUUCCAGUCAGAAAUAAUCUUAGCGCUCCAAUCCAUAGCUAUAGCAGCUGUAACAACCUUGUGAUCCCAAACCUUCUUGUUUCGAAAAAACCAAAUUCCCCAAAGAACUCGAGCAAUAUUAAAAGUUUCAUGAUCAGGACCUGAUUCAAACCUAGCAAGUAACCAAGAGGGGGCAAACUCCACCAGAGACAAAUCAAAGACCAUACCUGAGUAUUGCCAACAUAACAUUGCAAACUGGCAGGUGAAAAAUAUGUGAAUAAGGUCUUCGUCACCAGAGUUACACAUGGGACAGUCAAGAGAAAGAUUUACUCCCUUAGAUUGUAAUCGACUUUUCACAGGCACAUUAUUCCUGCAAAAACGCCAUAAAAACACUUUGAUCUUAAGAGGAACCUCCAACUGCCAGAGUUUCUUCCACCCACUAGAUUGUGUAACAGUGCCAGUGCCAAUAUUUUGGGCAUGUCAAAACUGGUAACCUGUUUUCACAGAAUUUUGGCUGUUAGUAGUCUUUGACCAAGCUAGACGAUCCACGGUCGACCUACAGGGAACAUAAGUUUUUAAAAAUUAUGUAAUUCAUUCAAUUCCGUAUCAGACAAUACAUCUUAUCAUCGGUGAUAAUGAAAAUAGUGUAGAUGUUUGACCUAGUCCCUGUUUGACAACCAAUAUAAUAAGAAAUAAAUUCUUAUUUUUCUAAAAAAUAUAUUUUUGUAUAUAAAUGUUAAAGAGAUAUUUCUUAUUUGUUGUUUGAAAAAAGUAAAGACUUAUUUCAGAAUAAAAAAAAAUUAUUGUACAUUCUCUUUAUUUCUGAAAAUAAGUUUGGUCAAAUCAUCCAUAAUUCACGUAAUUCAAAAGCCCAUUAAUUUUUUUUUUCUUGCUAAUUGAUCAGCACACGCACACGUUUCCAACUUCCCGCAAAGGGUACAGGAGUACCACCGGAGUACCAUCACACCGACGCUUUGUUGGGCCCAAUAAUUGGCUGAAGUUGAACGGGGCUUUCUGCCUCCGCUGGACCCCAGUUGGGAGGACUCUUUCCAAGUCUUUCGGAGCCUCUUUCCCAUUGACUCCAACUUUCCAGGGUGUAUACAAAUUUUUUGAAAGAGGGUGUAUACAAAUUAUUCACGGCCAUCAAAUCAACCAGCGUAGCUGGUGAACAAAUAUUAUUGUUUAUUAUAAUUUUAUUUAAUUUAAAUGUGAUUAUAAGAACAUAAGAGGACGUUUGAAAGUGUGGGUCUUAUUUCAAACAGUAGAUUUAAAAAAAUAUGAUUUCAAUUGUUAUUUAAAAUUCUUAAAUUUAUAUUAUAUUAAAAUGUUCUUAUUCUAAUUAAUGAGUCACUAUUCGUAUUCUCAAGCAUGUUAGUUUGUUAAAAUUUAAAAUUUCAAAUGAAAUUAGGCUAAAAGACCAUAAUAUCAAAGCAAAAUCUCAUUAUCCAAUAUAUUGGUGGGCAAAAAUAUUAAACCUGGCUAUUCAUUAAUAUUGGUUCUUUAUUCAAAUUAUGUCAAAUUUAUAUAAAAUUUCGAAAAUUAUUUAUGAAUAAGAGUCGGCAUUCAUAUAUUUAUUAAGGAUACAAGUGAGAAAAUGUUAUUAAAUUAAUAUUUUUUUAAUAUACGUAAGUUUUUUAAAAUAAAUUUGUAGCGUGGGACGGGAGUAUUAGACUGAUUCUGGCUUGGAGUGAAUCAGCCCAUAAAGUUUACAGGGUAGAUGACCAUUCUUAAAUCUUAAAGAAUCUUACGGUGACAGCUAACUGAACGACUCGGUUUCAGAAGUGCUGAAAAGUUUCGACGUAAACUACAAUUUGCCUAGCAUGUAAUUUCCAUGCAUUUUCUCGUUACUAGUGACAGAUAACUUUUUUGAUAUUUAUAUAUUUUUAAUUAUAAUAAAGAUACUAGUGAUUAUGGUUAGCUUUUGGAGUACUUUCGGAGUACUUGGAAAUUUUCUUUUCGAGAAAGACGAGAGUACCUAUUUCAAUUUUUUACCAAAAAUUAUAAUUGAAAACAACGGACUUUUAUACUUAUCAUAACAAUUUUUAACAUCUUGUUUAGAAAUAACCUGUUGUUGUAUUAUGCAAAAGUAAUAUCACUAGUUUCUAUAUUCGUAUUCUAAUGAUAAUAAAAACAUCUCUAAUUCAUUAAAACUCUUACAUAGAAAAUGAUAAAAAAAAAAAAGAAGAUAUAAAAUAAUUUAUUAAAAAUAUAUCAAAGNGAAGAUAUAAAAUAAUUUAUUAAAAAUAUAUCAAAGUUUUUGCACUCGGUUAUAAUUAUUGUGUAAUUUCUUUUUUCAAUUCCAAGAUAUUGUUAUAAGAAAAUUUUACAUCAUAUAUAUAUUACAAAAAAAAUUAAUGUAUUCUAUAUAUAUAUAUAUAUAUAUAUAUAUAUAUAUAUAUAUAUAUAUAUAUAUAUAUAUAUACAAUAAANNNNNNNNNNNNNNNNNNNNNNNNNNNNNNNNNNNNNNNNNNNNNNNNNNNNNNNNNNNNNNNNNNNNNNNNNNNNNNNNNNNNNNNNNNNNNNNNNNNNNNNNNNNNNNNNNNNNNNNNNNNNNNNNNNNNNNNNNNNNNNNNNNNNNNNNNNNNNNNNNNNNNNNNNNNNNNNNNNNNNNNNNNNNNNNNNNNNNNNNNNNNNNNNNNNNNNNNNNNNNNNNNNNNNNNNNNNNNNNNNNNNNNNNNNNNNNNNNNNNNNNNNNNNNNNNNNNNNNNNNNNNNNNNNNNNNNNNNNNNNNNNNNNNNNNNNNNNNNNNNNNNNNNNNNNNNNNNNNNNNNNNNNNNNNNNNNNNNNNNNNNNNNNNNNNNNNNNNNNNNNNNNNNNNNNNNNNNNNNNNNNNNNNNNNNNNNNNNNNNNNNNNNNNNNNNNNNNNNNNNNNNNNNNNNNNNNNNNNNNNNNNNNNNNNNNNNNNNNNNNNNNNNNNNNNNNNNNNNNNNNNNNNNNNNNNNNNNNNNNNNNNNNNNNNNNNNNNNNNNNNNNNNNNNNNNNNNNNNNNNNNNNNNNNNNNNNNNNNNNNNNNNNNNNNNNNNNNNNNNNNNNNNNNNNNNNNNNNNNNNNNNNNNNNNNNNNNNNNNNNNNNNNNNNNNNNNNNNNNNNNNNNNNNNNNNNNNNNNNNNNNNNNNNNNNNNNNNNNNNNNNNNNNNNNNNNNNNNNNNNNNNNNNNNNNNNNNNNNNNNNNNNNNNNNNNNNNNNNNNNNNNNNNNNNNNNNNNNNNNNNNNNNNNNNNNNNNNNNNNNNNNNNNNNNNNNNNNNNNNNNNNNNNNNNNNNNNNNNNNNNNNNNNNNNNNNNNNNNNNNNNNNNNNNNNNNNNNNNNNNNNNNNNNNNNNNNNNNNNNNNNNNNNNNNNNNNNNNNNNNNNNNNNNNNNNNNNNNNNNNNNNNNNNNNNNNNNNNNNNNNNNNNNNNNNNNNNNNNNNNNNNNNNNNNNNNNNNNNNNNNNNNNNNNNNNNNNNNNNNNNNNNNNNNNNNNNNNNNNNNNNNNNNNNNNNNNNNNNNNNNNNNNNNNNNNNNNNNNNNNNNNNNNNNNNNNNNNNNNNNNNNNNNNNNNNNNNNNNNNNNNNNNNNNNNNNNNNNNNNNNNNNNNNNNNNNNNNNNNNNNNNNNNNNNNNNNNNNNNNNNNNNNNNNNNNNNNNNNNNNNNNNNNNNNNNNNNNNNNNNNNNNNNNNNNNNNNNNNNNNNNNNNNNNNNNNNNNNNNNNNNNNNNNNNNNNNNNNNNNNNNNNNNNNNNNNNNNNNNNNNNNNNNNNNNNNNNNNNNNNNNNNNNNNNNNNNNNNNNNNNNNNNNNNNNNNNNNNNNNNNNNNNNNNNNNNNNNNNNNNNNNNNNNNNNNNNNNNNNNNNNNNNNNNNNNNNNNNNNNNNNNNNNNNNNNNNNNNNNNNNNNNNNNNNNNNNNNNNNNNNNNNNNNNNNNNNNNNNNNNNNNNNNNNNNNNNNNNNNNNNNNNNNNNNNNNNNNNNNNNNNNNNNNNNNNNNNNNNNNNNNNNNNNNNNNNNNNNNNNNNNNNNNNNNNNNNNNNNNNNNNNNNNNNNNNNNNNNNNNNNNNNNNNNNNNNNNNNNNNNNNNNNNNNNNNNNNNNNNNNNNNNNNNNNNNNNNNNNNNNNNNNNNNNNNNNNNNNNNNNNNNNNNNNNNNNNNNNNNNNNNNNNNNNNNNNNNNNNNNNNNNNNNNNNNNNNNNNNNNNNNNNNNNNNNNNNNNNNNNNNNNNNNNNNNNNNNNNNNNNNNNNNNNNNNNNNNNNNNNNNNNNNNNNNNNNNNNNNNNNNNNNNNNNNNNNNNNNNNNNNNNNNNNNNNNNNNNNNNNNNNNNNNNNNNNNNNNNNNNNNNNNNNNNNNNNNNNNNNNNNNNNNNNNNNNNNNNNNNNNNNNNNNNNNNNNNNNNNNNNNNNNNNNNNNNNNNNNNNNNNNNNNNNNNNNNNNNNNNNNNNNNNNNNNNNNNNNNNNNNNNNNNNNNNNNNNNNNNNNNNNNNNNNNNNNNNNNNNNNNNNNNNNNNNNNNNNNNNNNNNNNNNNNNNNNNNNNNNNNNNNNNNNNNNNNNNNNNNNNNNNNNNNNNNNNNNNNNNNNNNNNNNNNNNNNNNNNNNNNNNNNNNNNNNNNNNNNNNNNNNNNNNNNNNNNNNNNNNNNNNNNNNNNNNNNNNNNNNNNNNNNNNNNNNNNNNNNNNNNNNNNNNNNNNNNNNNNNNNNNNNNNNNNNNNNNNNNNNNNNNNNNNNNNNNNNNNNNNNNNNNNNNNNNNNNNNNNNNNNNNNNNNNNNNNNNNNNNNNNNNNNNNNNNNNNNNNNNNNNNNNNNNNNNNNNNNNNNNNNNNNNNNNNNNNNNNNNNNNNNNNNNNNNNNNNNNNNNNNNNNNNNNNNNNNNNNNNNNNNNNNNNNNNNNNNNNNNNNNNNNNNNNNNNNNNNNNNNNNNNNNNNNNNNNNNNNNNNNNNNNNNNNNNNNNNNNNNNNNNNNNNNNNNNNNNNNNNNNNNNNNNNNNNNNNNNNNNNNNNNNNNNNNNNNNNNNNNNNNNNNNNNNNNNNNNNNNNNNNNNNNNNNNNNNNNNNNNNNNNNNNNNNNNNNNNNNNNNNNNNNNNNNNNNNNNNNNNNNNNNNNNNNNNNNNNNNNNNNNNNNNNNNNNNNNNNNNNNNNNNNNNNNNNNNNNNNNNNNNNNNNNNNNNNNNNNNNNNNNNNNNNNNNNNNNNNNNNNNNNNNNNNNNNNNNNNNNNNNNNNNNNNNNNNNAAUCAUCUGACAGGGCCUAUCCCCCAAAAAGGACAGUUCAGCACAUUCAACAAGGAUUCUUACCUAGGUAACUUUGCCUUGUGUGGAUUACCUUUAACUAAUAACUGUACACACACUGUGUCACCACCACAAGAAGGCGGAACUGGUGACAAUGAUGCCUAUGAUGAACCCGAUUGGGAAGUGAUCCUCAUGGGAUAUGGAUGUGGACUAAUAUGCGGAUUGUCCACUGGGUACGUUGUCUUCACAUUCAGAAAGCCUCAGUGGUUUAUGAGAUACACUGAAAGCGUGCAACAGAAGUUGAUGAGAUGAUGCAUGUUGAGUACCGUUCAAUCAUGAAGCACAACUGGAAACAAUGUUAUCUUAGGAAAACAUGUGUUCUGAACCAGUAGUGUUUGCACAAAAUUUGUGGUGCUAUGUAAUACUUAUAUAAUUGUACGUAUGAUUAUUGAUUAGUCGUUGAGAAAAUGCAUUUUAUUUCAGUGUCAAUGAUAAUCUACAUGUUUUGGAUACUUCCAGCUUCUCAUACUAAUAUAGGAACCACUUGAAAAAUUUUGCGAUGCAAAGCAGGGACUCAUGAGUAUUUUCAUAUGUGUAUUAGUUUUGAAGAUAAAAGUUGUAUGGACAAUUGUGUUGAUAAUUUGCGCAAUGAUAACUGGGAUAGGUCAUCUUCUCUCCCAAGUCUUGGAUGGACUCUUUCCAAGUCUUCUGAGAACCCAUCAGCUCAGAUUAGUCCAUACAAUGUCAAGGGUCCUAUGAUAUGGUCUACUAACAGCCCAGUGUCGGUAAUAAAUCCAAUUGCAUAUAACCUAUUCAAAAUCAAUCCCCUAUAAACAAUCAUCUCUAAAAACUAUUCACAUAAAAUAAAAUUUUAAAAAUAUAAAAUAUCUAGUUGUUUUCAAUAUAUAAUUUUCCACAGUAGAUAACAAAAUAUCUUUAUCAAAUUAUAUUAUUUAUGGGUUCAAUAUUUAAGCUAUAAUUCCAAUAACACGGCAAGCAUGCAUGCAGCAUAUAAAUAGAAGUGUGCAGUAUGUAUGGUAUUCAUAACCCAGUUGAGGAGAAACAUGGCACACUUUGUAAAGCCUUCUCACCUUCUUCUCUUUGUUUUCUUUCUCUCAUCACUUGAGUCCAUUCUUGCAACAAGACGAGAGGGAGAGGGAGAAGCUCUUGUGAAAUGGAAGAAUAGCCUAGCCCCUUCUUCUUUUCUCGACUCUUGGUCACUCACCAAUCUCGAUAAUCUUUGUAACUGGACUGGCAUUACUUGUAACUCUGCAGGUUCAGUCACUGAGAUUAACCUUUUCGGAAAAAAACUUGAUGGAAGGCUGUCCGAGUUUGGUUUCACUUCAUUUCCAAAUCUCAACAAUCUCACCCUUGCAGAUAACUUCUUCUUGGGUCCAAUACCACCAGCCAUUGAGAAUUUAACACAGCUUCAGUAUCUUGAUUUAAGCUUUAAUUAUCUCGAUGGUCCCAUUCCGUUCCAGGUUAGCCAUCUUCAAAGGUUGCUUGUCUUAAACGUGUCACAGAAUGCAUUGCAUUCUCCAAAUUGGUCCAAUUUCUCAAACAGAUGAAAUUAUGCAACUGAAAUUGAUGUAGUCUUAAAGAAUUCUCAGGCACUUAAACAUGUUUCAAAGAAUUCUCAGGCACUUAAACAUUUGGACGGGUUCUUUGGAAGCCAAGAUGCCCAGGUUAUCAUGGCCAUGCACAAAAUGCAGUAUAAAAAAAAAAUGAAUACCUUAAGAGAGAUUGCUCUGGGUCUCCCCAAGCCUUCUAGACUCAUUCCAAGUCUUCUGAGGACCACUGCCUCGCGCUUUCAAAGAUGUGAUGGUAGCUCGGGAGUGAUAUAAAUUAUUUUCGGGACACUAAUAAUAAAUAAUCAGAUCAAAUUAAUCAUCAAUAAUAAAUUGAGGAUACGAAAUCAAAAUUAAUCCUAAAUUUUGAUAAUAUAUAAAAAUUACUUUACGUACACUGUUUGCACGCAUUUUGAGCUCGUAUAAAGUAUAGUUUCAUAACUUUUUUUAAAAAAUUUCUUUUUUGAUAAAAGUUUAAACGUCAAACUUUUAUUCAGAGAAAAAAAAUUAAAAAAUAUAUCACGGAACUAUACUUUAAAUUAGUAUGGAAAAACGUGCCAAAAUUAACGUAAAGAAAUGAGGGGAACAAAGAUAGUAUAAUUAUAUUAUAAAUUAAAAUUGAAAUAACUUACGUGGCACUGAAAUUGAUAAAGGCAAUAUGGUUAAAUUGAUGAAAAGUCAAAGUCCUCUAAUAAAUCCAUAAAGAAUAUAAUAAUCAAAACGACGAAAAUUAUAAAUGAAAAAUCAAAAUCAUCCUAAUAAGUACACAAAAAGAAUAUGAUCGUUAGUGUAUUGGAAUAGUGUGCACACACUUAUAUAUCAAAAUUUGUGGUCCAAAAGCUAUGGCACAAUAUUCUAAAUACACCACAUUAAGUAAUAGUUCAAAAAUAUUCAAUAUAUAAUUGUUUUCAUUCAUAAUUUUGUUAUUAUUUUAAAAAAUAAUUUGGUUGCUGUUAACCUAUAUUUCAAUUAUAUAAUUAUAUUAUUUUUUAUUUUAUGUAUCUAGAAACAAUAUUUUUGUAAUAUUUAUUACAUUAAUUAUAUUAAAAGAUAUAAUUUGUUAAAAACUUGAAUAAAAUUAAGAGGAUAACUUUAUGUCUCUCCAAGUUCACAGCACGGGUGAGCAUUGGGUUCGGAUAUCCAUAUACCGAAUGGAUAUAUCAAAUCAAAACUAAUCAUGAAUUAUGAUAAUAAUUAAAUAAAUUAUAAUUAAGCUAUAUGAAUCAACUCCAAAUGACAACAACAGCACCAAACCUUAGUUACUUUAAUAUUGGUAAAUAAAUAUAAUAUAAUAAUCAAAUUGAUGAAAAAUCACAUCAUCUAAUAAAUUCACAAAAAAUAUAUGAUCAUUAGUAUAUUAUAUUAGUAUCCACACACUUAUAUUUCAAAAUCUAUCCUCCAAAAUUAUCAUCUCUGUAAGCUAGCCACAUAAAAUAAAAAAUUUAAAGAUAUUAGAUAUUUAGUUAUUUUCAUUAUAUAAUUUUUCCACACGAAAUAACAAAAUAUCUUUAUCAAAUUAUUAUUUAUGAGUUAAAUAUUCAAGUUAUAAAUCCAGUAUUCAGCGUAUAAAUAGAAGUGUGCAGUAUGAUAUCAGAUUCACAUAACCCAGUUGAUGAGGAGAAACAUGGCAUACUCUGCAAAGCCUUCUCACCUUCUUCUCUUUGUUUUCUUUCUCUCAUCACUUGAAUCCAUUCUUGCAACAACACGAGAGGGAGAAGCUCUUGUGAAAUGGAAGAAUAGCCUAGCCCCUUCUUCUUUUCUCGAUUCUUGGUCCCUCACCAAUCUCGAAAAUCUUUGUAACUGGACUGGCAUUACUUGUAACUCUGCAGGUUCAGUCUCUGAGAUUAACCUCUGUGAGAAACAACUUGAUGGAAUGCUGUCCGACUUCGGUUUCACUUCAUUUCCAAAUCUCAAGAAUCUCACCCUCGCAUACAACUUCUUCUCGGGUCCAAUACCACCAGCCAUUCAGAACUUAACAAGGCUUCAAUGCCUUGAUUUAAGCUUUAAUUAUCUCAAUGGUCCUAUUCCGUUCCAGGUGAGCCAUCUUCAGAGCUUGCUCAUCUUGAACCUGUCACAGAAUGCAUUGCAAACUCCAAAUUGGUCCCAUUUCUCUCCCAUGCCUUUCUUGCGCAUCCUCAACCUCAGUUACAAUCCUCUUGCGUCGAAAUUCCCAGAUUUUAUAUCCAGUUCUCAUAGCCUGACUCACCUUAGCCUUAAUUAUAACGAGUUUACUGGUGAUUUAGUACGUGAAUCAGUAUUUGCCGAUCUGCAUAAUCUUGAAAAGCUCAGUCUUGUUGGCAAUUCUUUCGAGGGGCCAUUUCCGCCGGAUAUAUUCAGGCUUUCCAAAUUAAAACAUCUUAGCAUGUCAGAUAACAAACUUUCAGGUUCAAUUCCCAAUGACAUAAGGUUGCUUUGUGAUCUUGAAUACCUAUAUUUAGCCAACAAUUCCUUUGAAGGACCGCUUCCACCAAAUAUAUUCAAGUUUUCAAAAUUAAAACAUCUUGUUCUUUGGGGUAAUAAGUUUUCUGGUUCUGUUUCCAAUGAUAUAGGUUUGCUUUCUGAGCUUGAAACUCUCGAUCUUAGCUCUAAUUUUUUUGAGGGGCCGCUUCCGCCAAAUGUAUUCAAGCUCUCCAAACUAAAAGUUCUCACCCUGUCAAUUAACAAAUUUUUAGGUUCAAUUCCCAAUGACAUAAGGUUACUUUGUGAUCUUGAAUACCUAUAUUUAGGCAACAAUUCCUUUGAAGGACCGCUUCCACCAGGUAUAUUCAAGCUUUCAAAAUUAAAACAUCUUUUUCUUUGGGGUAAUAAGUUUUCAGGUUCUGUUUUCAAUGAUAUAUGUUUGCUUUCUGAGCUUGAAACCCUCGAUCUUAACUCUAAUUUUUUUGAGGGGCCGCUUCCGCCAAAUGUAUUCAAGCUCUCCAAACUAAAGAUUCUUUCCCUUUAUGUGAACAACUUUUCAGGUUUUAUUUCUAAGGAUAUAGGUUGGCUUUUUGAACUUGAAACCCUCUAUCUUGGCUCUAAUUUUUUUGAGGGGCCGCUUCCCCCACAUGUAUUUAGGCUCUCCAAAUUAAGAGAUUUGGACCUCUCAGACAAUAGAAAUUUAUUUGAAGGAAGUAUUCCUAUUGGACUGGGACUCUUGACUAACCUCAGGUACUUAGAUCUACAUUUCAGUAAUCUCAGUGGCUAUAUUCCAUCUGACAUUGGAAACCUGAAGCUACUAGUACUUCUUGAUCUCAGUUCUAAUAAAUUGACUGGACCGCUUUCAAAGAUCAUUUCUAAUCUCACAAAUCUUAUAUUUCUUGAUGUAAGUGAUAAUAGUCUUAGUGGAAAUAUUCAGAGUGACUUGUGGAAAUAUAACGAUCAUCCAACUUUGGAAUACAUCGAUUUAAGUGGGAACCAUUUUACGGGUAUAGUUUUUCUCUAUAGAUCUUUUCUUUUUCUCAUAUGUAACUAAGCUAGUAAUCUGAUUAUUGCAGUUUCACCAAAGUUUCAACAAUCUUGACAGGUGAGCUUCCAACAACAAUUUGCAAUGUCACUUCCCUUUUGGUUCUUGAUUUGUCAAAUAAUGAAUUAAGUGGUGCACUUCCAAACUGUUUCGGGAAUCUUGCUGAUAGAUUGCUUUUCAUUAAUCUUGCUAAUAAUCAGUUUCGAGGAACAAUACCAACUACUUUCUCCAGGAGUUGUCAGCUGACAUAUCUAAACAUGGAUAAUAAUGAGUUUGAAGGAUUGUUGCGCCCAUCUUUGGCGAACUGUAAGCACUUGAAAAUUCUUGAUAUUGGCAAUAAUAAAAUAGGUGGUACAUUUCCGUCAUGGCUUUAUGCACUUGGAGAGCUAGAAGUCCUUGUCUUGCGAUCAAAUAAACUCUAUGGUACAAUAAGUGGGAGGAGCAUAGAAAAUCCCUUCCCCAAGUUGCGGAUUGUGGAUCUGUCCAACAAUCAAUUCACUGGCCAUUUGCCAAUUCAAUACUUUAAGAAUAUGAAAUCAACUGAUAAUUUGUAUAGUUAUCAGAAUGACACAGGAGUUUUUUCUUUCCAUUAUGAAGCAUCUGUAUCAUUAACUGUGAAGGGAACAGAGUAUGAAGUGAAAAAUAUCCUUCAUAUUUACACAACCAUUGAUCUGUCCUGCAACAAGUUUCAAGGAGAAAUUCCUGACGUUAUUGGAGAGCUUAGAUGGCUUGCAUUGCUGAACUUAUCUCAUAAUAGUCUAACAGGACAUAUCCCAUCAUUGCUGAGAAAUAUGAAAGGACUCCAAUCUUUAGAUUUGUCUUCAAAUCAACUGACAGGGGCUAUUCCACCUCAGUUAACUGCAUUGACAUUUCUAGAGGUCUUGAACCUCUCGGGAAACCAUCUUAGUGGAGAGAUUCCUCAGAAAGGACAGUUCAGCACAUUCAACAAUGAUUCUUAUCUAGGAAACUCCGCGUUAUGUGGAUCACCUUUGACAAAGAAAUGUGUAAACACAGCAUCACCUCCACAGGAAGUCGGAAAUGGUGAUGAAGAUGAUGCUGGCGAUGAAUGGACAUGGGAAGCAAUCGUGAUGGGAUAUGGAUGUGGACUGAUAUGUGGAUUGUCGUCUGCGUACAUUGUUCUCAGACUAGGAAGGCCUUGGUGGUUUGUGAGAUAUAUCGAAGUACUGCAACUGAAGUUGAUGAAAAGAUAUGCAUGAAGAAAGGUACUGGUAGAUCAAGAUGAACUUGAAAGUUAUUUUCGUGGAUGACAUUUGUGAACCAGUACUGUACUAGCUGCUUAAGUAUUUGGUAUUAUGUAAUAAUCCGUUUGGUCGGGACUCAUAAUGAUAUUUCUUGCUUCAGGGGUAUUAAUAUAAACCUUGGUAUUGUGUACUAGCUGUCUGUUUGGUCGUGACUCAUAAUCUUUCAUGUAUUAACAUAAGGUUUUAAUACAUCCCGUACCAGGUUAGCCAUCUUCAGAUAUUACACAUCUUACUGCUGUCGCAUAAUGAAUUGCAAUCUCCAAAUUGGUCCAACUUCUCUUCCAUGCCCUUUUUGCGCAUCCUCGGCCUUGGCAGCAAUAAUCUGGUGUCAAAAUUCCCAGAAUUUAUAUCUGACUCUCAUAGCCUCACUUUCCUUGACCUUUCUUUUAACAAGUUUACAGGUGAUCUUGUGCUUGAAUCAAUUUUUACCGAUCUACAUAAUCUUGAAAACCUCCAUCUUGCUGGAAAUUCCUUUGAGGGGCCGAUUCCACCUAGAGUAUUUAAGCUUUCCAAUUUAAAAGUUCUUGAACUCACGGGUAAUAACUUUUCUCGUUCUAUUUCCAACGAUAUAGGUUUGCUUUCUGAACUUGAGACCCUCUAUCUUGACUUCAAUUUUUUUGAUGGACCAAUUCCCCCAAAUAUAUUCAACCUUUCCCAAUUAAAAAUUCUUGAACUAACAGAAAAUAACUUUUCUGGUCCUGUUUCCAAUGAUAUAAGUUUGCUUUCUGAGCUUGAAAACCUCAAUCUUGCCUUAAAUUCUUCUGAUGGGCCUUUUCCAUCAAAGAUAUUCAACCUAACCAAAUUGAGACAUCUAAAUCUCUAUGGCAAUAAGAAUUUAUUUAAAGGAAGUAUCCCACUGGAUAUCAGAAACCUGAAGCUCCUGGAAUCUAUUAAUCUCGGUUCUAAUCAAUUGGUUGGACCACUUUCAAUGCUCAUUUCUAAUCUCACUAAUCUUAAGAUGGUUGGGCUAAGCGAUAAUAGGUUUUUUGGCAAAAUUCCUAGUGACUUCUUGAAAAACUUGCCAUCCUUACACGUCAUUGAUCUUUCAAAUAAUAAUUUGUCCGGAAAUAUUCCCAGGGAGUAUAACGUGCAUCCAAUUUUAGAAUACAUCAAUUUAAGUGGAAACCAUCUUACAGGUUUACUUCUCCCUCAAUAUAUUUUAUUUUCCUUUUGUAUGUUACAUUGAUUACACUUUUACCGAAGCUCAAACAAUUUUAACAGGUGAGAUCCCAGCAACAAUUUGCAAUGCUACAAACCUUUAUAUUCUGGUUCUGUCAGAUAAUGGAUUAAGUGGUGCCCUUCCGCAUUGUUUGGGAAAUCUUGCAGAUAAAAUGCAUUGCAUUGAUCUCGCUAAUAAUCAGUUCCGAGGACCAAUACCAACAACCUUCUCAGAGAGUUGCCAGUUAAGAUAUCUAAACAUGUAUGACAAUCAGUUAGAAGGACUUUUGCCCCGAUCUUUGUCAAACUGUAAGCACUUGAAAAUUCUUGACAUCGGGAACAACAAAAUGGGCGGUACAUUUCCUUCAUGGCUAUUCACUCUCAGAGAGCUAGAAGUCCUAGUCUUGCAAUCAAAUAAACUGUAUGGUCCAGUAAGUGGAAGGAGCACACAUCACAUCCAUUCCCCAAGUUGCGGAUUCUAGAUCUCUCCAACAACCAAUUCACGGGCUAUUUGCCAAUUCAAUACUCUUUAAGAAUAUGAAACCAGCUGCUGAUAACAUUUGUCUUAGGAUGACACAUGUUCUAAACUAUGACAAUAGUAUGCAAUCUCGUUUAAUACUUUCAUAUUAUGAACUAGUUCUGUUGAAUAAAUAAAUAUUAUUAAUUAAUCAAUCAUGUGCGCUCGAGUUUCCCUGGCCAGAUGCCCAGAUUAUUAGAGCAUCUCCAGCAGAGUCUUAACCGGUUCUCUAAAUAUAUAAUAAAAUAUGUAUCUUUUAAGGGAUUACUACAUUUUAGUGAAUGAGAACUCCAACAACAUUCCCUAUUUACAUUCUCUAUUAUUAUUAUAAUAUUAUAUUCAACUUGUAAUAAGAGAGAGAAAGUUUGGAAAGAGUAAAAGUGAGAAAAAAUAAGUGAAUAUUUUAUUCUUCAGAAUAAUAUAAGGAAAGAAAAUGCCAAAACAAUUAACUAUAAUCUACGCAAUAAUUUUUUAUAUUGAUUAGACGUUAUCUUUAUCAAUAUUUAGUCAGAUAUUCGGAUAUAUAUCAUUCCCUUUGUUUUUAUACCAUCUUUUUUUUGACUUUCGGGCCAAAUCACUACGUGGGUUGACUGGAUAGUAGAAAUUAAUAUUUUUGUCUGUUUUUUAAAAUAAAAAUCUGUAUUUUUAUUUUGAUUUCGAAGAAUAUAAUCCAUAAGGUAAAUAAUUUUUAANNNNNNNNNNNNNNNNNNNNNNNNNNNNNNNNNNNNNNNNNNNNNNNNNNNNNNNNNNNNNNNNNNNNNNNNNNNNNNNNNNNNNNNNNNNNNNNNNNNNNNNNNNNNNNNNNNNNNNNNNNNNNNNNNNNNNNNNNNNNNNNNNNNNNNNNNNNNNNNNNNNNNNNNNNNNNNNNNNNNNNNNNNNNNNNNNNNNNNNNNNNNNNNNNNNNNNNNNNNNNNNNNNNNNNNNNNNNNNNNNNNNNNNNNNNNNNNNNNNNNNNNNNNNNNNNNNNNNNNNNNNNNNNNNNNNNNNNNNNNNNNNNNNNNNNNNNNNNNNNNNNNNNNNNNNNNNNNNNNNNNNNNNNNNNNNNNNNNNNNNNNNNNNNNNNNNNNNNNNNNNNNNNNNNNNNNNNNNNNNNNNNNNNNNNNNNNNNNNNNNNNNNNNNNNNNNNNNNNNNNNNNNNNNNNNNNNNNNNNNNNNNNNNNNNNNNNNNNNNNNNNNNNNNNNNNNNNNNNNNNNNNNNNNNNNNNNNNNNNNNNNNNNNNNNNNNNNNNNNNNNNNNNNNNNNNNNNNNNNNNNNNNNNNNNNNNNNNNNNNNNNNNNNNNNNNNNNNNNNNNNNNNNNNNNNNNNNNNNNNNNNNNNNNNNNNNNNNNNNNNNNNNNNNNNNNNNNNNNNNNNNNNNNNNNNNNNNNNNNNNNNNNNNNNNNNNNNNNNNNNNNNNNNNNNNNNNNNNNNNNNNNNNNNNNNNNNNNNNNNNNNNNNNNNNNNNNNNNNNNNNNNNNNNNNNNNNNNNNNNNNNNNNNNNNNNNNNNNNNNNNNNNNNNNNNNNNNNNNNNNNNNNNNNNNNNNNNNNNNNNNNNNNNNNNNNNNNNNNNNNNNNNNNNNNNNNNNNNNNNNNNNNNNNNNNNNNNNNNNNNNNNNNNNNNNNNNNNNNNNNNNNNNNNNNNNNNNNNNNNNNNNNNNNNNNNNNNNNNNNNNNNNNNNNNNNNNNNNNNNNNNNNNNNNNNNNNNNNNNNNNNNNNNNNNNNNNNNNNNNNNNNNNNNNNNNNNNNNNNNNNNNNNNNNNNNNNNNNNNNNNNNNNNNNNNNNNNNNNNNNNNNNNNNNNNNNNNNNNNNNNNNNNNNNNNNNNNNNNNNNNNNNNNNNNNNNNNNNNNNNNNNNNNNNNNNNNNNNNNNNNNNNNNNNNNNNNNNNNNNNNNNNNNNNNNNNNNNNNNNNNNNNNNNNNNNNNNNNNNNNNNNNNNNNNNNNNNNNNNNNNNNNNNNNNNNNNNNNNNNNNNNNNNNNNNNNNNNNNNNNNNNNNNNNNNNNNNNNNNNNNNNNNNNNNNNNNNNNNNNNNNNNNNNNNNNNNNNNNNNNNNNNNNNNNNNNNNNNNNNNNNNNNNNNNNNNNNNNNNNNNNNNNNNNNNNNNNNNNNNNNNNNNNNNNNNNNNNNNNNNNNNNNNNNNNNNNNNNNNNNNNNNNNNNNNNNNNNNNNNNNNNNNNNNNNNNNNNNNNNNNNNNNNNNNNNNNNNNNNNNNNNNNNNNNNNNNNNNNNNNNNNNNNNNNNNNNNNNNNNNNNNNNNNNNNNNNNNNNNNNNNNNNNNNNNNNNNNNNNNNNNNNNNNNNNNNNNNNNNNNNNNNNNNNNNNNNNNNNNNNNNNNNNNNNNNNNNNNNNNNNNNNNNNNNNNNNNNNNNNNNNNNNNNNNNNNNNNNNNNNNNNNNNNNNNNNNNNNNNNNNNNNNNNNNNNNNNNNNNNNNNNNNNNNNNNNNNNNNNNNNNNNNNNNNNNNNNNNNNNNNNNNNNNNNNNNNNNNNNNNNNNNNNNNNNNNNNNNNNNNNNNNNNNNNNNNNNNNNNNNNNNNNNNNNNNNNNNNNNNNNNNNNNNNNNNNNNNNNNNNNNNNNNNNNNNNNNNNNNNNNNNNNNNNNNNNNNNNNNNNNNNNNNNNNNNNNNNNNNNNNNNNNNNNNNNNNNNNNNNNNNNNNNNNNNNNNNNNNNNNNNNNNNNNNNNNNNNNNNNNNNNNNNNNNNNNNNNNNNNNNNNNNNNNNNNNNNNNNNNNNNNNNNNNNNNNNNNNNNNNNNNNNNNNNNNNNNNNNNNNNNNNNNNNNNNNNNNNNNNNNNNNNNNNNNNNNNNNNNNNNNNNNNNNNNNNNNNNNNNNNNNNNNNNNNNNNNNNNNNNNNNNNNNNNNNNNNNNNNNNNNNNNNNNNNNNNNNNAUAUACACUUCCAUUUCCACUUUCCAGUAUUAAGUUUAGAAUUAAGAUCUUAACAACAUAGCAAUCAUUUAAACCUCGAAGAAAAUUGUGCACAUUAACAAGACCAAAGAGAAAACAGAUAGCAUAAAAUUGUGUAACACGUAUAAUUUAAAUCCACUUCUCAGUAUACUCCACAUUCAAGGUGAUCUAACUGCUACAAUAUUCUAAUUUUCACAGCUACGACACUGAACAAUAUAAGAACCAGUUUACUGUAAGUUUACUGAACAUAUAUAUACGACAUUGAACAAUAUAAAAUAGCUAUCCUUUGUAAGACCAAAAACAAAGGACACUAGCUAGCUAAUUCAAUAUACAAAACCACUCCAAUCAGUUUAUGAUAAGCAACUACAAACAUACAAAUACAUAUAAACAUACAAAUACAUAUAAACAUACUAUCUCAUUUUCCAAAAACCACAACUACAAACUAUCUCAUUUUCCAAAAACACACACUGAAAUACAUAUAUACAUACACAUACAACCACAAGGAUACCCAAACUCAAGUAAUAAAUAAGAAAUUACCUCCUCCAACUCGAAGAGAGCUUGAAUAGACUUGAACAGAGCUUGAACAGACUCCGAGCUCGAACUCCCUACAAACUCGAACUGAAGUACGAGCACCCACUAAACCCACAAACUCCACACUCGAACUGAACUCUGAGAUCUGUUGAAAAAACGAAUUAAAGAAGCAAAUGAGUAUUGUAAUCGAACAAACAUCAGUUUAUUAGGUACAAAUCAACCUUUAUCGCACAAAUUUAAGGAUGAAAUCGGCCGAAUUGGAACCUAGGGUUCGCUCGCUGAGAAAGGGGGAAGAACGGGGAGAGAGAAUGUAUUUUGUACAAAUGAUUUAAUUUAGGUAGUUUUAUUAGUUUUAUGUCUUUUUCCUUUUAAUUUUAUGUUUAAAGACAGGUGUUGAUGUCUUGUUCAGACAACACAUCAACUAAGCAGCGGGGUUUUAAAGGCGGGGUUUUUUUGUUUGUGAAAAAUUUGGCUAAGUGGGGAAUAGAAGCGGGGAAGCGCGGCCAAUUUUUUAAAAACAUGUUUUAGACAUCGGUUCUACACUAAGAUGAUGUCUAGUUUUUUAAUAGACAUCGGUUUUUAAAAUUUCGAUGUAAAAAAGGGUUUUAACAUCGGUGGUUUUUUUAACCGAUGUCUAAUCUGUGAUGUCUGAUCCUGUUUUUCUAGUAGUGAUCACUGCAACAAAAUAUUAGUUACGACGGAACAAUGUCGCUGGACUUUAUUUGUUUACAUUUUUUUAAUAGUAGUUAAUUUUUAAACUUGCGACGGAAAACAUACGACAGUCUACUUCGCGAGAGAAAAUCAUUUUAUUUUAUUUUUUAGCGCCAGAAUUUUAAUACUAAACUACUAUAGGGCCGUUUGGGCUAGCUUAAAAAAAGUGAUUUUUUACUUACAGUAAAGAAGUGGAUUAAAAGUGAGAAGCAAAUAAGUCAAUAAAAUGUUUGGAAAAGAAGUAGAAGCUGUGAGAGAGAAGUUAGCAUUCUCAGCUUCUUAAAAGUGCUUCUGCUUAUUUACAUAAACGGGUAAAAAAAAAAAAGCAAAAGCCAGAAGCAGCUUCUACUUCUCGAAACAAACAGGGCCAAUAUAUAUGAAGGAAACUGAUCUCUAUUGUUUUCAGCUUGCUCAUCCAUGGUAAGUAAUCCGUCGAAAAAGUUAGUUUGUUGUCGUGGUGUCUUAUCAUGAGAGAAAAUGGUAAUAUCGCAAAAUAUUUGCAACUGAAAGAUAAAUUAUAGUUCUAGAAACCAUUUAGGUAACGAUGCGCGGAGUUAUUUUCACUCACUUAGAAUUAAUGAUAAAUAUUUGCAACUGAAAGAUACAUUAUAGUUCUAGAAAAGGAUCCACGGAAUUAUUUUCACUCACUUAGAAUUAAUCCUAAGUUAUUGUGAGUUUUUGAAUAUGGAUUAUCUCAAAUUUUAUUAAAACACAUAUCGAUUCAUAUAGACAAAUUUGCCUACCUAAUAUUAUAAUAUUUAUGGCGAAGUUGUAUGAACAAUUGUGUAGAUAAUUAUACUUUACAAAGCAUACUUCUGCUAGCUGAAUUUUGAUUAAAAAAUCGAAAGGGAUAGGUCUGGGUCUCUCCAAGUCUUUGAGGACUCAUUCCAAGUCUUCUGAUGAGGACAAAAUAUAUCGCUGGUAGUCUUUCAGUCCUUCCUAGAGUAUUUUAUGCUCUGCACUGCAUUUGUGUUGAUAAUUUGCGCAAUGUUGAUGAGGAUUGCUCCAAGUCUUGGCGGACUCUUUCCAAAUCUUCCGAGGACCUAUCGGUUCAAUUUAGCCCAUUAAAAAUUUUAUUAUCUCAAAGCUAUCUGCAAAAUAAUAUAUAAGGUAAAAAUGAAUAUAUACCAUUGUUUUGUGAUUAAGUUGUAUAGGCAAUAUGCAUUGCAAAAUCAGCAACAGGAUAUAUGAAUACUAAUUAAUUACCUGAUAUCAGUAUGAACAAAUACUUUCUAUGUAGUUGUAAUAUUAGUCUUCUUUAAAAGUUAUCAUGAGGGAAGGUAUAUAUUGUGAUGCGGGAGAAAUAUUGUCACUGAAAAUAAUUAUAAUUCUAAAAUUUCCAUUAUACACUUUUUUUAGUGUUUGUACGUGGUAAGUACUUCAGACGACAUUUCUCGCGUAUGCCUCCGAUUAAGAAUUUGAUGUUCAGCCUAGUCCUAAACUAAAAUUAUUAUAAAUGUGUACUUCAAAAUUAUAUAUAUUGCUGGUAGUCUUUCAGUUCUUCCUGGUGUAUGCAAUUGUUUCAUUCAAUACCAAUUAUUUUAUACUAUGCACUCUGAUAUCAUGUUGAGAACAAUCCAUCAAAAACUUUAAACCUUAAUUAAGGUGUUAGAGGAAAAUACCAAUUAGAUCUUAUGCUAUAUUUCAAUACUUCCAACACUCUGCGAUGCAAAGCAGGGACUCUUGAGUAUUUUCAUAUGUGUAUUAGUUUUGAAGAUAAAAGUUGUAUAGAGAAUUGUGUUGAUAAUUUGCGCAAUUGCGCAAUGAUAACUGGGAUAGGUCAUCUUCUCUCCCAAGUCUUGGAUGGAAUCUUUCCAAGUCUUCUGAGAACCCAUCAGCUCAGAUUAGUCCAUACAAUGUCAAGGGUCCUAUGAUAUGGUCUACUAACAGCCCAGUGUCGGUAAUAAAUCCAAUUGCAUAUAACCUAUUCAAAAUCAAUCCCCUAUAAACAAUCAUCUCUAAAAACUAUUCACAUAAAAUAAAAUUUUAAAAAUAUAAAAUAUCUAGUUGUUUUCAAUAUAUAAUUUUCCACAGUAGAUAACANNNNNNNNNNNNNNNNNNNNNNNNNNNNNNNNNNNNNNNNNNNNNNNNNNNNNNNNNNNNNNNNNNNNNNNNNNNNNNNNNNNNNNNNNNNNNNNNNNNNNNNNNNNNNNNNNNNNNNNNNNNNNNNNNNNNNNNNNNNNNNNNNNNNNNNNNNNNNNNNNNNNNNNNNNNNNNNNNNNNNNNNNNNNNNNNNNNNNNNNNNNNNNNNNNNNNNNNNNNNNNNNNNNNNNNNNNNNNNNNNNNNNNNNNNNNNNNNNNNNNNNNNNNNNNNNNNNNNNNNNNNNNNNNNNNNNNNNNNNNNNNNNNNNNNNNNNNNNNNNNNNNNNNNNNNNNNNNNNNNNNNNNNNNNNNNNNNNNNNNNNNNNNNNNNNNNNNNNNNNNNNNNNNNNNNNNNNNNNNNNNNNNNNNNNNNNNNNNNNNNNNNNNNNNNNNNNNNNNNNNNNNNNNNNNNNNNNNNNNNNNNNNNNNNNNNNNNNNNNNNNNNNNNNNNNNNNNNNNNNNNNNNNNNNNNNNNNNNNNNNNNNNNNNNNNNNNNNNNNNNNNNNNNNNNNNNNNNNNNNNNNNNNNNNNNNNNNNNNNNNNNNNNNNNNNNNNNNNNNNNNNNNNNNNNNNNNNNNNNNNNNNNNNNNNNNNNNNNNNNNNNNNNNNNNNNNNNNNNNNNNNNNNNNNNNNNNNNNNNNNNNNNNNNNNNNNNNNNNNNNNNNNNNNNNNNNNNNNNNNNNNNNNNNNNNNNNNNNNNNNNNNNNNNNNNNNNNNNNNNNNNNNNNNNNNNNNNNNNNNNNNNNNNNNNNNNNNNNNNNNNNNNNNNNNNNNNNNNNNNNNNNNNNNNNNNNNNNNNNNNNNNNNNNNNNNNNNNNNNNNNNNNNNNNNNNNNNNNNNNNNNNNNNNNNNNNNNNNNNNNNNNNNNNNNNNNNNNNNNNNNNNNNNNNNNNNNNNNNNNNNNNNNNNNNNNNNNNNNNNNNNNNUGUAUUAGUUUUGUAAGAUAAAAGUUGUAUGGACAAUUGUGUUGUAUAAUUUGCGCAAUGAUAACUGGGAUAGGUCAUCUUCUCUCCCAAGUCUUGGAUGGAAUCUUUCCAAGUCUUCUGAGAACCCAUCAGCUCAGAUUAGUCCAUACAAUGUCAAGGGUCCUAUGAUAUGGUCUACUAACAGCCCAGUGUCGGUAAUAAAUCCAAUUGCAUAUAACCUAUUCAAAAUCAAUCCCCUAUAAACAAUCAUCUCUAAAAACUAUUCACAUAAAAUAAAAUUUUAAAAAUAUAAAAUAUCUAGUUGUUUUCAAUAUAUAAUUUUCCACAGUAGAUAACAAAAUAUCUUUAUCAAAUUGUUAUUUAUGGGUUCAAUAUUUAAGCUAUAAUUCCAAUAACACGGCAAGCAUGCAGCGUAUAAAUAGAAGUGUGCAGUAUGUUAUCAGAUUCAUAACCCAGUUGAUCAGGAGAAACAUGGCAUACUCUGCAAAGCCUUCUCACCUUCUUCUCUUUGUUUUCUUUCUCUCAUCACUUGAAUCCAUUCUUGCAACAACACGAGAAGGAGAAGCUCUUGUGAAAUGGAAGAAUAGCCUAGCCCCUUCUUCUUUUCUCGAUUCUUGGUCCCUCACCAAUCUCGAAAAUCUUUGUAACUGGACUGGCAUUACUUGUAACUCUGCAGGUUCAGUCUCUGAGAUUAAUCUCUGUGAGAAACAACUUAAUGGAAUGCUGUCCGAGUUUGGUUUCACUUCAUUUCCAAAUCUCAACUAUCUCACACUCGCAGACAACUUCUUCUCCGGUCCAAUACCACCAGCCAUUGAGAAUUUAACACAGCUUCAAUAUCUUGAUUUGAGAAAUAAUUAUCUAGAUGGUCCCAUUCCGUUCCAGGUUAGCCAUCUUCAGAGCUUGCUCAUAUUAAACCUGUCACAGAAUGCAUUGCAAGCUACAAAUUGGUCCAAUUUCUCUCCCAUGCCUUUUUUGCGCAUCCUCAACCUCAGUAGCAAUCAUCUUGUAUCGAAAUUCCCAGAAUUUAUAUCCAAUUCUCAUAGCUUGGCUAUCCUUGACCUUUCACAUAACAACUUUACAGGUGAUCUUGUGCGUGAAUUUACCAAUCUACAAAAUCUUGAAACCCUCUGGCUUUAUUGUAAUUCUUUUGAGGGGCCAUUUCCGCCGGAUAUAUUCAGGCUCUCCAAAUUAAAACGUCUCUCCCUGUCAAGUAACAAAUUUUCAGGUUCAGUUCCCAAUGACAUAAGGUUGCUUUGUGAUCUUGAAUCCUUAAACUUAAGCAACAAUUCUUUUGAAGGACCGCUUCCACCAAAUUUAUUCAAGCUUUCGAAAUUAAAGAGUCUUUUUCUUUGGAGUAAUAAGUUUUCAGGUUCUAUUUCCAAUGAUAUAGGUUUGCUUUCUGAGCUUGAAUUUCUCAAUCUUUACGAUAAUUUUUUUGAGGGGCCGCUUCCAUGCAUCAAAUAUAUUCAAGCUCUCCAAAUUAAGGGUUCUUUACCUUAACGGUAAUAAACUUCUAGGUUCUCUUUCCAAUGAUAUAGGUUUGCUUUCUGAGCUUGAAACCCUCAAUCUUCGCUCUAAUUUUUUUGAGGCUCCGUUUCCGUCAAAUAUAUUCAAGCUUUCCAAAUUAACAAUUCUUGACCUCGCAUACAAUAGAAAUUUAUUUGAAGGAAGUUUUCCUAUUGGACUGGGACUCUUGACUAACCUCAGCUACUUAGAUCUAACUUCCACUAAUCUCAGUGGCUCAUCUGCCAUUGGAAACCUCAAGCUACUACUAUAUCUUGGUCUCAGUUAUAAUCAAUUGACUGGACCGCUUUCAAACAUUGUUUCUAAUCUAACAAAUCUUAUAUUUCUUGGUGUGGAUCAUAAUAGUCUUAGUGGAAAUAUUCCGAGUGACUGGUGGAAAGCCUCUGUAUCCUUACUUUACAUUGAUCUUGGAUAUAAUUAUUUGUCUGGGAACAUUCCUAAGGAAUAUAAAGAUCAUCCAACUUUGGAAUACAUCGAUUUAAGUGGGAACCAUUUUACAGGUAUUUUUUUCUCUAUAUAUCUUUUCCUUUUGUCACAUGUAACUAAGCUAGUAAUCUGAUUAUUGCAGUUUUACCUAAGUUUUAACAAUCUUGACAGGUGAGCUUCCAACAACAAUUUGCAAUGCUACCUCCCUUUCGGUUCUUGCUUUGUCAAAUAAUGGAUUAAGUGGUGCACUUCCAAACUGUAUUGCGAAUCUUGCUGAUGGAUUGCUUUACAUUAAUCUUGCUAAUAAUCAGUUUCGAGGAGCAAUACCAACUACUUCAUCCAAAAGUUGUCAGCUGACCUAUCUCAACAUGGAUAAUAAUGAGUUUGAAGGAUUGCUGCCCCCAUCUUUGGCGAACUGUAAGCACUUGAAGAUUCUUGAUAUUGGCAAUAAUAAAAUAGGUGGUACAUUUCCUUCAUGGCUUUAUGCACUUGGAGAGCUAGAAGUCCUUGUCUUGCGAUCAAAUAAACUCUAUGGUCCAAUAAGUGGGAGGAGCAUAGAAAAUCCCUUCCCCAAGUUGCGGAUUUUGGAUCUGUCCAACAAUCAAUUCUCAGGCCAUUUGCCAAUUCAAUACUUCAAGAAUAUGAAAUCAACUGAUAAAUUGUAUCGCUAUCAGAAUGCCACAACAUUAACGGGUUUCCAAUAUGAUGCAUCAGUCCCAUUAACUGUGAAGGGAACAGAGUAUGAAGUGAAAAAUAUCCUUCAUAUUUACACAGCCAUUGAUCUGUCCUGCAACAAGUUUCAAGGAGAAAUUCCUGACGUUAUUGGAGAGCUUAGAUGGCUUGCAUUGCUGAACUUAUCUCAUAAUAGUCUAACAGGACCUAUCCCAUCAUUGCUGAGAAAUAUGAAAGAACUCCAAUCUUUAGAUUUGUCGUCAAAUCAACUGACAGGGGCUAUUCCACCUCAGUUAACUGCACUGACAUUUCUAGAGGUCUUCAACCUCUCGGGAAACCAUCUUAGUGGAGAGAUUCCUCAGAAAGGACAGUUCAGCACAUUUAACAAUGAUUCUUAUCUAGGAAACUCCGCGUUAUGUGGAUCACCAUUGACGAAGAAAUGUGCAAACACAGCAUCACCUCCACAAGAAGUCGGAAAUGUUGAUGAAGAUGAUGCGGGUGAUGAAUUGACAUGGGAAGCAAUCUUGAUGGGAUAUGGAUGUGGACUGAUAUGUGGAUUGUCAUCUGCUUACAUUGUUCUCAAACUAGGAAAGCCUUGGUGGUUUGUGAGAUAUAUCGAAGUGCUGCAACUGAAGUUGAUGAAAAGAUAUGCAUGAAGAAUGGUACUGGCCGAUCAAGACGAACUUGAAAGUUGUUGGACAUUUCUGAACCAGUAGUGUACUAUUCUCUUUGUGGCUGCAUAAGUUUUUGGUAUUGUGUAAUAUUCUGUUUGGUCUUGAAUUUCAGGGGUAUUAAUAUAAACCUUGGUAUUGUGUAAUAUUCUGUUUGAUCAAUGUUUAUAUCAAUAAUUUUAUGCUCCUCACUGCAUCAUGCAGCUCUCAUAUUAUCUUCAUAUGUGUAUUAUUUGGAUAUCAAAGUUGCAGGGACAUAUGGAUAUGUGUUAACAGGGACUGCUCGGUCUUGGACGGACUCUUUCCAAGUCCUCUGGGGUCCUAUCGGUUCAAAUUAGUCUAUUAUCUGCAUACUAAUUUGUCCAACUCGGGCUUGAAUAGUAAAGAUAAAGAGUGCGAGUUGAGUUUCUCAAAGUAUGAGUACAAUAUCGUUUUUGAAUGAUAGUUAGGGGUGCGAUAUGCAAUUACCUCAAAAAUAUAUGAUCAUUAGUAUAUUAUAUUAGUAUCCACACACUUAUAUCUCAAAAUCUAUCCUCCAAAAUUAUCAUCUCUAUAGGCUAGCCACAUAAAAUAAAAAUUUAAAGAUAUUAGAUUUUUAGUUAUUUUCAUUAUAUAAUUUUUCCACGCAAAAUAACAAAAUAUCUUUAUCAACUUAUUAUUUAUGAGUUAAAUAUUCAAGUUAUAUAAUUCGGACAUGCUGGGUAUAAAUUGAAGUGUAACGCCUAAUUUCCGGGGUCUGGGAGUAGUUGGCGGGGUAUGAGAGAGCAGGCUAUUUAGAAGUCUUGGUCAUGAAAACUUCCAAGCUAAACUUCGACAACGGAAUCUUCUGAGGCUACUAUUCUAAAGCACGCAUAAUCAUUGUAUCCAUUUUCCGACAAAAAGUCUAUUUAAGCAAAUGAAAUACAAACAACUGAGUGGAAUGCUGACCGAAAGUCUUUUUGACUAAGCUUAUGAUUUAUUAGUACAUGAUUAAUAUGAUAAGCUAAGCUGAGAGCAUAAGAUAUCGUGUGUAUAAUUUUGUGUUUAUUAAUGACUUAUAAAUUAUUAAAAAUAUAAUAAGAAAAAUAAAAAUGAUUUAUAACUAAUUUAUGUUUUAUGAGUAAUUUUUAUUAGAAAAAAGUUUUAAAAAAUUAUUUCACUGGAAAAAAAACCUCCAACUAACUUUUGGCUCUAAGUCAGUUUUUGAUUUAUUUAUGACUUUAUGUCGGAUUCUGAUUUUUACACAAAAAUCUGGUUUUAAACCUCUGAGUUUGGUUUCACUUCAUAUACAAACCUCAACAAUUUCACCAUCAAACACAAUGACUUCUCCAAUCUCCGGUCCAGUACCACCAGCCAUUGAGAAUUUGGCACAACUUCAAUUCCAUACCAGGUUAGUCGUCUUCGGAGAUUACACGUCUUAGACCUGUCAAAUACAAAUUUCAAUCUCCAAACUGGUCCGAUUUAUCUUCUAUGCUUUUUGUUGAGUCCGGCUCAUCUAAAGCCUUAAGAUGUUAGAGGAAGCACCCAAUGAAUCUUAUAUAUGCUAUAUUUUAACAAUUCUGAGCACACUCAACCUUGGUAUUAAUAAUAUUGUGUCGAAAAUUCCAGAAUUUAUAUCUAAUUCUCAUAGCCUAACUUUCCUUGACCUUUCCAUAUAACAAAUUUACAGUUAAUCCUGUGCUUGAAUCAGUAUUUGCAACCAAAAUUAUGCAAUUAUAGUGCAGGUAGUCUUCCAGUUUACGCUCUACACUCCAGGAUAAGCUCGCAUAUAAUUGACAGCUAUAAUCCUUCCAACACUUUGUGAUGCAAAGCAGAGGGAUAGGUUGGCUUAAAAAUAUAUAAGGUCACUUAUGCAUCGCUCUUCACACACUUAGACCCUGUUUGUGUGGGCUUUAAGUCCCGGCUCAAGCUAUUUCGACUUAAUCACUUCCGAGACCAAUACCAACAAGUUAAGAUAUCUAAAUAUGUAUGACAAUCAGUUAGAAGGACUAUUGCCGGGCAACAACCUUCUCAAAGAGUUGCCAGUUAAGAUAUCUAAACAUGUAUGACAAUCAGUUAGAACUUUAGAAGGACUAUUGCCCCCAUCUUUGUCAAACUGUAAGCACUUAAAAAUUCUUGACAUCGGGAACAAUAAAAUGGGUGGUACAUUCCCUUCAUGGCUAUUUAAUCUCGGAGAGCUAGAAGUCCUAGUCUUGCGAUCAAAUAGACUGUACGGUCCUGUAAGUGGAAGGAGCACAUCACAUCCAUUCCCCAAGUUGCGGAUUCUAGAUCUCUCCAACAAACAAUUCGCGGGCUAUUUGCCAAUUCUAAACUUUAAGAAUAUGAAACCAGCUGCUGAUGAUAACGCGUAUAGUUAUAAAAAUAAGUCACAAGGACUAAUUAAUUACAUCUAUGAAGCAUCUAUCUCCUUAAAUGUGAAAGGAACAGAGUAUGAAGUGAAGAACAUUCUUCAUAUUUACACAGCCAUUGAUCUAUCGUGCAACAAAUUUCACGGAGAAGUUCCAAAGAGAGCUUAAAUGGCUUGCAUUGCUCAAUCUAUCUCAUAAUAGUCUUGCCGGACAUAUGUUCUGAAUUAUUAUUAUGCUUUCAUCAAUAUUUUCAAACAUUUCUCAAUAUGUAUUUUCAAAGAAUUCUCAAGCCCUGGAACAUUUGGACCGGUUCUUUGGAAGCCAAGAUACCCAGGUUAUCAUGGCCAUGCACAAAAAUGAAUAAAUUAUUCCAAGUCUUCCAUGACUCAUUCCAAGUCUUCGGAGGAGACCCUGAGCACAAAGAUGCUCAGGGUCUCCCCAAGCCUUCCAGGACUCAUUCCAAGUCUUCGGAGCACGGUCUCGCCUCGCCCUUUCAAAGAUGUGAUAGUAGCUCGAGAGUGAUAUAAAUUAUUUUCCCGACACUAAAAAUAAAUAAUCAGAUCAAAUUAAUCAAUAAUGUAUUAAGGAUGAAAUCCAAAUUAAUCCUAAAUUUUGAUAAUAUAUAAAAAUUAUAAUUAUAAAUUAUAUACCAAAUCAGAAUUGAAUUAAUUCCUUGGCACUAAAAUUGAUAAAGAAAGUAUAAUAAUUUAAAUUUAAUUGAUGAAAAGUCAAAGUCUUCUAAUAAAUCCAUAAAGAAUAUGAUAAUCAAAAUAAUGAAAAUUAUAAUUGAAAAAUCAAAAUCAUUAGUGUAUUGGAAUAGUGUUCACACACUUGUAUAUCAAAAUUUGUGGUCCAAAAACUAUAGCACAAUAUCCUAAAUACACCACAUUAAAUAUUAGUUCAAAAAUAUUUAGUAAAUAAUUGUUUUCAUUCAUCAUUUUGUUAUUUAAAAAACUAAUAAUUUGGGUUGAUGUUAACCUAUAUUUUAAUAUAUAAUUAUAUUAUUUUCGUCUUAUUUAUUUAACUAGAAACAAUAUUUUUAUCAUACAUCAAUUAUAUUAAAAGAUAUAAUUUUAUUAAAAAAAUUGAAUUAUUAUUUAUGAAUUCCAGCAUGAAGCGUAUAAAUAGAAGUGUGCAGUUGAUCAGAUUUAUAACCCAGUUGAUCAGGAGAAACAUGGCAUACUCUGCAAAGACUUCUCACCUUCUUCUCUUUGUUUUCUUUCUCUCAUCACUUGAAUCCAUUCUUUCAACAAGACGAGAGGGAGAAGCUCUUGUGAAGUGGAAGAAUAGCCUAGCCCCUUCUUCUUUUCUCGACUCUUGGUCACUCACCAAUCUCGAAAAUCUUUGUAACUGGACUGGCAUUACUUGUAACUCUGCAGGUUCAGUCUCUGAGAUUAACCUUUGUGAGAAACAACUUGAUGGAAUGCUGUCCGAGUUUGGUUUCACUUCAUUUCCAAAUCUAAACAGUCUCACCCUCGCAGACAACUUCUUCUCGGGUCCAAUACCACCAGCCAUUCAGAACUUAACAAGGCUUCAAUACCUUGAUUUAAGCUUGAAUUAUCUCAAUGGUACCAUGCCUUUCUUGCGCAUCCUCAACCUCAGUAGCAAUCCUCUUGCGUCGAAAUUCCCAGAUUUUAUAUCCAGUUCUCAAAGCCUGACUCACCUUGACCUUUCAUAUAACAUGUUUACCGGUGAUCUAGCAUGUGAACCAUUAUUUGCCAACCUGCAUAAUCUUGAAGUCCUCAGUCUCGUUGAAAAUUCUUUUGAGGGGCCAUUUCCACCGGAUAUAUUCAGGCUUUCCAAAUUAAAACAUCUUAGCCUGUCAGUUAACAAACUUUCAGGUUCAAUUCCCAAUGACAUAAGGUUGCUUUGUGAUCUUGAAUACCUAUAUUUAGCCAACAAUUCCUUUGAAGGACCACUUCCACCAAAUAUAUUCAAGCUUUCAAAAUUAAAACAUCUUGUUCUUUGGGGUAAUAAGUUUUCAGGUUCUGUUUCCAAUGAUAUAGGUUUGCUUUCGGCGCUUGAAGCCCUCGAUCUUUAUUCUAAUUUUUUUGAGGGGCCGCUUCCACCAAAUAUAUUCAAGCUCUCAAAACUAAGGAUUCUUUCCCUUGGGAACAAUAACUUUUCAGGUUCUGUCUCUAAUAAUAUAGGUUUGCUUCCUGAGCUUGAAACCCUAUGUCUUGACUCUAAUUUGUUUGAGGGGCCGCUUCCCCCACAUAUAUUCACGCUCUCUAAAUUAAGAUAUCUAGACCUCUCAAACAAUAGAAAUUUAUUUGAAAGAAGUAUUCCUAUUGGAUUGGGACUCUUGACUAACCUCAGGUACUUAGAUCUAUAUUCCAGUAAUCUCAGCGGCUAUAUUCCAUCUGACAUUGGAAACCUGAAGCUACUAGUAGGUCUUAAUCUCGGUUCUAAUAAAUUGACUGGACCAGUUUCAAAGAUCGUUUCUAAUCUCACAAAUCUUAUAUUUCUUAGUGUAAGAAAUAAUAGUCUUAGUGGAAAUAUUCAGAGUGACUUGUGGAACUUCCCUAAGGAAUAUAACAAUCAUCCAACUUUGGAAUACAUCGAUUUAAGUGGGAACCAUUUUACAGGUAUCUUUUCUCUAUAUAUCUUUUCCUUUUCUCAUAUGUAACUAAGCUAGUAAUCUGAUUAUUGCAGUUUUACCAAAGUUUCAACAAUCUUGACAGGUGAGCUUCCAACAACAAUUUGCAAUGUCACUUCCCUUUCGGUUCUUGAUUUGUCAAAUAAUGGAUUAAGUGGUGCACUUCCAAACUGUUUCGGGAAUCUUGCUGAUGGAUUGCUUUACCUUAAUCUUGCUAAUAAUCAGUUUCGAGGAACAAUACCAACUACUUUCUCCAGGAGUUGUCGGCUGAAAUAUCUAAACAUGGAUAAUAAUGAGUUUGAAGGAUUGAUGCCCCCAUCUUUGGCGAACUGUAAGAACUUGAGAAUUCUUGAUAUUGGCAACAAUAAAAUAGGUGGUACAUUUCCGUCAUGGCUUUAUGCACUUGGAGAGCUAGAAGUCCUUGUCUUGCGAUCAAAUAAACUCUAUGGUACAAUAAGUGGAAGGAGCAUAGAAGAUCCCUUCCCCAAGUUGCGGAUUGUGGAUCUGUCCAACAAUCAAUUCACAGGCCAUUUGCCAAUUCAAUACUUUAAGAAUAUGAAAUCAACUGAUAAUUUGUAUCGUUAUCAGAAUGACACAGGAGAUUUUAUUUUCCAUUAUGAAGCAUCUGUCUCAUUAACUGUGAAGGGAACAGAGUAUGAAGUGAAAAAUAUCCUUCAUAUUUACACAGCCAUUGAUCUGUCGUGCAACAAAUUUCAGGGAGAAAUUCCAAAGGUUACUGGAGAGCUUAGAUGGCUUGCAUUGCUCAACUUAUCUCAUAAUAGUCUUACUGGACCUCUCCCAUCACUGCUUGGAAAUAUGGAAGCACUCCAAUCUUUAGAUUUGUCUUCAAAUCAACUGACAGGGGCUAUUCCACCUCAGUUAACCGCAUUGACAUUUCUAGAAGUCUUAAACCUCUCGAGAAACCAUCUUAGUGGAGAGAUUCCUGAGAAAGGACAGUUCAGCACAUUCAACAAUGACUCUUAUCUAGAAAACUCUGCGUUAUGUGGAUCACCCUUGACGAAGAAAUGUGUAAACACUGCAUCACCCCCACAGGAAGUCGGAAAUGGUGAUGAAGAUGAUGCUGGUGAUGAGUUGACAUGGGAAGCAAUCGUGAUGGGAUAUGGAUGUGGACUGAUAUGUGGAUUGUCAUCUGCAUACAUUGUUCUCAAACUAGGAAGGCCUUGGUGGUUUGUGAGAUAUGUCGAAGUACUGCAACUGAAGUUGAUGAAAAGAUAUGCAUGAAGAAAGGUACUGGUCGAUCAAGACAAACUUGAAAGUUGUUGUCCUGGUAGACAUUUCUGAACCAGUAGUGUACUAGCUGCAUAAGUAUUUGGUAUUAUGUAAUAAUCCAUUUGGUCGGGACUCAUAAUGAUUUCUCUUGCUUCAGGGGUAUUAAUAUUAACCUUGCUAUCUUGAUCUGUGUUAAUGCAAAUGAAAAAGAAUGGAAAAACAAAAAAAUUGCAUCAAACCUGUUGUACCAAGAUCCAUUAAUCUGCUUUCAUCUCUUACGCAACAAUUUAACAGCACUUUCACACUGUUUGAAUGAUUAUCAUAAAUUCGAGUUUUCCUCGCCAGCACCAAAUCCAAAUAUACAAUCCCACACAUUCCAGUCUCAGCUUCAGCUCCCAGGCUAGCAUUGAUUUAGCCAAGCACGACAGUGGCCGCUUGUGUGCCUAACAAUGACAGUUGGGGAUUUGAUGGAACGUGCCUUGGUCCUGCCUUCAAAUGUCUAACAAUAACAGUUGGAUAUGUCGACAAAAAAAUUGUUCCUCACACUGAGGAAUAACUCUGACAGUUCUUUUCAUUGUGCCUUGGUCCAGUAAGUGGAAGGAGCACAUCACAUCCAUUCCCCAAGUUGCGGAUUCUAGAUCUCUCCAACAACCAAUUCACGGGCUAUUUGCCAAUUCAAUACUUUAAGAAUAUAUGAAACCAGCUGCUGAUAAAGCGUAUAGUUAUCAAAAUAAGUCACAAGGACUAAUUAAUUACAUAUAUGAAGCCUCUAUCUCCUUAAAUGUGAAAGGAACAGAGUAUGAAGUGAAAAACAUCUCUUUAUAUUAUAGCUCCUGAUGCGUGAUUUGUACAGUUACCACACUGCUUAAUUCUUCACCUCAAAGUUCCACCUUAUUACAAAAAUGCCACCGCUCUAUUAAGCGGCACCCACGUAAGCUCAUUGCCACCACGUGCUAUCUUCCUGCUGUCUUUUGUUUAUUUUAUUCACUAAACCGUACUUACCCGAAGCUUAUGUAACAAGCUUACAUUCUUUACAUUUUACUCAUUUCAAAAUUUAAAACCCAGCCUCCACGGCUCCCUUACAAAAGUAACCGGUUUGAACGUAAAGUUUUCAAAACUAACCAGCCUACGUUCAACUUUUCAAAACUAACCAGCCUAAAUCAAAAAAAGUCGGGCGACCCUUACCUGUUUUUUUCCCGAGCACCGGUCGCCCUCCUCAGGGGCGUCCCCCAUUGGAGUUCAUCAAGCACAGGUCGCCCUCCUCAGGGGCGUCCCCCCUUGAAGUUCUGUGACGUGGUCCGCCCAAUCACGGGCGACCACGUGUGACACUACCCCCUUAAAACCCCCUCCCAGCCACACAAACACACAAUUACACACACAUUUGCACACACUCAGUUUGAAAACAACACUGCAGCAGCCACAGCAAGGAGCCGAAAGGGGAGAUUUUGGUAAAGGAAGGAAGAAAAGUGGGAGAGGAUCGCCCGAGCUAGCAUCAAGGUCGCCCACCCUAGCAAAAAAUUUGAAGGUACUACCUUAUUCCUCCCCUAAAUAUUAGUAUAUAAAGCCUUGAUUUGUAAUUUAUUACUUGAUUAGUUUGUCUUGCAUGUUACAAAUAUCGAUUAUGUUCAUGAUUAUGGCUAAUUUAUAGACUAGUGUUAUAAUUACCGGCUUGAGAUUAGUGUUAUAAUUACCGGAUUGAGAUUUGGUACAUUAUGAUUUUUAAAUUUGUUAAAAAAUUUAAAGAUUUAUAAUAGAAAUUAAGGAUAAUUUAUAGAUUUGAUAUGUUGGAAUUUAAGAUUUUAUGCUUUUUAGAUUUUGUAGGUAGUAAUUAAAUUUAGUUGGAGAGAAAAAAUAUAAUAUAAUAUUCGAAUUAAAAAGAUAUUGAGAAUAUAAUAUUCGAAUUAAAAAAUAUUCGAAUUAAAAUAUAUUAAAAUAUAAUAUUCGAAUUAAAAAUAUAAUAUAAUAUUCGAAUUAAAAUAUAAUAUAAUAUAUAUUCGAAUUAAAAAAUAUUCGAAUUAAAAUAUAUUAAAAUAUAAUAUUCAAAUUAAAAAUAUAAUAUAAUAUUCGAAUUAAAAUAUAAUAUAAUAUAUAUUCGAAUUAAAAAAUAUUCGAAUUAAAAUAUAUUAAAAUAUAAUAUUCGAAUUAAAAAAUAAUAUAAAAUAUAUUGAGAAUUAAAAAAAUUAGAAAGCAAAUAAAAUAUUCGGAUAAAAAAGAUAUUAAUAGCUAAUAUUAAAAAAAAUCGAUUUAUAAUAAUAAAAAUUCGAAAAAAAGCAAAAUAAUCGAAUUAAAAUAAAAUUUUCGAACAUAUAUUAAUAAAAAUCUUAAUUAUAUUAAUAUAUAAUUCGAAUAUAUGAAAUUUCGAGAAUUAGAAUAUUUAUGAAAUUAAGAGAAUUAAAAUAAAUAGGAAAUUCGAACAAAAAUUAAUUUAAGGUACGCUCUCGAUUCUCUCUAAAUUAAUGUGUAUAUAUAUAUAAUGACUUGAUUUGGAUUAUUGUUGUUUUAUUAGCUUGAGUUGCAUGUUAUAAGAUCGGUUAGUUUAUUGAUUGUGGCUUGAGAUUUGUUAUAAUUGAAAUUAAGGCUAAUUUAUAGAUUUGAUAUGUUGGAAUUAAGGCUAAUUGAAAUUAAGGCUAAUUUAUAGAUUUGAUAUGUUGGAAUUAAGGCUAAUUGAAAUUAAGGCUAAUUUAUAGAUUUGAUAUGUUGGAAUUUAAGAUUUUGUGCAUGUUAGAUUUUGUAGGUAGUAAUUUAAUUUAGUUAGAAACAAAAGCUUUGAAUUCGAAUUACAAAUAUUAUGUUGGAAUGAGAUUUUGUAUAUAUACAAAAGCUUUGAAUUCGAAUUAUAAAUAUAUUUGAAAAUUGUUGGCGCAGAUGGAUCCUGCAGCUUAUCAUCCCGGGCCGGUUAACGGCACUUUGUUGACAUUGCAGGACACGCAUAGGUCCACUUUUGUGUGGAACAGUAGUACGGUAAUGACUUGAUGGACUGUUGUUUAUUAAAGUUAAUGUUUGCUUCACUAUAAACUGCUGACAAGUUCCUGUAUUUUAAAUUGCAGGACAUUCCUGAUCUUAGAGUCAGGACGAACUUCGGUGAGUACUGGAAUGUAGUUGACCAAACCAGGCCGCCUCAGACGAUAAUAGAUGCUAUUAAUGAUGCGGGCUUUGAGUGGGUGUUCAGGUUGGGUCAGGUCAAGCAUGACAGGGGCUUGAUCACUGCUUUUAUCGAGAGGUGGCGUCCAGAGACGCACACUUUUCAUCUACCUUUCGGGGAGGCCACCAUUACACUGGAGGAUGUCCAUCACAUUCUCGGGUUACGAACCACUGGCCGGCCAUUUAUUCUACAUGGCUUCACCACCACAGCUCGCGAGAGAUUGGCCAUGAUACGCGAUGUUCUUGGAGUGACUCCUAAGCCGGCUGAUGUGAGGAAGAACGGCUUGAGGAUCGGUUGGUUGAUUGAAAAAUUUGGCGACUGUGCCCGGUUGGACGAGGCAGCGGAGGAUUUUGAUGCACAGACUAUCUUUCACAUCAGGGCACACCUACUGUGUGUUAUUGGAUCGUUGUUUCCUGAUAGCAGCGGGAACUAUGUGAAUCUCAACCUCCUUUGGAUGCUACGUGACUUGCAGAGCGUGGAUGGUUAUAGCUGGGGGAGUGCUGUUCUUGCAUACCUUUAUAGGAAGAUGUGCGAUUCCACCCAUAAAGUCACAACCGGCUUCAUUGGCUACGCCACCACUACGCCAUAUAUGAUCUAUCGCAAUGGUAUGAACGCGAGUGUUGCAAAAUUAUGUUGCAAUAGAGACACUGAUCCAUAUCUACCGCAACGAUAACCAUUCAUGUCAAUUAUAUGUUGCAAUAGCAAACAUUAUGUGUUGCAGCUUGUAAUAUACUUGUAAAAGUGUUAGCUUAAAGUAUUAUAAUAUUAUUUUAACAUUAAAUAAUAAUUUAAAUUAUUUUAACAAUAUUUUAAAGUGAUAUGCAAAUUAAAUAAAUAAGAUACGCGAUGAUAUGCAAAUUUUAUUCAUAAUAAUUAAAAAAAUUAAAAUAGGAAUUUUAAAAGUAAUUAAUUUUUUUAAAAGCAAUGAAAAGUAAAAAUAAUUAAAUUCCCCUUGUUUUGAUAUCAGAACUGAUAUAUAAGUUUCAAAAAUAAAAAUAUAGAUAUACGAAUUAUAAGUAGUAAUAAAUACAUAUAAUGAAUUUUGUUCCUAAAAUAAUUACAUGAAUUUUAUUUGUUAAAAUAAUAAAGUAUAGGUGCAGACGUGCAGUACAUUAUUUGACUUUAUUGAACUGGGCAAAUAUCGAGCUCAAAGCGGGUAAAAAUUAGGCUUACAGCCGCCCAAAUUUUCAGCCAAGUUUGAAAUUUUCACACAUACACUAUACACGCUCGAGUCUCCUUGAAUACCCUCAACACUCACUACACUCUCUCCCUCGCUCAACUCUCUCUCCCUUCUCUACUCUCUCUCUCUUGUUAAUCUCUCUGAAGCUAAUCUCUCUCUGGCCACCAUUUUCACUCAAUCUCGCCAUCACUUUUAAUUAACUUGGAUUUGCAUUUAUAGUUGGAGCACAGUUGAUUUGUGGGUCGAGGUUCCAAUUCUUCAAUUAGGGUUUUGGCUUUUCAAUCAGGGUUUUGGUUCUUCAUUAAACUUCAAUUAGGGUUCAAUUACUUACAUAUAAUCUCUUAAACUUCAUCUGAUAUCUCUUUCUCUUUGAUUUCAGGUGUUCUUAGUUUGGGUUUGCACUCCAAGACUUUAUUAUAAGGUAUUUUUGAAUUUAGGGCUUCAUGUUAUGAGUUUAUUUGCAUUUAGUGUUCUUUGUUUUUAUGUUUAUUUGGUUUAUUAUCUUUAUCUAGUUUAUUUCCUUUGAUUUUUUGUUUUUUUUUUCAUUUGUUUUGUGAAAUUGCAAUACUCUGUUUUUGUGUUAAUUUUUUUGUUGCUUAAAAGUGUUCAACAACAAUAUUCUUCUUAAUUAUAAAAGAUCUAUCACGAGGAAGAGGUCCCUGUUUUGUAUAAUAUCUUGUAUGUCUUUUCUUUUCUGUAUAUUAUUAAGCUACCUUGGGGCAUCCUUUUUCUAGACCAGAUUUCGUGCGCAAUCUUUAGUAAAGAGCAAAUAUUCCGAUUCUUUUGCAUUUGUCUCAAUGUCAGUGCUUUGCAUAUAUGGAUAUAUUUUACAUGAAAAUGGUGCUUUUGUUGUUGGCCUGCUUAAUGUUCAAGACAUGUAGUCAACUCAGUUUAGUGUGACAAUAAGACUUUCUCAUUUCAUUAUGAUUCUCACAUAUUUUAUGCUCGUCACAGUACAACACAGUUUUGUAUUUGGUGUGAGUGAGCAGUAAAGAAUUCUAUGGAAGAUGCUAGUGACUACCGGUGGUAUAUAACCAGGUAAAAAUAAUGCUCAGUUGAUAAUCCUUAUAAGGGAGGCUCUUACUAUUUCUUCCUCUUUAACAUUGAGUUGUUUUAAUGUACAUACUAGCUGGUUGCUCAAGUGUUCUAUCAUUAUAAUGUAUACAUUGGAUACAAUAUUUGUUCAAUGAGGUAUCUAACUAGCUUGCUGAUGGCCGGGGACUAUAGAUUUAUUCAUUGCUAAUUGGUUAUAUUCGUUGUACCUGUUAUGCCUCAAUCAUAAUGGCAUAGUGACAAUAAAAGGAAAACGAAUUAUAAAUAUUUCACAUAGCAUGCUCUAGUUAUCUACAACUAUUGUUUUGGACUUCUGGUUUGGCAUUUAUAAUAAGUUGGCAUAUGUCUUUGAAUUCAUAUAGUUUGUAGCAUGACCUAAUUGGCACAAGUCAUCCUCUGCCAUGUCUUAUAUCUUUAGUUAGUAAGAAUUAAUAUUUCCCAUGUUUCAGCCACUAUACAAAUAUUGAUCAUGGACGAAGUUCUUACCCUGUUUAGUAUUAAUUUCAUUAUCUGCUGCAACUUUAUUGUGUUAUCUGUGCACUGCCCAACUAAGUACACAUAAUUUGAGUUUAAAAUAAAGCAUGCUUCUUUACUGGAGCUCAGCUUAGUAGUUGCAUUGUAUUGUUGCAGGAGAAGCUUAAGCCGUUAAUGGAUCAACUUAACAAAGUCAAAGACUUGACUGUUCCAGAAUUUGGAAAUUUCCGAACUUGAGAAGUGCGAGCAAAUGCAAGAAUAUGUUUAUAUAUAAUAGUGUAGUGUAGUGGGAUGUUUGGUUGGAUUCGUUUAAUACUUUGAUUUGGUUGGAUUUGUUAGGUAGUUUUGUUUGGUUGGAUUUGUUAUAAACUUUGAUUUGUAUGAAAGAAUAGUUUAAUGUUUCAGUGGAUAUAGUGAAAUAUUGCAAAGUUGUUAAUUUAGUCUUGCAUUAGCACAUAUAUGUUGUAGUAGCUAAUAUAUAUAUGUUUCAAUUUAUAACAAAAAAUGUUGCAAACAUGCAACUGAAAAACAGGUGUCCAAACAUAGGACCCACAUGUGUGACCCACGUGUGGGUCCCACUUUUUUUGAAAUCAGGAGGUCUAACGUAACAUAAUAUAUUUGUUGCUAUAGGGUAGUCAGAUGUUGCAAUAUCACGUCUAUUGUAACAUAAAAAGCCGUGUUGCAGUAGGUUACCCAAAUGUUGCAAUAGAAGCCUAGGGCAACAUGAAAAAAUGCAACUUAAAUUUUAUGUUGCAAUAGCCCUUUUUCGGGCUAUGGCAACAUAUUUUGGGGUUAUGGCAUCAUUUUUUUGAUGUUGUCNNNNNNNNNNNNNNNNNNNNNNNNNNNNNNNNNNNNNNNNNNNNNNNNNNNNNNNNNNNNNNNNNNNNNNNNNNNNNNNNNNNNNNNNNNNNNNNNNNNNNNNNNNNNNNNNNNNNNNNNNNNNNNNNNNNNNNNNNNNNNNNNNNNNNNNNNNNNNNNNNNNNNNNNNNNNNNNNNNNNNNNNNNNNNNNNNNNNNNNNNNNNNNNNNNNNNNNNNNNNNNNNNNNNNNNNNNNNNNNNNNNNNNNNNNNNNNNNNNNNNNNNNNNNNNNNNNNNNNNNNNNNNNNNNNNNNNNNNNNNNNNNNNNNNNNNNNNNNNNNNNNNNNNNNNNNNNNNNNNNNNNNNNNNNNNNNNNNNNNNNNNNNNNNNNNNNNNNNNNNNNNNNNNNNNNNNNNNNNNNNNNNNNNNNNNNNNNNNNNNNNNNNNNNNNNNNNNNNNNNNNNNNNNNNNNNNNNNNNNNNNNNNNNNNNNNNNNNNNNNNNNNNNNNNNNNNNNNNNNNNNNNNNNNNNNNNNNNNNNNNNNNNNNNNNNNNNNNNNNNNNNNNNNNNNNNNNNNNNNNNNNNNNNNNNNNNNNNNNNNNNNNNNNNNNNNNNNNNNNNNNNNNNNNNNNNNNNNNNNNNNNNNNNNNNNNNNNNNNNNNNNNNNNNNNNNNNNNNNNNNNNNNNNNNNNNNNNNNNNNNNNNNNNNNNNNNNNNNNNNNNNNNNNNNNNNNNNNNNNNNNNNNNGCUUAUCCUCGUAUGUAGUUUGUUUAUGGUUAUGUACCUGACCAUGUACUCGUACAUUUUUAUUUCUUGAUCUGAUUAUGUACUCUUAGUCUAGUAGAUCGGUUGUUACGUUAUUAUGCAGUUCUUGUGCAUUCUUAUGUCAUAAUGUUUUAUAAUGAUUCAAGCAUUGAAAUUCAUAUGGACAAUAAAGGAAACCUAACAUAACAUAAUAAACGACAGAACACUAAAACACAUACACAUGUUGAUCUUUCUCGAAACCAGUAAAACUGACUUUAUUUUGACUAAACUUUACAUAUAUCAAAUAACUGAAAAAAAUAAUAUAAAAUUUGAAUUACUUGAACAACAAAAGUUGAGACAUUACAUAUAAGAUACAAUACAUAUAGUAAUGGGGGUGAUCUUUUGGAGAAAAUACCUAACUCAAAGGGAUUUCUUCAAAUAAUUUGAGAUGGGUCAGAGCUUCAAGAAUCUGUGUACUCUGCUUUUACAAGUACAAAGUGGGAAAAAGUGAGACAUAAAUAAAAUGUAGUGAAGUAUUUGAGAUGGGAGAAAGUAAAACUAACUUAAUUUCAUAUUAAUAUUGUGAAGAUAUUAGCAUAGAAUGAUAAAUAUACAUUUCUACUACCCAUUUAUAAAAGAAAUAUUAUAAAAUAUAAAACUCUACGCUUUAAAUUUAAAUUGUUUUAAGUUGUUUUCUAUUAAAUUAUUUUCCCCACAGGGGAAAAUAAUAUUAAAUUGUUUUAAUAUUAUUGUUUUAUUAUUAUUUGAUUAUUAAAUUAACGAGUACAUAAUUUGUAAAGUUUAGUGCUAAGAUAUAUAUAUUAUUUAAUUUUAUUAAUUAUAUUAAUUUCACAAAACAAUUAAAAUUUGAUUUUAAAUAAAAUAUUAAAUAUAUAAUACAAUAAUAUUAAAUGGCGUAUAAUCAGUGUUACAGAAAUCGGGAAUCGGACCUAAUCGGUUGAGCUACCGAUUCAGGGAUUAAUCGGAAAUCGGAGAUUAAUCGGACUGAAAAUCGGAUUUAUUUUAAUAUUAAAAUAUUAUUUAUUAUUUAGUUAUUAUUAUAUUAGGUAUCUAGUAACUAAUAUAUUUACUAUAUUCAUAAACUCUAUAAUUAUUCAUAUUUAAAGUAAUAUAGUAUUUUAAUUCUAAUAAUUUAUCACAUAUACUUCUAUUAGAAAAUAUGUUAUAAGGAUUAAUCGGAUUUUAAAAAUCGAAUCGGUGGCCGACCUUGCAGGAGAUUAAUCGAGGAUUAAUCAGUUAAAUCGGGGAUUUUUAGAACAUUCGGCGUAUUAUAAUACAAUUAUAUCAAAAUUUAAAAAAAAAUCAGUACCUCAGUUUGGGUAUCGGUCAGCCACCUAGGACAAGUGAAUGAGUGAAACCGCUACAAAAAAUGUAGUAGUAUGGGUCGCCCCUGUCAAGGGCGAUCCUAACUGUAUUUUGUAACAGUAUGGGUCGCCCCUGACGAGGGCGACCUGAACGGGGAAAAACUUCAGCUUGGGUCGCCCGACUUUUUUUGAUUUAGGCUGGUUAGUUUUGAAAAGUUGAACGUAGGCUGGUUAGUUUUGAAAACUUUACGUUCGAACUGGUUACUUUUGUAAGGGAGCCCAGCCUCCACCAUUGCAGCUCUGAGCAGCCAUGAACCAGGUUAUACUCCAGUCUCCUUUUCUCCCCCGCGUGUGUAAGUCUGUACUGCAGCCCACAUUUUCAACACGCUUCUGUCCUAAGCUUCGCAAGAAAUAUCUUUUUUUUGAAAUUCAAAAAAUUUGCGCACCAUAUCAUCGUCCAGCCAAACCACCAUCGGCGAAUCAGCAAAUAUACAUAUCAGAUCUAAUAUACACCAAUCUGAGCUUUGAUGACUGAGGUUUGAUUUGUGUUUUAUUUAAUAAAAUGAUAAAAUGAUGUCUUCUUUCAUGAUCAUGCGAUUAAUCGAUUGUAACUUUAAGGGAGAUGGAACAAGCAAUUCACGACGUCUAUUUACCUCCGAAGACAUGAUUAGUGGUAUGGUUACAUAAAUUUAACUUCUCUAUUUUUCUACCAUGUGUGGCCUAAUUGUUUCAUCUCUUGCUUUGUAGGUUAUCAGUCCAAAAAGCGGAGGAAAAGGGGCUACACAAUUAAGAGAUGAAACAGUAUUGAGCAUGUGAGCUUUAAAACUUGAUGAUUAAAUUUUUCAUAUUAUAUUUGUUCUGUAUUUAGAAAUUUGUGGAGGAUGUGUUUGAUAAUAUGUCUGAGAGAAGAAGUUAAUAAAUUUAUCGUGUUGAGGAUGUGUUUGAUGAUAUGUCCGAGUGAAAAAAUUAAUAAAUUUAUUUUCAAAAUGUUGCGAACAAAUUGUAAUUUAUAUCUAGCAGCUUCAAAUAAUUUUUUUUAGAGCAAAAAGAAUCGCAAUUGCAUGUGAAGAGAUGCACCUCCCUGAUAUUAGACUUUUAGUGUAAUUGCAUGUGUAACUAAACCGCUUGACUAUAAUGUUGGUGUAGAGUACGGAGCUUUAAUUUAUGAUGUUCUCCUCAAUCUGUCCAAAUUAUAGCUGAUCGUGGGAAUCAACUUUAGGGUAAGCUCUGCUCUGAAACUCAUUUUCUUAUAUUGGAACUUGGUUAUUUCUUAAAUGAAACGACUUUGACGUUUUCACCGAGUAGUCAUAGAUGCGUGAGUUGUACAAUAGUAAAAGAAAAAUAAAUUACAUAAAGACUGUCUGAGGUAAAAUAGUAUACAAGCUGCAAUUUUAUAUUUGGUACAUUGACGUAAAAAGUUAUUGUUAUGUUCAGGGGGAGGUGCUGAGAAAUGACAUGAUUAUAUCAUACGAGCGGCGACAAACUACUGAAGUUGCAAAAGAAAUGAUCUUAAAGAAAGCAGAGAAAGUGGGGGAGUUUUUUCAAGAAAAGAAUUUAAAGAGGAGAUGAGAUGCCAGAGUAUUACGCGCUAUUGCCGAAACAGGAUUAAAAACUAUAUUGGGUAUCUCUUCUUGAUCUCUUGAUUAAUUCCACUAGGAAGCUUCAAUAUUAUAUAGGAAGUUUUCUUUUUAAGCUUAAUUUUGAAUUUGAAUCCUCAAACUAUAACUACUGUAUAUCUCUUUAUAUUAUAGCUCCUGACGCCGGGAACUUCCCCUUCUACAACCAGCCCAACUGUACAUAACAGUUGCUUGCUUAUGAAUUUCAAAUUUAUAUUAUAAUGUUUAUAUGUAAUAUUGAAUCAAAGUUGCUUGCUUGCUUAUGUAAUAUUGAAUAUCUACUGUUGGAUGAUUGUUAACUGCUGUGUUACCAAGUGUUUGAUUAAAUUCCUACAAGUUUUGUUUGAAUUUUGUUCUUUAUUUAUCAUUAGUAUGUUUCAUUUUUAUGUUUGACUCUAUGCUAAUCGCUGAUAAGAUUUCUAUGAUUAUAGGAGAUGAGUGUUCUUAUGGCAUGAAUGAUAUUGGAAAAGUGAAAUGUGUUGAUGCUUUGUGUAAAUAAAUCAUGAUCUGCCGUUAUAGUUUUCUGUUUGUUUUCAAUUUGUGUGUACCUAGGUGGUUGUUACUGAGCAUUGAUCAACUGUGUUAAUUAAUUUAUUAAAAUGGAGUUGAGUCUGAGAACUAAAGGGCAAUUAUAUACUUCUUUAGGCUUUCCUUAACAUGUUUUUAUUCAUUAAAAAAAAUCGAUGAGUUUUUAUAAAUAUAUAUACUCUGUUAUUUUCUCUGUACCUAAUUAAAAGGAUUUUAAUUCGAAUUAUAGGUGUUUGUCAUGUGAAUAUUAUCUAAAAGAUAAUGGGGCCGUUUGGGUUAGCUUAAAAGAAGUGACUUUUUGCUUAUAGUAAAGAAGUGGAGUAGAAGUGAGAAGUAAAUAAGUUAAUAAAGUGUUUGGAAAAGAAGCAGAAGCUGUGAGAGAGAAGCUAGCAUUCUCAGCUUCUUAAAAGUGCUUCAACUUCUUUACACAAACAGGUCAAGAGAAGCAGAAGCCAGAAGCAGCUUCUGCUUCUCUUGGCCAAACAGGCCCAAUAUCUUUAAGGUCUCUUGCAUUGGUCAUUUAAUGUGUUAAUUAAAAGUUUACAUUUAAAUUUUUUGAUCUAAUAAUUUUGGAUAGAUGGUUUGUGAGGUUAAUGAAUGAACUAAUAUGGAAUGAUAAAAUGUAGGAGGUCUGGAAAGAUGGGUUUCAAUGCAGGUUUAUUGCUACUUUCCUUCAGGUCUGCAUUGCUUUGGUCUGUCUUCAGGACUGAGACUGUGAUUGGUUUCGGAACAGACACAAGUAUAUAUAUGGACCAAUGCAAAGCACCUGAUUAUCAUACUUUAGGCUUUUGCUCUGCUUUCUAUGGUAAAAAAAAGUGACAUUACUUCGAAUCUGAUACAGUUUAUCCAAGAGCUUGCUUCAAUAUUAAGAAUGCAAUACGUGUUGCAGAUAAAAUUUUGACCAGCAACAUUGGGGCACCCAACCCAAAUCUAGCAACAUUGGCCGUGGAGCUUUAAAUAUCUCCGUAAGAUUCUUUUCCCUCGCAGGCAGGCAUCUUUUUCUGCGAAAAAUAUACAAGAAAAAAGGACUAAUUUGUUUAAUUGAAAAUAAAUUUCGGAUGAGUUGGAUUAAGAAUCAAAUGGAGAGUCCUGUUUUGGUUUCAUUUUGAUGGAGAGGUUGCUUAGGUCCUGUUUUGAUCGAAAGGUUGAAAAAAUAUUUGGUAUUUUUUGGUCUCAUUUUGGUUUGUUUCGUUCCUUCACAGGUGUGCAACAAGUGAUGAUAGUAUUUAAACAUGAUUAGCAAACUGCCCAGCAAUCCAUGCAUGGCAAGGGGAAUGCACAGCUUAAUGAUUUCAGUCUCCGUACCAUCCAAGUGCAACAAAAAUCAAUUAUCUUGUGAUGUCUAGGAUUCUACAAAAGUAAGAAGCCUUCAUUCAUCUUCAUUCAUCCCCUGUUACUAGAAAAGCAUUGGUAGCCUAUAAGCAGGUACACUAAGUAGCUCACCUAAUUUUUGCAUUUCAGUAUCAACGGAAAGUGGUGCAGGACUCCACUUUAUAAUUAAAUUAUGUGUCUAAAUUAUGCGUGUUGUAAUGUUUAGUGACCAUGUUCCAGACCCGACAUGUCCUUACUUGGCAGAUCAAGUUAUCCAAGAUUUGGGAAGGAGUUUCGCCUUUGAGAUCUCCAACAAGUAAGAAGAAAUAAUGUCAAGGAAUGAACUAAUGUAAAAUGAUAAGAAGAUGAAGGUAUAAAACAAUGAUUAUAAUGUAGGCUUCUUCGUAAUGUAAUGAACAAAAUAAUGGAGUAACUAUAACUAUUCUUGCUGCAAGCCUGUGUUUGUUUAAUGCUAUCUGGCAGUAGUUUAGCAUUGGUAUAUUCCUUAAGGUGGAUUUGGAUAGAGUGAGAGGAGACAUUACUUAUCUUUACCUAGCUACUGCUUUUCAUGAGAUUUGGGCAGAGCGUAACAUUAGAAUUCAUCAUCCUAAGAGUUUUAAAGUUGCAAACCGGCUUAUCAAGGACAUAAUAGCCUCUGUUACUAUUUUUACAUGCUCCUCUAUUGUUGUGUGAACUUGCUGAACUCCUUUUUUCUGUUGUUCUACUUACUAAAAUCUUUUUAAUUUUCUUUUGUUAGGUACACUAAGUGGUUCACUCAAUUUUGGCAUUUUAGUAUCAUUGGCAAGUGGUGUAGGACUCCAUGAUUCUGUGUUGUCCACAAGCAACGAAAAAAANNNNNNNNNNNNNNNNNNNNNNNNNNNNNNNNNNNNNNNNNNNNNNNNNNNNNNNNNNNNNNNNNNNNNNNNNNNNNNNNNNNNNNNNNNNNNNNNNNNNNNNNNNNNNNNNNNNNNNNNNNNNNNNNNNNNNNNNNNNNNNNNNNNNNNNNNNNNNNNNNNNNNNNNNNNNNNNNNNNNNNNNNNNNNNNNNNNNNNNNNNNNNNNNNNNNNNNNNNNNNNNNNNNNNNNNNNNNNNNNNNNNNNNNNNNNNNNNNNNNNNNNNNNNNNNNNNNNNNNNNNNNNNNNNNNNNNNNNNNNNNNNNNNNNNNNNNNNNNNNNNNNNNNNNNNNNNNNNNNNNNNNNNNNNNNNNNNNNNNNNNNNNNNNNNNNNNNNNNNNNNNNNNNNNNNNNNNNNNNNNNNNNNNNNNNNNNNNNNNNNNNNNNNNNNNNNNNNNNNNNNNNNNNNNNNNNNNNNNNNNNNNNNNNNNNNNNNNNNNNNNNNNNNNNNNNNNNNNNNNNNNNNNNNNNNNNNNNNNNNNNNNNNNNNNNNNNNNNNNNNNNNNNNNNNNNNNNNNNNNNNNNNNNNNNNNNNNNNNNNNNNNNNNNNNNNNNNNNNNNNNNNNNNNNNNNNNNNNNNNNNNNNNNNNNNNNNNNNNNNNNNNNNNNNNNNNNNNNNNNNNNNNNNNNNNNNNNNNNNNNNNNNNNNNNNNNNNNNNNNNNNNNNNNNNNNNNNNNNNNNNNNNNNNNNNNNNNNNNNNNNNNNNNNNNNNNNNNNNNNNNNNNNNNNNNNNNNNNNNNNNNNNNNNNNNNNNNNNNNNNNNNNNNNNNNNNNNNNNNNNNNNNNNNNNNNNNNNNNNNNNNNNNNNNNNNNNNNNNNNNNNNNNNNNUUUUACAUGCUCCUCUAUUGUUGUGUGAACUUGCUGAACUCCUUUUUUCUGUUGUUCUACUUACUAAAAUCUUUUUAAUUUUCUUUUGUUAGGUACACUAAGUGGUUCACUCAAUUUUGGCAUUUUAGUAUCAUUGGCAAGUGGUGUAGGACUCCAUGAUUCUGUGUUGUCCACAAGCAACGGAAAAAAAGCCUGCAGAAAUGUUUCGAAUACUUUGAACGAAAUAAAGGUACAUUAUUAGGCAAGUGAUUGUGGCGGCAGAGAUAGCAGUUUGAUUGCUACACAAUUAUGUGUUUCACAAGAUUUUGCUAUUUUAAAUUAUAGUAAAUUUGAUUAAAUCCCACUCGGAAAGUUUGAAAUUUCUUGAUGUUGCUUAGUUAAAAUUUGGAUAUGGACAAUUAUGAUAUUUGUGAAUUUGGGUUCUUUUUAUAGGUGAUUUUUGAACAUUGCUAGAAUGAUAUAUGAUCUCAGGCCUCACACUCUUAACAUCUUUACGAGGCUUACGAGGUUCGAGAUGAGUUGGUUACUUAACAUGAUUCGUUUAAUUUAAUUAUGUGUUUGUGUAGUUGGGUUGAUUUGUUGUUUGUUUCGUUUAAUUGUACAAUUAAGGAGAUGGUGUUUACAAUAAUAAUAUUGAAGAUAGUUUGUAACUAGAGUAUGUUGUUAAUAAUUUGGUUAUGAGAAAUUGAGGCCGACACAAGUUUAAUCUGGCUUUCUCGAGAUGAUCUGACCUCGAGAAGAAAGAUUAUCUCAAAGUAGUUUUGUAAGUUGCUUCUCUCUGUUUUUGGACAAUGUAAAUUCUUACAUUACAUCUGCCUCUUGCAGGUAACAUCUUUGCUUUUAGGCUCUUUAUAUCGCCGAUGUAAGUUUUGCUCCAUAAAUUUCAGUGUUUGGCUAGAUCUCCUACAACUGUACUUUUAAAGAAAAAUAGAAGAAAUCAAGAACUGAGUUUACUGUACUUUUGCAGUGAUAAUCAGAUAUGUACCGGUUUUGCUUCGCAUAGUCACACCUUUUCUUUGUACAAUUGCAGACCCACUUUUAGGGGUAUUAUGAUGAGGAACGAGUGUACAGAAGACUUCUCAGGUCUUCCAUAUCUAUAUGCCCUCCUGCACUGCUUGAUUUGUGCCUGGUAUGGCAUGUCGUUUAUGUCAGAUGAUAAUGUGCUUGAUAACUGUAACCUUAUACAGCUACAUUUACUUUAAAUGUCUUGAACACAGUGGUUGCAAAUAAUGGUUAAAUGAUUAAUAUUUACACUGAUCUACUGCUUUUACACUGAUCACUGCUUAUGAUGUUGAAAAACCAAAAUUUGGUGGAGAAAUUGGGAUCAAUGGAGGGAGCUUGCACUGACACACGAAAUCUGUCAAAGCCUAGAUUACAAAGUAAUACUUUACUUGACUGAUCGACGGUUCAACUCAGCAGGAUAUGGAGUAUGCUCGCAGUGUACAUAACAUCCAAUCUCCCAAGGUCUCAUCAUCUACUUUGGAGACAACCUCAAAAUGGGUGUAGUUGCACUUGCACCCAAAAAUGAAGCCAGUGCAAAAAUCAAAGAGAUGACCCAUUUGUUAAAAAUGUUGAGGCUGAAGAGUACAAGGGAACCAAGGUCAGAGAUGUCUCCUCCGCUAAGAGAUGAGGAAAUAUGGCAGUCGUUGGUAUUUGGGAAAUGCAUGUUAGCAAAUACAUGGAUUAUAAAUUGUAUGAGUGACAGGAUGAUAAUAUAGCGUCUCAUAGUCUAAUAUUGCCAAUGACAGGGCUAAUAGCAAUAGCACUUUCAAAAGUAGGUUUGCAGCUGUGAAAUUCACUCAAAGUUGUGAAAUUUGUGAAAUUUGCUUUUGCUCUAACAUGUAAUACCCCGGGUUCCAUUCUUUUGUUUACUUGAAUUUGAAUUGUAUUGUUAUCUUUGUUUUUUUAUUAUAAUUAUCCAAAAAUAGAUGUCCAUCUUGACUUUUGGUUGGUUAUUAGACAGAGGAAUUGAGCCCGGAAAUAAAAGUGUUACUAAUUAUCAUCCAUUAUUAAAGCAAUUAUUAUAUUAGACCAAUUUUAUUUUUGCACUAUUUGAAAUAUUCACUUUAUCUGAAUGAUGAAUGGUUCUUCUUUCAGUUAAUACAGUGUCAUUCACUGGUUAACAAAUGACCUCUUAAAUUAUUCAUGAAAUCAUUUAAAAAUAUAUAAAGUUUAAUUGACAAAUUUAUCUUUUUUAAUAAAAUUAUACUCAAAUUUUUGGUUGAAAUGUAUGUAGCUUUAAGAUUAUAAUCACUUUUAGCCGAAAGUACUUUAAUAUUAGUGUUCAUAAAAAUAAUUUUUGAAUAACUUAUUAAUGAUUAAUUAUUUUAUGUAACGGUUUAAUAAAAUUAUACAAAUAUAAUGAUUUCUAAUUUGAGAAUAGUUUUUUAUAGUUCAAAACAAAAUUUAUAAUAAAAAAAUUUAACGAGUUAUCAGUAAUUAAUAAUAUACAUUUACAAUUAAAUUAUCCAAAUUAAUUAUAAAAUAUUAAAAUUUAAAAUAUUUGACUAAAGUGCGAGGCGUCACCGCUCGGCGACGUCGAGGGGCACUUGAUAGAAUAUGACUUUUCAUAUAUUACAAAGUUUAGCUAUAUAAUUAUUUUGAUUAUAAGAUAUUAAAAUAUAAAAUAUUCGACUAAAGUGUGAGGCGUCGCCGCUCGACGACACCGAGGAGGACUUGAUAAAAUAUGACUUUUCAUAUAUUACAAAUGUUUAGCUAUAUAAUUAUUUUGAUUAUAAAAUAUUAAAAUAUAAAAUAUUCUACUAAAGUGUGAGGCGUCACCGGUCGGCGACGACGAGGAGCACUUGAUAGAAUAUGAUCUUUCAUAUAUUACAAAGUUUAGCUAUAUAAUUAUUUUGAUUAUAAGAUAUUAAAAUAUAAAAUAUUCGACUAAAGUGCGAGGCGUUGCCGCUCGGCGAGCCGAGGAGUACUUGAUAAAAUAUGACUUUUCAUAUAUUACAAAUGUUUGGCUAUAUAAUUAUUUUGAUUAUAAAAUAUUAGAAUAUAAAAUAUUCGACUAAAGUGCGAGACAUCGCCGGGGAGCACUUGAUAAAAUAUGACUUUUCAUAUAUUACAAAUGUAUUAUAUAAUUAUUUUGAUUAUAAAAUAUUAAAAUAUAAAAUAUUCGACUAAAGUGCGAGGUGUCGCCGAGGAGUACUUGAUAAAAUAUGACUUUUCAUAUAUUGAAAAUGUUUAGCUAUAUAAUUAUUUAAAUUAUAAAAUAUAAAAUAUUCGACUAAAGUGCGAGGCGUCGCCGAGCGGCGACGCCGAGAAGUACUUGAUAAAAUAUGACUUUCAUAUCUUUAAAAAUAUUAUGUAAUUUUCGAACGUAAAUGAAUUUUAAUUACGAAUUAACUUUUAUAAAUACUCAAGUUAUACAACGGUUUUUGUUGAAUUUGAUUUUUAUUUUACACUGAACUUUUAUUUUUAUAACUACAAAAUCACAAGUUAUAUUUAAUAUUUUUUUUAUAACUCAAUUGUUGUUUUCUUGCAUAUAAAAGUUUGUAAGUAUAAGUAAUGGAUAUAAUAACGUCAUAUUAAUUUUCAAAAUAUAAUCAAUAUUUUAAAUCUUAUUGACAAAAAAAGGACUAAAUUCUAUCUAUUAUUUUAAAAUAUUAUUUUAAAAUAUUAUUGUAUAUACAAAUACUCACAAAUACUCCAUGACGCUGACGAACAUCCAAUAAUCAUUAUCAGGUAGUGAAAGAUCUGAGGAACACAUUAAAAUUUGUACUUCAAUAAAACACAAUUGAAAGAUGAAUUUUAGCCAAAAUAAAUAUGCAUGAAUACAGGUUGGCAAAUUGGCGUAACAACCACUGAGCUACUCAAGUACAAGGACUCGAUGAAAGGCCUCUACUACUCCCAGAACCUGAAAAUGCUAUUUCUAUAAUUCCAUCACGUUAUUUAUCUUAUUUAAUGUACUGUUCUGUGAUAACGUAUGGGAACUCGCUAAUAUGGAAUGCUAGCUUUGCAUUUGGUCUCCUCGCCAUAUUCACAAAUCAUUAGGAUUCAUAUAGAAUUGGUGCGUGUUCAAAACAGAAUUUUUUCAAGCACAAGAUCAGCAAAAAUAAAUUUAUUAAUCUUCUGCAAUUUAAAAUGCCCAGCAAGGCGGGCAUAAAUACUAGUUCUUCAUAUUUACACAACCAUUGAUCUGUCUUGCAACAAAUUUCAAGGAGAAGUUCCAAAGGUUACAUGAGAGCUUAAAUGGCUUGCAUUGCUCAAUCUAUCUCAUAAUAGUCUCACCGGACAUAUCCCAUCACUCCUCGGAAAUAUGGAAGCACUCCUAUCUCUAGAUUUGUCUUCAAAUCAAUUGACAGGGGCUAUUCCACACCAAUUAACUAAAUUGACAUUUCUAAAGGUGUUGAACCUCUCGGGAAAUAAUCUUACUGGGGAAAUCCCGCAAAAAGGGCAAUUCAGCACUUUUGGAAAUGAGUCAUACUUGGGGAACCCGGCCUUGUGUGGACUUCCUUUGACGGAAAAAUGCAUGCAUGCAGUGUCACCAACUCAAGAAGUCGGAAAUGGUGAUACUGAUGAAGAUGACGAUGCUGAUGAUGAACUUAAUUGGGAAGCCAUCCUGAUGGGAUAUGGAUGUGGAUUGAUAUGCGGAUUGUCUUUGGGGUACAUUGUUUUCAAGAUAGGAAAGCCUUGGUGGUUUGUGAAAUACAUUAAAAUACUACAACUGAAAUUGAUGAAAACAUGCACAAAGCAUAGCAGACGAAAGACUUGAGGAGAUGUUGUCUUAGGAUGCAAUCUCGUUUAAUACUUUCAUCAUUAUUCUCCAAGAUGUCUGAACAUGUAUUUUCAAAGAAUUCUCAGUUCACCUUUAGCCUUAUAAAGUAAAAGACAUUUUAAAGGCACUCUCAACUUACACCUAUAUAUACACGUACGGUUCACUUCAGUACAAAGAUUAUUAGCCAUGCAAAACAUGCAGAACCACUAGUAAUGCAGAAAAACAAAAUAUCAGUUUUCUCCAAAUAUCACUACAACAAAACUGCCAUUUUACGACGGAAAUCUAAUAUUCUAAAGGUUUACGACCAAACUAUGUUGGUGGACUUUAUUUUAAUUUACAGUUUUAACAGUAGUUAAUUUUGGAUAUCUAAACUUGCGACAGAAAACAUACGACAGUCUACCUCGCGAGAGAAAAUCAUUUUAUUUUAUUUUUUAGCGCCAGAAUUUUAAUACUAAAAUAUUAUAUAUAUGAAGGAAACUGAUCUCUAAUGUUUUCAGCUUGCUCAUCCAUAUGUAAGUAAUCCGUCGAAAAAGUUAGUUUGUUGUGGUGGUGUCUUAUCAUGAGAGAAAAUGAUAAUAUCGCAAAAUAUUUGCAACUGAAAGAUAAAUUAUAAUUCUAGAAACCAUUUAGGUAACGAUGCACGAAGUUAUUUUCACUCACUUAGAAUUAAUGAUCAUAAAUAUUUGCAACGGAAAGAUACAUUAUAGUUCUAGAAAAGGAUCCACGAAGUUAUUUUCACUCACUUAGAAUUAAUUGUAAGUUAUUGUGAGUUUUUGAAUAUGGAUUAUCUCAAAUUUUAUGAAAACACAUAUUGAUUCAUAUAUACAAAUUUGCCUACCUAAUAUUAUAAUAUUUAUGGAGAAGUUGUAUGAACAAUUGUGUAGAUAAUUAUACUUUACAAAGCAUACUUCUGCUAGAUGAAUUUUGAUUAAACAAAAUCGAAAGGGAUAGGUCUGGGUCUCUCCAAGUCUUUGAGGACUCAUUCCAAGUCUUCUGACGAGGACAAAAUAUAUUGCUGGUAGUCUUUCAGUCCUUCCUAGAGUAUUUUAUGCUCUGGACUGCAUUAUGCAGCUCUCAUAUAACUUUGCGAUGCAAAACAGUGGCAAGUAAGUAUUUCCGUAUGUGUAUUUAUUUGUAUAUUAAAGUUGCGUAACAUUUGUGUUGAUAAUUUGCGUAAUGUUGAUGAGGAUUGCUCCCAAGUCUUGGACGGACUCUUUCCAAAUCUUCUGAGGACAUAUCGGUUCAAAUUAGUCCAUUAAAAAUUUUAUGAUAUGAAGCUAUCUGCAAAAUAAUAUAUAAGGUAAAAUGAACCAUUGUUUUGUGGUUAAGUUGUACAGGCAAUAUGCAGUGCAAAAUCAGGAACAGAAUAUAUGAAUACUAGUAAUAUGAUAUCGGUAUGAACGAAUAUUUUCUAUGUAGUUGUUAUUGUGAUGCGGAAAAAAUAUUGUAACCAAAAAUAAUUAUAAUUCUAAAAAUUUCCAUUAUACACUUUUUUAGUGUUCGUGGUACUUCAAAUGACAUUUCUCGCGUAUGCCUCCAAUUAAGAACUUGAUGUUCAGCAUAGUCCGAAACUAAAAUUAUUAUAAGUGUGUAAUUCAAAAUUAUAUUGCUGGUAGUCUUUCAGUUCUUCCUAGUGUAUGCAGUAGUUUCAUUCGAUACCGAUUAUUUUAUGCAUUGCCCGAGAACCAGUCUAUCUAAAACCCUAAGAUGUUAUAUUUUUAUACGUGUAUUAGUUUUGAAGAUUAAAGUUGUAUGGACAAUUGUGUUAAUAAUUUGCGCAAUUGCGCAAUGAUAACUGGGAUAGGUCAUCUUCUCUCCCAAGUCUUGGAUGGAAUCUUUCCAAGUCUUCUGAGAACCCAUCAGCUCAGAUUAGUCCAUACAAUGUCAAGGGUCCUAUGAUAUGGUCUACUAACAGCCCAGUGUCGGUAAUAAAUCCAAUUGCAUAUAACCUAUUCAAAAUCAAUCCCCUAUAAACAAUCAUCUCUAAAAACUAUUCACAUAAAAUAAAAUUUUAAAAAUAUAAAAUAUCUAGUUGUUUUCAAUAUAUAAUUUUCCACAGUAGAUAACACAAUAUCUUUAUCAAAUUAUUAUUUAUGGGUUCAAUAUUUAAGCUAUAAUUCCAACAACACGGCAAGCAUGCAGCAUAUAAAUAGAAGUGUGCAGUAUGGUAUUGCAUUCAUAACCCAGUUGAGGAAAAAUAUGGCACCCUUCCUAAAGCCUUCUCACCUUCUUCUCUUUGUUUUCUUUCUCUCAUCACCUGAGUCCAUUCUUGCGACAACACGAGAAGGAGAAGCUCUUGUGAAGUGGAAGAAUAGCCUAGCCCCUUCUUCUUUUCUUGAUUCUUGGUCACUCACUCAUCUCGAUAAUCUUUGUAACUGGACUGGCAUUACUUGUAACUCUGCAGGUUCAGUCUCUAAGAUUAACCUUUUUGAGAAACAACUUAAUGGAAUGCUGUCCGAGUUUGGUUUCACUUCAUUUCCAAAUCUCAGCAAUCUCACCCUCACAUACAACUUCUUCUCGGGUCCCAUACCACCAGCCAUUGAGAAUUUAACCCAGCUUCGGUAUCUUGAUUUGAGCUAUAAUUAUCUGGAUGGUCCCAUUCCGUUCCAGGUUAGCCAUCUUCAGAGCUUGCUCAUCUUGAACCUGUCACAGAAUGCAUUGCAAGCUCCAAAUUGGUCCCAUUUCUCUCCCAUGCCUUUCUUGCGCAUCCUCAACCUCAGUUACAAUCCUCUUGCGUCGAAAUUCCCAAAUUUUAUAUCCAAUUCUCAUAGCCUGACUCACCUUAGCCUUAAUUUUAAUGAGUUUACUGGUGAUCUAGUACGUGAAUCAAUAUUUGCCAAUCUGCAUAAUCUUGAAGUCCUCAGUCUUCUUGGCAAUUUUUUUGAGGGGCCAUUUCCGCCAGAUAUAUUCAAGCUUUCCAAAUUAAAACAUCUUCACCUGUCAGGUAACAAAUUCUCAGGUUCAAUUCCAAAUGACAUAAGGUUGCUUUGUGGUCUUGAAAACCUAUUUUUAAGCAACAAUUCCUUUGAAGGACCGCUUCCACCAAAUAUAUUUAAGCUUUCAAAAUUAAAACAACUUGUUCUUUGGAGUAAUAAUUUUUCAGGUUCUAUUUCCAAUGAUAUAGGUUUGCUUUCUGAACUUGAAACCCUCAAUCUUCAAUUUAAUUUUUUUGAGGGGCCGCUUCCCCCACAUAUAUUUAGGCUCUCUAAGUUAACAGGUCUAGAACUCGGAGACAAUAGAAAUUUAUUUGAAGGAAGUAAUAUUCCUAUCGGACUGGGACUCUUGACUAACCUCAGGUACUUAGAUUUACAUUCCAGUAAUCUCAGUGGCUAUAUUCCAUCUGACAUUGGAAACCUGAAGCUACUAGUACUUCUUAGUCUCGGUUCUAAUCAAUUGACUGGACCGCUUUCAAAGAUCGUUUAUAAUCUCACAAAUCUUAUAUUUCUUGAUGUAAGUAAUAAUAGUCUUAGUGGAAAUAUUCAGAGUGACUUGUGGAAAUAUAACCAUCAUCCUACUUUGGAAUACAUCGAUUUUAGUGGGAACCAUUUUACAGGUAUAUUUUUUCUCUAUAGAUCUUUUCCUUUUGUCAUAUGUAACUAAGCUAGUAAUCUGAUUAUUGCAGUUUUACUGAAGUUUCAACAAUCUUGACAGGUGAGCUUCCAACAACAAUUUGCAAUGUCAUGUCCCUUUCGGUUCUUGAUUUGUCAAAUAAUGAAUUAAGUGGUGCACUUCCAAACUGUUUCGGGAAUCUUGCUGAUGGAUUGCUUUACAUUAAUCUUGCUAAUAAUCAGUUUCGAGGAACAAUACCAACUACUUUCUCCAGGAGUUGUCAGCUGACAUAUCUAAACAUGGAUAAUAAUGAGUUUGAAGGAUUGUUGCCCCCAUCUUUGGCGAACUGUAAGCACUUGAGAAUUCUUGAUAUUGGCAAUAAUAAAAUAGGUGGUACAUUUCCGUCAUGGCUUUAUGUACUUGGAGAGCUAGAAGUCCUUGUCUUGCGAUCAAAUAAACUCUAUGGUACAAUAAGUGGAAGGAGCAUAGAAGAUCCCUUCCCCAAGUUGCGGAUUGUGGAUCUGUCCAACAAUCAAUUCACAGGCCAUUUGCCAAUUCAAUACUUUAAGAAUAUGAAAUCAACUGAUAAUUUGUAUCGUUAUCAGAAUUCCACAGGAGUUUUUUCUUUCCAUUAUGAAGCAUCUGUCUCAUUAACUGUGAAGGGAACAGAGUAUGAAGUGAAAAAUAUCCUUCAUAUUUACACAGCCAUUGAUCUGUCCUGCAACAAGUUUCAAGGAGAAAUUCCUGACGUUAUUGGAGAGCUUAGAUGGCUUGCAUUGCUCAACUUAUCUCAUAAUAGUCUGACAGGACCUAUCCCAUCAUUACUGCGAAAUAUGAAAGGACUCCAAUCUUUAGAUUUGUCCUCAAAUCAACUGACAGGGGCUAUUCCACCUCAGAUAACUGCACUGACAUUUCUAGAAGUCUUAAACCUCUCGGGAAACCAUCUUAGUGGAGAGAUUCCUCAGAAAGGACAAUUCAGCACAUUCAACAAUGAUUCUUAUAUAGGAAACUCCGCAUUAUGUGGAUCACCAUUGACGAAGACAUGUGCAAACACAGCAUCACCUCCACAAGAAGUCGGAAAUGUUGAUGAAGAUGAUGCGGGUGAUGAAUUGACAUGGGAAGCAAUCUUGAUGGGAUAUGGAUGUGGACUGAUAUGUGGAUUGUCAUCUGCAUACAUUGUUCUCAAACUAGGAAAGCCUUGGUGGUUUGUGAGAUAUCUCGAAGUACUGCAACAGAAGUUGAUGAAAAGAUAUGCAUGAAGAAUGGUACUGGCCGAUCAAGACCAACUUGAAAGUUUGUUGUCCUUGUGCACAUUUCUGAACCAGUAGUGUACUUGCUGCAUAAGUAUUUGGUAUUAUGUAAUAAUCCGUUUGGUCGGGACUCAUAAUGAUUUCUCUUGCUUCAGGGGUAUUAAUAUUAACCUUGCUAUCUUGAUCAAUGUUAAAGCAAAUUAAAUGAAUGAAAAAACAAAAAGUAUGCAUCAAAUCCGCUCCUGCUGUACCAAAAUCCAUUAAAUUGCUUUGGUCUCUUACCUAACAAUUUAACAGCACACUUCCACACUGUUCAUACCUAAUUUGCGUGUAAUAUGAAAACUAAGAGGCAUGGCUUUUGUCUCUAUAAGUCUUUGAGAACUUAUUCUUCCAAGUCUUCUUCGGAGGCCUGCUGCCUCAACAACCUUUCAAAGAUGUAGCAGUUGCUCGAGAGUAACAUAUAUAUUAGAUAAAGACUAUGCAAUAAUCCACGUGACAGAAAAACCAAAGUCCAAUUAGUUUUCCAAGUUCAUAAAAAAUACUAUAGGAUCAUUAGCAUUACAUUAGUAUUCCACUAGCAUACAGCAUAUUAUAAGACAAAAGUAAGCGGAAAUAAACAUAAUUUCAAUAGAUUUAACUUACUCUUCAGAAUCGAUAAGUUUGGAACACGUUGAUUGAGCACAAGACGAAGGCCACACAUGCGCAUCAUCUGAUGCAGCUAUAUAUGGUGCCUUUACAGUUGCUCAUACAUAUAGUGAAACAAUAAGGAUCAACUCCUCCAUUGUACGUACACAUUUUCAUACAAGCUAUAAAGCAUGGUGAUAGAGUCUUUGCAAUCUCGUCAUGACCGGCACAUCCGAUUAUGAUAAACUCUAGCAGGAUCAUCCAAGUAAUAAUUUUCAUAAUGAUAUUAAUUAUCAUUGUGAAUAGUUGCAUUGAGUUAUAUAUGUGUGUGUAUAUAUAUGCAAUGGAUUUUGUGGUUGAGAAUAUCUAUUAGAUUUUGUAUAUCCAUAACAAUUAUUAAAAUUUAAACAAGAAUAUCUAUUAUUGGUUGUGGUUGACUAUUGUAGUAGUCCAAGAAAUCAAUGCAAGUGAAAUCUAUAUUAUAUUUUAAAAGAUUAUACAUGAAAUACAAAAGGUUUUUUUAGGACUGCUGUUAAAAAUUGUUAUGUUGUACGAAAAAAUGCUGAUAAAAAGAGUGUUAUACGAAAAAAUGCUGAUAAAAAAAAUGUCGUAUAAAUCAGAUAUGACAGCUUCCCACAAAAACUAAAAAAAACAGUUUUCCGUAAUAAUAUGGGAGAGGAAAAACUGUUUGUAGAUUUAUAGAACAAUUUUUCGGUAAAAAACUGUUGUUGUUUUCGAGAGUAAUGACAAACAGUGCCGAAAUCAUUUUGCAGGUAGUUAAUCUCACUUCCAUAUAAUAUACUCCUAUAUAUUACCGAAAAAACAUGAAAUGAUGCAAACCUCAUACUAUUGACAACAGCUAAACUCCUUGCAAUACUUUCAGCUGCAAAAUCCAUCAAAUUUUUUGAUUUAUCAUGUAACUGUUUGACAGAGUACUUCCAAGCCUAAGUAUCAAAAAUCACUACCUUACGAAAUAUAUCUCACCCUACCUUCUCUGCUUAACUGUUUCGAGUGCUUUUACCAAGCAUAUUUUCCAUUAAGCGUGAAAGGCACAGAAUAAUUAGGAUCACCGAAUAUCCCAUCAGUGCUGGGGAAUAUGGAACCAUCUUAUCAAUUAACUAGUUUAACAUUUCUUGCGGUCUUGAACCUCUCAGAAAACCAUCUUAUCCUAAUGUGCCGACUUCCUUUGACGGAGAAAUGGUGAUGCUGAUGCUAAUGAUAAUGAACUCAACUGGGGAGUGAUCCUUAUGGGAUACGGAUGUGGAUUGAUAUGCGGAUUUUCUUUGGGGUUUAUAUUUUGUGGUUUGUGAGAUACAUUGAAGUACUGCAGCUGGAGUUGAUCAUUAUAAAGAACAUAGGCAAGUUAAUCGCUUAUUGAAAUUAGUAAUUGUCAAAAGUAAAAUGUUGAAAUUACUUUUUUCGAUUGAAAUCAUUGAAAAAAAGUCUCUGUCGAAAUUGAUCUGCCAAAAUUAUGUUUAAUAUCUACGGCCAAGAUUAUCUGUCGAAUAUAUUUCCCGACAAUUUUAAAAGACAAAUUUUUCGCCUCUCAGCUGUGAGCGGGAACAGAUAUUUUCGACAGAAUUCCAUUGAAAUUAGCUAAUUUCAACAUAAAUUUUCUAUCGAAAUUACUUGAGUUCUUUGUAGCUUGUUUUCACAAAUACGCUGAUAGCCUUUGGGGACGGGUAUAUUGUUUUCACAAAGCCCUGGUGGUAUGUGAGAUGCUUCGAAGGACUGCAACUGAAGUCGAUAAGAACAUGCAGAAAGAAAACCGAUCCAUCUUGAUAAACUUGAAAAAUGUUGUCAUAUGGUGAUAUAUACUCCCUGGCCCCAGUCUCUUGGAAAGAACUUGGUUGAUUUUUUUUUUUCAGUAUUGUUGGAGCUGUCAUACUAGUGCUAGUGUGCCGACUAGCACUAGUAUGACAGCUCCAACAAGUAUCCAUCCCUAAUAAUUGCAGCAAAUUAAAAAAUAUAGCUAUAUCUUUUUAGCAAUGGUGCAAUUUGGAAAGCUUUCUCAUCAUCUUCUUCUUUUCUUUAUCUCAUUACUCUCAUCUAGUUCCACUGUCCUAUCUGCAACAAUUCGCGAAGGAGAAGCUCUUGUGGAAUGGAAGAACAGCCUAUCCCCGAAUUCAUUUCUUGGUUCUUGGUCACUAAUUAAUCUCACUUAUCUUUGUAAUUAAGUGGACUGGCAUUGUAUGCAACUCUGCAGGUUCAGUCAGUCAGAUUAAUCUUCAAGAACUCACACUUGCUAACCUCCGUUUCUUUUCGUUUCCAAAUCUCACCAAUCUCAACAUUACACAUAACAACUUCACUGGUCCAAUACCACCCGAGACUUUAGCUAUAGUAAUCUCAAUGGUACCCUUCCAUACCAGGUCAGCCAUCUUCAGAGGUCGGUCGUCUUAGGCCUCUAAUUUAAUCACUUGAAAGCUCUAAGCUUGUCCAAUUUUUCCCCCAUGCCUAUACUGGUUGGUCGCGGUCUUGGUGGUAAUAAGCUGGCGUCAAUUUUUCCAGAAUUCAUAUCUAAUUGCUAUAACAUGAUUAACCUUGAUCUUUCAUUUAACAUGUUAACUGGUGAUCCCUUCAACAACUUGCGAAUCUUGGAUCUCUUCGACAAUGAAUUCACUGGUUACUUGCCAAUCCAAUAUUUUAAUAAUAUGAAACCAGUUAAUACCGUGAUUGAUUAUUACAACAUAACAGUGAAUCAUGAUUAUCAAGCAUGUCUUGUUAACAUUUUGCACUCGUAUUAAUUGUCUUAUAUAUGACUAACUCAUCUUGCACUCGUAUUAAUUGUCUUAUAUAAUACUAAUAACAAAAAUAUGAGGCGGUGCUUAGUCAGAUGAUUUUAGUUGUUAAAAUAUUUUUGUGUUAUUUAUAGAUAGUGAAACAUGUCUAAUAUUUUAUCAAUUUUGUUUCGUUUCUUGAGAUUUCCAAAUAUUUAUUGGGACAUUGUACCAUGGUGUAUUUCACAUAUUCGCAAUUUUAAUUAUUUUGUAUUUUUAUUUUAAAGAUAUGAUAAAGUUUAUUUAUUUAUUUGUUUUUAUCUUAAAAGCGAUUUUCGAGUGUUGCUUAAACCUCGAAGAUUCCAAUCGAGUUUUAUUCUCGGAUCUGUUUCGGAAUUGAGCUUGGCCUUGAUUGUUUUCUGAAUAAAUCAGAUCUUUUGAAAUCAAAGGUUCGAUUGUGUUUUCCCGUCUCGCCUUUUGGCGUGUGUUGAUUUAGUACCCAAUUUUUGGGUGAUUCUGCGUUGUUAUAUUUGUGGUUGUUAUGUCUUUCUGUGUUAUCAAUGAGAAUGAUUGGGAUGGAGUUUUGGGAGAUUUGGCUUAUCGCAUCAUUACAUCUUUCGGCAUGUCUAUAGCUGGCUCCCGGCAUGUAGAUAGCUGGGGUAUGCUUGGAACGGUGGCGAUCGCAUGUGCUCACCUGUCACAAAUUAUAGUUGUUCAUUAUUCGAGGGCUCUUGUUCCUCGUUGCUUAGUUUUUACAACUGAGUCGUCUGAACACCGCAACAGCCAUGGAACUAUUGUGAAGGUCAAUUGUGAAGCUAUCAUUUUCGAGAUUGAUGUAGGCUGGAUUACUCGAGAAGCUUUUGUAUUCAUUUUCAGUUUCAAGAAUUCUUGAAUUCAGUGUGUUAAGCAGUCUGGAAACAAUGCGGCUAUUUGAUUAGCUCGUUUUAUUGUUUAUCAACCUGAUUGCAUUGUCAGUUGGGGAUUUGUCCCGAUUAAACUUGUUUUAAUAUAAUGGAAUGAAUUUGCAUUUUGUCAAAAAAAAAAAAAAAAAGCGAUUUUGAGUUGUUUGAGUUAGAUAUAUACUCCUACUGUGGUUCAACUAGUUUUGCCAUAAGUGAAUAACUUCCGGUCAAUAUUUUGAAAUUUGUCGUUAUCUUCUAAUUAAAAUAAAGGGUUAAAUAGCUACUUCAUCAUUAAUAUCGUUGAAAAUUUGCAGCUGAGUCAUGUUGUUGAAAAGACUUUCAAACUGCAUCAUUAAGUAAUUAAAAAAUUUCAAAAACACCACUCUCCGUCAGUUAUGUUAAACAAUUAACGGAAAGUUCGAAAAAAAAUAAAGAAAAGACAAAAAAACAUUAAAAAAAUUUGAAAAAAAAACCCGAAAAAAUGUGAAUAAACUAUGAUAUUUUUUUUCUUUUUUUGAAAAAUGUGAAUAAAAUCAAAAAAUCAAAAAAAAUGGGAAACCAAAAGUGGCAAGCUUUUUUUUUUUUUGUUCCUUUCAAAUUUUCUAAAAUCUGGGGAAAAAAGAACUUGCCAACUAAUUUUUUCCAAAUUUUUUCAAAUUCUUUUCAGAUUUUUGAAUUUUUUUCCAAUUUUUUCCUCACUUUUUUUCUGUUUUUUUUUGAAUUUAUUAAGAUUUUUUUUGUUUUUUCUGCUUAUUCUGAAUUUUUUAAGAUUUAUUCGCAUUUUUAAAAAAUAUUUUUGAAUUAUCCGUUAAGUAAUUAAUGGAACUGACGGAGAGUGAUGCUUUUGAAAGUUUUUAAUUACUUGAUAAUGCGUUUGAAAAUUUUUUCAACAACAUGACUCAGUUGCAAGUUUCCGGCGAGGUUAGUAAUGAAUUAGUUAUUUAACUCUUAAUAAAAAUCUAUCUAAACAAUAUUAUAAAUAUAAUGUUAUGGGUUCGAUGAGUCGUGUAAAACAUGGAAGAAGUUUAGGUGGGGUAAAAAGAGCCUAGCUGUGUGAUUUCCAUUCUGUUAUACGUGAUAUACUGUAGUUGAUCAUCUCCUUUGUCCGCUUCAUCCUGUGCAACCUUAACCUUUAAGGAAAAACUUAUGAGAUUCUCUAGUGCAUCUAAAUUCUUGUGUGAAGAAUGUGAAGAAAAAUGUUAGUCUCAGAUUAUUUUUCCUAAAAUGCUUGCAUGUUACAUUUUAUAUGUAUGUCCUGACUUUAAGUAUAAUUUAGCAUUUUUAUUUAGUAUUGUGUAAAAAUAAUAUAUUUUAUUCAGUCUUAUUAAAAAUAUAAUCAUGUUAUACUGUAAAAGUAUUUGUGAAUUUCUUUGUUACAUAUGUGUUUAAAUUAUUUUAUUUAUAUAUGUUUUACAAUUUUUUACAAAUAUAUAGGUUGAGUAUUGCAUAGGAAUAUAAUUACACGUUAGCAAAUAUGAUUAUGUGUAAACUGUUCUGCGUGCAUGUAUAUUGCUGCUAAGUUUUAAACUUCUUACUAACCGGAAUAAUUUUGACAGAUGUGUGGAACUUGAUUAAUUUAGUUGCACUAUAAGAGAAAGCGUUUUUGUCAAUAAAAAUUGUUAAGGAAAUUAGUCCGUUGGUAGUUCUCAACGGAUUUGUAACAAUUUGACUGGUCAAUGUUCUGUCAACCAAUUCGUAAUGAAAUACCCACACUUAUUUACAACGAGAUGUUCUAUUAGGAAAUAUAGCCACACAAUGGAAUAAUAACAAAAGACCAAGGAAUGAGCAACAGACUAGCAACGAAAGUAUCUGUUAUUACAUUCGUUGAUAUUCCCUUGAUAAAUACUAGACUUUUUAGCACUUUGGUGGCUUGUACUAUUUCAAAUUUGCACGUUAGUGGCCGACCUUUAAAAGUCAUCAAUUGUGUUGCUGAACUUAUUUUUUUUUAACACAUUAGGGGCUCCGCAUCAUAUCCGUUAAAUCGAAGUAACGGCGUCAAAUGAUCAAUACAUAUCUCCUCCUCCUCUUAUUUCCCUCCAAAUUAAAAAACGAAACGGCUACCCUCUUUUCCGAAGCAAGAACGACGACGAAUUCCUGCUUACAGAGAUGAGUUGGUUCCGGCGUCUUAAAGAGGAUGCUGAUGUGUAUUAGCCUCGACAGUGCCCCGAUUACUGUAGUAAGCUCUUCAACUUUUCUUCUUUGUAGCAUAUGAAAUGAGUUUAAUUGACCAUUAUUUCAGUGUUUGUUGUUGUUAGUGGCUAGUUGUUUAGUAUUAUGGACCUGCAAUUGCUUUAUACUAUUAAAAUGAAAGAUUCUGCUUGUGGGUUUUUAAAAAUUAAGGCUUUUACAUAGUCCAAGAUUCGGUCAUUAUAAAAUCAAUUUAUGCCUGUUUUAGUAUAGUGCUUGUUGUUAGUGGCUAUUUGUUAAGUAUAGUGUUGUUUAUUGUAAAUAAAACUGUUGCUUUGCACUCUACAUUUGCAGAACCUGGUGAUUUUACCCUAAAAAUAUAUCAUGGGGCCGAUUGGGUAGAUAACCCUAGGGCAUAUGUGGGAGGUACAGUAGAUUUCUUUGACUUCUGUAAUGCUGAUCAGAUCAGCAUAAUUGAGAUAUAUAGUAUGUUGAAAGAGGUUGAUGAGUUUGGGUUUCACCAACUGUGGUAUAAGCUACCUGGCACUACAUUCGAUAGAGCUUUUGUACUAAAUAAUGAUGAGGAGCUAAUGACCAUGUGUGAGCUUAUAUCUGAUGUGGAUAAGUAUAUGGAGAUUUAUGUCACCACUAUGGCACAUCUAAGUAUAGUGCCCUAUAGAGAUUUAGAGGUUGAAUUUGUUGAACCAACUCCUAAAGAAGCACCUGAAAAGAACAAUCCAUCACCUGAAAAGAUCAAUCCAGCACCUGAAAAGAUCAAUCCAGCACCUGCAAAGAUGUAUCCAGCACCUGCAAAGAGCAUUCCAACUGUGGGAAAUGAUGAUGAUCAGGAAGAGUUUGAGUUUGAUUUUGACAAUACACGGUUUUGGGAUACCACCCAAAAUGAAAUUGAAAUUGUGCAACAAGUUAGGGAAAUGGAGGGGUUGGAAGAGGAAUUUUCAGACACAGAUUCUGAUGAUGAGGAUUUUGUGCCAGAAGAAAAGGAAAGUAGUGAUGAGACCUUCCACUGUGAUAGUUCCAAUCAAGAUAAUUCUGAUGAUGAUUUGUUGUUUGAUGAUGAUUACUACCAUCCUUACCAGCAGAUGGAAACCAACAAAGAAAAAUAUACAACAACAACAACACAGCAAGAAUUUUCCAGUUCCUUGCUUGCUUCUGCGCCUCGGAUAGUUCUUCACUGUAGAAAUCCUUGUACUCAUCUUUGGCCUUAAUCAUUUCAGCAAAACAUUCAUCGUCCUUGUUCUUCAAACGCCUUAUCAGUCCAUUGAUUACACUCUUGCUGCGCGCAUCAAACUCGGGUUCAACCCACUUGAAGAAAUUGCACCUUCCAUUCACGCAAGUCAAGAAUCUUCUACCCGGAUUGUACUCCGUCCACGAUGUCUUCUCCACUGCCCAGCUUCCACACAUACAUUGUUGAUUCAUCUUUGCAGAGCUUUUUGGUUUGGAUGAGAGAUUUAGGUUUGAAUAUGCUCAAUUACACACAGCAGAAACGUAUAUAUAUACACAGCAUAUAGCCGUUGCAAAAAUAUUUUCCUGAAAUACCCCUGACGACCGUUACUUCGAUUUAAUGGAUAUGAUGCGGAGCCCCUAAUGUGUUAAAAAAAAAAUAAGUUCAGCAACACAAUUGAUGACUUUUAAAGGUCGGUCACUAACGUGCAAAUUUGAAAUAAUACAAGCCAUCAAAGUGCCAAAAAGUCUAAAUACUAACAGUUUCGUUAGUAAUUGAUUAUUAGUUUUACAUGGACAAUUGAUAUACACCACAUGAGCACAUACACGGAUACAAUGCCAGGCUCUUAGUUGAAAUGUGUGUACUGCUAAAGCUCAAGGAGAUUUAGUUGACUAAAUUGAUUUGAGUUGUAGAAAAAGGUUUAAUAAUAUAAUGGACUUUGAUAUAUGUAUUGUAGAUAUUAAGUAAUUCUCUUGAAUUUAUAUAUGUAACAUAAUUGUUAAUUGGCUCAUCCUUAACUAGAUAUUUUAUAUUACAUUCUUAACUACAGAUUUUGUAUUUAAAAUUUUUUUAAAAAAUUAACCUUUAUUUGGUAUGUGGAUUUUGUAGUCAAAUGUGGUCAAUUUACUUAGCCUUCGAUCGAAUACCUACCCAAAACAUAAAAAUAUUUUUUAAUCAUUUAUUUUCGACGAUCCAACUAUACGGAUAUUAUUGUAAUGUGAUAAUAUUGUUUACAAAUUUUUUUUAAAAAAAUUAGCCUUUUAUUUGGUAUGCGCAUUUUGUAGUCAAAUGCAAUUAAAUUACUUAGUCUUUAGUGGAAUCUUUACCCGAAACAUAAAACUUUUUUUUAAAAAAAAAUUUGGACAAUCCAACCGUACAGAUGUUAUUGUAACGUGUUAAUAUUGGUUAAAAUAAAUUUUGAGAAAAUAUGUCUUUUAUUUGGUGUGUGGAUUUUGUGGUCAAAUGCGGUCAAAUUACUUAGCAUUUAAUCGAAUACUUACCCAAAACAUGAAACUAUUUUUUUUAAAAAAUAAUUUCGGACGAUCCAACCGUACGGGGGUAUUGUAACACAAUAAUAUUGAUUAAUUUUUUUAUAGGAAAAUUAUAGCCUUUUAUUUGUUGUGUGGAUUUUGUUGUCAAAUGCAGUCAAAUUACUUAGCCUUUAAUGAAAUACUUACAUUAAACAUGAAUUUAUUUUUUUUUAAAAAUCAUUUGGAUGAUCCAAUCGUACGGAUGUUAUUAUGACAUGUUAAUUGAUUAAAAAAAUAUUUAAAAAAAAUGCCUUUUAUUUAGUAUGUGGAUUUUGUAGUAAAUGCUACUUAGCCUUUAAUCGAAUACUUACCCGAAACAUGAAACUAUUUUUCUAAAAAUCAUUUUGGACAAUCCAACCGUACGGAUGUUAUUGUAACAUGAUAAUAUUGAUUGUUUUUUUAUAUAAUAACCUUUUAUUUGGUGUGUGGAUUUUGUAGUAAAAUGCGGUCAAAUUACUUAGCUUUUAAUCGAAUACUUACCUGAAACAUGAAACUAUUUUUAAUAAAAUUAUUUUAGAUGAUCCAACCAUACAGAUGCUAUUGUAACGUGAUAAUUGAUUAUUUUUUAAAAAAAUUAGCCUUUAAUAUGGUGUAUGGAUUUUAUAGUAAAAUGAGGUCAAAUUACUUAGUCUUUAAUGGAAUAUUUAUUAGAAAUAUAUUUUAAAAAAUUAUUUUGGACGAUCCAAACUGUAUGAAUGUUAUUUUAACAUGUUAAUAUUGAUUAAAAUUGUUUUUAAAAAAAAAUUAGUUGUAUUUUAUGUGUGAAUUUUUAGUCAAAUACGAUAAAAUAUUUAUUUAGCUUGUAAUGAAAUAUUAAAACCCUACUUCAAAAGAAACUUGUCUAAAACUACCUAUAAGUGUUAGAGAAUCAUCGAUUUAGUUAUCAAAUUAGUUAUCAUAAGGGUUUUACUCCGCUUUUCUCUGGUAUGAUGUUGAUUUUUGGGGUUUGAUUGGUCGAUUUUCAUGUUUUAUAAGUUAUGUGAGUUCGAUUUUGAUGUUUUUACAAUUAGGUUUAUGUAUGUUCUUAUACAGGUUUCAUGUUCAUGUUUUGAUUUGUUGAUUUCCUAUUUUUCAUAUUUUGUUGAUUAGUUAUUUGUGUGGGUUUUGAACUUUGAUGAGUGUGUAUGUAAUCUCCUGUUUUUUUUUUUCAUUUUUCUGGUUCGAACACUUCGAUUAGUAGCUGGAAAAACAGCUGAUGCGGCAGUAGCGGCUAGUGAGAUGGAUAACAAGAAAAGGAUGAUUUCGAGGUCAUCUCGUGCAAGUCUUCAGAUAUAGUUUUGUUCCUUUAUGUUUUUAAUUGACAUAAAUUUUCACAUUUGAUGAUUAUAUUAUGGGGGAUUCUGGGUAUACUUGUAUAUAAUCUAGCAAGUUAUUAUAAUUCUGGACGGGGGGCUUAUUGUGAAAUUAAAUUGAGGGAUAAGUUGUGUUAUUGGUUCUAGUGGAUUAAAUUUAUGUUGACACUUGAUAUAUGCAUUGAUGUCGUAAAAUAAGUUGCACAUCAAACUAUUUGGCUUGUUUAAGUUGUAUGGAGUAAGGCUGUACGCGGAUCGGAUCGGUUCGGUUGGAGGGUAAUAACCAAACCAAACCGCAACUUACGGUUUUCUAAAAUCUCAAACCGCGACCAUACUGUUGGUUAAAAAAACCCAACCAAAUCCAUCCACGUAAUUGCGGUUGGUUGCGGUUCAACUGCUAAAAUAGUUAUAACAAAGAAAAUAUAUAAGUUAUUGCUUAAAAUCUUGCAUAAAGUACAGACUUUAACUCAAAAAUAUAUAAUUUAUCACUUAAAAUCUUGAAUAAAGUUAAUACAAUAAAUCUGAUUACAUAUUACAAAAGCAAACUACUCCGGAAAUAUAUAACUUGAAGCAGAGCUUCAAGUUAAUGGUUAUUAAAAAUUUCAUCCGCGACUGCCCACAUUUUACGGUUAUCCAUAAUACACGGAUCGGUUGCAGGUGGUUGUUGCGGUUAAUGCGGUGGAGCGGAUUGAACGUACAGCCCUAUGAAGUAUGGUUGCCAAGCAUUGGUUGGUUGUACACGUGUAAACAAAAUGAUAUUUUAAUAUUUAAACAAAACAAUACAGUCAUAAACAGAUCGUGUCGGGCUGGACUGAUUGUGAUUUUCCUUUUUGGAACUCGUACUCGGCAUCUUCCAAGCGAAUGAUAUUUAGAAGUUUGUUGCUAGUAUACUCCAUGUCAUAAUAAGAGUUCUUUAGAUUUUUUAUAUGUAAUUCGAAGUAUAAAAAACAUAUUUUAACAUAUUAUUUUUAAAUUUUUUAUACAUAAAAAUAUAACAUCUAUAUUUUUAUUUAGAAAAAAAUUUGAAAUAUAAUAUAUAGAUGCAUGUCUUUUUUAUACGUGAAAUUACAUGUAAAAAAUUAAAAGACUCUUAUUUUGAGUAAGAGAGAAUAUGAUGUACCAUAAAGUCAUCGAUCUUUUGUUAUCAAAUAAAUGUGAUAUUUAAUUAUUUAAGAGCAAGUCCAAAAGUAUCUUAGUUAAAGUCCUAAAUAUAAUAUAAAAUAUUACGUUCUGGUGAUUUAGGAUAUAUUUUACUAACUUGGACUCCAACAAUGUGUCUUAUUCUCAUAAGAAGUUUAAUAUUUUAUUAUUAAAGACUCUCUUUCAUCAUUAAAGCAUAAUAUAAAAGUAGAGAGAGAAAAAGAGUGUUGAUAAGAAUUAAUAAUAAAAUAUGGGAUAGGGUUAGGAGAGAUGUGCCUCAAAAAUAGGGUUUGAGGAGUUUCAUUAGGUGUGGACACGGAGACCAAGAAGUAAAAGAUGAGUACAGUUAAAUGAAGAUGUGGUAAAAUAAUGUGACCCAUUUAUAUUUAAUAAUACAUUUGAAAUAGUGGAGGAAAGUAACGAGUGUAAUAACGUUUAUAUUAUUAUAGCAUAUAGAUAGCAGAAGAAAGCAAUGGGUAUAAAAGUGUAUUAUAUUAUUAAAGUUUUGAAAUGUUUAGAAAUAAUGGGGCAAUCAAAAAGAAAACUGUAUAAAAAUGGACGAGAGAAUACAAUUCAAGAAGUAAUAUAUCUCAAUUCAAACUAGGUAAUAUAUUUAUGAAUUAUAUUAAAAAAAAUUUGACAUUCAAAUAUAAAAAUUUAUUUUAUCAUCUUAACAAUGGAAUAUUCGAUUAUUAACUUUCGUAAAUAACAUUAAUUUUUCAUUAUAAUAUACUCUAAACUUUUAUUUUAUGUGCCUGUUUGUUUACAAGAAGCUGGAGUCCUACUUCUCUUGACUCGUUUGUGUAAAAACGUAAAAAGUGCUUUUAAAAAGUACUGAGAAGGAAAUGGAAGUAGAAAAUGCUAGUUUUUCUUUAUAAUAUCUAUUUCUUUUCUAGACACUUUAAUAAUUUAUAUAUAUUAAUUUAUUUCUCACUUAUACUCCAUUUUUUUAUAGAGAACUUCUUUUAAACUAAUCGGCUCCUAUAAUCAGUAGUUUCUCAAUUUUAAUAGGAAUAAGAGCAUGUUUAUCUGAGCUUAAAGCCCGGGGUUUAUAUCAUCUCUGGCUUUAAGCUGAAAAAUGUAUGUUUGUGUAUUAAGUCGGAAGUCGGCUUAAAGUCGGAAAUAAGUCAAAAAUUGACCUAAAACCAGAAGUUAGUUUGAGAUACUUUUCUCGGUGACUAAUUUUUUUUUUAGCCAUUUUUUGAUAAAAAUUAUUCCUAAAUCACAAAUUACUCAUAAAUUACUUUUAUUAUUAUUAUUAUUAUAUUUUUAAUAACUUAUAAAUUAUUAAUAAAUCAAAAUUAAUCAAACAAAUAUUUUAAGUUCUCAUAUUAUGAGAUAACUAACGUUAAGUCAUGAAUCAACUGAACGGGAUGUAAGUCUUCUUCUCCCCGAGUCAUCAGCAGACUUUUUCCAUGUCUUCUGAGCCCCCAUUGGCUCACAAUUGGCCCAAAAAAUAUUUGGUUAUGCAUUGCUAUUCACACACUUAGACAUCAAAAUUUAUCAUCCGACAGGCGACAGCUAACUGCACACUAUUUUUCCCACAAGCUGAAAAAUCAACGAUCAAUUAAUUUUUCUUAUCAAUUAAUAAAGUUAUGAUUUCACGUACACGGCAGGCAAAAUGCUAAUAAAUAGACGAGUGCAGUAUAGUAUGGGUUCAUGAUCACCUUGAGAUUUAAUUGAAAAAUAUUAUGGUGAUAUAGAUUAAAUUAAAUUAUAAUAUCUUGAAAAGUUAUAAAUAAUUUUAAUUACUAAUAAUAUUUAUUUGUACAUUUAAAUAUUUUUAUAAAAACACAAAAAUAGCAUUAUACUCAUUUAAGUUUCUCGUAUCCGCCUCUCUUCUUGGAGAUUGUGGAUUUGCGAUAUUUAUAUUGAUUAUUAUAGGAAAAUGUUAUUUCCAGAGCAAACAUUUUUAUUUCCGGAGCAAAUUCAAACAAAUUUUUCCAAAUUGUUCUGGAAAUUAAAAUAUUGAUAUGGAUAUAACAAUUCCCUUAUUAUAUCCUAUGUAUAUUACAUUAAUGCAAUUAACAUGGUUGAUUGUUUUAGUAUAUAAUCAUAUUACUGUGACCUUUUAGUAUAUAAUUAUAUUAUUUUUGUUAUAUUUUAUGCAUCUAGAAACAAUUUUUUUAUGAUAUUUAUUAUAUUAAUUAUAGUAAAAGAUAUAAUUUUGUUUAAAAAAUUGAAUAAAACUAAGAGGGAUAGCCUACGUCUCUCCGAGUCUUCGAGGACUCAUUCCAAGUCCGAGAGGACCACAGCCUCAACCUUUAAGAGAUGUGAAAGUAGCUUGAGAGUGAUAUAAAUUUAUUUUUGACAAUAAAAUUUAAUAAUCAAAUAAAUUAAAUUAAAUUAAACUAGUUUAUAAUCGAUUAAAAAUAUAUAAAUCAAAAUUAUUCCCGAAUUAUGAUAACAAUUAAAAUCAUUUUAAAAGUUGCAUAAAUCAAAUCCAAAUCGAACAAAUUCCCCUAACACUAAAAUGUAGUUGCUUUAUUGUAGAUAAAAACAGUAUAAUAAUAGUAUUGAUGAAAAAUCAAAUUCAUCAAAUAAGUUUAUAAAAAAUACAUGAUUUUAAUUUUAAAAAAAAAACAUGAUUUUAGUGUGUUGUAUUAGUAGUGUGUCCACGCAUUUAUAUAUUAAAAUCUAUCCUCUAAAAACUAUCGAUCUAUUUACACAACUAUUGAUCUGUCGUGCAACAAAUUCCAGGGCGAAGUUCCAAAGAGAGCUUAAAUGGCUUGCAUUGCUCAAUCUAUCUCAUAAUAGUCUUAACGACAUAUGUUCUGAAUUAUUAUUAUGAUUUCAACAAUAUUUUCAAACAUUUCUUAAUAUGUAUUUUCAAAGAAUUCUCAAGCACUUGAACAUUUGGACCGGUUCUUUCGAAGCCAGGCAAUGCACAAAAAUGUCCAAAAAUGAAUAAAUUAAGAGAGAGUAGCUCACCCUUUCAAAGCCUUCCAGGACUCAUUCCAAGUCUUCGGAGGACCACUGCCUCCCCCUUUCAAAGAUGUGAUAGUAGCUCGAGAGUGAUAUAAAUUAUUUUCCCGACAUUAAAAAUAAAAAAUCAGAUUAAAUUAAUCAAUAAUAACUUAAGGAUGAAAUCCAAAUUAAUCCUAAAUUUUGAUAAUAUAUAAAAAUUAUAAUUAUAAAUUAUAUAACCAAAUCAGAAUUGAAUUAACUUACUUGGCACUAGAAUUGCUAAAGACAGUAUAAUAAUUUAAUUGAUGAAAAGUCAAAGUCUUCUAAUAAAUCCAUAAAGAAUAUGAUAAUAUGAAAAUUAUAAUUGAAAAAUCAAAAUCAAUAGUGUAUUGGAAUAGUGUUCACACACUUAUAUAUCAAAAUUUGUGGUCCAAAAACUAUAGCACAAUAUCCUAAAUACAUCACAUUAAAUAAUAGCACAAAAAUAUUCAAUAAAUAAUUGAUUUCAUUCAUAAAUUUGUUAUUUUAAAAACUAAUAAUUUGGUUGAUGUUAACCUAUAUUUUAUAUAUAAUUUCGUCUUAUUUUAUUUUACUAGAAACAAUAUUUUUAUAAUAUUUAUUACAUUAAAUAUAUUAAAAGAUAUAAUUUUAUUAAAAAAAUUGAAUAAAAUUAAAAGGAUAAGUCUCGGCCUCUCCAAGUCUACAAGACUCAUUUCAAGUCCACCGAGGGCCUCAACCAUUGAGAGAUGUGAAAGUAGCUUGAGAGUGAUAUAAAUUAAUUAAAUUAGUUAAUAAUGAAUCAAGACUAAUCAUGAAUUAUGAUAAUAAUUAAAUAAAUUAUAAAAUUAAAUUAUACAAAUAACACUAAACCUUAGUUACUUUAUUGGUAAAUAAAUAUAAUAUAAUAAUCAAAUUGAUGAAAAAUCAAAAUCAUUUAAUAAAUUCACAAAAAAUAUAUGAUCAUUAGUAUGUUAUAUUAGUAUCCACACACUUAUAUUUCAAAAUCUAUCCUCCAAACUUAUCAUCUCUGUAAACUAGCCACAUAAAAUAAAAAUUUAAAGAUAUUAGAUAUUUAGUUAUUUUCAUUAUAUAAUUUUUCCACACGAAAUAACAAAAUAUCUUUAUCAAAUUAUUAUUUAUGAGUUAAAUAUUCAAUUUAUAAAUCCAGUAUGCAGCGUAUAAAUAGAAGUGUGCAGUAUGAUAUCAGAUUCACAUAACCCAGUUGAUGAGGAGAAACAUGGCAUACUCUGCAAAGCCUUCUCACCUUCUUCUCUUUGUUUUCUUUCUCUCAUCACUUGAAUCCAUUCUUGCAACAACACGAGAGGGAGAAGCUCUUGUGAAGUGGAAGAAUAGCCUAGCCCCUUCUUCUUUUCUCGACUCUUGGUCACUCACCAAUCUCGAUAAUCUUUGUAACUGGACUGGCAUUACUUGUAACUCUGCAGGUUCAGUCUCUGAGAUUAACCUUAGUGAGAAACAACUUGAUGGAAUGCUGUCCGAGUUUGGUUUCACUUCAUUUCCAAAUCUCAACAAUCUCACCCUCGCAUACAACUUCUUCUCGGGUCCAAUACCGCCAGCCAUUGAGAAUUUAACACAGCUUCAAUACCUUGAUUUAAGCUUUAAUUAUCUCGAUGGUCCCAUUCCGUUCCAGGUUAGCCAUCUUCAGAGGUUGCUCAUCUUAAACCUGUCACAGAAUGCAUUGCAAGCUCCAAAUUGGUCCCAUUUCUCUCCCAUGCCUUUCUUGCGCAUCCUCGACCUUAAUAGCAAUCAUCUUGCGUCGAACUUCCCAGAAUUUAUAUCCAAUUCUCAUAGCUUGGCUAUCCUUGACCUUGGAUAUAACAACUUUACAGGUGACCUUGUGCGUGAAUUUACUAAUCUACAAAAUCUUGAAACCCUCUACCUAGAUGAAAAUUCUUUUGAGGGGCCAUUUCCGCCGGAUGUAUUCAGGCUUUCCAAAUUAAAACAUCUUCGCCUGUCAGGUAACAAAUUCUCAGGUUCAAUUCCCAAUGACAUAAGGUUGCUUUGUGAUCUUGAAUCCCUAUAUUUAAGCAACAAUUCCUUUAAAGGACCCCUUCCAUCAAAUAUAUUCAAGCUUUCAAAAAUAAAACAUCUUGUUCUUUGGAGUAAUAAGUUUUCUGGUUCUGUUUCCAAUGAUAUAGGUUUACUUUCUGAGCUUGAAACCCUCGAUCUUAACUCUAAUUUUUUUGAGGGGCCGCUUCCGUCAAAUAUAUUCAAGCUCUCCAAACUAAGGUAUCUUUCCCUUUGGGGUAAUAACGUUUCAGGUUCUAUUUCCAAUGAUAUAGGUUUGCUUUCUGAGCUUGAAACCCUCGAUCUUAACUCUAAUAUUUUUGUGGGGCCGCUUCCGCCAAAUUUAUUCAAGCUCUCCAAACUAAAGAUUCUUUCCCUUUAUAAAAAUAACUUUUCAGGUUUUAUUUCUAAGGAUAUAGGUUUGCUUUUUGAACUUGAAACCCUCUAUCUUGGCUCUAAUUUUUUUGAGGGGCCGCUUCCCCCACAUGUAUUUAGGCUCUCCAAAUUAAGAGAUUUGGGUCUCAGAGACAAUAGAAAUUUAUUUCAAGGAAGUAUUCCUAUUGGACUGGGACUCUUGACUAAUCUCAGGUACUUGAGUCUAUUUUCCAAUGAUCUCAGUGGCUAUAUUCCAUCUGAGAUUGGAAACCUGAAGCUACUAAAAGUUCUUGAACUCGGUUCUAAUCAAUUGACAGGACCGCUUUUAAAGAUAGUUUCUAAUCUCAAAAAUCUUAUAUAUCUUGGUGUAAGUGGUAAUAGUCUUAGUGGAAAUAUUCAGAGUGACUUGUGGAAAUAUAACGAUCAUCCAACUUUGGAAUACAUCAAUUUAAGUGGGAACCAUUUUACGGGUAUAGUUUCUCUCUAUAGAUCUUUGUCAUAUGUAACUAAGCUAGUAAUCUGAUUAUUGCCUUUUCACCAAAGUUUCAACAAUCUUGACAGGUGAGCUUCCAACAACAAUUUGCAAUGUCACAUCCCUUUUGCUUCUUGAUUUGUCAAAUAAUGAAUUAAGUGGUGCACUUCCAAACUGUUUCGGAAAUCUUGCUGAUAGAUUGCUUUACGUUAAUCUUGCUAAUAAUCAGUUUCGAGGAACAAUACCAACUACUUUCUCCAGGAGUUGUCAGCUGAAAUAUCUAAACAUGGAUAAUAAUGAGUUUGAAGGAUUGUUGCCCCCGUCUUUGGAAAACUGUAAGCACUUGAGAAUUCUUGAUAUUGGCAAUAAUAAAAUAGGUGGUACAUUUCCGUCAUGGCUUUAUGUACUUGGAGAGCUAGAAGUCCUUGUCUUGCAAUCAAAUAAACUCUAUGGUACAAUAAGUGGAAGGAGCAUAGAAGAUCCCUUCCGCAAGUUGCGGAUUGUGGAUCUGUCCAACAACCACUUCACAGGCCAUUUGCCAAUUCAAUACUUUAAGAAUAUGAAAUCAACUGAUAAUUUGUAUAGUUAUCAGCUUUCCACAGCAGUUUUUUCUUUCCAUUAUGAAGCAGCAGUCUCAUUAAUUGUGAAGGGAACAGAGUAUGAAGUAGCAAAUAACCUUCAUAUUUACACAGCCAUUGAUCUGUCGUGCAACAAAUUUCAGGGAGAAAUUCCAAAGGUUACUGGAGAGCUUAAAUGGCUGGCAUUGCUCAACUUAUCUCAUAAUAGUCUAACAGGACCUAUCCCGUCAUUGCUGAGAAAUAUGAAAGAACUCCAAUCUUUAGAUUUGUCCUCAAAUCAACUGACGGGGGCUAUUCCACCUCAGUUAACUGCGCUGACAUUUCUAGAGGUCUUAAACCUCUCGGGAAACCAUCUUAGUGGAGAGAUUCCUCAGAAAGGACAAUUCAGCACAUUCAACAAUGAUUCGUAUCUAGGAAACUCCGCUUUAUGUGGAUCACCAUUGACGAAGAAAUGUGCAAACACAGCAUCACCUCCACAAGAAGUCGGAAAUGUUGAUGAAGAUUAUGCGGGUGAUGAAUUGACAUGGGAAGCAAUCAUGAUCGGAUAUGGAUGUCGACUGAUAUGUGGAUUGUCAUCUGCAUACAUUGUUCUCAAACUAGGAAAGCCUUGGUAGUUUGUGAGAUAUGUCGAAGUACUGCAACAGAAGUUGAUGAAAAGAUGCUUGAAGAAAGGUACUGGUCGACCAAUAAGAACUUGAAAGUUGUUGUCCUGGUAGACAUUUCUGAACCAGUAGUAUUUGGUAUUAUGUGAUAUUCUGUUUGGUCCGGACUCAUAACGAUUUCGCUUGCUUCAGGAGUAUUAAUAUUAACCUUCCUAUCUUGAUCAAUGUUAAUGCAAAUUAAAAUGAAAAGGCAAAAAAUAUGCAUCAAAUCCCCUCCUGUUGUACCAAGAUUCAUUAAUUAAGAGGCAUGGCUUUUGUCUCUCCAAGUCUUCGAGAAAUUAUUCCAAGUCUUCUUUGGAGGCCUACUGCCUCAACAACCUUUCAAAGAUGUAGCAGUUGCUCGACAGUGAUAUAUAUAUUAGAUAAAGACUAUGCAACAACCAACGUGACAGAAAAAUCAAAAUAGGACAAAAUCCGUACGAAUCAAAAUAGUUUAUUUCUAAGGGGAAUAGCUGAAUUAAAUUGUAAGAGAAGUAAAACAGAUUCUUUUAUAUUUUGGAAUAUAACUGAAAAAGAUUUUGAGAUAAUUUUCAGAAAUCAAACCAGUCAAAUAAAUAUUCGCUGAAGGAACAGAGUAAAGAUACAACGAAUAUAACAAGUUGUAAGAUGAAUAUCGCUGAAUCAAACAGGGUAGAACCCGUACAAAAACGCCAAACAGAAAGGAUCAAAACAGAGUAAUCAAAUUUACCUAACACUAAUAGAAGUAGUGCUGAAUAAAAGAGAACGAAAUCUGUACCUUAAAAAUAGCAAACGCAAACACUAACCAACCUCACAAGGGACCAUCUAAACUCCCUAACCCCGACUUUAUCUUAAACUCCAAAUAUCUCCCUGACUCCAAUAUGCCCAGAACAAUAAACGAAUGUUUUGACCUUCUAAACGAUGUUUUCUGGAAUAACGCAAAACACGAAAAUCGUAGAGAACGAAAAGACCUUUCCGAAAAGGUAAGGCUCGUCAAGAACGGAGUCAUAACGAAUCGGGAAUUAAAUAAAACGUCCGCUGAUUCAGAACUCAAAGCGAGAACAGGAUCUGAUUAAGUUUUGUAAUUUUGAGAACAGUUUGAAACAUAAUCUGAGAAAACAUUAUAAACGAAAGUAUAUGAGAUUGAAAGAGCUUUCCGAAACAUCAAGAAUCAUCAAAUUCCGAUAAGAAUUGAAUUUUCUACGAAUUUUACAAGACAGCUGAUUUGUGAGAAUAAAGCCCUACGAAUUUUUGUCAUAAAAAUGAAGAGAAGGUUGAGUAGCUCUCAAAAGUAUAUAAAAAGAAUGAGAGAACAAAUCAAUAUACUCCCUUUGUCCCUCUCGUUUAUUUACAGUGUUUGACACGCAUUUUAAAGCGCAUAUAAAACAUAGUUCUAUGAUUUAUUUUCAAAAUUUUUCUUUUUUGUAUAAAAAUUUAAACAUCAAAUUUUUAUCUAGAAAAAAAGGAAGUUCAAAAUAAUUUAUUGAACUACGUUUUACGAGAGCAUUAGAAUGCGUGCCGAGCCCCCGUCCCCCAAUGUAAACAAAUGAGAGGGACGGAAGGAGUAUAUAUACAGAGUCUUGAGACCCUAAUUCUAAACCUAUCCAUUAUCUGAAUGCAAGGCUGAUCUAUAUUUUAAGUACACUAUCCUAAUUCAAUUUUAAAUCCUAUUCAUAAUCUAAUUUUAAUCCUUUAUUAUUAUUACUAACCAAUUAAUAUUAUUUUAAAAAAAUACUGGAUAUUACAUUCCUGAUCAGACUAGUGAUCGGAUUGCAACCGCAAAGCAGCCUAUAUAUAGUGACAAUUAAAUACACAACAAAACAACUUCUUUCUUCUCUCUUGGGUUAUAAUACUCAGACGGACAAGCUAUAUCUGAGGCGAUUUUCUGGGCGAUUAAACACACAAUAAAAGCAGCUUCUUCUUCUUCAAUUAAGGUUUAUUCUACACCCAAUCACAUACACACACACACUUUAAUAUGACUAGUGAGUUCAAUUUUUGGUGGUAUUAUAUGAUUAUCAUGUUCUCUUUUUAAAUAUUAGUAACGUUAUUUUCGGAGUGGACUCUGUUGAUGUUUAAAUUUGAUAUAGAUAUUGUAAUUGAAAAUUUAUGUUGAUUUGUUGUUCAGAUUUCAAGUAUUAAUUUGUGUGUGAUCAAAAUUUUGCUUCUACAUCGAUUAUCAGGAGGAAAUAUGAGGCCGAUCUUGAUCAAAGGACACGAAAGGCCAUUAACAUAUCUAAAGUAUAACAAGGAGGGUGACCUCCUCUUCUCCUGCGCAUUAGACAGAAACCCCGCUGUUUGGUACGCUGAUAAGGGAGAGCUUUUAGGCACUUACCGUGGGCACAUUGGUUCUGUUUGGGGUUGUGAUGUUUCUAGGGAUUCAAAACUUUUAAUAACUGCAAGUGCGGAUCAAACAGCAAAGGUAUGGGAUGUUCAAACUGGGUCUGAGCUGUUCACGUUUGAAUUUAAGUCCACUGUGAAAUCAGUAGAAUUUGGUGUCGGAGACAAGCUUGCUGUCAUUGCAACAGACUCCUUUCGUGACAUGUCUUCUGCAAUUCAUGUCAAACACAUAGCCAGAGAUCCUAGUGAACAGUGCGGUGAUUCUGUGAUUGAAUUCUCACCUGGAGGAAGAAUCAAUAGAGCUGUUUGGGGACCUUUAAAUAGGACCAUAAUAAGUGGUGGUGAACAAGGCGUUGUUCGUGUGUGGGACGUUGAGACAAAGAAAGUGAUUUAUGAGUCAGACAAGGAUACUGGUCAUCAGAAGGCCAUUACAUCACUUGCAAAAUCAAGAGACGGUUCACAUUUACUUACUGCUUCCAUUGACAAAUCAGCUAAGCUUUGGGACAUCAGAUCAAUGAAACUUCUCAGGACAUACAAGGCUGAAGCCCCAGUUAAUGCAGUUGCACUCUCUCCACUACUUGAUCAUGUCGUGCUCGGAGGUGGUCAAGAUGCAUCGACUGUUACAAACGAUCCUCGUGCUGGCAAGUUUGAGGCCAAAUUUUAUUCCAAGGUCCUUGAAGAAGAAAUUGGAUCUGUGAAAGGACACUUUGGUCCGAUAAAUGCAUUGGCAUUCAACCCUGAUGGAAAAAGUUUCGCAAGUGGAGGUGAAGAUGGUUAUUUGCGAUUACAUCACUUUGAUCAUGACUACUUCAACAUGGCGAUUUAAUUCGAAUUACUUACAUUGCUACGUCUUUUUUUUUUUUUUUCCGGUUUUAUUCAAGUUAUUUUCUGGUUUUUAUGUUGAUCUUAUGUUCUUUGUUAUAAAUAGAAGUGUGGUUCCUUUUAAAACUAUUUACAUAAGUUUUUGGCUUUUCAUGUAAUUUAAUCAAAGUAAAUGCCAUGAGAUCCUGAAUAUAUCUACUUAUCUAUCUAUCUACUUAUUAAAGCAGAAUCAGGGGAAAAAUAUACCAGAAAUUGGAUGAAAAAUUUACAUACACACCCUCAAUUAUUCAUCAAUUCCGAAAUUGGCCUGUAGUUUAGCUGUUAACUUGCAGGAUUUUUGUAAAAGUAGGAAUCAGCGAUUCUUAGGUACCCCAGUGACCCCGAAUCGGUUUCUCAGAUUCUUGGAAAUCCUCGGUCAGUUGAUUUAGAUUGUGGGCAUAUAUACACCUAUAGUCAGCCUCCGGCGGUGCAAUCUUUUGGUGGUGUUUUUCAGCCUUUUCUGCUAUAGCGAUUCUUGUUAAAACAUUCAGGUGCUAGGGUUGUUUUGUUGGUAAAGGGAAUUGGAUUGUUGUAUCUGCGGUUGUGGCAAAGGUAAUUUUCUUGCCCUUGCUAUUCUUUUGGGAUGUCUGAUUAUAAAUAGCCCUUCUAACUUUGUUCACCUGUUCUGUAUGAUGUGUGUCAUUUGUGAUUGAGUCGAGCAGUAUAUCAUUUUGAUGCAUAUUGUUAAUUUCACUCUGGGAAAUUUUUAUGCUGAUGUUUGGGCAAUUAAUUCUGGUUAUUUCGUUGAUUUUGUUUGUGGUUUGUUUCCACCUGCCAUUAGAACUGUAAAGUAAAGUGUAUUUAUUGAUCAUGAUUCAAGUGUUUGUAGAUAAUCGAUGUGGGUGACAAAGAAGCUGCAAAUGAUGAUGGUUCUUCACAAAUUUUAUCUGCUUUGCUUCCUUUUGUUGUGGCUCUCACCAUGGUUGUCAAGUCGACGACUGCUGUUGCUGCUCUUGCUCAGCCCUCAACUUUCACCUGGUAACAACUUUUGUAUGUUUGGUAAAAUAUUUUGAUUUUUUUUUUUUUGUAAGGGUAAAAUAUUUUGAUUGUGAUAAGCUAAUUUAUUGUUUUUUAAUGAUUCCAACACUACAACAGAUUUAGCAUCACACAACGGUUUUUGCCCGUUGUCUGAGACCACGGAAAACCGUGGUCUAUCGAGACGCCGUCUGAUAUGCGUAUCAGACAACGGUGCGCACCGUUGUGUGAUAGUGCUAAACACGAUGGUUUACGUUAAAAAAAUUGUUGUGCAACACCCAGAACCAACAACGUUUACUCUUAAACGUGGUGUUGUUAGAAACACUCCUUAACAAUAGUCGAUUUCAAAAAUGGUGUUGUUAGAGAGACUAUCCACAACAGUUUUAUUAGCUCGCAAGACUUGUUGGAAAGAUGAUCAUACAACAGUAGUUGAAAUAGAGAAGCUCGUUCUUUCCUCUCUUGUACAACGGGUUUCGAACACCAAGCCACUUGUGUAAGGCCCCUUCUAACAAUGUUUUAAUUAGUGAGGUUGUUGUGUUUAGUUACGUCAGACAAUGGUUUUCUUUCAUAGUUGGUUGUCGUUUACAUGUUUUAACAAUUGUUUCUGUUUCAUCAUUAUUGCAAGUCAUUUGUUUGGACAAUGGUUUUGUGACAAUAAAUCAUUGUUUCCAGUUUUAUGAGACAAUGUUUUUAAUGAAUAAUGAUUAUUGUAUCAUGUUCAGUAUGACAAUGGCCCUGUAUUAUCCCAUUACCUAAAUACAUAAUAGACAAUGAUUAACAUAACUCGAUUAAACUAAGCUAGAGAAUGUAAUUAAAAAGCCAAAAAUUUGUAAACAAAAAAUUUCAUUAUGCACUAAUAACCAUUGUUACAACCAAAUCAUAUAUACCAUCCAAUAUCCAGAAAUAUUUCCCCCGAGGAUGGCAAAUCUCAAAAAUAUAAAUACCUACAAUAAAUGGUAGCAUCUAGAGAGGCAUAUGUGACUACAAGAGUCUUUUGUGAGCUUUUCAACUACCCAGCCCAGGAACAAUCCUCUGAUUGCAUUCUUUUGAUUCGGAUGGAGCCCUCCUGCUAUCUCUUUUGGAAGUGACUCUACUGCAACCACCUGUAAUACAUAAAAAAGUUCUUGAUAUGCUUUUCGUACAAAGAAAUUAAUGUGGUUGAGGAGUAUGUUUCGAGUUCAAAAUAUACCAGUGUGCCAUCUUCCAUGGUUUCACGUCAUUCAUACACAAUAAAUUGUAGCAAUUGUGAGCCCUAUCAACAUACCAGUCUUUCUGUAUUUAGAGUUGGAGCAGCUAAGCCAAAAUCAGACAAAUGGGGAUUGAGUUCAUCAAGUAAAAUAUUUGCUGACUUUAAGGUACUAUUAACAACAUAAGGAACAACAUCAGCAUCUUGCUUCUAUCAUCAGUGAAGUAUAAAAACUCUUGCAAGCUACUAUUUGCAAUAUAAUCAUGGACCAGAAGACGUACCAUGUUCAGCGGAAUAUCAUUCAAAUCUCUGGCAUGGUUGUUGUGAUGGAUAAAAAUAAGUUCCUUUAUGACCUGAAUUAAACAUUAAAAGAUACCAAAUUAACCGAAAUGCGUAGAGAUGCACAAAAAGUCCAGGCCCGAAAAUAUGGUCAUAGAGAUUUAAAAAAAGUCGAAAAUAAAGACAAACCAUGUGAGUAAAAAGCAGAGUAAGGAGGAUUGAUGGUAGUGUUUGAUAUAGAUGCCAUGUGGGUAGAUCCAUAUGAGCUGCUGGAAGCAGAGAGAUUUCUUCCAAACUCUCUUACAUUAUUGACAACAUUUGUGUUAACAUAUAUGUGUUGUAUAUGAAAUUUUAAAGAUUAGAUACAUAAAUAUAAUAUUAUUCGGAAAAUAUAACAUACCAUCUCGAGUCAUUUUCUUGCUUGGUCAUUAAAAUAACCUACAGCAAGUAAUGUACCCUCACUCUAUAAGAAGAAGAUGGACAAAAAGAAGUCAGUUGUAUGGAUGCCUCGGAAUAUAUACAAGAAUGUCCCAGGGAUAUUUAUUCAGUUGAUGAAGCAUGUAUAUCUAGAAAUUAACAAACCUCAUCAGCCAAAACAAAUAUAAAAUUAAUAAAAUCAUCUGUCUCCAAACACACAGAUUAAAAUCAAAGCACAAAUGUUAUCACACAAAACCAAGACAACACAAGAUCCAUCACUAAAACACACAACUACUACUAAAAUCAAACACACAAACAAAAAUCUCAUAUAGAUUCAAACUUUAUCCCCAAAAUCAAGUAUAAUUACACAGUAAAAAGCAUUCGUUUACCUCUUCAUAAGGUGAAUUGUUGUUAAACUAAUCAGCACGGUCAACACCGGCAUCAAAAACUUGAAUGGCCUUUGGGGUUAUCGCCGACAGAACAGAUCUGAGUAAGCUUUGUAGAAAAUGAGAUAGAGACGGGGGAGGGAGGGGAGAGUUCAGAGGAGGGUGAGGGAGAGACAGAGGGCGAGAGGGAGGGGAGGGGCGAGAUGCUUUAACAAAUCAAUUGCGGCAAGAGUGGGGAAGACACAGCCGCACCAGAAGAGGAAGAGAUAGAUUCAGAAGAAGAGAGAUUUACUCUCACUUACAAAUUUUAGGUCAAAAUAGAGGGGGGGAAAUGAAAAUUUGGAUAAACAAGUAGAGAGGGAAUUGAAAAUUUUUGUAAGGUGGAAAUCAUUCGUUCAUCCCGUGUAAAUAACAAAAUCAAUGUAUUAUAAUAUCCAUAUAGUUGAAUUAUAAAUAAAUGAAUUUUUUAAAUUAUAUUUUUGUAUUUGAUUACAAAUAUUUCAUAUUAAAUAAAUUUUAAAAACAAUUUUAAUGUAGAUGUCAAUAUCUAAUUAUUUUAGUUAUUUGUGAAAAUCUUCAAAAAAUUAAAAAUUAAUCUGGUAAAUCUUUUUGACAAAAUAUAGUUGAAAUACAACUAUUUAAUAAAAAAUUAAUAAUUCUUUAAAAGUUAAAAUUCUCAUUUUCUCGAUGUAUUCCGUUUUUGUACUCUUUGUCUAAAUAAAAUAUACACAAAUUUUUAUUAUUCAUUUGUAAUAAGAAGAUAUUUGUGUGGUUCAAAUGUCAAUAUUAGUAUAAAUUUCAUAUUUACAAUAUAGGAUGUACUUAAUAGAAGUUUUGUGAUCUAUAUGAUUAACCCCGUAUUAAUUUUGAAAUAUUUUCGAUCAUCCAAACAUAUAAAGAUCUUAAUAUCUAUCAAUAUUAGUCAUGUAUAAUAUUUUUAAAUUUUUCUAUAUUUAUUUAUAUCUUGUUGUAACAAAACUAGUGAUGAUCGUUGUUUUUAUGUCAUUUCUUAUUUUUGUACUUUUUAUCAAAAAAUUAUAUUUAUAUUAUGCAUAUGUCCAAAUUUGUAUUAUUCAUUUGUAAUUGGAAGAUAAUUUUGUUGUUCGGACCUGAGUAUUACUAUGUGUUUUAUGUUCACAAUUUAGGAAGCACUAGAUAGAAUUUUUGUUAUCUACAAAAUUUGCUCUGAAUUAAUUUAUAAAUAUUUUUUUCGAUGAUAUAACCGUACGGAUGUUAAUAACUAACAAUAUUAGUCAUGCAUAAAAAAAUUAGAUUUUUUUAUGCUUAUUUUAUAUGCUUUUUUUACAAAACUAGUCAAUUGUAAAUUUUGUCUUAUUGUAAAAAGGUAAUUUUUGUCUUGUAGUGUCCAACAGACAACGGUACUUAUAGGCACGUGUGUUGUAUGAGUUAAAAUGACACAACUGUUAUGGACAUUAUACAGUCAUAACAAAAUCUAUUGUCUAAAAUAGGCUCAAACAAUGUUUCGGGAAAAACUCGUUGUGUGUAAGUAGUGUAGACAAUGGUUUCUGGGAGGCAAACCGUUGUAUAAUAAAUUUUCAUUUUUAAGAGUUAGAAAUUCACAUUUUCUUGAUUAGUUCUUGUUUUUGUACUCUUUGUCUUAACAAAUAUACUUAUAUUAUGUAUAUAUGCAAAUAUCAAUUGUCAUUUGUACUAUGAAGAUAAUUUUGUAGUUCGAACAUGAGUAUUGGUAUGUGUUUUAUAUUUACAAUUUAGAAAGUACUGAAUAGGAUCUUUGCUAUAUAUAAGAUUAGCUCCGUAUUAUUUUAUAAAUAUUGAUUUUGAUGAUCUAACCGUACGGAUGUCGAAAACUAACAAUAUUAGUCAUGUAUAAAAAAAAUCAAUUUUUUAUGUUUAUUUUGUAUGUUUUUUUUAACAAUACUAGUCAAUUGUAAAUUUUGUCUUACUGUAAAAAGGUAUUUUUUGUCAUGUAGUGUCUAACAUACAAUGGUUUUUAUAUGCACCUAUGUUGUAUAAUUGAAAAUGAUACAACUGUUACAGAAGUAUACCGUUCUAAGAAAAUCUAUUGUCUAAAUUAGGCUCAAACAACGGUUCACGGAAAAUCCGUUGUAAAAAAGUAGUGUAGACAACAGUUUAUGGGAAGGAAACCGUUGUAUAAUAAAUUUUCAUUUUUAUGAGUUAAAAAUUCGCAUUUCCUUGAUCAAUUCUUGAUCUAAUGCAAGAAAAACAUAUGACUAUCAAGAAAUUGAUUGUUUUGUUAUAACUUUGGUUAGGACUUUGAAUCUUUGCACUCUCUUAUGUACAUCCAUUUUCUUAAAAUUCAUUCAAUCAUACAACAUUUUAUUAGUUAGUAGAGGCUUGUCUAUAAUGCCAUGCUACAAUGCUAACAAAAACACUUGUAUGUUAGCUUCCCAGUCACACAACACUAUAUAAAACCCUUGUUUGAACUCCUCGUAAACAACACAACAAAUAAAACACUUGUCUAAUUACAACGACGGUUUCUUGAACUAUUGUCUGAAGUUUCUUCACACAUCGGCUCUCAAAACAGUUGUCUAACAUGCAUCAUUACACAAUACCACAGUUAAGAAACCAUUGUCUAAUUGAAUUUACUAGACAACAAUUUUUUAACCGUUGUAGGUCGUAGAUGUUAGACAAUAGUUUUUCGAGGCCGAAAAGAAAGUGUUGUGUCUUUUUUCCAAACAACGCUUUUUUCACCGUGCGUUGUCUGAUCAGUGUUGUCUAAUGGUGUUAUUGUUGUAGUGCAAGUUGGAUUUAUUUAAUGCUAAUAGGUACUUGUUCAAGUGAGGAGAUUUAACUGAGAUUCAGGUUCUGGCAUUUGUCUUGUGUUGUUAUUUGUUUAUGUACCGGUUUUGAGAGUCAUUAGAGAUAUGUAAGGUAUUUAUUCCUAUUUUUUAUUAUUAGUAUUACAUCGUUUUCGGGUAAAAUAAUCGAUGAUUGUUUGUUUUAACUGUGUAAUAGCCUUAUGAUCUGCCAACUUAUGUAGACAUGUGAUAAACAUGUUGACUGUGGUCAAUAUUUUAGAUGAGGUAGUGUGUUUGUUGUUAUUGCAAGACUUUUUGGAAUAAUCAUUGUCAAAAAGAACUAACGAUGAAUGGAAAUGAAGUUCUGAAGAAGUGAUGAUACAAUGUUAAAGAGAUUGCUUUUUGUUGAAUUUUUCUGACUCUGGAAUUAAACUGCGUUAGUAUCUUCUUCUCUGAUUUUCCUUAUUUGGUAGACCUACUACUUUCAGAAGAUACAUGUGGUAUUUGUUUGGUUGAUUAAUUUUGGUAAGAUACAGUUUCCGUUUGGAAUCAGACUAUCCAUUGAACAAUCAGACUAUCCAUUGAAGAUUUUAUGCUCGCUCUUAAAUGGUUGAUCCACUGAUCUUAUUCUUACUUCAUAUGAGCUAAAGCCAGCUCUAGGGGUGUUUCUCGCAUACAAAAAAAUUAAAAAAAAUAUUAUGAAACUAUACUUUGCAGGAGUCUCAAAAUAAAUAAGUGUAAACGAUAAACUUAAACACCUAACUUCUUAAACACCUAGCAUAACACGGGUGAGCAUAUGGUCAAUCAUACCAAAUUGAAUAAAUCGAAAUUAAAAUUUAAAUAUUUUUAGACUGGACCAAACUGAAAUAUUUUGUCCGAUCCAGUUCAGUAUGAUCGAAAAGAAUUGAUUCUUUUGGAAAAAGUAACUUAAUAUUAUAAAUAAAAUUAAGAUUUAUAAUUUAUUUAAAAACUAUCAAUGAAUCAUCAACACUUCUUCAAAAAUAGAUACAUUUGAAUUUAUACAUUAGAUAUUAUAACUUCUAAAAAGUAUAUAAAAAUAUAUAAUAUAAAUAUAAAUUUAUAGUAUAAUUUUUUUGACUAUUUAGAAUAUAUUUUUAACCCAAAUAUUUUUUUUUAAAAUCAAAUUUUAUUUCGAUGAACUUUUCUAGAAAAUUAAGAUAGAAACGAAACUCAUUCCUACAGUAAGGUUUCAGUUUUUCGGCUGCAAUACGGUUUUGCUCAUCAUUAGCAUAAAUGGAGUAUGUAGUAAAUAUGAAUGAAUGGCAUGGGAAUUCUUGGAAUGGUAUCAAGAAUUAAGAUUAAAGCACAUUAGAAGUUUAGAACCAUGAAUGUUAUUUUUGAAAAUAGUAAUCCCUCCGUUUCUUAUCACGUUUCUCGUUUGAUAUGUCGGAACGGUUCAUAAUAUGAGACAAAUUAGUAAUUUAUGUCCAAUUUAUAAAAUUAAAUAUAGUCAUGAGUGAUCUUGUUGGAUUCGUAUCUAUGAGUACUUUAAUAAGAUGAAAUUUUUAUAUUUAAUGUUAAUACAAAAUUAAAAUAUAUUAAUUAAAAAUAUAUAUUGACAAACGUGAUAAAAACAAACAGCAAAAAUAUUAAGAAACGAAGCGAGGGAGUAAUAAAUAUGCUUUAUGCUGAACUGAAUUGAGUGCGUGGAAGCUUGGGGAGGCAGCUUACUACAGUAUCUACGUGUAUCUGUAUAUGCAAUAAAGACACAAAUACUCACAGGAGAUUAUUUUUCAAACACUUAAUUUCCCCCUUUCCUUCUCGUAAUAUUCAACUCAAUUCAUCACAUCAUCUUCUUCAGACAAACAACUAUACUCACUUCAGAUCAUCACAUCAUCUUCUUCUUGACUUCAGAUCCACAUUUCAAACCCUAAUCAUUCGCUUGGUCCCCUCCCUCUCUGUAAUAAUACAAUUCUUUCUACACACAAACAAUAACAUCAUCAUCAUCGAGUGAAGCUUCAUAUCCACAUUCCAAGACCUAAUUACUCGCCAAACCACUCUCGCUCUCAUGGAGGAGGCCUUAGAAAUGGCGAGAUCGAAUGAUACCAAGAAGCGAAGGGCGGGAGUGGAUCGGCUGCAACAGCUUCUUGAAGAUUCAAGAAAGUGCUUGUCAUCGUCGGAAGUGACGGCGCUAGUCGACACGUGUCUUGAGCUUUUGAAGGACACGUGUGUUGCUGUCGUCGGCCGCGGAGUUGUUUAAGUUGCAUUCUGAUAGAAUUAUGACGGCGGUUGUUGAUAGGUUGUGGGAUGGGGAGCAGCGGGUUCGAGACUCGGCGAGGAGGCUGUUGAUUACCCUUAUGGAGGUAAUUUAUUAAUUUUCUUGGGGAAUGCCAGUUGAUUUUAUGGAAUGUGAUAUAGUAUAGUUUCUAUCAAUCGAGUAUCUUAAAUUGAUGACUACAACAAGUAUUAUCGUUUUGCACGCAAGUGGCUAAACUUUUAUGCAUGCCAAAUUGCCAAUCGGGUUUCAAUUUCAGAUCUCUGCCUUCACUUGCAUACGAACACAUUUGAGUUUAAAAAGAUGAAUCACCUCAUAAAUAUCAUUAAUAAUUAGUUGGUGUUAAUAGUGCACUGAAAAAUGGGAGAGAAUGACAAGACUAUAGACAGUAGUAGGGCUGAGCGAGAUGUUAAUUGAGUACUUAUAUGAUGCUUCACUAUGUUCAGGGAGUUAGUUUAUUGCUUCUUUCCUACACUUUCACUUGAAUUAGUACUAAUUAAUAAUUCCUUCUCUAUCUUGUAAAAUUUCUCCUUCAUUGCUAAGCAUAUCUACUCUGAUUAAUUUUCAAACAAACUUUACUACUGAGAUAGGAUUGUUUGCUGGGUAGGAGCACCAUAGAAUGAGUAGCUCUAUUGCUAUAUACUGAAGGGUGCGGUGGCAUCCUCGGUUAUAUUUUAAGUGCUACUUCGAAUUUAGUUGUUGGCUUUUGCAAUUUAUUUUCAUUCACAAUGUUUUAAUAAUGAUACCCCAUAUUAGGUGAGAGAUAUUAGUGCCAGGCUGGAGCAGAUUCAGAUUCAACCAGCAACUUCCGUCUCUUCCAUCUCUGAAGGACUUAAUAGUAAUCUUCUCCACCAUGCACCUGAUUUAGAAGUAUAAUGUAUUAAUGUGAACUUUUUAUUUAUAUUUAUUUCCAUGUGUAGUAAAACGAUCACAUCUUUUAAGAGCUUAGUACAAUGUUAUGUACAAUGUGUAAUUAAUUAAGAGGUUUGUACAUAGUUUAGUAUGAAAUGGAAAAAGUUUGUACAGAAGUUUAUUUGUUCACAUUACAGCUGAGACGAGCAAGCAAAAACCAUCAGAGAAUUCAAAGGAUAAUGAUAAAGGAAUUGAGCCCCUACUGGAACUGCCGGAAGAUAUUAUCUUUCUACAAAUUCUGCCUAAGUUGAACAGCCUAGAUGUUCUUCCCCUGGUUUUGGUGGCUAGGAGUUGGGCCUCCUUUCUUUUGCAUGAGGGACCCAGACUGAUGUUAUUCAACCCACCUAAAAAUCCUACACCUAAACACACUUCAAUUUUAUUUGAUGUAAGCCCGAUUCCGUACUCUGUUUCAGUUUUGUUAUCCCCAGAGAGCCGCCAACUGUGUCAGUCUAGGUGUAUAAUUGUUCCAAUCUUGAAUUCUGGUAUAAAACAUGCUGUUCCAAUUUUCACUGACUACCCAGAUUUUUUAAAGCAGGGGGAAGUCCCAACUGUAGUGGGAUCUUCCAGUGGUAUUAUAUGCCUCUAUAUCACCAGUUCUCCCUCUAGAUACAUCCUGCUAAACCCCUUAACAAAACAUUAUAAAGAGGUUGGGGCCCCUUAUAUUUUUGUACCAGAUUGUGAGCAAGCUUCUGUAACUUCUGGAUUCUUUUAUGAUGAAUGGACUGAUGACUUAAAGAUCGUACAAUUGUUGAGAUGGGAUCAAAGGCUUACGAGCUUGGAUGCUCCGGGACCCAAAAAGAUACAUGCGCUUCGCGUUUGUUCUGUAAAUUCUGCAAAUUGGGAAGUUGUUGACUUGGGGCCAAUGAAAGUCUCCGAUCGUCUUGGUGGUGUGUUAUUUUUGCCGAAAGCUCUCGUCACAUUUGUAGAUGCGUUUGCUACAGAGCCGGAGAUUAACUUUUGGUUGGAUUUUCGUGAUUGCCGUCUAAAGGCAGUUCCGGAAUUAGAAGGGGCUGAACUCAGUAUGAAAUCGGUUUGGUGGAAUAACCAGGUUGGUGUUAUUGUUGGAACUGACAGCAUUUAUGUCCUUGAUGAGGAGUUUGCAGCCUGGUAUUACUGCACAGUGCUUCCGGACGUGGGAAAUUGUGUAUUCUGUUUAGAUGAGAACAAAAUUGUGGGGAUGGGGGCUGGGGAAAGCGGAAGCGUAAAUGAUUACAAUAUUCUUAAUUCCACAAGCGGCGAAAUCCAACAUAUAAUCUCGUUGCCUUCUUGCAGGGUUUUUCCGUAUGUUCCUACAUUCUACUAUAUCGAGGGAAUGGCUAAUUUUUAGACUUUUGCAAGUCACAAUGUAAUAAAAGAAUGUAAACAGUACAUAGCAGCAAUACCUCUCUAUAGCAUAUAGUUUCAGAUACAACAUGUAUUGUGAUGCCAGCUUGUAGAGUACAAGUAUUAUUCUAGGUGAUUGAUUGUUGAGAAUAAUAGAGGCAACCGGUUGCAUGAUGGUAUCCUUGAAACUUUCAUAAUUACUAAUAUCGAACUCAGAUAGCAUGCAAUUUUUCCGGAGAUCAUAUUCUUUAGCUAUCAACUAACUCUACAUUAUAUAUUAUGUCCCAGAUCAAUGAGUUUGUUUGCUAUAAUGUCCUAUUUUAUAUGUGAUUUAGGAAUAUGUUCCAUUAACUUGUUAUCACCCUCAAAUCUAAAAUCUAAGACUACCAUGUCCUUAGUUUAUUUUGUUUAAUAUUUGUGAAUAGACUCUAAUCUGAUCAUAUCAAUUAUAUUUUAGUAACAGAUGUUUAAAUGCAUAUGUUUUUGUUAUCUAGUUAUUUCAAUGAUGAUGGGAUUAAAUUUUUUUAUUCUUGUAAUAUGUACAAUGAUUGGUUUAGCUUUAAUAUUUAUUUUUAUUUUUAUUUACCAAUUUUAAUGUAGGUAAAGUUUUAUCAGCAAAUUUUAUUUUUUGUAUGCAGUAAUCUGUUCUAAUAUCAAAUUUUGAUUUAGAUCGAGUAUUAGUAUGUUGAAUUUGCAUUCAUCUAGUUAGAUGAGUGAAACUGGCUAAUUAAUGGAAAAUCAUAAGUACCUGAGUUGUUUUCAAAUUUUUUUCCCAAAUUUUAAUUGUUUGAUUGGUUUCUUCAAAUUAAUAUUAAUGGAAUCAUGAACGCACAUAAAUAAUUUAAUUAAAAAUUAUUUAUUUAUGUGUCAUUUAGAAAAAAUUGGGGACAAAAUUUGGGAUAGUAAUGGGGACGAAAUAUGUGUUAGCGUUAAUGGUUUAGCGGCAGUGGAGAACGCAAUUUAAGAGCAAAUCCAAUAGUGUCCUAAACUAGUAUCCUAAAUUAAAAAUUAAGGUAUUUAUAUAAAUGAGUGCUCCACCUAAUGAGUGCUCCACCAAUGUCCAGUGAUACCUUAAAAUACUAGGAAAUCCAUCAAGCGUCUCGUUUUUAAGACAUCACUAGGCAUGCCCUAUUUCACUUCUAUCAAUAAAAUAUAUCUUUCCCUCGUUUUUUACAGAUCUCUUCUCUCUCAUUUUUUCCAUUUAUGCCCAAUUAUAAUUCAAAUAUAAUACACCUUCAGUCCCUUUUUAGUUGUGAAAUUUACAAAAAUAAUUUGUCCUUAAAUAAUAUUCUCAUCCUUGUUCCAAUACAUAUUUAUACAUAUUUUUUCAUGUUUACCCCUUGAUUGUUGGUUCAAAUGUUUGACUGUACUACUAAUAUAUACAGUUUUGACUUAGUAUUUAAUAUAAUAAAUAAGGGCAUGCGUGGAAACAACUUACAACAUUUAAUUUUCUUUAAUAUAUGUAUUUUUGCAAAUGUGACAACUAAAAAGGAACAGAGAGAGUAUUAUUUUAAUCAUAAAACAUAUUGUUGGAGUUAAUAUAAAAAAAUCAUGUCUUAAAUCAUAAGAUUACUAUAUUUAAUUAUAUUUAUAAGGCAUCUAAUAGUACAAUAUUGGAUUUGCUCUGAUCACAGAUCAAUCAAAUGAUCGGCAACUUAAGCGAUCAAAUGAGAUGACUCGCAUAGUCCACGCUAAUCGAUAUCCUUAAGAGGAUGUUUGCCUGGGCUUAAAGCCCUUGCUUUAAGCCAUCUUUGGCUUUAAGCUGAAAAAUGUCUGUUUGUGUAAUAAGUCAGAAGCCAGCCUAAAGUCAGAAAUAAGCCAGAAGCUGACUUAAAGCCAGAAGUUAAUUUGAGGUACUUUUUUCAGUGGCUAAAUUUUUUUGAACUUUUUUUUUGAUAAAAAUUACUCCUAAAUCAUAAGUUUCUUAUAAAUCACUUUUAUUUUUAUUAUUAUAUUUUUAAUAACUCAUAAGUCAUUCAUAAGCCAAAAUUACCCAAACAGACAUUUUAAGCUAUCAGCUUAUCAGAUAAGACACGUUAAGUCACAAGUCACAUUAAGUCAUAAGCCAUAAGCUCAGCCAAACGGGCAAGUUUUCUAAGAGACAUUCCUGCUUAGUGCAUUUUUAAUAGGGUUGCCUAAAUCGUUGACGAAAUUGGACAUGUGAGACAUUAUAUAAAAUUUGUUAAACAUGUAAGUGAUUGUGUUUCAAUAAUGUUAACUACAUUGAUAGAUUAUAACUUAAAAAUAGUAUGUUAUUAAUAUUUAGAUUGUUAUAAAAAAAUAUAUGAGUUUAAUAUGAUAGGAAAUGAUGUGUAAAUUACCCCGAUUAUAUAUAUAUAUAAAUAAUAAUAUAUUUAUAUAUAUUAUACUAAAUAUAUUAUUAAAAAUAGAUAAAUUUUAUAAUAUAAUCAAAAGUAAAAAAUAAUCUUUAUUUUUAUUGAUUGAUUAUAAAUAUAUUGUAAUAUAAUAUAUUUUAUAAUUUUAAAUUGUUGUUUAUUUAUAUUAUAAAUCAAUUUUAAUAUGAUUUGAGGUUGAAAAUAUAAGAUAAUAUUAUUUUAUUAUUAUAUUAGGAGUUUGUAGUUUGUUUUUUAAUUAAAAAAAUAUAUUAUAUAUUAUAAAAUUAUUAUGUUUUUAUUAAAAAAUAAAAUUCCCCGAAACCCCGCGGGGAUCCCCGUUCCCCGUUCGGGGCGGGGAUCGGGGCGGAAAAUAAUCCCCGUUCGAGGUUCGGGGCGGGGUCGGGUAGGGCCGUAGGGGUAUUGAAUUCGGGGAUCGGGGUCGGGGAUAGCACUCCCCGCCCUCGAAGUCUCCCCGUGCCCAUCCCUAGUCGAACCUCUAGAGGUCCGUAAAAAAUCUCCAAGAAGAUUACACUAUGUAAUCUUCUUGGAGAUUUUUUACGGACCUCUAGAGGUUCGACAAAUAUAGUGGCCGGUAGGAUGUUGGUUAAAAUUAUAGAUAAGUGGUGUCUAUGGUUGAGUGUGAUUUUUUUGAAUAGAAUGGCUAUAUAUUUUAUUUUUGGGAUGCCAACUCAAUUUUUAAACUAAGGACUUCUCAUAUUUGGAGAUGCUAUAUGAUGGCAAAUCCCGCAAAUCUUCAAUUUUGACAUAUAUUAUCCUAAAUUCUCUUUCAACAAUGAUUGAUUCAAAUUUGGAUCAAGAUUGUUGGAUCCCGCUGACGUGGCAGUGACGUCAUGUUGACGUGGCGCCCUGGGGUGGACCCCGGUGCUGACGUGGCAGAUGACGCGGCGGUGACAUGGCGCCUGGUUGGGGUCCCAUUACUAACGUGGCAUUUGGGUAGAAAGUAUAAAUUACGGAAAAUUGAUGACAAACUGAGAGGUGCAUAUUAUAAGUUUUAAAAAGUAUGAGGAGAUAUUUGAUCAGUUUAAAACUAGUUUUUAGGUUUUUAGGCUAACCGUGGUUUGUAUAUUCGAGCAUCCCCGUGUAUAUUGACAUAUAGGUAAACUCCUUGCAAUACUUUGAGCUGCAAAAUCCAUCAAAAUUUUGAUUUAUCAUGUAACUGUUUGACAGAGUACUUCCAACUUUCAAGCGUAAGUAUCAAAAUCACUACCUUCAUAUGUUCCAUUAAGCGUGAAAGGUACAGAAUAAGAAGUGAAAGAAAUCCUUUAUAUUUACACGGCCAUUGAUCUUAUAGGAUCACCUAGCCCAUCAGUGCUAGGGAAUACGGAACCAUCUUAUCAAUUAACGAAGAAAUGUAUGCAUGCAGUGUCACCACCACAAGUCAGAAAUGGUGAUGAUGCUAAUGAUAAUGAACUCAAUUGGGAGUGAUCCUAAUGGGAUAUGGAUGUGGAUUGGUAUGCGGAUUCUUUGGGGUUUAUUGUUCUUACAAUGGGAAAGCCUUGGUGGUUUAUGAGAUACAUUGAAGUAAGUUGAUAAUGACAUGCACGGCUUAAUUAAGAUUAAUUAAGACAAACACCUUGACAAAAUGUUGUCUUAGAAUGAUAUGUAUUCUGAUUUUUCCUAAUUUAAAAUCAAAUUUAUUACAAUUAAAGUUAAAAUCUGCGUAGCACAUACUAUACUUUGAUUAAAUUUUUAUUGAAGUUGUCCAUAUUAACCUAGUGGCCGAAAGUGAAUAAAUUAAAUUAGUGGGGUCUAAUAUAAAAAUUGCAUUAAUUAAAAUUUGUAAUGUAUAGAUUAUGCUAAAGCUAUUCAUUAUAAAGAACAUAGGAAUGUUAAUCUCUUUAUAUGUUUGCAUGCGGAUAGUCUCUCGGGAGUGUGGUAUAUUGUCAUGGCUGGAAAAACGGCUAAUUUCUACGGUUUUUUUUUGACAGAAAUUAAUUUUGACGGAAUACUGUCGAAAUAUCGAAAGUCGAAAAUAAGCCGCAAAAUUACUUUUUUCAAUUUUCAAUUGAAAACUGUCAAAAAAGUCUCUGGCAAAAUUAUAUUUAUUUCUACAGAUAAUGUCGAAAAUAUUUUCCUGCAAAUUUCCCGCACCUUAGUUGUGAGCGGAAAUAGAUAGUUUGGACAGAAUUCCGUCGAAAUUACGCGAGUUCUUUGUAGUGUGUUUUCACACAUACGCUGAUAAUCUUUGGGGACUGGGGUAUAUUGUUUUCGCAAAGCACUGGUAGUUUGUGAGCUUGUCCAAUUUUUCCCCCCAUGCCUAUACUGGUUGGUCUCAGUCUUAGUGGUAAUAAGCUGGCGUCAAAUUUUCCAGAAUUCAUAUAUAAUUGCUAUAACAUGAUCCGAUGCCUGAAUCAGCAGCUAACAAUUUACGUAAUCUUGAAGAACUAUAUCUUGGUGCCAAUUCUUUCGAGGGCUCAUUUCCAACGAAUAUAUUCAAGCUUUCCAAAUUAAGGGUUCUUGACCUAUCUGUGAAUAAUUUUUCAGGUUCCAUUCCCAAUGGUAUAGAGAUGCUUCCCGAUCUUGGAAUAAAUCGUAUUUAUAAUAAUUCAUUUGAAGGAAUUAUUCCUUCUUCAAUUAGUCUACUUAAAGAUCUUCAACACCUAGACUUCGGUGACGACAACCUUGUGGUUUCAAGUAUAAUGUCUUACGGGUCCAAUCUAACCGAUCAUUACAGGCAACCCCAUUGGAGAUGCUCUUAAUAACAUUUUAACUAGAGAGUAUUUUCUAUCAAUUGCAUUUGUAUUAAAUUUGAUUUAGAUGAAGAGAAACAGAAUACAUAUGAUCCCGAGACAACAUUUUGUCAAUGUUUUCGUCUUGAUUGAACAGUCUUCUUCAUGCGUGUCCUUGUCAACUUCAGUUGCAGUAAUUCAAUGUAUCUCAGGAACCACCUUGGCUUUCCCAUUUUGAUAACAAGUAUCCUGAAGAUAAUCCGCAUAUCAAUCCACAUCCGCGCGUAUCCCAGUUGAUUUAUUAAUUUAUUCAUGAAGUGUUGCGAACGACAUUCCUGCAAAAGUAAAAGUCAGUGGAAUUUGUAUGAUAGCAUGAUGAAUAUUUAAAGUUUCAGUUAAAAUUUCACCAAGUAUUUUAUUUCUGGCUUAAGUCCCGGAUUGACGAAUUCUGCUGAUCACAUUUCUAAUCGACCAAUUCUGGUCGAAUAAAUUAAAUGGCACACUUCCUGAGUUGGUGGUAGGGGCGUUCUUCUUGUGUUUCUUUCUUUUCAUUAUUGACAUUGUUAUCCAGGCCCUUGCUUCUGGGCUUUUGUAAAGCACCCAUUUACGCCAUUGUCAUGAUCAUAGCUAGUCUUCCAUAUCCAAGAUACGCGCAUUAUAGUGGAUUUAUCUUUAUUAGUGAUUUCUGUGGAAAUGCAUAAUCUUAAUUAUAAGCUCCAAUAUUAUAAAAUAAACCUAACUUAUUAGAGUUAACAGGGCAUUUGUGUUGAUAAUUUGCGCAAUGUUAAUGGGGAUCGCUCCCAAGUCUUGGACGGACUCUUUCCAAGUCUUCUGAGGACCCAUCUGCACACUAAUUUGUCCGCCAACUAAAAAUUUAUAUAUAUUUUUCCAUAGAAUAUAAAUAGUUGGGGGUACUAACAGAACCUCUAGUAAAAUUAAUUAAUACCGUUAUGAUUUCGCAAACACAGCAGACAGCAGGCAUAAGGCUUAUAAAUAGAAGUGUCGUAUUUGGUUGAUGGUCAAGUUGAGUGGAAAUAUGGCACACUUUGUAAAGCCUUGUUAUCCUCUUCUCUUUGUUUUCUUUCUCUCAUUACUUCAAUCCAUUCUAACAACACAAGAGGGAGAAGCUCUUGUGAAAUGGAAGAAUAGCCUAGCCCCUUCUUCUUUUCUCGACUCUUGGUCACUCACCAAUCUCGAUAAUCUUUGCAACUGGACUGGCAUUACUUGUAACUCUGCAGGUUCAGUCUCUGAGAUUAACCUUAGUGAGAAACAACUUGAUGGAAUGCUGUCCGAGUUUGGUUUCACUUCAUUUCCAAAUCUCAACAAUCUCACCCUCGCAAUUAACUACUUCUCGGGUCCAAUACCACCAGCCAUUGAGAAUUUAACACAGCUUCAAUAUCUUGAGUUGAGCAAUAAUUAUCUAGAUGGUCCCAUUCCUUUCCAGGUUAGCAAUCUUCAGAGGUUGCUCAUCUUAAACCUGUCAGAGAAUGAACUGCAAGCUCCAAAUUGGUCCAAUUUUUCCCCCAUGCCUUUUUUGACCAUCCUCGACCUUUAUAAAAAUAAUCUUUUGUCAGAAUUUCCCGAAUUUAUAUCUAACUCGUGUAACCUUACGUACCUUGACCUCUCAUCCAACAAGUUUAGAGGGGAUCUUGCGCGAGAAUCAGUAUUAACCAAUCUAGGUGAUCUUGAAACCCUCUAUCUUAUUAGAAAUUCUUUCAAGGGGUCAUUUCCGUCAGAUUUAUUCAAGCUUUCUAAAUUAAAACGUCUUCACCUGUCGAGCAACAAAUUUUCAGGUUCAAUUCCUAAUGCCAUAAGGUUGCUUUGUGAUCUUGAAUUCCUAUAUUUAGGCAACAAUUCCUUUGAAGGACUGCUUCCACCAAAUAUAUUUAAGCUUUCAAAAUUAAAACAUCUUGUUCUUCGGAGUAAUAAGUUUUCAGGAUCUGUUUCCAAUGAUAUAAAUUUGCUUCCUGAACUUGAAUAUCUCGAUCUUAAUUCUAAUUUUUUUGACGGGCCGCUUCCUCCAGAUGUAUUCAAGCUCUCCAAACUAAGGUUUCUUUACCUCUCGGGUAAUACCUUUUCACGUUCUGUUUCCAAUGAUAUAGGUUUGCUUUCUGAGCUUGAAACCCUCGAUCUUAACUCUAAUUUUUUGAGGGUCCGCUUCCGUCAAAUAUAUUCAAGCUCAAAUUAAAAAUUCUAGACCUCUCAAACAAUAGAAAUUUAUUUCAAAGAAGUUUUCCUAUUGGACUGGAACUCUUGAGUAACCUCAGCUACUUAGGUCUAAGUUCCAGUAAUCUCAGUGGCAAUAUUCCAUCUUACAUUGGAAACCUGAAGCUACUAAUAUCUCUUGAUCUCAGUUCUAAUCAAUUGACUGGACCGCUUUCAAAGCUCGUUUCUAAUGUCACAAAUCUUAUAUUUCUUGAUUUAAGAGAUAAUAGUCUUAGUGGAAAUAUUCAGACUGACUUGUGGAAAUAUAACGAUCAUCCAACUCUGGAAUACAUCAAUUUGAGUGGGAACUAUUUUACGGGUAUAGUUUUUCUCUAUAGAUCUUUUCUUUUGUCAUAUGUAACUAAGCUAGUAAUCUGAUUAAUUGCAGUUUUACCAAAGUUUCAACAAUCUUGACAGGUGAGCUUCCAACAACAAUUUGCAAUGUCACUUCCCUUUCGGUUCUUGAUUUGUCAAAUAAUAACUUAAGUGGUGCACUUCCAAAAUGUUACGGGAAUCUUGCUGAUGGAUUGCUUUACAUUAAUCUUGCGAAUAAUCACUUUCGAGGAACAAUACCCACUACUUUCUCCAGGAGUUGUCAGCUGAUAUAUCUGAACAUGGAUGAUAAUGAGUUUGAAGGAUUGAUGCCCCCAUCUUUGGCGAACUGUAAGCACUUGAAAAUUUUUGAUAUUGGCAAUAAUAAAAUAGGUGGUACAUUUCCGUCAUGGCUUUAUGCACUUGGAGAGCUAGAAGUCCUUGUCUUGCGAUCAAAUAAACUCUAUGGUACAAUAAGUGGAAGGAGCAUAGAAGAUCCCUUCCCCAAGUUGCGGAUUGUGGAUCUGUCCAACAAUCAAUUCACAGGCCAUUUGCCAAUUCAAUACUUUAAGAAUAUGAAAUCAACUGAUAAUUUGUAUCGUUAUCAGAAUGACACAGGAGUUUUUUCUUUCCAUUAUGAAGCAUCUGUCUCAUUAACUGUGAAGGGAACAGAGUAUGAAGUGAAAAAUAUCCUUCAUAUUUACACAACCAUUGAUCUGUCCUGCAACAAGUUUCAAGGAGAAAUUCCUGACGUUAUUGGAGAGCUUAGAUGGCUUGCAUUGCUGAACUUAUCUCAUAAUAGUCUAACAGGACAUAUCCCAUCAUUGCUGAGAAAUAUGAAAGGACUCCAAUCUUUAGAUUUGUCUUCAAAUCAACUGAAAGGGGCUAUUCCACUUCAGUUAACUGCAUUGACAUUUCUAGAGGUCUUGAACCUCUCGGGAAACCAUCUUAGUGGAGAGAUUCCUCAGAAAGGGCAGUUCAGCACAUUUAACAUUGAUUCUUAUCUAGGAAACUCCGCGUUAUGUGGUUCACCUUUGAUGAAGAAAUGUGCAAACACAGCAUCACCUCCACAAGAAGCCGGAAAUGGUGAUGAAGAUGAAGCUGGUGAUGAAUUGACAUGGGAAGCAAUCGUGAUGGGAUAUGGAUGUGGACUGAUAUGUGGAUUGUCAUCUGCAUACAUUGUUCUCAAACUAGGAAAGCCUUGGUGGUUUGUGAGAUAUAUCGAAGUACUGCAACAGAAGUUGAUGAAAAGAUAUGCAUGAAGAAAGGUACUGGUAGAUCAAGAUGAACUUGAAAGUUGUUGUCGUGGUAGACAUUUGUGAACCAGUAGUGUACUAGCUGCAUAAGUAUUUGGUAUUAUGUAAUAAUCCGUUUGGUCGGGACUCAAAAUGAUUUCUCUUGCUUCAGGGGUAUUAAUAUUAACCUUGCUAUCUUGAUCAAUGUUAGGGCAAAUUAAAAAGAAUAUAAAAGCAAAAAAUUUGCAUCAAACACCUGUUGUACCAACAUGCAUCCAUUAAUUUGCUUUCAUCUAUUAAGUAACAAUUUAAGAGCGCUUCCACUCUGUUUAAGCAUGGAGAUAACACAAAGAAGGCAAGUCCAUGGACUAAUAUAUUAACACGUAGUCCACAUCUAUGGUAUGAACAAUUCAUAUUGCUCUUCUAUCUGUUCAACAGUCUCCCGAAGAUAGGCCAAAAAUGUCAUCUGUGGUUCUUAUGUUUGUCAGUGAAGGAGAAUCUCUGAUGCCUACACAACCUGGUGUUUUUACAGAAAGGAAUGUAGGUGAAACCAGGGGCGUAAAAUGAAUCAGGACUAAAAUCUGCUAAAAUGAUAAUUAUUUACUCAUCAUUCAAGAUUAGUCGGGCUCAAAGAUUUAUAUGGAUUUUAAGAACAAACUAUGACUAAAUAUGAAAAAAUCAUUAAUUUUUCCGACUCAAUAUUUUUUAGCCUCCCCCGGCCCUGGGUGAAACCAUAAGCUUCUCUGGUGCACAUCCAAAUCAUUCAGUUGGUUCUACUUUCAGCUCACCCACAGGAACAUCAUUCUGCAGGUACUCUUUUAUCUGUACUUUCUUAUAUUGUAUGCCAGUAAAUUUUAUAUCGACAAACUGCACAAUACACCUCGAUCUCAUAUUAUUGACAGGUGAGCUCCUCUCAUAAUGCUCACAGGCGAACCCCUGCAUAUAUACUUUGUGAUGUCAUUGAUGAUCGAUAGACUUGAAAAAAAAUUAUGACAAAGAUUCAUAAAAUAUCUACUUCCAUCCUAAUUCAGUAUUCAAUAUUAUUCAUUCGUAUCAUCAUCCAAUCAAUUCUAAUAGUUCUUCUUUAAAUCAGUACAAAUAUUGUUAAAUACCUGGAUGAUGGUUGUCUUUCCGCGAACCAAUCAUGAAAUUACCUCUGUAUAAAUCCAUCGGAAAUAAGACAGUUAAUAUCCCAAUCGAAUACACCCCGUCAGUUGUCAAACUCCUCGAAACGUAUUAAUCACUUUAGAAAAUUUGUUCCACUGGCGCUAGUCAGUCCCAGAGUUGGUGGUGGGUGCUUCUGGGCUUUCGAAAAGCACCCAUUUACUCCAUUGUUUAGAGAAGUAAAACCCCACCUUCCGCUCAUUUGAUUGAUCAGCUGAAUUAGGCAGAGUUUACAUGGUCAUGAUCAUAGUCUCCCAUNUUAAUAGUCUGACAGGACCUAUCCCAACAUUGCUGAGAAAUAUGAAAUAACUCCAUUACUCCAAUCUUAGAUUUGUCCUCAAAUCAACUGACAGGGGCUAUUCCACCUCUGUUAACUGCAUUGACAUUACUUUUCUCUUUAUAUUCUUUCCUUUUGUAUGUACCUAUGCUAAUUAUCUGAUUAUUAAAAUUAUAACAAAGCUUCAAGAUUUUUAACAGGUGAGCUUCCACUAAAAAUUUGCAAAGUCACUUCCCUUUCGCGUCUCAUUAUGUUAGAUAAUGGGUCAAGUGGUGCACUUCCACAGUGUUUGGGGAACCUUUCUUUGCUUGGUUUCAAUAAUCUUGCUAAUUAUCAAUUUCAAGGACCAAUACCAACGACUGUCCAAGACUUGUCUGUGCAUAUCUAAACAUCCAUAACAAUCACUUUGAAGGUUUGUUGCUCCAAUCUUUGGCAAACUGUAAACACUUACAAAUUCUUGAUAUUGGAAACAACGUUGGAGAGCUAGAUGUCCCAGUUAGGGCGGUAAUUCGACUAGAGCAAACCGAGUUUUGAGCGGAGCCAAAUUCGAGCCAAGUUUAAUCGAGUCGAGCCGAGUCGGCUCGUUUAGCUAAUCGAGCCUAAAACUUAGCCCGAACUCGACUCAUUUAAUUUCACGAGUCGAGUCGAGCCAACUCGUUUAGCUAAAUGAGCUGAUUUUAACAAGUCGAGCGAGCGAGCUCGUAUAAUUUUAACUUAGUCGAGCCUGAAUCUCUACCCAAACUAUUGGCUCGUGUAAUUUCGCGAGUCGAAUCGAGCCGGCUCGUUUUAUUAAACAAGCCGAAAUUUUUGCCCGAAUUUGCUCGUUUAACAAGCCGAUCUGAGCCUAGUUAAAUGAGUUCGAGUUAGUCGAGCUCGCGAGCUGCGAGCUCACCUGCCAGCUCUAGUCCUAGUCUUGCAAUCAAAUAGGUUUAACGGUAUAGAAAGUGGAAGGAGCACAAGGCAUCCAUUCCCCAAGGCUAUUUACCAAUUCAGUACUUUGAGGAUACAAAAUCAUUCUGCAGGUACUCUUGUAUCUGUACUUUCUUGUACUGUAUGCCACUUUGACAGUAGAGUAAAAUUUAUAUCGACAAACUGCAUAUGUUCUGAACUACUCCUCUAUCCCAAAUUAGAUGAGCUAGUUGACUUUGAGCACGUAACUUAAGGUACAUUGACCAACUAGUUCCGAUAUUUAUUUUUUUAAUUUUUCUUUUGUAAAUGAAAAUUUCAUAUUUAAAUUUUUAUUUGCAAAACUAAAAUUUAAAAAUAUGUAAUGUGGCUAUGCGGUCAAUGUCAACGAGCUCAUCUAAUUUGGGAUUGGGAUGCAGGGAGUAUUACGUACUAUGUUAUGCAAGCUGUUUACAACUUUCAUCAAAAUUUUCAAACAUUUCUGAAUAUGUAUUUUCAAAGAAUUCUCGGGCACUCUUAAGGCCUAUAAUUAUUGGAACUCUCACGUUAUGGACCAGAGGACCACUAUGUAUUUUACAAGCACGACGAAUCAUGUGGUCAUUAUGGACUCCCCAAGCCUUAGAGGACUCAUUCCAGGUUUUAGGAGGACCACUGCCUAGCUCACCCUUUCGGAGUGAUGUAAAUUAGUUUCCAGACACUAAAAAUAAGUAAUCAGAUUAAUCAUUACAAAAUUUUGAUAUAAAAUCAGAAUAAAUCCUAAACUUUGAUGAUACAAAAAAAAUUAUAAUUGUAAAUUAUACAAUCAAAUUAAGAUCGAAUUAACUUCCCUCACACUUAAAAUUUAUAGCGAUCAAAUCAAAAUCGAAUUAACUUUCCUAUUACUAAAAUUUAAUUACAAUAUUAUUAGAUAAAGAGAAUAUAUAAUAAUCAAGAGAAAAUAGAUUUUUUUUUGCCACUCAACUUAUUGUGUUUUAAGAAACUUACCACCCAACUAAAUUUUUUUCCUUUUGCUCACUAAUGUUAGGUUUGGAUUUGUUUUUAGCCACCAAAUAAGGUUCGGAUUUGAUUACCAGCAUUAUGAUAAUUUUUUUUGUCACUAAACUUAUUGCGUCUUUAGAAACUAACCACUGAACUAAAUUUUUUUUAUUUUACUCACUAAUGUUAGAUUUAGUUUUUUUUGUCACUAUAGUUAGGUUCAGAUUUGAUUAUUAGCAUUACAUUAAUUCUGUGUAGCAUUUUUAAAAUAUGGUAGUAGUCUGUGAUAUUUAGAUGAUUUGAUAUAUGUCUGUAUUUUUAUAUAUAGUAUAUUUUAUGUCCCCAAGGUCGUUUACCUUGGGUCAUAAAAAUUUUACACUCAUUUUAUGACUUUUAAAAGAUGUAGUUUCAUAAAUAAUUUUAUUUUUUUCUUUCGAAUUAAAAUUCAGCAUUUGAAUUUUACACACAAAAAAAUCGCAAGAAUAAGAUAUGAAACUAUGCUUUACAAGAGUCUUAAAAUACGUGCUAAACGGUAGAAAAAACUGUAAACUAAUGAGAGGUACAUAGGGAGUAAUAAUAACAUAAAAUGAUGCACAAUCAUCGAAUUAAGUUUUCCUCUCUCUAUAUAUUUAUUUUGUAAAUUUUAAUAAGAUAAAGUUAUUAAAAUUUAUGAUAUAAAUUUAAGAGAUAUCUUAGAUUGAGUGGCAAAAAUUUAGUUGGGUGGUAAGUUUCUAAAAACACAAUAAAUUGAGUGGGAACAAAAUCUAUUUUCCCAAUAAUGAGUGGGAAUAAAAUCUAUUUUCCCAAUAAUCAAAGUGACGAAAAAUCAAAGUCAUCUAAUAAGUCCAGAAAAAAUAUGACCAUUAGUAUAUUGAAAUAAUAUUCACGCAUUUAUAUACGAGAAUAUAUGGUCCACAAGUUAGUGCACAAUGUCCAAGAAUCUUUAUCAAAUAACACGGCAAGCAUGCAGCAUAUAAAUAAGAGUGGGCAGUAUGGUAUUGCAUUCAUAACCCACUUGAGCAGAAAUAUGGCACACUUCCUAAAGCCUUCUCACCUUCUUCUCUUUGUUUUCUUUCUCUCGUUACUUCAAUCCAUUCUACCAACAAGACCAGAGGGAGAAGCUCUUGUGAAAUGGAAGAAUAGCCUAGCCCCGUCUUCUUUUCUCGAUUCUUGGUCACUAACCAAUCUCGAUAAUCUUUGUAACUGGACUGGCAUUACUUGUAACUCUGCAGGUUCAGUCUCUGGGAUUAACCUUUAUGAGAAACAACUUGAUGGAAUGCUGUCCGAGUUUGGCUUCACUUCAUUUCCGAAUCUCAACAAUCUCACCCUCGCAUACAACUUCUUCUCGGGUCCAAUACCACCAGCCAUUGAGAAUUUAACACAGCUUCAAUAUCUUGAUUUAAGCAUCAAUAGUCUCGAUGGUCCCAUUCCUUUCCAGGUUAGCCAUCUUCAGAGGUUGCUCGUCCUAAACCUGUCACAGAAUGCAUUGCAAGCUCCAAAUUGGUCCCAUUUCUCUUCCAUGCCUUUUUUGCGCAUCCUCAAGCUCAGUAGGAAUCAUCUUGUAUCGAAAUUUCCAGAAUUUAUAUCCAAUUCUCAUAGCUUGGCUAUCCUUGACCUUGGCCAGAACAACUUUACAGGUGAUCUUGUGCGUGAAUUUACCAAUCUACAAAAUCUUGAAACCCUCUGGCUUUAUCGUAAUUCUUUUGAGGGGCCAUUUCCGCCGGAUAUAGUCCAGCUUUCCAAACUAAAAGAUCUUGCCCUGUCAAGUAACAAAUUUUCAGGUUCAGUUCCCAAUAACAUAAGGUUGCUUUGUGAUCUUGAAUACCUAUAUUUAGGCAACAAUUCCUUUAAGGGGCCACUUCCACCAAAUAUAUUUAAGCUUUCAAAAUUAAAACAUCUUGUUCUUUGGAGUAAUAAGUUUUCAGGUUCUGUUUCCAAUGAUAUAGGUUUGCUUCAUGAGCUUGUAACCCUCAAUCUUAACUCUAAUUUUUUUGAGGGGCCGCUUCCGCCAAAUGUAUUCAAGCUCUCCAAACUAAAGUUUUUUGCCCUUCAUGAGAAUAACUUUUCAGGUUUUAUUUCUAAGGAUAUAGGUUUGCUUUCCGAACUUGAAAUCCUCUAUUUUGGCUCUAAUUUUUUUGAGGGGCCGCUUCCUCCACAUGUAUUUAGGCUCUCCAAAUUAAGAGGUCUGGACCUCUCACACAAUAGAAAUUUAUUUGAAGGAAGUAUUCCUAUUGGACUGGGACUCUUGACUAACCUCAGGUACUUAGAUCUACAUUCCAAUAAUCUCGGUGGCUAUAUUCCAUCUGACAUUGGAAACCUGAAGCUACUAGUACUUCUUGAUCUCGGUUCUAAUCAAUUGACUGGACCGCUUUCAAAGAUCGUUUCUAAUCUCACAAAUCUUAUAUGUCUUGAUGUAAGUCAUAAUAGUCUUAGUGGAAAUAUUCAGAGUGACUUGUGGAAAUAUAACGAUCAUCCAACUUUGGAAUACAUCAAUUUAAGUGGGAACCAUUUUACGGGUAUAGUUUUUCUCUAUAGAUCUUUUCCUUUUCUCAUAUGUAACUAAGCUAGUAAUCUGAUUAUUGCAGUUUCACCAAAGUUUCAACAAUCUUGACAGGUGAGCUUCCAACAACAAUUUGCAAUGUCACUUCCCUUUCGGUUCUUGAUUUGUCAAAUAAUGAAUUAAGUGGUGCACUUCCAAACUCUUUGGGGAAUCUUGCUGAUGGAAUGCUUUACCUUAAUCUUGCUAAUAAUCAGUUUCGAGGAACAAUACCAACUACUUUCUCCAGGAGUUGUCGGUUGACAUAUCUAAACAUGGAUAAUAAUGAGUUUGAAGGAUUGUUGCCCCCAUCUUUGGCGAACUGUAAGCACUUGAAAAUUCUUGAUAUAGGCAAUAAUAAAAUAGGUGGUACAUUUCCGUCAUGGCUUUAUGCACUUGGAGAGCUAGAAGUUCUUGUCUUGCGAUCAAAUAAACUCUAUGGUACAAUAAGUGGAAGGAGCAUAGAAGAUCCCUUCCCCAAGUUGCGGAUUGUGGAUCUGUCCCACAAUCAAUUGACAGGCUAUUUGCCAAUUCAAUACUUUAAGAAUAUGAAAUCAACUGAUAAUUUGUAUCGUUAUCAGAAUGACACAGGAGUUUUUUCUUUCCAUUAUGAAGCAUCUGUCUCAUUAACUGUGAAGGGAACAGAGUAUGAAGUGAAAAAUAUCCUUCAUAUUUACACAACCAUUGAUCUGUCCUGCAACAAGUUUCAAGGAGAAAUUCCUGACGUUAUUGGAGAGCUUAGAUGGCUUGCAUUGCUGAACUUAUCUCAUAAUAGUCUAACAGGACAUAUCCCAUCAUUGCUGAGAAAUAUGAAAGGACUCCAAUCUUUAGAUUUGUCUUCAAAUCAACUGAAAGGGGCUAUUCCACUUCAGUUAACUGCAUUGACAUUUCUAGAGGUCUUGAACCUCUCGGGAAACCAUCUUAGUGGAGAGAUUCCUCAGAAAGGGCAGUUCAGCACAUUUAACAUUGAUUCUUAUCUAGGAAACUCCGCGUUAUGUGGUUCACCUUUGAUGAAGAAAUGUGCAAACACAGCAUCACCUCCACAAGAAGCCGGAAAUGGUGAUGAAGAUGAAGCUGGUGAUGAAUUGACAUGGGAAGCAAUCGUGAUGGGAUAUGGAUGUGGACUGAUAUGUGGAUUGUCAUCUGCAUACAUUGUUCUCAAACUAGGAAAGCCUUGGUGGUUUGUGAGAUAUAUCGAAGUACUGCAACAGAAGUUGAUGAAAAGAUAUGCAUGAAGAAAGGUACUGGUAGAUCAAGAUGAACUUGAAAGUUGUUGUCGUGGUAGACAUUUGUGAACCAGUAGUGUACUAGCUGCAUAAGUAUUUGGUAUUAUGUAAUAAUCCGUUUGGUCGGGACUCAAAAUGAUUUCUCUUGCUUCAGGGGUAUUAAUAUUAACCUUGCUAUCUUGAUCAAUGUUAGGGCAAAUUAAAAAGAAUAUAAAAGCAAAAAAUUUGCAUCAAACACCUGUUGUACCAACAUGCAUCCAUUAAUUUGCUUUCAUCUAUUAAGUAACAAUUUAAGAGCGCUUCCACUCUGUUUAAGCAUGGAGAUAACACAAAGAAGGCAAGUCCAUGGACUAAUAUAUUAACACGUAGUCCACAUCUAUGGUAUGAACAAUUCAUAUUGCUCUUCUAUCUGUUCAACAGUCUCCCGAAGAUAGGCCAAAAAUGUCAUCUGUGGUUCUUAUGUUUGUCAGUGAAGGAGAAUCUCUGAUGCCUACACAACCUGGUGUUUUUACAGAAAGGAAUGUAGGUGAAACCAGGGGCGUAAAAUGAAUCAGGACUAAAAUCUGCUAAAAUGAUAAUUAUUUACUCAUCAUUCAAGAUUAGUCGGGCUCAAAGAUUUAUAUGGAUUUUAAGAACAAACUAUGACUAAAUAUGAAAAAAUCAUUAAUUUUUCCGACUCAAUAUUUUUUAGCCUCCCCCGGCCCUGGGUGAAACCAUAAGCUUCUCUGGUGCACAUCCAAAUCAUUCAGUUGGUUCUACUUUCAGCUCACCCACAGGAACAUCAUUCUGCAGGUACUCUUUUAUCUGUACUUUCUUAUAUUGUAUGCCAGUAAAUUUUAUAUCGACAAACUGCACAAUACACCUCGAUCUCAUAUUAUUGACAGGUGAGCUCCUCUCAUAAUGCUCACAGGCGAACCCCUGCAUAUAUACUUUGUGAUGUCAUUGAUGAUCGAUAGACUUGAAAAAAAAUUAUGACAAAGAUUCAUAAAAUAUCUACUUCCAUCCUAAUUCAGUAUUCAAUAUUAUUCAUUCGUAUCAUCAUCCAAUCAAUUCUAAUAGUUCUUCUUUAAAUCAGUACAAAUAUUGUUAAAUACCUGGAUGAUGGUUGUCUUUCCGCGAACCAAUCAUGAAAUUACCUCUGUAUAAAUCCAUCGGAAAUAAGACAGUUAAUAUCCCAAUCGAAUACACCCCGUCAGUUGUCAAACUCCUCGAAACGUAUUAAUCACUUUAGAAAAUUUGUUCCACUGGCGCUAGUCAGUCCCAGAGUUGGUGGUGGGUGCUUCUGGGCUUUCGAAAAGCACCCAUUUACUCCAUUGUUUAGAGAAGUAAAACCCCACCUUCCGCUCAUUUGAUUGAUCAGCUGAAUUAGGCAGAGUUUACAUGGUCAUGAUCAUAGUCUCCCAUAUAUCCCUGAUACGCACAUUAUAGUGGAUUUAUCUUUAUCAGUGAUUUCUGUGGAGAUGCAUAAUCAUUAUAAGCUCCAAUAUAAAAUUUUAAAGUUAGUAUGGGAAUUUGUGUUGAUAAUUUGCGCAAUGUUAACAGGAUUGCUCCCAAGUCUUGGACGGACUCUUUCAAAGUCUUCUCAGGACCCAUCUGCACACUAAUUUGUCUGCCAACUAAAAAAUCAACAAUAUGUUACUCCCUCCGUUUUUCUUAAACUGAGGUUAAAAUUUUUGACACAAGAUGGGUUGACAGUAUAAAAUUAAAAUAUUUGUGAAUAAAAAUUUUGGUUAUAUUUUUUAUUUAAAAAGAAAAUCUUGAAAAUAAUAUUAUUAACUACCAGUCAGAUCACUUAAGUGUAUGUCCAAAAUUAAAGCGGCAUAUAAAAAAAAGGGAGGAAGCAUGUACUAACUGUUUCCAUAACAGUUUACAAGUAUAAGCUAUACCCCCUCUCUAUUUUUUUCUAUGACAGCUUUGAUUUUGGGCACACAUUCUUAAGUGUUUUGACCGGAUAGUUAAAAAUUUAUCUUCUAAAAUUUUUAAAAAAAGUAAAAUCGCAAAAAAAAUUAGAAAGCUGGUAUUUUUGAUAAAUUUCCAAAUAUGUAAUCAAGAAAAAUAACUUUUACUAUCCAAUCAACUCAUUUAAAGAUGUGUGUCAAAAAUCAAAAUAUCAUACAAAAAAUAGGUAUACAUUUUUUUAAUAGAUUAUACUCCCUCUGUUCCAAAAUAAGUGUCAGCUGGGGGUAAUAACAAGACCUUAGUCAACCCAAGCACAGCAGACAGCAGGCAUAAGGCAUCAGGAAUUUCACAGGACCAUUAUCUUUCUCUUAUUAACUGUGAAGGGAACAGCGUAUGAAGUAGCAAGAACCUUCAUAUUUACACAGCCAUUGAUCUGUCGUGCAACAAAUUUCAGGGAGAAAUUCCAAAGGUUACCGGAGAGCUUAGAUGGCUUGCAUUGCUCAAUUUAUCGCAUAAUUAAUAGUCUGACAGGACCUAUCCCAACAUUGCUGAGAAAUAUGAAAUAACUCCAUUACUCCAAUCUUAGAUUUGUCCUCAAAUCAACUGACAGGGGCUAUUCCACCUCUGUUAACUGCAUUGACAUUACUUUUCUCUUUAUAUUCUUUCCUUUUGUAUGUACCUAUGCUAAUUAUCUGAUUAUUAAAAUUAUAACAAAGCUUCAAGAUUUUUAACAGGUGAGCUUCCACUAAAAAUUUGCAAAGUCACUUCCCUUUCGCGUCUCAUUAUGUUAGAUAAUGGGUCAAGUGGUGCACUUCCACAGUGUUUGGGGAACCUUUCUUUGCUUGGUUUCAAUAAUCUUGCUAAUUAUCAAUUUCAAGGACCAAUACCAACGACUGUCCAAGACUUGUCUGUGCAUAUCUAAACAUCCAUAACAAUCACUUUGAAGGUUUGUUGCUCCAAUCUUUGGCAAACUGUAAACACUUACAAAUUCUUGAUAUUGGAAACAACGUUGGAGAGCUAGAUGUCCCAGUUAGGGCGGUAAUUCGACUAGAGCAAACCGAGUUUUGAGCGGAGCCAAAUUCGAGCCAAGUUUAAUCGAGUCGAGCCGAGUCGGCUCGUUUAGCUAAUCGAGCCUAAAACUUAGCCCGAACUCGACUCAUUUAAUUUCACGAGUCGAGUCGAGCCAACUCGUUUAGCUAAAUGAGCUGAUUUUAACAAGUCGAGCGAGCGAGCUCGUAUAAUUUUAACUUAGUCGAGCCUGAAUCUCUACCCAAACUAUUGGCUCGUGUAAUUUCGCGAGUCGAAUCGAGCCGGCUCGUUUUAUUAAACAAGCCGAAAUUUUUGCCCGAAUUUGCUCGUUUAACAAGCCGAUCUGAGCCUAGUUAAAUGAGUUCGAGUUAGUCGAGCUCGCGAGCUGCGAGCUCACCUGCCAGCUCUAGUCCUAGUCUUGCAAUCAAAUAGGUUUAACGGUAUAGAAAGUGGAAGGAGCACAAGGCAUCCAUUCCCCAAGGCUAUUUACCAAUUCAGUACUUUGAGGAUACAAAAUCAUUCUGCAGGUACUCUUGUAUCUGUACUUUCUUGUACUGUAUGCCACUUUGACAGUAGAGUAAAAUUUAUAUCGACAAACUGCAUAUGUUCUGAACUACUCCUCUAUCCCAAAUUAGAUGAGCUAGUUGACUUUGAGCACGUAACUUAAGGUACAUUGACCAACUAGUUCCGAUAUUUAUUUUUUUAAUUUUUCUUUUGUAAAUGAAAAUUUCAUAUUUAAAUUUUUAUUUGCAAAACUAAAAUUUAAAAAUAUGUAAUGUGGCUAUGCGGUCAAUGUCAACGAGCUCAUCUAAUUUGGGAUUGGGAUGCAGGGAGUAUUACGUACUAUGUUAUGCAAGCUGUUUACAACUUUCAUCAAAAUUUUCAAACAUUUCUGAAUAUGUAUUUUCAAAGAAUUCUCGGGCACUCUUAAGGCCUAUAAUUAUUGGAACUCUCACGUUAUGGACCAGAGGACCACUAUGUAUUUUACAAGCACGACGAAUCAUGUGGUCAUUAUGGACUCCCCAAGCCUUAGAGGACUCAUUCCAGGUUUUAGGAGGACCACUGCCUAGCUCACCCUUUCGGAGUGAUGUAAAUUAGUUUCCAGACACUAAAAAUAAGUAAUCAGAUUAAUCAUUACAAAAUUUUGAUAUAAAAUCAGAAUAAAUCCUAAACUUUGAUGAUACAAAAAAAAUUAUAAUUGUAAAUUAUACAAUCAAAUUAAGAUCGAAUUAACUUCCCUCACACUUAAAAUUUAUAGCGAUCAAAUCAAAAUCGAAUUAACUUUCCUAUUACUAAAAUUUAAUUACAAUAUUAUUAGAUAAAGAGAAUAUAUAAUAAUCAAGAGAAAAUAGAUUUUUUUUUGCCACUCAACUUAUUGUGUUUUAAGAAACUUACCACCCAACUAAAUUUUUUUCCUUUUGCUCACUAAUGUUAGGUUUGGAUUUGUUUUUAGCCACCAAAUAAGGUUCGGAUUUGAUUACCAGCAUUAUGAUAAUUUUUUUUGUCACUAAACUUAUUGCGUCUUUAGAAACUAACCACUGAACUAAAUUUUUUUUAUUUUACUCACUAAUGUUAGAUUUAGUUUUUUUUGUCACUAUAGUUAGGUUCAGAUUUGAUUAUUAGCAUUACAUUAAUUCUGUGUAGCAUUUUUAAAAUAUGGUAGUAGUCUGUGAUAUUUAGAUGAUUUGAUAUAUGUCUGUAUUUUUAUAUAUAGUAUAUUUUAUGUCCCCAAGGUCGUUUACCUUGGGUCAUAAAAAUUUUACACUCAUUUUAUGACUUUUAAAAGAUGUAGUUUCAUAAAUAAUUUUAUUUUUUUCUUUCGAAUUAAAAUUCAGCAUUUGAAUUUUACACACAAAAAAAUCGCAAGAAUAAGAUAUGAAACUAUGCUUUACAAGAGUCUUAAAAUACGUGCUAAACGGUAGAAAAAACUGUAAACUAAUGAGAGGUACAUAGGGAGUAAUAAUAACAUAAAAUGAUGCACAAUCAUCGAAUUAAGUUUUCCUCUCUCUAUAUAUUUAUUUUGUAAAUUUUAAUAAGAUAAAGUUAUUAAAAUUUAUGAUAUAAAUUUAAGAGAUAUCUUAGAUUGAGUGGCAAAAAUUUAGUUGGGUGGUAAGUUUCUAAAAACACAAUAAAUUGAGUGGGAACAAAAUCUAUUUUCCCAAUAAUGAGUGGGAAUAAAAUCUAUUUUCCCAAUAAUCAAAGUGACGAAAAAUCAAAGUCAUCUAAUAAGUCCAGAAAAAAUAUGACCAUUAGUAUAUUGAAAUAAUAUUCACGCAUUUAUAUACGAGAAUAUAUGGUCCACAAGUUAGUGCACAAUGUCCAAGAAUCUUUAUCAAAUAACACGGCAAGCAUGCAGCAUAUAAAUAAGAGUGGGCAGUAUGGUAUUGCAUUCAUAACCCACUUGAGCAGAAAUAUGGCACACUUCCUAAAGCCUUCUCACCUUCUUCUCUUUGUUUUCUUUCUCUCGUUACUUCAAUCCAUUCUACCAACAAGACCAGAGGGAGAAGCUCUUGUGAAAUGGAAGAAUAGCCUAGCCCCGUCUUCUUUUCUCGAUUCUUGGUCACUAACCAAUCUCGAUAAUCUUUGUAACUGGACUGGCAUUACUUGUAACUCUGCAGGUUCAGUCUCUGGGAUUAACCUUUAUGAGAAACAACUUGAUGGAAUGCUGUCCGAGUUUGGCUUCACUUCAUUUCCGAAUCUCAACAAUCUCACCCUCGCAUACAACUUCUUCUCGGGUCCAAUACCACCAGCCAUUGAGAAUUUAACACAGCUUCAAUAUCUUGAUUUAAGCAUCAAUAGUCUCGAUGGUCCCAUUCCUUUCCAGGUUAGCCAUCUUCAGAGGUUGCUCGUCCUAAACCUGUCACAGAAUGCAUUGCAAGCUCCAAAUUGGUCCCAUUUCUCUUCCAUGCCUUUUUUGCGCAUCCUCAAGCUCAGUAGGAAUCAUCUUGUAUCNUUUUUAUUUAAAAAGAAAAUCUUGAAAAUAAUAUUAUUAACUACCAGUCAGAUCACUUAAGUGUAUGUCCAAAAUUAAAGCGGCAUAUAAAAAAAAGGGAGGAAGCAUGUACUAACUGUUUCCAUAACAGUUUACAAGUAUAAGCUAUACCCCCUCUCUAUUUUUUUCUAUGACAGCUUUGAUUUUGGGCACACAUUCUUAAGUGUUUUGACCGGAUAGUUAAAAAUUUAUCUUCUAAAAUUUUUAAAAAAAGUAAAAUCGCAAAAAAAAUUAGAAAGCUGGUAUUUUUGAUAAAUUUCCAAAUAUGUAAUCAAGAAAAAUAACUUUUACUAUCCAAUCAACUCAUUUAAAGAUGUGUGUCAAAAAUCAAAAUAUCAUACAAAAAAUAGGUAUACAUUUUUUUAAUAGAUUAUACUCCCUCUGUUCCAAAAUAAGUGUCAGCUGGGGGUAAUAACAAGACCUUAGUCAACCCAAGCACAGCAGACAGCAGGCAUAAGGCAUCAGGAAUUUCACAGGACCAUUAUCUUUCUCUUAUUAACUGUGAAGGGAACAGCGUAUGAAGUAGCAAGAACCUUCAUAUUUACACAGCCAUUGAUCUGUCGUGCAACAAAUUUCAGGGAGAAAUUCCAAAGGUUACCGGAGAGCUUAGAUGGCUUGCAUUGCUCAAUUUAUCGCAUAAUUAAUAGUCUGACAGGACCUAUCCCAACAUUGCUGAGAAAUAUGAAAUAACUCCAUUACUCCAAUCUUAGAUUUGUCCUCAAAUCAACUGACAGGGGCUAUUCCACCUCUGUUAACUGCAUUGACAUUACUUUUCUCUUUAUAUUCUUUCCUUUUGUAUGUACCUAUGCUAAUUAUCUGAUUAUUAAAAUUAUAACAAAGCUUCAAGAUUUUUAACAGGUGAGCUUCCACUAAAAAUUUGCAAAGUCACUUCCCUUUCGCGUCUCAUUAUGUUAGAUAAUGGGUCAAGUGGUGCACUUCCACAGUGUUUGGGGAACCUUUCUUUGCUUGGUUUCAAUAAUCUUGCUAAUUAUCAAUUUCAAGGACCAAUACCAACGACUGUCCAAGACUUGUCUGUGCAUAUCUAAACAUCCAUAACAAUCACUUUGAAGGUUUGUUGCUCCAAUCUUUGGCAAACUGUAAACACUUACAAAUUCUUGAUAUUGGAAACAACGUUGGAGAGCUAGAUGUCCCAGUUAGGGCGGUAAUUCGACUAGAGCAAACCGAGUUUUGAGCGGAGCCAAAUUCGAGCCAAGUUUAAUCGAGUCGAGCCGAGUCGGCUCGUUUAGCUAAUCGAGCCUAAAACUUAGCCCGAACUCGACUCAUUUAAUUUCACGAGUCGAGUCGAGCCAACUCGUUUAGCUAAAUGAGCUGAUUUUAACAAGUCGAGCGAGCGAGCUCGUAUAAUUUUAACUUAGUCGAGCCUGAAUCUCUACCCAAACUAUUGGCUCGUGUAAUUUCGCGAGUCGAAUCGAGCCGGCUCGUUUUAUUAAACAAGCCGAAAUUUUUGCCCGAAUUUGCUCGUUUAACAAGCCGAUCUGAGCCUAGUUAAAUGAGUUCGAGUUAGUCGAGCUCGCGAGCUGCGAGCUCACCUGCCAGCUCUAGUCCUAGUCUUGCAAUCAAAUAGGUUUAACGGUAUAGAAAGUGGAAGGAGCACAAGGCAUCCAUUCCCCAAGGCUAUUUACCAAUUCAGUACUUUGAGGAUACAAAAUCAUUCUGCAGGUACUCUUGUAUCUGUACUUUCUUGUACUGUAUGCCACUUUGACAGUAGAGUAAAAUUUAUAUCGACAAACUGCAUAUGUUCUGAACUACUCCUCUAUCCCAAAUUAGAUGAGCUAGUUGACUUUGAGCACGUAACUUAAGGUACAUUGACCAACUAGUUCCGAUAUUUAUUUUUUUAAUUUUUCUUUUGUAAAUGAAAAUUUCAUAUUUAAAUUUUUAUUUGCAAAACUAAAAUUUAAAAAUAUGUAAUGUGGCUAUGCGGUCAAUGUCAACGAGCUCAUCUAAUUUGGGAUUGGGAUGCAGGGAGUAUUACGUACUAUGUUAUGCAAGCUGUUUACAACUUUCAUCAAAAUUUUCAAACAUUUCUGAAUAUGUAUUUUCAAAGAAUUCUCGGGCACUCUUAAGGCCUAUAAUUAUUGGAACUCUCACGUUAUGGACCAGAGGACCACUAUGUAUUUUACAAGCACGACGAAUCAUGUGGUCAUUAUGGACUCCCCAAGCCUUAGAGGACUCAUUCCAGGUUUUAGGAGGACCACUGCCUAGCUCACCCUUUCGGAGUGAUGUAAAUUAGUUUCCAGACACUAAAAAUAAGUAAUCAGAUUAAUCAUUACAAAAUUUUGAUAUAAAAUCAGAAUAAAUCCUAAACUUUGAUGAUACAAAAAAAAUUAUAAUUGUAAAUUAUACAAUCAAAUUAAGAUCGAAUUAACUUCCCUCACACUUAAAAUUUAUAGCGAUCAAAUCAAAAUCGAAUUAACUUUCCUAUUACUAAAAUUUAAUUACAAUAUUAUUAGAUAAAGAGAAUAUAUAAUAAUCAAGAGAAAAUAGAUUUUUUUUUGCCACUCAACUUAUUGUGUUUUAAGAAACUUACCACCCAACUAAAUUUUUUUCCUUUUGCUCACUAAUGUUAGGUUUGGAUUUGUUUUUAGCCACCAAAUAAGGUUCGGAUUUGAUUACCAGCAUUAUGAUAAUUUUUUUUGUCACUAAACUUAUUGCGUCUUUAGAAACUAACCACUGAACUAAAUUUUUUUUAUUUUACUCACUAAUGUUAGAUUUAGUUUUUUUUGUCACUAUAGUUAGGUUCAGAUUUGAUUAUUAGCAUUACAUUAAUUCUGUGUAGCAUUUUUAAAAUAUGGUAGUAGUCUGUGAUAUUUAGAUGAUUUGAUAUAUGUCUGUAUUUUUAUAUAUAGUAUAUUUUAUGUCCCCAAGGUCGUUUACCUUGGGUCAUAAAAAUUUUACACUCAUUUUAUGACUUUUAAAAGAUGUAGUUUCAUAAAUAAUUUUAUUUUUUUCUUUCGAAUUAAAAUUCAGCAUUUGAAUUUUACACACAAAAAAAUCGCAAGAAUAAGAUAUGAAACUAUGCUUUACAAGAGUCUUAAAAUACGUGCUAAACGGUAGAAAAAACUGUAAACUAAUGAGAGGUACAUAGGGAGUAAUAAUAACAUAAAAUGAUGCACAAUCAUCGAAUUAAGUUUUCCUCUCUCUAUAUAUUUAUUUUGUAAAUUUUAAUAAGAUAAAGUUAUUAAAAUUUAUGAUAUAAAUUUAAGAGAUAUCUUAGAUUGAGUGGCAAAAAUUUAGUUGGGUGGUAAGUUUCUAAAAACACAAUAAAUUGAGUGGGAACAAAAUCUAUUUUCCCAAUAAUGAGUGGGAAUAAAAUCUAUUUUCCCAAUAAUCAAAGUGACGAAAAAUCAAAGUCAUCUAAUAAGUCCAGAAAAAAUAUGACCAUUAGUAUAUUGAAAUAAUAUUCACGCAUUUAUAUACGAGAAUAUAUGGUCCACAAGUUAGUGCACAAUGUCCAAGAAUCUUUAUCAAAUAACACGGCAAGCAUGCAGCAUAUAAAUAAGAGUGGGCAGUAUGGUAUUGCAUUCAUAACCCACUUGAGCAGAAAUAUGGCACACUUCCUAAAGCCUUCUCACCUUCUUCUCUUUGUUUUCUUUCUCUCGUUACUUCAAUCCAUUCUACCAACAAGACCAGAGGGAGAAGCUCUUGUGAAAUGGAAGAAUAGCCUAGCCCCGUCUUCUUUUCUCGAUUCUUGGUCACUAACCAAUCUCGAUAAUCUUUGUAACUGGACUGGCAUUACUUGUAACUCUGCAGGUUCAGUCUCUGGGAUUAACCUUUAUGAGAAACAACUUGAUGGAAUGCUGUCCGAGUUUGGCUUCACUUCAUUUCCGAAUCUCAACAAUCUCACCCUCGCAUACAACUUCUUCUCGGGUCCAAUACCACCAGCCAUUGAGAAUUUAACACAGCUUCAAUAUCUUGAUUUAAGCAUCAAUAGUCUCGAUGGUCCCAUUCCUUUCCAGGUUAGCCAUCUUCAGAGGUUGCUCGUCCUAAACCUGUCACAGAAUGCAUUGCAAGCUCCAAAUUGGUCCCAUUUCUCUUCCAUGCCUUUUUUGCGCAUCCUCAAGCUCAGUAGGAAUCAUCUUGUAUCGAAAUUUCCAGAAUUUAUAUCCAAUUCUCAUAGCUUGGCUAUCCUUGACCUUGGCCAGAACAACUUUACAGGUGAUCUUGUGCGUGAAUUUACCAAUCUACAAAAUCUUGAAACCCUCUGGCUUUAUCGUAAUUCUUUUGAGGGGCCAUUUCCGCCGGAUAUAGUCCAGCUUUCCAAACUAAAAGAUCUUGCCCUGUCAAGUAACAAAUUUUCAGGUUCAGUUCCCAAUAACAUAAGGUUGCUUUGUGAUCUUGAAUACCUAUAUUUAGGCAACAAUUCCUUUAAGGGGCCACUUCCACCAAAUAUAUUUAAGCUUUCAAAAUUAAAACAUCUUGUUCUUUGGAGUAAUAAGUUUUCAGGUUCUGUUUCCAAUGAUAUAGGUUUGCUUCAUGAGCUUGUAACCCUCAAUCUUAACUCUAAUUUUUUUGAGGGGCCGCUUCCGCCAAAUGUAUUCAAGCUCUCCAAACUAAAGUUUUUUGCCCUUCAUGAGAAUAACUUUUCAGGUUUUAUUUCUAAGGAUAUAGGUUUGCUUUCCGAACUUGAAAUCCUCUAUUUUGGCUCUAAUUUUUUUGAGGGGCCGCUUCCUCCACAUGUAUUUAGGCUCUCCAAAUUAAGAGGUCUGGACCUCUCACACAAUAGAAAUUUAUUUGAAGGAAGUAUUCCUAUUGGACUGGGACUCUUGACUAACCUCAGGUACUUAGAUCUACAUUCCAAUAAUCUCGGUGGCUAUAUUCCAUCUGACAUUGGAAACCUGAAGCUACUAGUACUUCUUGAUCUCGGUUCUAAUCAAUUGACUGGACCGCUUUCAAAGAUCGUUUCUAAUCUCACAAAUCUUAUAUGUCUUGAUGUAAGUCAUAAUAGUCUUAGUGGAAAUAUUCAGAGUGACUUGUGGAAAUAUAACGAUCAUCCAACUUUGGAAUACAUCAAUUUAAGUGGGAACCAUUUUACGGGUAUAGUUUUUCUCUAUAGAUCUUUUCCUUUUCUCAUAUGUAACUAAGCUAGUAAUCUGAUUAUUGCAGUUUCACCAAAGUUUCAACAAUCUUGACAGGUGAGCUUCCAACAACAAUUUGCAAUGUCACUUCCCUUUCGGUUCUUGAUUUGUCAAAUAAUGAAUUAAGUGGUGCACUUCCAAACUCUUUGGGGAAUCUUGCUGAUGGAAUGCUUUACCUUAAUCUUGCUAAUAAUCAGUUUCGAGGAACAAUACCAACUACUUUCUCCAGGAGUUGUCGGUUGACAUAUCUAAACAUGGAUAAUAAUGAGUUUGAAGGAUUGUUGCCCCCAUCUUUGGCGAACUGUAAGCACUUGAAAAUUCUUGAUAUAGGCAAUAAUAAAAUAGGUGGUACAUUUCCGUCAUGGCUUUAUGCACUUGGAGAGCUAGAAGUUCUUGUCUUGCGAUCAAAUAAACUCUAUGGUACGAUAAGUGGAAGGAGCAUAGAAGAUCCCUUCCCCAAGUUGCGGAUUGUGGAUCUGUCCCACAAUCAAUUGACAGGCUAUUUGCCAAUUCAAUACUUUAAGAAUAUGAAAUCAACUGAUAAUUUGUAUCGUUAUCGGAAUUCCACAGGACCAUUAUCUUUCUCUUAUGAAGCAGCAGUCUCAUUAACUGUGAAGGGAACAGAGUACGAGGUAGCAAAGAACCUUCAUAUUUACACAGCCAUUGACCUGUCGUGCAACAAAUUUCAGGGAGAAAUUCCAAAGGUUACUGGAGAGCUUAGAUGGCUUGCAUUGCUGAAUUUAUCUCAUAAUAGUCUGACAGGACCUAUCCCAUCCUUGCUGAAAAAUAUGAAAGAACUCCAAUCUUUAGAUUUGUCCUCAAAUCAACUGACAGGGGCUAUUCCACCUCAGUUAACUGCAUUGACAUUUCUGGAGGUCUUCAACCUCUCGGGAAACCAUCUUAGUGGAGAGAUUCCUCAGAAAGGGCAGUUCAGCACAUUUAACAAUGAUUCUUAUCUAGGAAACUCCGCGUUAUGUGGAUCACCUUUGACAAAGAAAUGUGCAAACACAGCAUCACCUCCACAAGAAGUCGGAAAUGGUGAUGAAGAUGAUGCUGGUGAUGAAUGGACAUGGGAAGCAAUCGUGAUGGGAUAUGGAUGUGGACUGAUAUGUGGAUUGUCAUCUGCGUACAUUGUUCUCAAACUAGGAAAGCCUUGGUGGUUUGUGAGAUAUAUCGAAGUGCUGCAACUGAAGUUGAUGAAAAGAUAUGCUUGAAAAAUUGUACUGGCCGAUCAAGACGAACUUGAAAGUUGUUGUCCUUGUGGACAUUUCUGAACCAGUAGUGUACUAGCUGCAUAAGUAUUUGGUAUUAUGUAAUAAUCCGUUUGGUCAGGACUCAUAAUGAUUUCUCUUGCUUCAGGGGUAUUAAUAUUAACCUUGCUAGUUAAUUCAAAUUAAAACAAAUAUAAAAUCAAAAAAUUUGCAUCAAACACCUGUUAUACCAACAUCCAUUAAUUUGCUUUCAUCUCUUACGUAACAAUUUAACAGCGAUUCCACACUGUUUUAGGCAUGGAGAUUACACAAAGAAGGCAAGUCCAUGAACUAAUAUAUUAACCCGUAGUCCACAUCUAUGCUACGAACAAUUCAUAUUGGUCUUCCAUCUAUUCAACCGUCUCCCGAAGAUAGGCCAAAAAUGUCAUCUGUGGUUCUUAUCUUUGUCAGUAAAGGAGAAUCUCUGAUGCCUAUACAACCUGGUUUUCUUACAGAAAGGAAUGUAGGUGAAACCAGGGGCAUAAAAUGAAUCGGGACUAAAAUCUGCUAAAAUGAUAAUUAUUUACUCAUCAUUCGAGAUUAGUCGGGCUCAAAUGAAGAUUUAUAUGGAUUUUAAGAACAAACUAUGACUAAAUAUGAAAACUAGACAACCUGGUUUUCUUACAGAAAGGAAUGUAGGUGAAACCAGGGGCGUAAAAUGAAUCGGGACUAAAAUCUGCUAAAAUGAUAGUAAUUAUUUACUCAUCAUUCAAGAUUAGUCGGGCUCAAAUGAAGAUUUAUAUGGAUUUUUAAGAACAAACUAUGACUAAAUAUGAAAAAAAUCAUUAAUUUUUCCGACUCAAUAUUUUUUAGCCUCCCCCGGCCCUGGGUGAAACCAUAAGCUUCUCUGGUGCACAUCCAAAUCAUUCAGCUGGUUCUGCAGGUACUCUUCUAUCUGUACUUUCUUAUAUUGUUUGCCAGUACAUUUUAUAUCGACAAACUGCACAAUACACCUCGAUCUCAUACACAGGUGAACUCCUGCAUAUGCUUUGUGAUGUCAUUGAUGAUCGAUAGACUUGAAAAAAAAUUAUGACAAAGAUUCAUAAAAUAUCUACUUCCAUCCUAAUUCAGUAUUCAAUAUUAUUCAUCCCGUAUCAUCAUCCAAUCAAUUCUAAUAGUUCUUCUUUAAAUCAGUACAAAUAUUGUUAAAUACCUCGAUGAUGGUUGUCUUCCCGUGAACCAAUCAUAAAAUUACCUCUGUAUAAAUCCAUCGGAAAUAAGACAGUUAAUAUCCCAAUCGAAUACACCCCGUCAGUUGUCAAACUCCUCGAAACGUAUUAAUCACUUUAGAAAAUUUGUUCCACUGGCGCUAGUCAGUCCCAGAGUUGGUGGUGGGUGCUUCUGGGCUUUCGAAAAACACCCAUUUACUCCAUUGUUUAGAGAAGUAAAACCCCACCUUCCGCUCAUUUGAUUGAUCAGCUGAAUUAGGCAGAGUUUACAUGGUCAUGAUCAUAGUCUCCCAUUUCCCAGAUACGCGAAUUAUAGUGGAUUUAUCUUUAUCAGUAAUUUCUGUGGAGAUGCAUAAUCAUUAUAAGCUCCAAUAUAAAAAUUUAAAGUUAGUAUGGGCAUUUGUGUUGAUAAUUUGCGCAAUGUUAACAGGAUUGCUCCCAAGUCUUGGACGGACUCUUUCAAAGUCUUCUCAGGACCCAUCUGCACACUGAUUUGUCUGCCAACUAAAAAAUCAACAAUAUGUUACUCACUCCGUUUUUCUUAAACGAGGUUAAAAUUUUUGACACAAGAUGGGUUGACAGUAUAAUAAAAUUAACAUUUUUGUGAAUAAAAAUUUUGGUUGUAUUAUUUUAUUUAGAAAAAGAAAAUCUUGAAAAUAAUAUUAUUAACUACCCAGUCAAAUCACUUAAAAGUAUAUGUCCAAAAUUAAAGCGGCAUAUAAAAAAACCGAGAGAGAGUAUGUACUAACCUGUUUCCAUAACAGUUUACAAGUAUAAGUUAUACUCCCUCUCUAUUUUUUUAUAUGACGCUUUGAUUUUGGGCACAUAUUUUUAAGUGUUUUGACCGGAUAAUUAAAAAUAUUAUUUUCUAAAAUUUUUAAAAGAAAGUAAAAUUGAAAAAAAAAUAGAAAGCUGGUAUUUUUGAUAAAUUUCCAAACAUAAUCAAGAACAAUAAUUUUUACUAUCCAAUCAACUCAUUUACAGAUGUGUGUCAAAAAUCAAAAUAUCAUAUAAAAAACAACAAUAUGUUACUCCCUCCGUUUUUCUUAAACUGAGGUUAAAAUUUUUGACACAAGAUGGGUUGACAGUAUAAAAUUAAAAUUUUUGUGAAUAAAAAUUUUGGUUAUAUUUUUUAUUUAAAAAGAAAAUCUUGAAAAUAAUAUUAUUAACUACCAGUCAGAUCACUUAAGUGUAUGUCCAAAAUUAAAGCGGCAUAUAAAAAAAAGGGAGGAAGCAUGUACUAACUGUUUCCAUAACAGUUUACAAGUACAAGUUAUACUCCCUCUCUAUUUUUUCUAUGACGCUUUGAUUUUGGGCACACAUUCUUAAGUGUUUUGACCGGAUAGUUAAAAAUUUAUCUUCUAAAAUUUUUAAAAAGAAGUAAAAUCGCAAAAAAAAUUAGAAAGCUGGUAUUUUUGAUAAAUUUCCAAAUAUGUAAUCAAGAACAAUAACUUUUACUAUCCAAUCAACUCAUUUAAAGAUGUGUGUCAAAAAUCAAAAUAUCAUACAAAAAAUAGGUAUACAUUUUUUUUAAUAGAUUAUACUCCCUCUGUUCCAAAAUAAUUGUCAGCUGUGACAUUUUGCAAAAGUAGCUGGGGGGUAAUAACAAGACCUUAGUCAACCCAAGCACAGCAGACAGCAGGCAUAAGGCAUCAGGAAUUUCACAGCACCAUUAUCUUUCUCUUAUUAACUGUGAAGGGAACAGAGUAUGAAGUAGCAAGAACCUUCAUAUUUACACAGCCAUUGAUCUGUCGUGCAACGAAUUUCAGGGAGAAAUUUCAAAGGUUACUGGAGAGCUUAGAUGGCUUGCAUUGCUCAAUUUAUCUCAUAAUAGUCUCACAGGACCUAUCCCAUCAUUGCUGAGAAAAAUGAAAGAACUCCAAUCUUUAGAUUUGUCCUCAAAUCAACUGACAGGGGCUAUUCCACCUCAGUUAACUGCAUUGACAUUACUUUUCUCUUUAUAUCCUUUCCUUUUGUAUGUACCUAUGCUAAUUAUCUGAUUAUCAAAAUUAUAACAAAGCUUCAAGAUUUUUAACAGGUGAGCUUCCACUAAAAAUUUGCAAAGUCACUUCCCUUUCGCGUCUCAUUAUGUCAGAUAAUGGGUCAAGUGGUGCACAUCCACAGUGUUUGGGGAACCUUUCUUUGCUUGGUUUCAAUAAUCUUGCUAAUUAUCAAUUUCAAGGACCAAUACCAACGACUGUCCAAGACUUGUCUGUGCAUAUCUAAACAUCCAUAACAAUCACUUUGAAGGUUUGUUGCUGCAAUCUUUGACAAACUGUAAACACUUACAAAUUCUUGAUAUUGGAAACAACAAAAUAGGUGGUACAUUUCGGUCAUGGCUAUUUAUUUUGGAGAGCUAGAUGUCCUAGUUAGGGCGGUAAUUCAACUAGAGCAAACCGAGUUUUGAGCGGAGCCAAAUUCGAGCCAAGUUUAAUCGAGUCAAGCCGAGUCGGCUCGUUUAGCUAAUCGAGCCUAAAACUCUGCCCGAACUCGACUCGUUUAAUUUCACGAACGAGUCAAGCGAGUGAGCUCGUAUAAUUUUAACUUAAUCGAGCCUAAAUCUCUACCCGAACUAUUGGCUCGUGUAAUUUCGCGAGUAGAAUCGAGCCGGCUCGUUUUAUUAUAGAAGCCGAAAUUUUUGCCCGAAUUUGGCUUGUUUAACAAGCCGAUCUUUCAUCAAAAAUUUCAAACAUUUCUGAAUAUGUAUUUUCAGAGAAUUUCUCCAGCACUCUUAAGGCCUAUAAUUAUUGCAACUCUCACGUUAUGGACCACUGUGUAUUUUACAAGCACGACGAAUCAUGUUGUCAUUAUGGACUCCCCAAGCCUUAGAGGACUCAUUCCAGGUCUUAGGAGGACCACUGCCUAGCUCACCCUUUCGGAGUGAUGUAAAUUAUUUUCCAAACAUUAAAAAUAAAUAAUCAGAUUAAUCAAUACAAAAUUAAAGAUAUAAAAUCAGAAUAAAUCCUAAACUUUGAAUAUACAAAAAAAAUUAUAAUUGUAAAUUAUACAAUCAAAUUAAAAUUGAAUUAACUUCCCUCACACUUAAAAUUUAUAGCGAUCAAAUCAAAAUCGAAUUAACUUUCCUAUUACUAAAAUUUAGUUACAAUAUUAUUAGAUAAAGAGAAUAUAUAAUAAUCAAGGGAAAAUAGAUUUUUUUUUUUUGCCACUCAACUUAUUGUUUUUUAAGAAACUUACCACCCAACUAAUUAUUUUUUCCUUUUGCUCACUAAUGUUAGGUUUGGAUUUGUUUUUAGCCACCAACUAAGGUUCGGAUUUGAUUACUAGCAUUAUGAUAAUUUUUUUUGUCACUAAACUUAUUGUGUCUUUAGAAACUAACCACUCAACUAAUUUUUUUUUAAUUUACUCACUAAUGUUAGGUUCAGUUUUUUUUUGUCACUGAAGUUAGGUUCGGAUUUGAUUAUUAGCAUUACAUUAAUUCUGUGUAGCAUUUUUAAAAUAUGGCUCAUAAGAAUUUUACACGCAUUUUAUGACUUUUAAAAGAUGUAGUUUCAUUAAUAAUUUUAUUUUUUUCUUCCGAAUUAAAAUUUAGCGUUUGAAUUUUACACACAAAAAAUCGAAAGAAUAAGUUAUGAAAGUAUGCUUUAUAAGAGUCUUAAAAUACGUGCUAAACGGUAGAAAAAACUGUACACUAAUGACAGGUAAAUAGGGAGUAAUAAUAACAUAAAAUGAUGCACAAUCAUCGAAUUAAGUUUUCCUCUCUCUAUAUAUUUAUUUUGAAAAUUUUAAUAAGAUAAAGUUAUUAAAAUUUAUGAUAUAAAUUUAAGAGAUAUCUUAGAUUGAGUGGCAAAAAUUUAGUUGGGUGAUAAAUUUCUAAAAACACAAUAAAUUGAAUGGGAACAAAAUCUAUUUUCCCGAUAAUCAAAGUGACGAAAAAUCAAAGUCAUCUAAUAAGUCCAGAAAAAAUAUGACCAUUAGUAUAUCGGAAUAAUAUUCACACAUUUAUAUACGAGAAUAUAUGGUCCACAAGUUAGUGCACAAUGUCCAAGAAUCUUUAUUAAAGUAACACGGCAAGCAUGCAGCAUAUAAAUAAGAGUGGGCACUGGGCAGUAUGGUAUUGCAUUCAUAACCCACUUGAGGAGAAAUAUGGCACACUUCCUAAAGCCUUCUCACCUUCUUCUCUUUGUUUUCUUUCUCUCGUUACUUCAAUCCAUUCUACUAACAAGACCAGAGGGAGAAGCUCUUGUGAAAUGGAAGAAUAGCCUUGCCCCUUCUUCUUUUCUCGAUUCUUGGUCACUCACCAAUCUCGAUGAUCUUUGUAACUGGACUGGCAUUACUUGUAACUCUGCAGGUUCAGUCUCUGAGAUUAACCUUUAUGAGAAACAACUUGAUGGAAUGCUGUCCGAGUUUAGUUUCACUUCAUUUCCAAAUCUUAACAGUCUCACUCUCGCAUACAACUUCUUCUCGGGUCCAAUACCACCAGCCAUUGAGAAUUUAACACAGCUUCAAUAUCUUGAUUUAAGCAUCAAUAGUCUCGAUGGUCUCAUUCCGUUCCAGGUUAGCCAUCUUCAGAGGUUGCUCGUCUUAAACCUGUCACAGAAUGCAUUGCAAGCUCCAAAUUGGUCCCAAUUCUCUCCCAUGCCCUUUUUGUGCAGCCUCAACCUCAGUAGCAAUCCUCUUGCGUCGAAAUUCCCAAAUUUCAUAUCCAAUUCUCAUGGCCUGACUCACCUUAGCCUUGAUCAAAACGAGUUUACAGGUGAUUUAGCGCGUGAAUCAAUAUUUGCCAAUCUGCAUAAUCUUGAAGUCCUCAGUCUUGUUGGCAAUUCUUUUGAGGGGCCAUUUCUGCCAAAUAUAUUCAAGCUUUCCAAAUUAAAACGUCUCACCCUGUCAAGUAACAAAUUUUUAGGAUCAAUUCCCAAUGACAUAAGGUUGCUUUGUGAUCUUGAAUUCCUGUAUUUAGGAAACAAUUCUUUUGAAGGACCGCUUCCACCAAAUAUAUUCAAGCUUUCAAAAUUAAAACAUCUUGUUCUUUGGAGUAAUAAGUUUUCAGGUUCUGUUUCCAAUGAUAUAGGUUUGCUUUCUGCGCUUGAACUUUUGAAUCUUCACUCUAAUUUUUUUGAGGGGCCGCUUCCGCCAAAUGUAUUCAAGCUCUCUAAACUAAGGUUUCUUAACCUCUGGGGUAACAACUUUUCAGGUUCUGUUUCCAAUGAUAUAGGUUUGCUUCCGGAGCUAGAAAUCCUCAAUCUUCACUCUAAUUUUUUUGAGGGCCGCUUCCGCCAAAUAUAUUCAAGCUCUCUAAACUAAGGUUUCUUAACCUUUGGGGUAAUAACUUUUCAGGUUCUGUUUCCAAUGAUAUAGGUUUGCUUCCUGAGCUAGAAUUCCUCAAUCUUCACUCUAAUUUUUUUGAGGGUCCGCUUCCGCCAAAUGUAUUCAAGCUCUCUAAACUAAAGUUUCUUCAUCUUCGAGGUAAUAAGUUUUCAGGUUCUGUUUCCAAUGAUAUAGGUUUGCUUCCUGAGCUUGAAAUCCUCAAUCUUCGCUCUAAUUUUUUUGAGGGGCCGCUUCCGCCAAAUGUAUUCAAGCUCUCCAAACUAAGGUUUCUUUCCCUUAAGGAAAAUAAAUUUUCAGGUUCUGUUUCCAAUGAUAUAGGUUUCCUUUCUGAGCUUGAAUACCUAUAUCUUGACUAUAAUUUAUUUGAAGGAAGUAUUCCUAUUGGACUGGGACUCUUGACUAACCUCAGCUACUUAGAUCUAAGUUCCAAUAAUCUCAGUGGCUAUAUUCCAUCUGACAUUGGAAACCUGAAGCUACUAGUAUUUCUUGAUCUCAGUUCUAACCAAUUGACUGGACCGCUUUUAAAGAUCGUUUCUAAUCUCACAAAUCUUAUGAAUCUUGAUGUAAGUGAUAAUAGUCUUAGUGGAAAUAUUCAGAGUGACUUGUGGAAGAACUCUAUAUCCUUACGUUACAUUAAUUUUGCAAAUAAUUAUUUGUCUGGGAACAUUCCUAAGGAAUACAACGAUCAUCCAACUUUGGAAUACAUCAAUUUAAGUGGGAACCAUUUUACAGGUAUAUUUUUCUCUAUAUAUCUUUUCCUUUUCUCAUAUGUAACUAAGCUGGUAAUCUGAUUAUUGCAGUUUUACCAAAGUUUCAACAAUCUUGACAGGUGAGCUUCCAACAACAAUUUGCAAUGUCACUUCCCUUGCGGUUCUUGUUUUGUCAAAUAAUGGAUUAAGUGGAGCACUUCCAAAUUGUUUCGGGAAACUUGCUGAUAGAUUGCUUUCCAUUAAUCUUGCUAAUAAUCAGUUUCGAGGAACAAUACCAACUACUUUCUCCAGGAGUUGUCAGGUGAAAUAUCUAAACAUGGAUAAUAAUGAGUUUGAAGGAUUCUUGCCCCCAUCUUUGGCGAACUGUAAGCACUUGAAAAUUCUUGAUAUUGGCAAUAACAAAAUAGGUGGUCCAUUUCCGUCAUGGCUUUAUGUACUUGGAGAGAUAGAAGUCCUUGUCUUGCGAUUAAAUAAACUCUAUGGUACAAUAAGUGGAAGGAGCGUAAAAGAUCCCUUCCCCAAGUUGCGGAUUGUGGAUCAAUAGACAUCGGCUAAAAAGCGAUGUCUAUGUAAAAUCAGACCGAUGUCUUCGUGGGUGAUGAGAAAAGUAAGUGCAUUACACAUCGCUUUCUAGCCGAUGUCUAUAACCUAUUUACACAUCGUUUAAUAUGACAAUCUGAUGUAUUUUUUAACAGUAGAUACCUUCACUAUAAUUUCAGUUCCUCAUUCCUAUGCCCUCUAUAUCAUUUUAAACUUGUCACAUGCUUAAUAAAAUGAUACUUUAACAUCUUAAAACUUGUAAAAUAGAUGUAUAUGAUAACCUUUUACAUCAUGCUUUUAUAGGAAGUGAUGUGGUACCCUUCUUUUCUUUAAGAAAGCGAUGUCUUUGUUCUUGUUUUACAUCAGUGAUUUUUAUACUCUGAUAUCUAUUAUAUAGUUUAACAUCAGGCUUUUUCUUGUUAACUGAUAUGUAUUCAUUCUUAUGACAUCGCUUACUAAGUGAUGUAAAUGUUAGUUUUAAAUUGCCAUGAAUCCUCCUGUUUCUUAUGAAUCCCCCUGUUUCAUUUAAAUUUCCAACAAAUUCCAAAACAACACCAAAGCUAUACUAAUUAAACAACCAAUUACCAAUGUCUAGCCUACCAUAACAGAACUAAAACAAAACUAGCUAGCAAAACAAUACUUCCGCAAAAGCCAAAUAUAUUACCAUCAAUCAUUACCAAUCAAAUUACAUCCCACAAUCAAAGAAACUGCACAAAUCCUAAAUAUUAACCAAGCAACCAUAAUUUACAAGCAGUUCACCACGUACUCCAGCAACCAUAAUUUACCAACUACAUUUCCCUCCAUUUAUCAACAAAAUCUACUUAGCUAGCUAGUGUCACUGUCUUACAUAAACUGAACUAAUUAAAGGAAACCAAAGUUCUCCAAUAAACCAAAGGCCUGUUUAUAAGAAGGACUCGAUAUGGCUAAGUGUCUCAAACCGAACCUCGUCAAGCUCAGCCUUGGAACAAAUCACUUUUCGAUUCUUGGAUGCCCACUGAAAAAUGUAAAACAAUAACAUUGAAUUAUACCUAAAUUUAUAUGUACACCAUUUAAUUAUAUCAACAAUGGAUUAGGCAAAGAAAAAUACCCUUUUAAAAAAUGUCAUUUCAUUGUCCAUGACAAUCUCUUUCAUAUACCGCAUAAUAACAUAGCCGCAUUCAGUUCCACCGGGCUGUUUAGGACAUCCCUAUUUAACCAAAAAAAACUCAAAAUAGUAAGUAAAGUAAUGCCCCUGGUUCUAAGCAUCAGUAGCACAAAUUGUUAAAAAUAAAUACGAAAGCUUACUGUAAUAUAUUUGAAGCUUGGGGCUUUAUUUCCCCUUCCGGCCUGAACAUUGAAAGUAAUCACAGCCCUGUCAUCUUGGCAGUGUUAAUAAUGCACAUGCAUUUAUAUCUCCAUAAGAAAGAUAAUCAAUAAAAAAAUAAAUGAAAAUACCUUGAUAUUGCUUUUUCCAAGUUGGGGAAACUAGUUGAACGAGGCAGAGGAUUAAGUAUGAAAACCUCGCCACCCCAAAACAGAACCAAUACCCAAUGGAAACUAUUUUUAACAAAUAUUUAUGAAAAACACAAUUACUAUCAAAAUCAUAUAAAUUUUAUUUUCAGUCAUGUAAAAAACUAAAUAAAAGAGAUUUAUAAUAAAUAAGAAAACACUUAAGCUACUUACUUGCUAUUAUGCGGCAUCAAAAAGAGACGAUCAGGAUUACCCUCUUUAAAUCGAUUAACCAAGUUAUCUUCAAAAGAAUUGUUCAUCAAGUUCAGCGAGGCUCCAGGAUCACAAAAAGCAAAUUGAUCCUUAGUGCCAUUUUCACGAACCACGCAAUGCAAGUAUCUACAUUGUAAAUGAAAUGAAAUUAUAUAAAAUUACACGAAUAUGAAUUAUAACUAAACAACAGUCAUGAUCUAGAAGACAGUAAUUAAAAAAAGUUUACUCACGCCAUGUAUGCAGCAAUUGCUGCUUGGCCAAUCAUAUUAAACUCCAGCAAGGCGACUAUGUUUUCAUACAAGAUGAAGAUUCUUUUCUCGAUACCAAACACCUCAGCAUCACACGGGAUUUGAAUUGAGUCUCCGGAGGAUUGCAUAAAUGUUGUUGCAUGUUUAUACAACAACCGAAAGCGUUUUGGAACAUUUUUAUUGAUCUCCAUGUUAUGAAACAAGGACUGGACUUUAUCUAAAUCGGUUUUAGGUUCCUUUACUUUCCGUUUACCUUUCUGAAAAAUGAACAAAAUUAAUUUAAAACAAAAUAUAACAAAAUAUAGGGGUAACAUAUAAUAGUACAAUCCAGUACAACAAUUAUGUUAAAGUACACACCAUAGUAGGAAUAGUAGGAGGGGCAUUUGGGAAUAUGAUCAAGUCGCGGGGCCAUGAGACGUACGAGCCAACAGCUUGCUCUACUGUUUCAAUCUCACCUGGUACCGGUUUAGGAAUCUUGGCUUGUCCUUGAAUUGGGCCAUCCACUGAGACGCGAACACAUCCAGGCUCUAUCGGCACUCCAUGUAUAGAUUUGUUCAUGUUAUCAUCAUCAAACAACAAACCAAAUGCCACUUUAUUUUCUAUUGUGCCUACAGCCAACUCACAUUUUCGUGGACCGGCCUACACACAUAUAUUUAAACAAUUAUGACGAAUGCUUGAAAUAUGUUGAGCUAAAUUGAAUAAAUGUGCUAGUUAUUUUACCUUAUUCUCUGGUGGAUUAGGUUCCAAGUCAACUUCAAUCAUCUCUGGUUCCAGUUUUUUCACCACCUCUGUCUUAGCUUCUUUGACAGUGUUUGCCUCACAACUUGCUUUAUCAGAAGCAAUAGGAGAUGAAAUAUUUGCUUUGCUGAGCAAGGCCUUCAUUUCAGCCAUCUCCUGCCUUGUCUUCUCCAUUUCCAUGGCCAUCUCUUUCUUGGCUUUCUCCAGCUCCGCGUCCCUCUCUCGAUCCCUCUCCAACAACUCAGCUUUGGUGAUUCUAUUUCUUCUUCCUGGUGGUAUAUUAAAAAAAAUUGACGGGCUCACAAAGCCUCCAACUCCUCGAACCCUCCCCGAAUGUUCAGGAGUUUGUAGGGCCGUAGUCAACACAUCUCGACUCCCAGAAGGAGUGAAUUCCCCCUUACUUUGCUGCUCUAGUAAAAUAUUCUGACAUGAAAAAUAUGAACAUACAAAUCAUCAUCUAGUGAACCUCAUCAUCAAUAUUAACUUUAAUUUUACGAGCCUUUUAAUUAUAAAUACUCACAAUUCUUUUUCCUAUUUCAGCUAGGUCUGAAUCCUCAUCAUCAGCAUCAUCAGCCUCAUCAUCAUCAUCAACAUUAUCAUUAUCAUCAUCAAUUUUAAUUUUACGAGCCUUUUGCCACAUGAGAGCCCGAUCAGGUUCUUCAUCGGCAGCCAAAGUUCCUUUCUUGAUCUGAUUAAAAUCAAAAAAAAAUUAAAAAGGCCAAGAUAUGUAAAAUACAAUUAUUUAGGUUCAAUGCUUAAAAUACAACUAUUUUUAUACCUCUUCUUCCAAUAAUCCAAUGUAACCCUUUCUUGAUGUCCGGUGAGGAUAUUUUCGAUUACUCACCCUCAGCUUUUGUUUUUCACUAAAAGACUUCAAAUAUUUUAAAUAAUAUUAGAAUACUAUUUUUCAGAAUAUAAAAAGACAUUUAUAUCACAAUAAAGCAGAACAUAAAAUAUAUUUCAUACCAGAAAUUUCGAGGUAGUCCUCUCAGCAACAAAAUUUUUCCAAGCCUCCUUUCCAACAAAAGCAUACUUCUUUGGAGGCUUUCGUAAUUUCUUCUUCUGCCCAAGAUACGGCCUCACAUAAUCUCUUGUUAAAUUUGCUUUAAAAUUCCUCCACUUUGCUCCUGCAGACCUGAUCAACCCCUUCUCAAGUUGCUUAGGAACUUUAAAUGUCUCCUGCAACCAAUGUUAAUUGACAAAAUUUACAAAAUUAUACUCUAAAUGAGUAGAAGAAAAUGCAAAAUUUACAAAAUGCAUAGGAGAUUACUUAUUUUUAUACCUUCACAUCAAUCCAUAUUUUCUCCUUUAGUUCAUCAGGUACCUUUGACCAGUUAGGAUAAUCAAUCGGAAUCAUUGUCCUAGCCAACAUUCCAGUGUAGGAUUGUAGACUGUGCCUUGCAUCCCCUGUAGGAACUCCAUGUGCAUUACAUGAAACCUUUGUUUUCUUGCCCUGCGCCUUCCUCACCACCACUUUAUACAUAGCAGAAACCCCUCGGGCACCCCCACGCUUUUUCUUUGCUGUUUCAGAUGUUGUAACUGUUGCAUCCGUUUCCUCCACAGAAUUCACAUUUUCUCCCUGAGGUUCUGUUGUCAGCUCCAACCUUUUAUCUGAUGCCUCAUCCGACUUUUUGGAGUCUUCAUGGAAUUGUACUUUGGUUUUUUGCUUUUUAUUUGCCAUUUAUCUUCUUCAAUCUGAAAAUGAAACAUAUAUAAUCCAUUAGUCACAGGCAUAUAUACGAGCAAUUACAGGAUAAGCAGUUAUAAAGUUACAUAAGCCUACAUAAGCCGUUACAAAAUUGUAAAAAUGCAUAACUAAACAUUUACACAGAGUGAAAAUUACAGGAGUCUAAUUACACAGAGUAAAUUACAAAGUUGCAUCACAUAUAUUACAUGACUUGAAAUAAUGUUAUCACAGAGUAAAUUACAAAGUCUCAUCACAAAAUUAACUAUUACAUGACUUGAAAUAAUGUUAUCACUUCUUAACCCAAGUGCCCUUAAUAUUUUCUCUAAUACUUUUCUCAACAUCAUCACCGACAUCACAUGUAGGAAUUUGGCAGCAGAAUGGAGGAUUUUCCAUGGUUGUGUCUCCUAAAUCAUCAUCGUUAUACACCUCUUGGUAGUCUCGAGUUGUAGAGGUUAAUACGACGGACCACUUGGCAUCCACCGGAUCUUCAAUAUAAUAAACUUGCUUUACUUGAUCUAUAGACACGUAUUUAUCUCUCUUGUGGCCUUGUCGACUUAGAUCGACAAGUGUGAACCCAAGAUCAUCCACCUUAAUUCCCUUGUCAUUGUCCGCCCAAUUACAUAAAAACAGUGGGGCUUUGAAUGCAUGAUAAUCCAGCUCCCAUAUAUCUAGGAUAACACCAUAAAAUGUCAAGUCACUUUCUACGGGGUUUAAAUCUUUAGCGCUAGACACUUGGACAGUUUUAGCAACUAAAGACACUCCGCUGUUUUGAACUACCCUCACAUUGUCUCGCUGUUUUGUAAAGUAUCGGACCCCGUCUACUAGAUAAGCUUCGUAAGUCAUAACUGAAAAUGAUGGUUUUCCAGCUAUCCAUCUUACUGUCUCUGAAACUCCUCCAGGAUUCUCCACCAUUUCACUACUGACCUACACAUUUCAUAAACAGAAAUUAUCCUAAAUUACUAUAGAGAAAAUAAAUUAGGCACAAAUGAAACUAUAAAAAUACUAACUUUUUCUAGAAACCAAUCAGCAAAACUGUUAUUGUGCUCUCUCAAGAGCCAAUGAACGCUUUUCUUUUUCCCACGAUGGAUUUCCUCUAGAUACUCCUUAUGCAUUCUGCCAAAAAUUAUAUAUUCAUUAAAGAAGUAGUUUAUACAGAAUGUAUAUAUUAAUUGAACAGCCACAAAAUUAAAAAAAUCUUACAAGAUAUAUGGCUGUACUUCAAGGUUGUUUAGAAGAACGUGUAAAUGAGCUUCAUCCCUCUCUUUUUCUUCGAUUGAUUUCAUUACCGCAACAGAUAAUGGACCACUUAACUUGCCUUCAUCUUUGCGAAGACCAGCAGUGGUGCAAGUUUGCUUGACAAACUCUUGGCAGAAUUCAAUCGAUUCUUCUCCAAGAUAACAUUCUGCUAUACAACCUUCGGGGUAGUAACGAUUGCGUACGUAACUCUUCAACACCUUAUUAAACCUCUCAAAUGCAUACAUCCAUCUAUAGAAGACUGGCCCACAUAACCGUAAUUCCCGAACCAAGUGCACUAUGAGAUGUAUCAUUACAUCAAAAAAUGAUGCAGGAAAAAUUUUUUCUAGCUCGCACAAAGUUACUAUUACAUCUGAUUGCAAUUUAUCUAGUUUAGAUACGUCGACAACUUUGCUGCAUAAAGCAUUAAAGAAGAAACACAAUCUAAUUAUUGUGACCCUGACUUUUUUUGGAAGUACCGCGCGAAUUGCAAUAGGAAGUAAUUGUUGAAGUAGGAUGUGGCAAUCGUGGGACUUCAACCCAAACAUUUUUAAUUCUUCCAUGGAAACACAGUUUUUAAUGUUUGACGCGUGUCCAUAAGGAAGUUUCAUGUGCAUUAACGAUGACAACAUCUUCUUCUUUUCUGCCUUGGACAAAUUAAAAAUCGAAGGAGGUAAAUAGGUCUUUCUUUCUCCUUUUUGUGGAGCUAGAUCAGCCCUAACCCCCAUGUCAAUCAUGUCAAGACGAGAAGCUUCACUAUCUUUAGACUUAUGUUUCAUAUUCAGUAGUGUGCCAAUCAAGCUAUCACACACGUUUUUCUCCACGUGCAUAACAUCUAGACAAUGACGGACAUGGUGAAAUUUCCAAUACUCUAACUCGAAGAAAAUUGACUUUUUCUUCCAUGGACAGUCAACCUUCUUUGACUUCCUUACUUCUUUCCCAAACUGAAAUUCAAUUUUUUCUUGCUGCAAUAAAACCUCUUCUCCCGAAAGAGGUUGACGUGCCUGCCCUAAUUCUUGUUGUCCAUUAAAAGCAGCUUUUUGCUUCCUAUAUGGAUGAUUUCUAGCCAAGUAACGUCGAUGACCUUGGUAACACAUCUUCCUACUAUGGCUUAAAUACUUUGCAACAGUAUCAUCACCACAUAUUGGACAAGACAUAUAACCUUUAUUAACACAUCCGGACAGAUUUCCAUAUGCGGGAAAGUCGUUUAUUGUCCACAAUAAAAUUGCUUUUAAAGUGAAAUACGACUUAGUGUGUGCAUCAUAGACAUUUGGUUCACCUUCCUCCCACAACUUCUUUAAAUCAUCGAUUAGAGGCUGUAAAUAUACAUCAAGGUCAUUACCAGGCUCAUGAGGACCGGGAACUAAAACUGUUAGCAUCAUAAACUUCCUCUUCAUGCAUAACCACGGAGGAAGAUUAUAAGUCACUAGUACUACUGGCCAACAAGUGUAUCUAUUGGUUAGACCGUUAUUAUGCGGGUUUAUACCAUCUGCAGACAACGCCAAGCGAAUAUUUCUUGCCUCACUACCGAAGGCAGGCCACCUAUAGUCGAUAUUUCUCCAAGAAGGAGAGUCGGCUGGAUGCCGCAUCUUUCCAUCUUCUAUUCGCUGCUUUGCGUGCCAGGUAAUCAGUUCAGAUGUAGAAGGAGAUUUAAACAUUCGCUUCAAUCUCGGAAUAAUUGGAAAAUACCACAUUAUUUUAGCAGGAACAUUAAUCCUUACUUUACCAUCCUUUCCUAACUUCCAGCGAGAUAGACUACACUUAGGACACUUAGAAGCAUCAACAUAUACCCCCCGAUAUAGUAUGCAAUCGUUUGGACAUGAGUGGUACUUUAUGUAUUCUAGGCCUAAGUUGGAUAAUGUUUUCUUGGCUUCAUAUGCAUUAGGUGGCAUCACAUUUUCCUUAGGAAGGAGAGAGCCAACAGUAGACAAUAAAUCUGUAAAGGCGCUAUCACUAAUUCCAAACCUUGCUUUCCAAUUAUGCAGUUUUAGCAUCGACUCCAAUUUGGUACAUUCACUACCCUCAUACAAAGGCUGUUGAGCAUCAGCCACAAAUCUCCUAAACUGAUACGACUCAUUAUUGUACUCACUCGAAUUAUACGCAGCAUCACAAACAUUGACUGUUUGUGAUGCAUGACCAGGGGAAUGCAUCGAUGCAGGGUCAAGCGUAGGUGCAGGGCUAGGGGCAUUGUCAUGAACUGUUGAUCCAGUGAUUCCACACCCUUGUGUGUGCCAAAUCCAAUCAAGGUAUCCCAAACUAAAACCGUAUUCAUAUAAAUGUCCCCUAAUAAUCUUAACUGCAAAUUUUUUAAAGUUAACACAUCUUUUGCAGGGGCAUGGGAUUUUUUUAGUAUCACUAGCAUUUUCCUCGGCAAAUAUUAAAAACUCUUCAACCCCGAUUUCAUAGUCAAGUGUAUCCCUAUCUUUGAAAAUCCAAGACUUGUCCAUGUUAUUCUCAAACUACCUGAUUGUCAAAUAUGAUAUCAAAUUACAUGGUAACAAAGAUCCAAACACAAUAUACAAUUACAUUUACAAACUAAACAAACACAAAUAUAUUUACACAGCUGUGCAUAAAACAUAAAAAACAAAUCCCAAGCUCUAAACAUAUAUAACACAGUACAUAAAAAAGAAACCCCAAGCUCCAAACAUAUAUAAAACAUAUAUACAACUACACGUUUAAUUUUCACAUGCAUACAUAUAACUACAAAAAGUUAUACUUGCAACCGAAACAUUUAUAUAAAUAUAAAGAAGAAUAUAGAAGAAUAUAUAUACCUAAAACCCAGCAGCUUCGAAACCCAGCACCUCCAAAAUCCAGCAGCUAUCCAGCAGCUUCGAAAACCCAGCAACUACCCUAAUCUCCAAGCUUCAAAUCUCCAAGCUUCAAAGAACCCUAAUCUCCAAGCUCCACUCGACCCUAAGCUUGAAGAUCGAACCUUAAGCUUGAACACAGCAGCUUCGAAUCGCGCACAAAUCGCACCUAGGGUUUAGAAGAGAGGGAAUCAGUUAAUAGAACAUUUGAAAGGGGGUUUAGAAGAGAGGGAAUCAGUUAUUAAACCAAGAACGAGGAUUGAAGGACUGAAGGAUUGAAGAAAAUCGCAUACCUAGGUUUAGCUGUCGAGAGAAAGGGGGAAGAGCUGCUGUCUGAAAGAAAUAUGUAUAUAUGUCCCGAUUGUUUUCUUUUGAAUGCUUUUGUUUUAAUUUUGAUUUAUUUUUAAUGUUUUUUUAUUGUUUUAUACUGAGGCGGGAGUGAAUGAUAUGUUAAAGGGGGGGAAAACAGUAGGGGGAACUAAUUAAAAAAUUGACUAAGGGCGGGGGAGCGGAGGGCGCGGGCUUUAAUAUUUUUAAAAUUGAGAUUAGACAUCGCUUAAUAAACAAUGUGAUGUGAAAAAAUUUUAAAGUGAGAGCUUAGACAUCACUUAUGUUAAGGACUGAUGUAAAGAUACCAGAAAGACAUCACAUAUAAAACGAGCGAUGUAAAAAAGGCAUUUUACAUCGGUGACACUUCCGACUGAUGUCUAAUGUGCGAUGUCUAUUGACGAAUUUCUAGUAGUCUCCAAAGGAUAUUUAUCUUUCCAUCAUGAUGCAGCAGUCUCCUUAACUGUGAAGGGAACGGAGUAUGAGGUAGCAAAGAACCUUCAUAUUUACACAGCCAUUGAUCUGUCGGGCACCUAAUUUCAGGGUCGAAUUCCAAACGUCACUGGAGAGCUUAGAUGGCUUGCAUUGCUCAAUUUAUCGCAUAAUAGUUUAACAGGACCUAUCCCAUCAUUGCUGAGAAAUAUGAAAGAACUCCAAUCUUUAGAUUUGUCCUCAAAUCGACUGACAGGGGCUAUUCCACCUCAGCUAACUGCAUUGACAUUUCUAGAGGUCUUGAACCUCUCGAAAAACCAUCUUAGUGGAGAGAUUCCUCAGAAAGGACAGUUCAGCACAUUCAACAAUGAUUCUUAUCUAGGAAACUCCGCGUUAUGUGGAUCACCUUUGACGAAGAAAUGUGCAAACACAGCAUCACCUCCACAAGAAGUCGGAAAUGGUGAUGAAGAUGAUGCUGGAGAUGAAUUGACAUGGGAAGCAAUCGUGAUGGGAUAUGGAUGUGGACUGAUAUGUGGAUUGUCAUCUGCGUACAUUGUUCUCAAACUAGGAAAGCCUUGGUGGUUUGUGAGAUAUAUCGAAGUACUGCAACUGAAGUUGAUGAAAAGAUAUGCAUGAAGAAUGGUACUGCACUACAACAAAAACAGCAUCACACAACGGUUUUUGCCCGUUGUCUGAUACCCAAGAAAACCGUGGUCUAUUGCGAUGCCGUCUGAUACGCGCCUCAGACAACGUUUUAUUAGUUAAAGGCUUGUCUAUAAGGCCAUGCUACGAUGGUAACAAAAACACUUGUAUGUUAGCUUCCUGGUCACACAACACUGUAUGGAACCCUUGUUUAAACGGCUCGUAAACAACACAACAAAUAAAACACUUGUCUAAUUACAACAACGGUUUCUUGAAAUAUUGUCUGAAGUUUCUUCACACAUCGGCUCUAAAAACAGUUGUCUAACGUGCAUCAUUACACAAUAUCACAGUUAAGAUACCGUUGUCUGAUUGAAUUUACUAGACAACACUUUUUAAACCGUUGUAGGUUGUAGGUGUUGGACAAUAGUUUUUCGAGGACGAAAAUAAAGUGUUGUGUCUUUGUUUCGGCCAACACUUUUUCCAGCGUCCGUUGUCUGACUAGUGUCGUGUGAUGCCAGUUUUGUUGUAGUGCUGGUUGAUCCAGACGAACUAGAAAGUUGUUGUCCUGGUAGACAUUUCUGAACCAUUUGUGUCCUGGCUGAAUAAGUAUUUGGUAUUAUGUAAUAAUCCGUUUGGUUGGGACUCAAAAUGAUUUCUCUUGCUUCAGGGGUAUUAAUAUUAACCUUCCUAUCUUGAUCAAUGUUAAAUCAAAUUAAAUGAAUGAAAAAACAAAAAGUAUGCAUCAAAUCCGCUCCUGCUGUACCUAACAAUUUAACAGCACCCUUCCACACUGUUCAUACCUAAUUUGCGUGUAAUAUGAAAACUAAGAGGCAUGGCUUUUGUCUUUGAGAGAACUUAUUCCAAGUCUUCUUCGGAGGCCUACUGCCUCAACAACCUUUCAAAGACUAUGCAAUAAUCCACGUGACAGAAAAACCAAAGUCCAAUUAGUAUUAUAAGUUCAUAAAAAAUACUAUAGGAUCAUUAGCAUUAGCAUUACAUUAGCAUACAGCAUAUAUAUAAAUAGAAGAAUGCAGUGUGGUAUUGGAUUCAUAAUCCAAUUGAGCAGAAACAUGGCACACUUUGUAAAGCCUUAUGACCUUCUUCUCUGUGUUUUCUUUCUCUCAUCACUUGAAUCCAUUCUUGCAACAAGACGAGAAGGAGAAGCUCUUGUGAAAUGGAAGAACAGCCUAGCCCCGUCUUCUUCUCUUGAUUCUUGGUCACUCACUCAUCUCGAUAAUCUUUGUAACUGGACUGGCAUUACUUGUAACUCUGCAGGUUCAGUCUCUGACAUUAACCUUUUCAACAAACAACUCACUGGAAAGCUUUUCGAGUUUGGUUUCACUUCAUUUCCGAAUCUCAACAAUCUCACCCUCGCAGAUAACUUCUUCUCUGGUCCAAUACCAUCAGCCAUUGGGAAUUUAACACAGCUUCAAUAUCUUGAUUUGAGCAAUAAUUAUCUCAAUGGUUCCAUUCCGUACCAGGUUAGCCAUCUUUCAAAAUUACACGUCUUAAACCUGUCAGAGAAUGAACUGCAAGCUCCAAAUUGGUCCAAUUUCUCCCCCAUGCCUUAUUUGACCAUCCUCGACCUUUAUCAGAAUAAUCUUAUGUUGGAAUUUCCAGAAUUUAUAUCUAACUCGCGUAACCUGACAUACCUUGACCUUUCAUAUAACAAGUUCACAGGCGAUCUUGUGCGCGAAUCAGUAUUAGCCAAUCCAGGUGAUCUCGAAACCCUCUAUCUUAAUGAAAAUUCUUUUGGGGGGCCAUUUCCACCAGACAUAUUCAAACUUUCCAAGUUGAGAGUUCUUGCCCUGUUCAAUAAUCUUUUUGAGGGGCCGCUUCCGUCAAAUAUAUUCAAGCUCUCUAAACUAAGAUUCCUUUUACUUUGGAGUAAUAAUUUUUCAGGUACUCUUUCGAAUGAAAUAGGUUUGCUUUCUGAGCUUGAAGACCUAGAUCUUCACUCCAAUUUUUUUGUGGGGCCGCUUCCGCCAAAUAUAUUCAAGCUCUCUAAACUAAGAACCCUUUUCCUCUUGGGUAAUAACUUCUCAGGUUCUAUUUCCAACGACAUAGGUUUGCUUUCUGAGCUUGAACACCUAUAUCUCGACUCCAAUUCUUUUGAGGGACCUUUUCCAACAAAUAUUUUCAAGCUUUCCAAAUUAAUACAACUUGGUCUCGCAAACAAUACAAAUUUAUUUGAAGGAAGUAUUCCUCCAGGACUGGGGCUCUUGACUAACCUAGAGGACUUGUCUCUUGCUUACAAUAAUCUUGGUGGCUAUAUUCCGUCUUCCUUUGGAAACCUAACACUACUAGUAUAUCUUAAUCUCGCUCGUAAUCAAUUGGUUGGAACACUAUCAAAGACCAUUUCUAAUCUCACAAAUCUAUGGUUUCUUGAUGUACAUCAUAAUAGUCUCUCUGGGAAUAUUCAGAGUGACUUCUGGAAAAACUCUACAUCACUGCGUUACAUUAAUUUGGCAGACAAUAAUUUUUCUGGGAACAUUCCUAAGGAAUAUAAUGUUCUUCCAAUCCUGGAUCACAUCAAUUUUAGGGGGAACAAUUUUACAGGUAUUUUUCUUUCCAUAUUUUUUCCUUCUGUUGUAUUCAAUUAUGCUAGAAACUACAGCCUCUGUUUUUUCAAAUACAUAUCGUUUAACUUUUUGGCACAAAACUUUAUAAUAAUUCUAACUAAAAGGUCAAUGAACUCAAAAAUGUGUGUCAAAAAGUCAAACGUCAUUUAUCUGAAAUCAGAGGGAGUAUAUAUUACUGUUUUACCAAAGUUUCAACAAUCAUGACAGGUGAGCUUCCACCAACAAUUUGCGAUGCCACUUCCCUUUCGAUUCUUGAUCUGUCAAAUAAUGGAUUUAGUGGUGCAGUUCCACAUUGUUUGGGGAAUCUUGCGGAUAAAUUGAUUUCGAUUAAUCUUGCUAAUAAUCAGUUUCAAGGACCAAUACCAACAAAUUUCUCCGAGAGUUGUCGUCUGACGUAUCUUAACAUCUAUAACAAUCACUUCAAAGGUUUGGUUCCCCAAUCUUUGGCAAACUGUAAGCACUUGCAAAUUCUUGAUUUUGGAAAAAAUGAAAUAGGUGGAACACUUCCGUCAUGGUUUUUUACUCUUGGAGAGCUAGAAGUCCUGAUCCUGCGAUCAAACAGAUUUUUCGGGAGAAUAACUAGAAGGAGCAUACCACGCCCCUUUCCCAAGUUGCGGAUUUUGGAUCUAUCCAACAAUCAGUUCACCGGCUAUCUGCCAAUUUUAUACUUCAAGAAUAUGAAACCAAAUGAUAAUAAUUAUGAUUAUUUCAACAACACAAACGAAGCCUAUUACGUUUAUCAAGUUUCUAUCACAUUAAAUGUGAAAGGAAGCGAGCAUGAAGUGACAAAUAUUCUUCAUAUUUACACGGCCAUUGAUCUGUCGUGCAACAAAUUUGAAGGAAAAGUUCCAGACAUUACCGGAGAGCUUAGAUGGCUUGCAUUGCUAAAUUUAUCUCAUAAUAGUCUUUCGGGGCCUAUUCCAUCACAACUGGGAAAAAUGAAAGAGCUCCAGUCUCUAGAUUUGUCGUCAAAUCAAUUGACAGGUGUUAUUCCGGAUCAACUUACUAGUAUGACAUUUCUUGCUAGUUUGAACCUCUCAGAAAACCAUCUUUCUGGGAAAAUCCCUCGGAAAGGACAGUUCAGCACUUUUGGCGAAGAAUCUUACUUAGGUAAAUCGGCCUUGUGUGGAGUUCCUUUGACAAAGAACUGUAUAGACGAUGUGCCACCUUCACAAGUUGGAAAUGGCAAUGAUGAAAAUGUUGAUGAAGAUGAUACCGUUGAUGAAUUCAAUUGGAAAGUGAUCCUGAUGGGAUAUGCAUGUGGAUUAAUAGGCGGAUUGUCUGCAGGAUACAUUGUCUUCACAGUCGGAAAGCCUUGGUGGUUUUUGAGAUACAUUGAGACACUGCAGCAGAAGUUGAUCUGAUGCGCAACUAGAAACAACGUUAUAAUCUUAGAAUGACUUGUGUCUUUAAACAGAGUUAGGAACUUAGGAUGACUUGUGGUGCUAUAUUUUUUUUUUGAAAAAAAAAAACAUAUUUUUGUAAUUUUUUAGAUACAGAUGUUAAGAAGGUGUUGUAUAUUCAUUUUUUACCCAAAAAAAAAAAGAGGGCUUAUUUCAUGAAAAUUAGAGUUUUAUGUAUUUUCUCCAGAAAUUAGUCCUUAUUUCUGAAAAUAAGGUUAGUCAAAACGGUCACUACACGAUUGGUAGCCUUUCAGUUCUUCCUAGUGUCCACUACAGUUUCAUUCCUUACCAGUUAUUUUAUGCUCUGCACUGCAUUAUGCAGCUUUCAUAUUACUGACAGCUAAUCUCCUUCCAACACUUUGCGAUGCGAAGCAGGGACGCAUAAGUAUUUUUAUAUGUGUAUUAGUUUUGAAGAUUAAAGUUGCAUGGACAAUUGUGUUGAUAAUUUGAGCAAUGUUAACCGGGAUAGGUCUUCUUCUCUCUCCCAAGUCUUCUGAGGACUCAUCGGCUCAGAUUAGUCUAUCCAAAAAUUAUGAUCUGACGGCUAUUGGCACACUAACGAUUUACAUAUCACUUGAAUAUUACUGGAUACCCGCAUCUUGUUUUAAAUGGCGUAUAUCGGCUAAUAGUUCAACGAUGGUGACAAAUCCCGGUGAUCCAAAUAAUUGAUUGUCGCAAAAUUUUCCGCUUACAUCCAACUAACACGUAUUAGGAAAAAAAAUUAUAUAAUUAAACACGCUCAUGUAUCUAUAUCUUUUACAAGAUUGUAAGUCCCCAAUUCUAUGUGAUAUUAGCUAUAUGUGACUAGAAGGUUUAGAAAUACUAGAUUAUCAAGAUUUCUUUUUAUUCUAGCUAGUGUUGAGUUAUAUUUAUUUUCUUCAAACAAUCAAUACUUAUUUUUUAUUAAUAUGUGAAACUCCAAUAUAUAUUAUUAUACGAUAUAUUAUGAAAACACUAUAUUUUGUAAUGUUCAUCUUAUCCUACCAGCAAAAUUACAUCGCUAACAAAAUUAUAUCAAUUUUAUUUUAUAAACUCAAAUAAUUUAAUUUAUGAAACAACUCUAUGAGAUUCUUAUCAUGAGUUAGAAUUCAAAUAAAUAAAGAGUUCAUAUUGAUAAGUGGAAUUGAUGUGCAAGUAAGGGGUAUAAAAAAAUCUCAAAAUAACUCCAAAAAGCACAUGACAUGUUUGAUUUAAUAGAACUGGUACAUAAACAGGGGGACCAUUAUAUUUAUAAGCAAGUGACCAACAAUAGUUUACUACUGAUAUUUUGUGAUAUUUUUUGUGAUAUUUUUUGAGACCUUUAACAUUAUUCUGUGAAGUGGUAUACUACUGUUACUAGUUCUGAAACUUCAAACAAAGUAGGCGCAACAUUGUAAGAGUGAUUAAUAAAGUUGAGAAACAGUGUGUACAUUGAGCAGUAUGACAAUCAGGUUCAGCAUAUAAUACAAUCAGAUUCACAAUCAGGUUCACGAGAAACAUGCUGCAUUCCAAAAAGCCUUAUUAUCUUCUUCACUAAAUAACAAGGCAAAUACAGCAUAUAAAUACAAGUUAUAAGUACAAGUGUGGUAUUAGAUUCAUAACCCAGUUGAGGAGAAACAUGGCACACUUUGUAAGGCCUUCUCACCUUCUUCUCUUUGUUUUCUUUCUCUCAUCACUAGAAUCCAUUCUUGCAACAAGACGAGAGGGGGAAGCUCUUGUGAAGUGGAAGAAUAGCCUAGCCCCUUCUUCUUUUCUCCACUCUUGGUCACUCUCCAAUCUCGAAAAUCUUUGCAACUGGACUGGCAUUACUUGUAACUCUGCAGGUUCAGUCUCUGAGAUUGACCUUUGUGAGAAACAACUUGAUGGAAUGCUGUCCGAGUUUGGUCUCACUUCAUUUCCAAAUCUCAACAAUCUCACCCUCGCAGACAACUUCUUCUCAGGUCCAAUACCACCAGCCAUUGAGAAUUUAACACAGCUUCAAUAUCUUGAUUUAAGCAUGAAAAGUCUUAAUGGUCCCAUUCCGUUCCAGGUUAGCCAUCGUCAGAGCUUGCUCAUCUUAGACCUGUCACAGAAUGCAUUGCAAGCUUCAAAUUGGUCCAAUUUCUCUCCCAUGCCUCAGUUGCGCUUCCUCAAGCUCAGUAGCAAUCAUCUUGUGUCGAAAUUCCCAAAUUUUAUAUCCAGUUCUCAUAGCCUGACUUACCUCAACCUCUCAUAUAACAUUGGAAACCUCAAAAAAUAUAUAUUUAUAUAUUUAUAAUUAAAAAAUUGAAUUACUUAAUAUAUUAAAAAAUUGAAUAAAAUUUUAUAUAUUUUAUUAAAAAAUUGAAUAAAAAUUGAAUAAAAUUGAAUAAAAUUGAAGUACACGAAAAGGUACACGACACGAAAUACACGACUGAGAAGUCGUGUCGGUUUUGUGUUUACCCUUCGGGUACACGACACGAGGUACACGAAAUAAAUAAAUAAAUAUAUAUAUAUAUAUUUACCCUUCGGAUUAAGAGUUGGUCGCGGACAAAUUCAAAGUUUCCCAAUUAUCCUUUAUUUUAUGUAACUUUGCUUAUGUUUAAGCCUAAAUUUGGACAAUAUUUGUAAAAUAUUAAUAUUUCGUGUACUAAUUCGUUACCAGUUUCGUGUAUUUUUUCGUGUAUAUUUCGUGUUUUCGUGUUUUCAUGUACUAUUUCGUAUCGUGUCGUUUUCGUGUACAUGAAAAAAUUCGUGUACUACAGUUCGUGUCGUUUUUACCUGUUUCUAAAUCGUGUCGUGUUCGUGUUUACAAUCGUGUACACGAAUUGAAUUCGUGUCGUGUUCGUGUAUACCCACCAGAUACACGAAACACGAAAGUACACGACACGUUUAUACACGACACGAACGAUUUGCCAGGUCUANGAAACACGAAAGUACACGACACGUUUAUACAUGACACGAACGAUUUGCCAGGUCUAUUCAAACCUAGCAAGUAACCAAGAGGGGGCAAACUCCACCAGAGACAAAUCAAAGACCAUACCUGAGUAUUGCCAACAUAACAUUACAAACUGGCAGGUGAAAAAUAUGUGAAUAAGGUCUUCGUCACCAGAGUUACACAUGGGACAGUCAAGAGAAAGAUUUACUCCCUUAGAUUGUAAUCGACUUUUCACAGGCACAUUAUUCCUGCAAAAACGCCAUAAAAACACUUUGAUCUUAAGAGGAACCUCCAACUGCCAGAGUUUCUUCCACCCACUAGAUUGUGUAACAGUGCCAGUGCCAAUAUUUUGGGCAUGCCAAAACUGGUAACCUGUUUUCACAGAAUUUUGGCCGUUAGUAGUCUUUGACCAAGCUAGAUGAUCCACGGUCGACCUAUAGGGAACAGAAGUUUUUAAAAAUUAUGUAAUUCAUUCAAUUCCGUAUCAGACAAUACAUCUUAUCAUCGGUGAUAAUGGAAAUAGUGUAGAUGUUUGACCUAGUCCAUGUUUGACAACCAAUAUAAUAAGAAAUAAAUUCUUAUUUUUCUAAAAAAUAUAUUUUUGUAUAUAAAUGUUAAAGAGAUAUUUCUUAUUUGUUGUUUGAAAAAAGUAAAGACUUAUUUCAGAAUAAAUAAAAAUUAUUGUACAUUCUCUUUAUUUUUAAAAAUAAGUUUGGUCAAAUCGCCCAUAAUUCUCGUAAUUCAAAAGCCCAUUAUUUUUUUUUUUCUUGCUAAUUGAUCAGCACACGCACACGUUUCCAACUUCCCGCAAAGGGUACCGGAGUACCACCACACCGACGCUUUGUUGGGCCCAAUAAUUGGCUGAAGUUGAACGGGGCUUUCUGCCUCCGCUGGACCCCAGUUGGGAGGACUCUUUCCAAGUCUUUCGGAGACUCUUUCCCAUUGACUCCAACUUUCCAGGGUGUAUACAAAUUUUUUGAAAGAGGGUGUAUACAAAUUAUUCACGGCCAUCAAAUUAACCAGCGUAGCUGGUGAACAAAUAUUAUUGUUUAUUAUAAUUUUAUUUAAUUUAAAUGUGAUUAUAAAGAACAUAAGAGGACGUUUGAAAGUGUGGGUCUUAUUUCAAACAGUAGAUUUCAAAAAAUAUGAUUUCAAUUGUUAUUUAAAAUUCUUAAAUUUAUAUUAUAUUAAAAUGUUCUUAUCUAUACUAUACUAUUAAAACCGAAACAUUAAAAGUUUGGUCGGUCGGUACUUGGGCCGAUAUAUGGGCCUAUCUAUAUAACUAAUUAUUUUUUUUUAAUUUUGGGCCGAAAUACAGGCCUGUCUAUAUAAUCAAUUAUUCUUUUUAACUAAAAUAUGUUAUCUUUUUUACUAUUAAAGCCAAAACAUUAAAAAUUUGAUCGGUCGGUACUUGGGCCGAAAUAUGAGCGUAUCUAUAUAACUAAUUAUUUUUAUUUUUUUUUAUUUUUGGCCGAAAUACAGGCCUAUCUAUAAAAUCAAUUAUUCUUUUUAACUAAAAUAUGUUAAUUUUUUUUACUAUUAAAGCCGAAAUAUUGAAAGUUUGGUCGGUCGGUACUUGGGCUUCUAGGCCGAAAUAUAGGCCUAUCUAUAUCAUCAAUUAUUCUUUUAAACUAAAAUAUGUUAUCUUUUUUACUAUUAAAAUCGAAACAUUGAAAGUUUGAUCGGUCGGUACUUGAGUCGAAAUACGGGCCUAUCUAUAUAACUACUUAUUAUUUUUAACUUGGGCCGAAAUACAGGCCAAUCUAUGUAAUCAAUUACGCGGUAUUCUUUUUAACUAAAAUAUGUUAUUUUUUUAACUAUUAAAGUUGAAAUAUUGAAAGUUUAGUCGCUCGAUACUUGAGCCGAAAUACGGAUCUAUCUAAAUAACUAAUUAAUUUUUUUUAACUUUGGAUGGAAAUACAGCCCUAUCUAUAUAAACAAAUAUCUUUUUAACUAAAAUAUGUUAUCUUCUUUAUACUUUCUAACUAAAAACUCAAUCUUCUAAAUGAACAUGGAAGAAUAUAGUAAUUAUCUUUUUAACUAAAACAAAUUAUCGUCUAUUAAAUCAAAUUAUAACAAACUAUCCAUAAACAUCCUUAAUUUAUAACAAAUUAUUAAAUAUUUUUUAUCAUCUACUAAAUCAAAACAUUAAAAAUUAGAUUACCAUUAUGGAUCAGUAUUUGAAUUACGCUUCUCUUUAACUUAUAAUAUGUUUUAUACUAUAUUAUUAACUAUUAAUAACUAAAUAUUAAAACGCUGAUUGGGUUGUUUCUAUCUGGGUUUACGGGUCUCCUCAAAUUAUAAUCCCUCCGUUCUUAAAUAUCUGCCUUUUGACUUUUUGGCACGCAUGUUAAAGUGUUUUGAAUUUAUAGUAAAAAUAUUAUUUUUAAAUUUCUUUUUCUGAAUAAAAAUUUUAUAUCAAUACUUUUAUUCAUAAAAAGAAAUAUUUGAAAAUAACAUUUCUAGCUAUGUGGUCAAAAUAUCUUAAAAUGUGUGCGAAAAAGUCAAAAGGCAUAUAUUCAAGAACGGAGGGAGUAACAUGUAAAAAAAAUUAUUUUAACAUUAUCAUUAAAAAAUUAUAUAUUUGACCUAAUUAUAAAUUAACUAUUUGAAGGAAUAAACUAUUAAGAAUUUAUUUAGCUGCUAAAUAAAAGUUUUUUUAAUAACAUUAUUCUAUCACAAUUUUACUUUCAAUAAAAUUCGUUAAAUCUAAAAUAUAUGCGAUGAAAUAACAAAUAUUAAAACCGCCCGUGCAUUGCACGGGUUUUAAGCUAGUUCUAAUUAAUGAGUCACUAUUCGUAUUCUCAAGCAUGUUAGUUUGUUAAAAUUUAAAAUUUCAAAUGAAAUUAGGCUAAAAGACCAUAAUAUCAAAUCAAAAUCUCAUUAUCCAAUAUAUUGGUGGGCAAAAAUAUUAAACCUGGCUAUUCAUUAAUAUUGGUUCUUUAUUCAAAUUAUGUCAAAUUUAUAUAAAAUUUCGAAAAUUAUUUAUGAAUAAGAGUCGGCAUUCAUAUAUUUAUUAAGGAUACAAGUGAGAAAAUGUUAUUAAAUUAAUAUUUUUUAAUAUACGUAAGUUUUUUAAAAUAAAUUUGUAGCGUGGGACGGGAGUAUUAGACUGAUUCUGGCUUGGAGUGAAUCAGCCCAUAAAGUUUACAGGGUAGAUGACCAUUCUUAAAUCUUAAAGAAUCUUACGGUGACAGCUAACUGAACGACUCGGUUUCAGAAGUGCUGAAAAGUUUCGACGUAAACUACAAUUUGCCUAGCAUGUAAUUUCCAUGCAUUUUCUCGUUACGAGUAGGUUUGUCCGGAAGUACAAUUCAAAAUAGAGUGCUGUUAAAAAAAAUUGAGUUACUUAUUCAAUAACUUUUUUGAUAUUUAUAUAUUUUUAAUUAUAAUAAAGAUACUAGUGAUUAUGGUUAGCUUUUGGAGUACUUUUGGAGUACUUGGAAAUUUUCUUUUCGAGAAAAACGAGAGUACCUAUUUCAAUUUUUUACCAAAAAUUAUAAUUGAAAACAACGGACUUUUAUACUUAUCAUAACAAUUUUUAACAUCUUGUUUAGAAAUAACCUGUUGUUGUAUUAUGCAAAAGUAAUAUCACUAGUUUCUAUAUCCGUAUUCUAAUGAUAAUAAAAACAUCUCUAAUUCAUUAAAACUCUUACAUAGAAAUUGAUAAAAAAAGAAGAUAUAAAAUAAUUUAUUAAAAAUAUAUCAAAGUUUUUGCACUCGGUUAUAAUUAUUGUGUAAUUUUUUUUUUCAAUUCCAAGAUAUUGUUAUAAGAAAAUUUUACAUCAUAUAUAUAUUACAAAAAAAAUUAAUGUAUUAUAUAUAUAUAGGGUCCUACUCUGGUACAAACCUUUUUAGCGUACAAACUACAAACCAAAAUUAAAAAGUCUCUAAAUCAAAUCAGAAUAUAGCACAUAUGGUAUGGAAAUUGAUCGUUGCGAGAUGAACAAAAAUAAUGAUUAUAAAGUUUGUAUUUGAGCCAUUAUAUAUAUACUUACAAUAAAAGUAAUAAUAUAUUAUAUUCUAAAUAUAGUUAACCACUGCAGUUGGUCGCUUAUAAAUAGAAGUGUGCAUUAUAGGAUGAAACGUACAUCAAGCUGAGGAGAAACAUGGUACACUCUGCAAAGCUAUAUCAUCUUCUUUUACUUGUUUUCUUUUCCUCCUUACUUCCAUCCAUUCUAUUGGCAACAAGACGAGAAGGAGAAGCUCUUGUGAAAUGGAAGAAUAGCCUAGCCCCGUCUUCUUUUCUUGAUUCUUGGUCACUCUCCGAUCUCGAUAAUCUUUGCAACUGGACUGGCAUUACUUGUAACUCUGCAAGUUCAGUGUCUCAGAUAAAUCUUUCCCAAAAACAGCUCGAUGGAACGCUGUCCGAAUUUGGUUUCACUUCAUUUCCGAAUCUCGAAAAUUUGACUAUAAGAGACAACAGCUUCUCCGGGCUAAUACCACCAGGCAUUGCGAAUUUAACACAGCUUCAAUACCUUGAUUUAAGCUACAAUUAUUUCAGUGGUUCCAUUCCGUACGAGGUUAGCCAUCUUCAGAGAUUACGUGUUUUAGACUUGUCGUAUAAUGAAAUGCAGGCUCCAAAGUGGUCUGACUUCUCUCCCAUGCCUUUUAUGAGCAUCCUCAACCUACGGGCCAAUCAUCUUGUGUCGAAAUUCCCAGAAUUUAUAUCCAAUUCUUUUAGCCUGACUUUCCUUGACCUUGGAGACAACAAGUUCACCGCUGAUCAUCUUGUGCUCGAAUCAGAAUUUACCAAUUUGCAAAAUCUUGAAACGCUGUUUCUUGAUGGUAAUUCUUUUGAGGGGACGUUUCCACCGAAUAUAUUCAGGCUUUCUAAAUUAAAAUACCUUUCCCUAUCUGCUAAUAAGUUUUCAGGUUCUGUGCCGGAUGACAUAGGGAUGCUUCGUGAUCUUGAAUCCCUUUAUCUUGGUAACAAUUCUUUCAAAGGGAUGCUUCCACAAAAUAUUUUCAGACUUCCCAAAUUACGGGAUCUUUCCCUCUGGGGUAACAAUUUUUCAGGUCUUAUUUCAGAUGAUAUAAGGAUGCUUUCUAACCUGGAAUCUCUUGAUCUUAAUGGUAAUUCUUUUCAGGGUCCGCUUCCACCAAAUUUCUUCAAGCUUUCCAAAUUAAGACAUCUCGCCCUCUCAAAUAAUAAAAGAGUAUUUAAAGGAAGUAUUCCUCUUGGGUUGGGGCUUUUGACUAACCUUGACUACUUAUGUCUUAAUUCCAAUUAUCUCACUGGCUACAUUCCAUCUGACAUUGGAAAUCUAAAGCUACUAGAACAUCUUGAUCUCAGUUUUAAUCAAUUGACCGGACCGCUCCCAAAGAUCAUUUCUAACCUCACUAAUCUAACGCGUCUUGGUCUGAAUGAUAAUUGGUUUUCCGGCAGUAUUCCAAGUGACUUCUUGGAAAACUCUACAUUAUUAUUUUACAUUGAUCUUUCAAACAAUGAUCUGUCUGGAAGCAUUCCUAAGGAAUUCAACGUUCAUCCGACAUUGGAUUAUAUCAAUUUAAGUGGAAACCGUUUUAGAGGUCUACUUCUCUCUUUAAAUUUUUAUGUUCGUUUUGUAUAUGCUAGUAACCUGAUUAUUACACUUUUACUGAAGCUUCAACAAUUCUAACUGCAGGCAAGCUUCCAGCAACGAUUUGCAAUGCUACAUCCCUUUCGACUCUUGUUCUGUCAAAUAAUGAAUUCAGCAAUGCACUUCCACAUUGUUUGGGGAAUCUUGCUGAUCAACUUCUUUCCAUUAAUCUUGCUAAUAAUUUGUUUCGAGGACCAAUACCAACAACUUUCUCUAAGAGUUGUCGGCUGACAUAUCUAAACAUGUACAACAAUCACUUUGAAGGGUUGUUGCCGCAAUCUCUGGCAAACUGUAAGCACCUACAAAUUCUUGAUAUUGGAAACAAUGAAAUAGGUGGUAAAUUCCCGUCAUGGCUGUUUACUCUUGGAGAGCUGGAAGUCCUAGUCUUGCGAUCAAAUAGAUUCCACGGUCCAGUCAAUGGAACAAGCUCAGCAAAUUUAUUCCCCAAGUUGCGGAUUGUUGAUCUCUCCAACAAUCAAUUUACAGGCGAUUUACCAAUUCAGUAUUUUAAGAAUAUGAAACCAACAGAUAACCACUAUAGUUAUUUUUAUACAGAAAGUGGUUUUUACUAUCAUCAAGCAUCGAUCUCAUUAACUGUGAAAGGAAGAGAGUAUGAAGUGAAAAAGAUCCUUCAUAUUUAUACAGCCAUAGAUGUGUCAUGCAACAAAUUUCAGGGAGAAAUUCCCGAGGUUAUUGGAGAACUUAAAUGGCUUGCAUUGCUCAAUCUAUCACAUAAUAGUCUUAUUGGACCUAUCCCAUCACAGCUCGGAAAUAUGGAAUCACUUUUAUCUCUAGAUUUGUCUUCAAAUCAUUUGACAGGGGGUAUUCCCGAUCAGUUGAUUAGGUUGACAUUUCUAGAGGUCUUGAACCUCUCGGAAAAUCAUCUGACAGGGCCUAUCCCCCAAAAAGGACAGUUCAGCACAUUCAACAAGGAUUCUUACCUAGGUAACUUUGCCUUGUGUGGAUUACCUUUAACUAAUAACUGUACACACACUGUGUCACCACCACAAGAAGGCGGAACUGGUGACAAUGAUGCCUAUGAUGAACCCGAUUGGGAAGUGAUCCUCAUGGGAUAUGGAUGUGGACUAAUAUGCGGAUUGUCCACAGGGUACGUUGUCUUCACAUUCAGAAAGCCUCAGUGGUUUAUGAGAUACACUGAAAGCGUGCAACAGAAGUUGAUGAGAUGAUGCAUGUUGAGUACCGUUCAAUCAUGAAGCACAACUGGAAACAAUGUUAUCUUAGGAAAACAUGUGUUCUGAACCAGUAGUGUUUGCACAAAAUUUGUGGUGCUAUGUAAUACUUAUAUAAUUGUACGUAUGAUUAUUGAUUAGUCGUUGAGAAAAUGCAUUUUAUUUCAGUGUCAAUGAUAAUCUACAUGUUUUGGAUACUUCCAGCUUCUCAUACUAAUAUAGGAACCACUUGAAAAAUUUUGGACAGGCUCUGAGGAUGCUAAUGCUGCUGUUUAGUUUCUACCGCGGAAUUGACUUUAGCAUAUACUCGUAUGACAUAUUACUAGAUAUAUGGUUGUUAAAUAAAAUUAUCUUUUUGUGGAAUAAAUAGGAAAGCAAAAUCAUAGAAUAAUGUAUGUUAUAUAGGAAGGUAUUGUCCUCUUAGAUAGGUAUCAUUUAUGCCUCAUUGGCAUGUCUCAGAAAACUUUUGGGUUAACACAAUGUUUACUUAGAGCAUUGCCAUUCCUUAAAUAUAAUAUAAAAUAUUGGAUCUUAGUGACUUAAGAUGAUAAUAGCUAUUCGCACCUCCAACAAUAUUCCUUAUAUUCAUUCCUUAUAUACUAUUUUAUUAUUAAAAGUUACCAUUAUUGCAAUAGGUGAAAAGAGAGAACAUGUUUGUAUUCAAAAUUUAUUGUAAAAUAAUAUUUAGGAGAGGAGAGAGGUUACCUAAAGAUAAGGCAUGGCUAGUUAUUUAGAGAAUCACUAGGAUACUGUUGGAGUGGAUUAUUUUCCCAUAUUACUCAUAUUUUGGUUUAAGAUUCCUAAUAGGGAAGCUGCUGGAGUUGCUCUUAGAGCAUCUCCAAGAGAUUCUUCAUUUAAGCUCCUAACUUGAGAUUUGAGUAGGGAGAGGAAAAAUGUUGCUCCAAGAGACUCUUAAGUGGCUCUUAAAUCACUAAGAGCCUCUUGUUUCUCUCUCCUCUCUCCUCAAAGUUAAGAGCCACCACAUUGCUCCUAACUUAUUUUUUCACAAUAAAAAAAUCUUUUCCUCCAAUUCAGCUCCAUCUUUCCAUCUCUUUUGUUAUAGUGGAGCCCAAUAUAUGAAUAAAAUAUGAAAUAGAGAAGAGAUGUAGAGAGUAUUGUUGGAGUUUACACUCUUAACUUUGUCUUAAAUUGCUAAGAGCUAUUUUUUUAUAUUAUAUUUAGGAGCCAAUAAGGAGGCUCUUGGAGAUGCUUUUAGUACUAAUUGUUAGAAUAUGAAAAUGCAGUUAUGAACUAUUAUGCUAGAGAGAGAAAAAUUCAACAAACUUCAUUUCUGUAAACUACAACUAUUAGUCUGUUACAUUGCUGAAAGCUACAUUUAUACAUUUACAGUUUACAACAAACUAUGAAACUGAUUUUCCCGCGUCCUCCUCACUUGUCCACGUGGCCUGACUGGCUUGGUGUCCUUGACACUCUUUAUUAUUGCUAAUAUAUACUUAACACUAAUACCUCAAAGCAGGGUAUAAAUUCAAUAGCACAGCUUCUGGAUAAUGGAAAUUUAGUUAUCCAGAGGUCUUGGUUUUACAUAUCACUUGUAUAUUAUGUCUCGGUCUCAUUGAAGCAUACCAAACGAGAUUUUGGGUUUGUUAAUAUUUUUUUAGUCCAAAUUUGAAUAAUACUGUUAUGCUUAUUCACACGGUAGACGUGUUUUUAUUAAAAUACUGCAACUGAAAUUGAUGAAAACAUGCACAAAGCAUAGCAGACGAAAGACUUGAGGAGAUAUUGUCUUAGGCGAUGCAAUACGUUCUAAUAUAAUGCUAUAUUAUGCAAUCUCGUUUAAUACUUUCAUCAUUAUUCUCCAAGAUGUCUGAACAUGUAUUUUCAAAGAAUUCUCAGUUCACCUUUAGUCUUAUAGCGACAUUUUGAAGGCACUCUCAACUUACACCCUAUAUAUACACGUACGGUUCACUUCAGUACAAAGAUUUUAUGAUACAACUCUCAUAUUAUGAACUAGUUCUGUCGAAUACAUGAAUAUUGAUCAAUCAUUUGAACUCGAGUUUCCCAGCUGGCCAGAUACCCAGAUUAUUAGCCAUGCAAAACAUGCAGAACCACUAGUAAUGCAGAAAAACAAUAUAUUAGUUUUCUCCGGUGUUACAGAAAUCAGGAAUCGGACCUAAUCGGUUUAGCUACCGAUUUAGGGAUUAAUAGGAAAUAGGGGAUUAAUCGGAGUGAAAAUCGGAUUUAUUUUAAUAUUAAAAUAUUAUUUAAUAUUUAGUUAUUAUUAUAUUAGCUAUUUAGUAACUAAUAUAUUUACUAUAUUCAUAAACUCUAUAAUUAUUCGUAUUGAAAGUAAUAUAGUAUUUUAAUUUUAAUAAUUUACUAUAUAUACUUCGAUUAAGAAAUAUAUAUAUAAGGAUUAAUCGGAUUUCAAAAAUCGAAUCGGUGGCCAACCUUGCAGAGGAUUAAUCGGGGAUUAAUUGGUUGAAUCGGGGAUGUUUAGAACACUGGUUUUCUCCAAAUAUCACUACAACAAAACUGCCAUUUUACGACGGAAAUCUAAUAUUCUAAAGGGUUACGACCAAACUAUGUCGGUGGACUUUAUUUUAAUUUACCGUUUAACAGUAGUUAAUUUUGGAUAUCUACACUUGCGAUGGAAAACAUACGACAGUCUACUUCGUGAGAGAAAAUCAUUUUAUUUUAUUUUUUAGCGCCAGAAUUUUAAUACUGAAAUAUUAUAUAUAUGAAGGAAACUGAUCUCUAAUGUUUUCAGCUUGCUCAUCCAUCGUAAGUAAUCCGUCGAAAAAGUUAGUUUGUUGUGGUGGUGUCUUAUCAUGAGAGAAAAUGAUAAUAUCGCAAAAUAUUUGCAACUGAAAGAUAAAUUAUAAUUCUAGAAACCAUUUAGGUAACGAUGCACGAAGUUAUUUUCACUCACUUAGAAUUAAUGNUGAAAACAUGCACAAAGCAUAGCAGACGAAAGACUUGAGGAGAUAUUGUCUUAGGCGAUGCAAUACGUUCUAAUAUAAUGCUAUAUUAUGCAAUCUCGUUUAAUACUUUCAUCAUUAUUCUCCAAGAUGUCUGAACAUGUAUUUUCAAAGAAUUCUCAGUUCACCUUUAGUCUUAUAGCGACAUUUUGAAGGCACUCUCAACUUACACCCUAUAUAUACACGUACGGUUCACUUCAGUACAAAGAUUUUAUGAUACAACUCUCAUAUUAUGAACUAGUUCUGUCGAAUACAUGAAUAUUGAUCAAUCAUUUGAACUCGAGUUUCCCAGCUGGCCAGAUACCCAGAUUAUUAGCCAUGCAAAACAUGCAGAACCACUAGUAAUGCAGAAAAACAAUAUAUUAGUUUUCUCCGGUGUUACAGAAAUCAGGAAUCGGACCUAAUCGGUUUAGCUACCGAUUUAGGGAUUAAUAGGAAAUAGGGGAUUAAUCGGAGUGAAAAUCGGAUUUAUUUUAAUAUUAAAAUAUUAUUUAAUAUUUAGUUAUUAUUAUAUUAGCUAUUUAGUAACUAAUAUAUUUACUAUAUUCAUAAACUCUAUAAUUAUUCGUAUUGAAAGUAAUAUAGUAUUUUAAUUUUAAUAAUUUACUAUAUAUACUUCGAUUAAGAAAUAUAUAUAUAAGGAUUAAUCGGAUUUCAAAAAUCGAAUCGGUGGCCAACCUUGCAGAGGAUUAAUCGGGGAUUAAUUGGUUGAAUCGGGGAUGUUUAGAACACUGGUUUUCUCCAAAUAUCACUACAACAAAACUGCCAUUUUACGACGGAAAUCUAAUAUUCUAAAGGGUUACGACCAAACUAUGUCGGUGGACUUUAUUUUAAUUUACCGUUUAACAGUAGUUAAUUUUGGAUAUCUACACUUGCGAUGGAAAACAUACGACAGUCUACUUCGUGAGAGAAAAUCAUUUUAUUUUAUUUUUUAGCGCCAGAAUUUUAAUACUGAAAUAUUAUAUAUAUGAAGGAAACUGAUCUCUAAUGUUUUCAGUUUGCUCAUCCAUCGUAAGUAAUCCGUCGAAAAAGUUAGUUUGUUGUGGUGGUGUCUUAUCAUGAGAGAAAAUGAUAAUAUCGCAAAAUAUUUGCAACUGAAAGAUAAAUUAUAAUUCUAGAAACCAUUUUGGUAACGAUGCACGAAGUUAUUUUCACUCACUUAGAAUUAAUGCUAAAUAUUUGCAACUGAAAGAUAAAUUAUAAUUCUAGAAACCAUUUAGGUAACGAUGAGCGGAGUUAUUUUCACUCACUUAGAAUUAAUGAUAAAUAUUUGCAACUGAAAGAUACAUCAUAGUUCUAGAAAAGGAUCCACGAAGUUAUUUUCACUCACUUAGAAUUAAUUGUAAGUUAUUGUGAGUUUUUGAAUAUGAAUUAUCUCAAAUUUUAUUAAAACACAUGUUGAUUCUUAUAUACAAAUUUGCCUAUCUAAUAUUAUAAUAUUUAUGGAGAAGGUGUAUGAACAAUUGUGUAGAUAAUUAUACUUUACAAAGCAUACUUCUGCUAGCUGAAUUUUGAUUAAAAAAAUCGAAAGGGAUAGGUCUGGGUCUCUCCAAGUCUUUGAGGACUCAUUCCAAGUCUUCUGAUGAGGACAAAAUAUAUUGCUGGAAGUCUUUCAGUCCUUCCUAGAGUAUUUUGUGCUCUGCACUGCAUUAUGCAGCUCUCAUAUAACUGACCGCUAACCUCCUUCCAACACUUUGCGAUGCAAAACAGUGGCAUGUUAUAAGUAUUUCCGUAUGUGUAUUUAUUUGGAUAUUAAAGUUGCGUAACAUUUGUGUUGAUAAUUUGCGCAAUGUUGAUGAGGAUUGCUCCCAAGUCUUGGCGGACUCUUUCCAAAUCUUCUGAGGACCUAUGGGUUCAAAUUAGUCCAUUAAAAUGAAUACCAUUGUUUUGUGAUUAAGUUGUAUGGUUAAGAGCUUAUCCUCUGUCGUCCCAGGUCCUGGGUUCGACCCUGGCUCACCCCGAGAGUUUCGUAGAACAGAUACUCAUUAUAAGGCUAUAAGCCAUAUUUGUCAAAAAAAAAGUUGUAUAGGCAAUAUGCAUUGCAAAAUCAGCAACAGAAUAUAUACUAAUUAAUUACCUGAUAUCGGUUUGAACAAAUACUUUCUAUGUAGUUGUAAUAUUAGUCUUCUUUAAAAGUUAUCAUGAGGGAAGAUAUAUAUUGUGAUGCGGGGGAAAUAUUGUAACCGAAAAUAAUUAUAAUUCUAAAAAUUUCCAUUAUACACUUUUUUUAGUGUUCGUACGUGGUAAGUACUUCAGACGACAUUUCUCGCGUAUGCCUCCAAUUAAGAAUUUGAUGUUCAGCCUAGUCCUAAACUAAAAUUAUUAUAAAUGUGUAAUUCAAAAUUAUAUUGCUGGUAGGCUCUGAGAUUAACCUUAAACAAAAACAACUCAGUGGAACGCUUUCCGAGUUUGGUUUCACUUCAUUUCCAAAUCUCAACAAUCUCAACAUAGCACGAAACAACUUUUACGGUCCAAUACCACCAGCCAUUAAGAAUUCUAUUUUAAUAUGUAACAUUCUAUUUUCUAAAAUAAUAAAUAUUUUUUUUAAUAGUUGGUCAAAAAUUAGUCAAUUUGACUUCUCAAAAAGCAGAAAGGACAUGUAAAUUGAGACGGGGGAGUAUUUAACGGAAUUCAACGAAAGGUGUGCGUAUCGUUCUUGAAAUGUAAAAAUAGGUGGUGCAAUUCGAGUUUCCAAACCUAUGGGUACAAUAUCGUUUUUAAACGUAAGCUAGGGGGUCCAAAUUACAAUUACAUGUAUAUAUAGUGACUUAACGGAGUGCAUAUAGUUAACGGAAGUUAACGGCAGGGAGUGCAUCUCGGGCUUGAAUAGUAAAGAUAAAAGGUGCGAGUUGAGUUUCUCAAAGUAUGAGUACAAUAUCGUUUUUGAAUGAUAGUUAAGGGGUGCGAUAUGCAAUUACCUCAAAAAAAUAUGAUCAUUAGUAUAUUAUAUUAGUAUCCACACACUUAUAUCUCAAAAUCUAUCCUCCAAAAUUAUCAUCUAUAUAGGCUAGCCACAUAAAAUAAAAAUUUAAAGAUAUUAGAUAUUUAGUUAUUUCAAUUAUAUAAUUUUUCCACGCAAAAUAACAAAAUAUCUUUAUCAACUUAUUAUUUAUGAGUUAAAUAUUCAACUUAUAUAAUUCGGGCAUGCUGGGUAUAAAUAGAAGUGUAACGCCUAAUUUCCGGGGUCUGGGAGUAGUUAGCGGGGUAUGAGAGAGCAGGCUAUUUAGAAGUCUUGGUCAUGAAAACUUCCAAGCUAACUUCGACAACGGAAUCUUCUGAGGCUACUAUUCUAAAGCACGCAUAAUCAUUGUAUUCAUUUUCCUCUAACACUGGCAAAAAGUCUAUUUAAGCAAAUGAAAUACAAACAACUGAGUGGAAUGCUGACCGAAAGUCUUUUUGGCUGAGCUUAUGAUUUAUUAGUACAUGAUUAAUAUGAUAAGCUAAGCUGAGAGCAUAAGAUAUCGUGUGUAUAAUUUUGUGUUUAUUAAUGACUUAUAAAUUAUUAAAAAUAUAAUAAGAAAAAUAAAAAUGAUUUAUAACUAAUUUAUGUUUUAUGAGUAAUUUUUAUUAGAAAAAAGUUUUAAAAAAUUAUUUCACUGAAAAAAAAUCCUCCAACUAACUUUUGGCUCUAAGUCAGUUUUUGAUUUAUUUAUGAUUUUAAGUCGGAUUCUGAUUUUUACACAAACAGAAAAUUUCCAGCUUAAAGUUAAAAACAACUUUAAGCUCCGGUUUUAAACCUCUGAGUUUGGUUUCACUUCAUUUACAAAUCUCAACAAUUUCACCAUCAAACACAAUGACUUCUCCAAUCUCCGGUCCAGUUCACCAGCCAUUGAGAAUUUGGCACAACUUCAAUUCCAUACCAGGUUAGUCGGCUUCGGAGGUUACACGCCUUAGACCUGUCAAAUACAAAUUUCAAUCUCCAAACUGGUCCGAUUUAUCUUCUAUGCAUUUUGUUGAGUCCGGCUCAUCUAAAACCUGAAGGUGUUAGAAGAAACCCGAAUGAAUCUUAUAUAUGAAUCUUAUAUAUGCUAUAUUUAAACAAUUCUGAGCACACUCAACCUUGGUAUUAAUAAUAUCGUGUCGAUAAUUCCAGAAUUUAUAUCUAAUUCUCAUAGCCUAACUUUCCUUGACCUUUCCAUAUAACAAAUUUACAGUUAAUCCUGUGCUUGAAUCAGUAUUUGCAACCAAAAUUAUGCAAUUAUAGUGCAGGUAGUCUUCCAGUUCUUCCUACUCUAUGCUAUAAUUUCAUUUGAUACCAAUAAUUUUACGCUCUACACUCCAGGAUGAGCUCGCAUAUUAUUGACAGCAAUAAUCCUUCCAACACUUUGUGAUGCAAAGCAGGGGGGCGCCUGUAUUUUCAUAUGUCUAUAUUAUUGGAGAUUAAAGUUGUGUGGACAAUUGUGUUGAUAAUUUGCCCAAUGUUAACAGGGAUAGGUUGGCUUAAAAAUAUAUAAGGUCACUUGUGCAUCGCUGUUCACACACUUAGACCCUGUUUGUGUAAGCUUUAAGUCCGGGCUCAAGCAAUUUCGACUUAAUCACUUCCGAGGACCAAUACCAACAGCCUUCUCAAAGAGUUGCCAGCUAAGAUAUCUAAACAUGUAUGACAAUCAGUUAGAAGGACUAUUGCCCCGAUCUUUGUCAAACUGUAAGCACUUAAAAAUUCUUGACAUCGGGAACAAUAAAAUGGGUGGUACAUUCCCUUCAUGGCUAUUUAAUCUCGGAGAGCUAGAAAUCCUAGUCUUGCGAUCAAAUAGACUGUACGGUCCUGUAAGUGGAAGGAGCACAUCACAUCCAUUCCCCAAGUUGCGGAUUCUAGAUCUCUCCAACAAACAAUUCGCGGGCUAUUUGCCAAUUCUAAACUUUAAGAAUAUGAAACCAGCUGCUGAUGAUAACGCGUAUAGUUAUAAAAAUAAGUCACAAGGACUAAUUAAUUACAUCUAUGAAGCAUCUAUCUCCUUAAAUGUGAAAGGAACAGAGUAUGAAGUGAAGAACAUUCUUCAUAUUUACACAGCCAUUGAUCUAUCGUGCAACAAAUUUCACGGAGAAGUUCCAAAGAGAGCUUAAAUGGCUUGCAUUGCUCAAUCUAUCUCAUAAUAGUCUUGCCGGACAUAUGUUCUGAAUUAUUAUUAUGCUUUCAUCAAUAUUUUCAAACAUUUCUCAAUAUGUAUUUCAAAGAAUUCUCAAGCCCUGGAACAUUUGGACCGGUCCUUUCGAAGCCAAGAUGCCCAGGUUAUCAUGGCCAUGCACAAAAAUGAAUAAAUUAUUCCAAGUCUUCCAUGACUCAUUCCAAGUCUUCGGAGGAGACCCUGAGCACAAAGAUGCUCAGGGUCUCCCCAAGCCUUCCAGGACUCAUUCCAAGUCUUCGGAGCACGGCCUCGACUCGCCCUUUCAAAGAUGUGAUAGUAGCUCGAGAGUGAUAUAAAUUAUUUUCCGGACACUAAAAAUAAAUAAUCAGAUCAAAUUAAUCAAUAAUAAAUUAAGGAUGAAAUCCAAAUUAAUCCUAAAUUUUGAUAAUAUAUAAAAAUUAUAAUUAUAAAUUAUAUAACCAAAUCAGAAUUGAAUUAACUUCCUUGGCACUAAAUUGAUAAGGAAAGUAUAAUAAUUUAAAUUUAAUUGAUGAAAAGUCAAAGUCUUCUAAUAAAUCCAUAAAGAAUAUGAUAAUCAAAAUAACGAAAAUUAUAAUUGAAAAAUCAAAAUCAUUAGUGUAUUGGAAUAGUGUUCACACACUUAUAUAUCAAAAUUUGUGGUCCAAAAACUAUAGCACAAUAUCCUAAAUACACCACAUUAAAUAUUAGUUCAAAAAUAUUCUGUAAAUAAUUGUUUUCAUUCAUCAUUUUGUUAUUUAAAAAACUAAUAAUUUGGGUUGAUGUUAACCUAUAUUUUAAUAUAUAAUUAUAUUAUUUUCGUAUUAUUUUAUUUAACUAGAAACAAUAUUUUUAUCAGACAUCAAUUAUAUUAAAAGAUAUAAUUUUAUUAAAAAAAAUUGAAUUAAAUUAAUAGGAUAACUCUACGCCUCACCAAGUCUACAAGACUCAUUUCAAGUCUACCAAGGACCACUACCUCGGUCCUCAACCAUUGGGAGAUGUGAAAGUAGCUUGAGAGUGACAAAAAUUAUUUUCCUCACAAUAAAAUUUAAUAUCUGAUAUAAAUUAAUUAAAUUAGUUAAUAAUAAAUUAAAACUAAUCAUGAAUUAUGAUAAUAAUUAAAUAAAUUAUAAUUAAAUUAUAUAAAUCAACUCCAAAUGAUACAAAUGACACUAAACCUUAGUUACUUUAUUGGUAAAUAAAUAUAAUAUAAUAAUCAAAUUGAUGAAAAAUCAAAAUCAUCUAAUAAAUUCAUAAAAAAUAUAUGAUCAUUAAUAUAUAUUAUAUUAGUAUCCACACACUUAUAUUUCAAAAUCUAUCCUCCAAACUUAUCAUCUCUGUAAACUAGCCACAUAAAAUAAAAAUUUAAAGAUAUUAGAUAUUUAGUUAUUUUCAUUAUAUAAUUUUUCCACACUAAACAACAAAAUAUCUUUAUCAAAUUAGUAUUUAUGAGUUAAAUAUUCAAGUUAUAAAUCCAGCAUGCAGCGUAUAAAUAGGAGAAACAUGGCACACUCUGCAAAGCCUUCUCACCUUCUUCUCUUUGUUUUCUUUCUCUCAUCACUUGAAUCCAUUCUUGCAACAACACGAGAAGGAGAAGCUCUUGUGAAAUGGAAGAAUAGCCUAGCCCCGUCUUCUUUUCUUGAUUCUUGGUCACUCACUCAUCUCGAUAAUCUUUGUAACUGGACUGGCAUUACUUGUAACUCUGCAGGUUCAGUCUCUGAGAUUUACCUUUAUGAGAAACAACUUGAUGGAAUGUUGUCGGAGUUUGGUUUCACUUCAUUUCCAAAUCUCAACAAUCUCACCCUCGCAUACAACUUCUUCUCCGGUCCAAUACCACCAGCCAUUGAGAAUUUAACACAGCUUCAAUAUCUUGAUUUGAGAAAUAAUUAUCUAGAUGGUCCCAUUCCUUUCCAGGUUAGCCAUCUUCAGAGCUUGCUCAUCUUAAACCUGUCAGAGAAUGCAUUGCAAGCUCCAAAUUGGUCCCAUUUCUCUCCCAUGCCUUUUUUGCGCAUCCUCAACCUCAGUCACAAUCCUCUUGCGUCGAAAUUCCCAGAUUUUAUAUCCAAUUCUCAUAGCCUGACUCACCUUAGCCUUAAUUAUAACGAGUUUACUGGUGAUUUAGCACGUGAAUCAAUAUUUGCCAAUCUGCAUAAUCUUGAAGUCCUCAGUCUUAAUGGCAAUUCUUUUGAGGGGCCAUUUCCACCAGAUAUAUUCAAGCUUUCAAGAUUAAAACGUCUCUUCCUGGCAGUUAACAAAUUUUCAGGUUCAAUUCCCAAUGACAUAAGGUUACUUUGUGAUCUUGAAUACCUAUAUUUAGGCAACAAUUCUUUUGAAGGACCGCUUCCACCAAAUUUAUUCAAGCUUUCGAAAUUAAAGCGUCUUUUUCUUUGGAGUAAUAAGUUUACAGGUUCUAUUUCCAAUGAUAUAGGUUUGCUUUCUGAACUUGAAACCCUCAAUCUUCAAUUUAAUUUUUUUGAGGGGCCGCUUCCCCCACAUAUAUUUAGGCUCUCUAAGUUAACAGGUCUAGAACUCGGAGACAAUAGAAAUUUAUUUGAAGGAAGUAAUAUUCCUAUCGGACUGGGACUCUUGACUAACCUCAGGUACUUAGAUUUACAUUUCAGUAAUCUCAGUGGCUAUAUUCCAUCUGACAUUGGAAACCUGAAGCUACUAGUACUUCUUAGUCUCGGUUCUAAUCAAUUGACUGGACCGCUUUCAAAGAUCGUUUCUAAUCUCACAAAUCUUAUAUUCCUUGAUGUAAGUGAUAAUAGUCUUAGUGGAAAUAUUCAGAGUGACUUGUGGAAAUAUAACCAUCAUCCUACUUUGGAAUACAUCGAUUUUAGUGGGAACCAUUUUACAGGUAUAUUUUUUCUCUAUAGAUCUUUUCCUUUUGUCAUAUGUAACUAAGCUAGUAAUCUGAUUAUUGCAGUUUUACCGAAGUUUCAACAAUCUUGACAGGUGAGCUUCCAACAACAAUUUGCAAUGUCACUUCCCUUUCGGUUCUUGAUUUGUCAAAUAAUGAAUUAAGUGGUGCACUUCCAAACUGUUUCGGGAAUCUUGCUGAUGGAUUGCUUUACAUUAAUCUUGCUAAUAAUCAGUUUCGAGGAACAAUACCAACUACUUUCUCCAGGAGUUGUCAGCUGACAUAUCUAAACAUGGAUAAUAAUGAGUUUGAAGGAUUGUUGCCCCCAUCUUUGGCGAACUGUAAGCACUUGAAAAUUCUUGAUAUAGGCAAUAAUAAAAUAGGUGGUACAUUUCCGUCAUGGCUUUAUGCACUUGGAGAGCUAGAAGUUCUUGUCUUGCGAUCAAAUAAACUCUAUGGUACAAUAAGUGGAAGGAGCAUAGAAGAUCCCUUCCCCAAGUUGCGGAUUGUGGAUCUGUCCAACAAUCAAUUCACAGGCCAUUUGCCAAUUCAAUACUUUAAGAAUAUGAAAUCAACUGAUAAUUUGUAUCGUUAUCAGAAUUCCACAAAAGUUUUUUCUUUCCAUUAUGAAGCAUCUGUCUCAUUAACUGUGAAGGGAACAGAGUAUGAAGUGAAAAAUAUCCUUCAUAUUUACACAGCCAUUGAUCUGUCCUGCAACAAGUUUCAAGGAGAAAUUCCUGACGUUAUUGGAGAGCUUAGAUGGCUUGCAUUGCUCAACUUAUCUCAUAAUAGUCUAACAGGACCUAUCCCAUCAUUGCUGAGAAAUAUGAAAGGACUCCAAUCUUUAGAUUUGUCUUCAAAUCAACUGACAGGGGCUAUUCCACCUCAGUUAACUGCACUGACAUUUCUAGAGGUCUUAAACCUCUCGGGAAACCAUCUUAGUGGAGGGAUUCCUCAGAAAGGACAGUUCAGCACAUUCAACAAUGAUUCUUAUCUAGGAAACUCAGCGUUAUGUGGAUCACCAUUGACGAAGAAAUGUGCAAACACAGCAUCACCUCCACAAGAAGUCGGAAAUGUUGAUGAAGAUGAUGCGGGUGAUGAAUUGACAUGGGAAGCAAUCUUGAUGGGAUAUGGAUGUGGACUGAUAUGUGGAUUGUCAUCUGCGUACAUUGUUCUCAAACUAGGAAAGCCUUGGUGGUUUGUGAGAUAUAUCGAAGUACUGCAAUUGAAGUUGAUGAAAAGAUAUGCAUGAAGAAUGGUACUAGCCGAUCAAGAUGAACUCGAAAGUUGUGGUCCUUGUGGACAUUUCUGAACCAGUAGUGUUCUAUUCUCUUUGUGGCUGCAUAAGUAUUUGGUAUUGUGUAAUGUUCUGUUUGGUCUUGAAUCAUAAUAAUUUUUCUUUCUUCAGGGGUAUUUAUAAUAUAAACCUUGGUAUUGUGUACUAGCUGUAAUAUUCUGUUUGAUCAAUGUUUAUACCAGUAAUUUUAUGCUCCGCACUGCAUCAUGCAGCUCUCAUAUUAUCUUCAUAUGUGUAUUUAUUUGGAUAUUAAAAACAUAUGGGAUAUGUGUUAACAGGGACAGCUCCCAAGUCUUGGAUAGACUCUUUCCAAGUCUUCCGAGGUCCUAUAGGUUUAAAUUAGUCCAUUAUCUGCAUACUAAUUUGUCCAACUGAAAAAUCAAGGAUAUUAUGUAUUAACUGUUUUAAUAACAAUUUACAAGUAUAAAUUUCAUAUAUUUUUUCAUAGAAUAUAAAUUAGUUGACGUACUAAAAUCACUAGUCAAAUUAAUUUAAAUAAAUAUAUUGAAAAGAUGAUAAUAAAAUUAUGGUAAUUUAUCACUACAACAAUUCUGGACAUUAAUUAUAUGUAUACUUAAAUAUAUUGAAAAGAUGAUAAUAUAGUAGAAUACAAAUGGUUAUGAUUCCGUAGUAACUACACCGUCGUAAGUUCACAUAAUUAUAUAAUUAUAGUUAUUUGAAAACGAAAAAUAAAUGAGAAAAUAUAUAGUGACCAAAUAUGAAUCAAUCUAAAAUUUUCAUUAUGGAGAUCGUAAGAAACGUGAUGAAGAACUGGAAUGAGAAUUCCUUACAAAACAUUUGGGUUAUAUUAUCAAUGAUGAAUGUUGUAUAUUAUACCUAUGAUUUCAAGUCUCAUACAAAAUUAUAUUGCUCAUAGUCUUUCGAUCAGUUCUUACUAGUGUAUGCAAUAGUUUCUCAUUCCAUACCAGUUAUUUUAUGCUCUGCACUGCCUUAUGCGCGCAGCUAUCAUAUUACUGACAGCUAACCUCCUUCCAACACUUUGCCAUGCGAAGCCUGAAGAUUAAAGUUAACAGGGAUAGGUCUUCUUCUCUCCCAAGUCUUGGACGGACUCUUUCCAAGUCUUCUGAGGACCCAUCGGCUCAGAUCCGUCCAUUAAAAAUUUAUUAUUGAUUACUUAUUAUUAUUGAUUGAUCUAAGAUUCCAAAGACAUGUUCCCGUAAUUUUCAGACUUAGCCAGUUGGUGUGGGCAGAAGUUUUAGAAAUAGUAGAUUAUGGGGAUUUUAUUUAUUCUAACCAAUUUUGAGUUAUUUAUUUUCUUCAAAAAAAUCAAUACUUAUUUUUUAUUGUUAUGCGGAAUUCCAAUAAAUAUUAAAAUAUAUAAUUUUGAUUAUUAUCAUAAAUUUAUUUAUUCAAUAAAUAUUAUUAUACUAUUAUGGAAACAUUUUAUUUUGUAAUGUAUAGUACACCCUUAUCCCACCAACAAAACUACAUCACAAACAAAUUAUAUCAUAUUUAAUUUAAUAAACUCAAAUAAUUUAAUUUAUGUAACAACUCUAUAAAAUUAGAGUGAUUGAUACUUUGCACCCCUUAUGUUUAAGCGUUUUUUCAAUUUGGUUUCAAACAAUUUUUUUGGCAGUAUGCACCCCAAAAUUUGAAAAUUGCUUCGCUUUGCACCCUUUUAAUCGCUCUCCGUUUAAUUGAUAUUGACCGUUAAAGACUUAAAGUUGACAGAUAUGGGUUUACAUUUUCAACACCACAAUUUUAAUUUUUUUUCAUGGGUAUUUUGAAAUAUUCAGACGACUGGGAUGAUUCAAGUGUCUUCAUGUUAGACAGUGCGAUAGGUCGGUCGAGGGGUUUUCAGAAACUGGGACCAAAGAUUGGCGCCAUCAGAUUGGAUUUAUAUCAUUGGAAACUCUCUGUACACCUCUAUAGAAACUGGGACCAAAGACAAGAGGGAGAAGCUCUUGUGAAAUGGAAGAAUAGCCUAGCCCCGUCUUCUUCUCUCGACUCUUGGUCCCUCACCAAUCUCGAUAAUCUUUGUAACUGGACUGGCAUUAAUUGUAACUCUGCAGGUUCAGUCUCUGAGAUUAACCUUUGUGAGAAACAACUUGAUGUAAUGCUGUCUGAGUUUGGUUUCACUUCAUUUCCAAAUCUCAACAAUCUCACCCUCGCAGCUAACUACUUCUCCGGUCCAAUACCACCAGCCAUUGAGAAUUUAACACAGCUUCAAUAUCUUGAUUUGAGAAAUAAUUAUCUAGAUGGUCCAUUCCGUUCCAGGUUAGCCAUCUUCAGAGCUUGCUCAUCUUAAACCUGUCACAGAAUGCAUUGCAAGCUCCAAAUUGGUCCGAUUUCUCUCCCAUGCCUUUCUUGCGCAUCCUCAACCUCAGUAGCAAACCUCCUGCGUCGAAAUUCCCAGAUUUUAUAUCCAGUUCUAAUAGCCUGACUCACCUUAGCCUUAAUUAUAACGAGUUUACUGGUGAUUUGGUACGUGAAUCAGUAUUUGCCGAUCUGCAUAAUCUUGAAAAGCUCAGUCUUGUUGGCAAUUCUUUCGAGGGGCCAUUUCCGCCAGAUAUAUUCAGGCUUUCCAAAUUAAAACAUCUUAGCCUGUCAGAUAACAAACUUUCAGGUUCAAUUCCCAAUGACAUAGGGUUGCUUUUUGAUCUUGAAUACCUAUAUUUAGCCAACAAUUCCUUUGAAGGACCGCUUCCACCAAAAAUAUUCAAGCUUUCAAAAUUAAAAAAUCUUGUUAUUUGGGGUAAUAAGUUUUCAGGUUCUGUUUCCAACGAUAUAGGUUUGCUUUCUGAGCUUGAAAGCCUCUAUCUUGACUCCAAUUUUUUUGAGGGGCCGCUUCCGUCAAAUAUAUUCAAGCUCUCCAAAUUAAGGAUUCUUUUCCUUUGGCAUAAUAACUUUUCAGGUUCUAUUUCUAAGGAUAUAGGUUUGCUUUCUGGACUUGAAACCCUCUAUCUUGACUCUACUUUUUUUGAGGGUCCGCUUCCCCCACAUAUAUUCAAGCUUUCCAAAUUAACAAGUCUUGACCUCGCAUACAAUAGAAAUUUAUUUGAAGGAAGUAUUCCUAUUGGACUGGGACUCUUGACUAACCUCAGAUACUUGAGUCUAUCUUCCACUAAUCUCGGUGGCUAUAUUCCAUCUGAAAUUGGAAACCUGAAGCUACUAGAAGUUCUUGAACUCAGUUCUAAUCAAUUGA